ACGAGAUCUUUGCAAUGGUGUACUCCAUUCUGUGAUUGGUGGAAACACCUGGGCGGGCGCCCAAGGGGGGUGGGCGGGCGCCCUGCCCCCGGGCCCGUUUGCCUUCUCGUUCGUUCCCGUGGCUUCUGGAGUCUUCUAGAUGAUAGAAAAUUAUGCGGCACAUUAAUAUCUCUAUGUAAUCCCGAUGUGUAGGCCUUUCUUCCUUAUUUCCUGAUAACCCCCUGCAGAAAUAGACAAACACCAAAACUCGUGGAAUUCUGUCAGAUAAAACCCUAAGUCUAGAUGUUGAUUUCAUUUGGAUCCUUUUCUUUGUUUAUUUGAUAAUUAAAUUUGAUACUUAAGGACCGUCAACAAACUCCCCCAAGCUUACCUCUUGCUCGUCCCUGAGCAAGGAUGAACUCAAGAGUUUCUGCAAUGGUUUCAUUUCUUAAAAGUACACACGCAUUCAAACAAGAUCUCAUCUCUGAGUUAGAAUAAACUGUUAAGACUUAAAACUUACUCAUUUUACCUUUUACCAUGGGGCUUGUAACCGUCACUUGUGUCUUGAGCAGUUAAAAGAUAGAACGGUCAUGUCAAGCGCCAUGUCUCUUAUUCUUGAUCAGCUAUAGCUCUGGGGUUUUUUGUAGAUUUUCAAAUAAAACUCAGAGAUUCCUUAUAUGACUCUCUCAGAUCUCUCUUUUGUGGUAUUUAUGGAUCCUUACCAAGGCAGUAAUGGUAUAUGCCUUCUCUCAAAGUAUGUGGUAUUUUUGGUAUGAGGCAUAGUGAUAUUGCCUUCUCUCUCACCCUACUCUAAUAAAGUUCUGAUAUCUGGAGCUCAUAGGUGGAAGACAGCUAAUACAUACUUACAAGACAUUUAUUGCAUAGUCAAACCAUGGAUCCAGAGAAACAAAUCAAUAAGUCAAAUCAAGAUGUGCAUGUGUGGCGAAUGAAUGGUGUAUGGUGAUGAUGGUGAUAAUGAUGGUGAAAGUCUAAUUCUAUUUUUUAUGCUCUUUUGAGGGGAUACAUACCUUUCUUGUACUUUGAAGCUUUUUGGGGAGAAUGAGAUGCUCUAUAUUUUCUUUUUCUUUCCUCUCAGGUGGGUAUCUUGUACCCCUAAUUCUACUGUCGGACACUUGUCCAUUUUUACCUCUCGUCUCACUUUUUCUUUUCUUCGAGGUUCCGGGCACUUGCCCCUUUUUAUUUCCUCGUAUUAUUAUUAUUAUUUUCUUUCUUUUUCUCUUUCUCUUUUUUUUAGAGCACUCAUCUCCUGAAAGAAUGUAGCAAGUGGUAGUAACCAAAAUAACUGGAGCAUUUAUUUCACAGGGAAUAAUAGGGAUAGGAAAAUAUUUUUUGCUAUUCUCUCCCGGAUUAGGAGUAGAAUAAUUUUGGGUGGCUCUGGAGAUGGAAGUGAGUGGAUAUAUGUGGAUGGUACUUGUGGAGUAGAAGUAGCAUGUAUGAGUGAACGUGCAAGUGAAUCUUCAUUUUAACCACAUGACAAGCUCCUAAGGGUCUACACAGCUUGACCACACUCAAUGCUCAUAAGCAGUAAAAAGUAAAUAUGUGGCUCAAAGUCUAGCAAGCAUGUAUAUAUGGUUGUGGUAGGAUUUUAAACUCUCAUCAUACAGGAACUCAUCAUGUGUUAUUUUAAAGAUUUUUUCAAAGAUAAAAUUCUCCAGAAUUCUAGCAUCUCUAGGAACAGAUAAACAGCAGCUCAACCUUCCCAUAUUAUAUCCGCUAAGGACUUAGACUUUAGAUCAAGUACUCUUCCCACAAGUUUAGGUUUAGAGCAAGCUUUAAAUUAUAACAGUUAUGCCUAAACUUGAGAGAGAUUUCAAUUUUAAGAACUAGUCAUGGCAGAGCAACUAUUCAUCAUUUCCAUGAGAGAGCUAAUCAUGAGGGUUCAUAGCAAAUUUUAUUUAUUUGUUUAUUUAGCAAACUAAGCAAAGAUAUAUAUAUAAAAGCACAAAAUCUUUAUUUGGGUUUUUCAUAGUUUAUGUAUUUUAAUAUUCUAACAUAUUAUAAGUAUAAAGAUAGGUAGAAAUACUUAGCGAGAUAAAUGGGGGUGCUCUCCCCCAAGCUGAAUUUUGACGUAAUUUCUUCUGAUGUAGCUAGCAGGUGAUGGAGGUGUAUUUGAAAGUCGAUAGCACCCCGACAGCGAUUAGGAUGUCCUCCGUCUGCUAGUCUUCUUUGAUCCUUGAAUUCUGUGGAGCUCAAAUAGACAACAAAGCUUUGUGGAACUGGUUAAGUGUUAGCAUAAAUAUCUAGCCUUUAUCAUGUUGAGCCUCCUCAAUAUUACUUAUUUAGCAGGAUCAUGCACUUAUUAUUUUUAUAUUUUUAUUGUAAGAUGAAAACUUAUUUAUUUUAUUUUCAUGCCACCACAGUGAAUGUACUUAUGGGUUUUAUGCCAUGAGCAUACUCACAUGGGGCUUACUAUUUUUUAACAUUUAUUUUCUUUUCAAGAUAGCAUGAACCUGAUUAACUAAGCAAACUAUUGAAUGGAAAAGGAUAACUACCAAGUUUACCUCUUGGCAAGGCGUUCGGUGUUUUUAAGUCCUCCGAACGGGACUCUCUGUUUCCUUAGUCGUCCUGGGAUUUGCUGGGUGGCGUAGUCGGUGGUUCCGACGACGCCUCCUCUUCGUGUAUAACUAUCUUCUCUUUCCACACCUGACUCGGUGCUACGGUCUCCUCAGGAUAGUUCUGUUCAAGUUGUAUGUCUUCAGUCCUUAUCUCUUCUCCUUUGUAGUCUACCCAUCUGUCCUUGAUGACUUGCCUCCUCUGGUUGCGGUUGCGUUGUCUUCUUCUUGUCCUGAUCUGCUUAGAAUCUUCAACUAUAUAGUUAGAAUCAUUAAAGUAGUGGCGUACCUUUUCAGAGGGGAAGUGCAUGUGGACUUCUCCGGUUCCAAUAUAGAUAAUGGCUUUGAUAGUGCUGAGGAACGGUCUUCCAAGGAUGAUGGGUGGAUCGAACUCGUCUUCUCCCAUGUCAAUGACCUGAAAAAUCAUCUGGAGCUGAAUAUAUUGGUUGUAGGGGCAUGGUUCCAUGCAGGAGCUGAUAAGUGACUGCGGCCAUUAUGUUGUCGUCAGAUCCGGUGUCGUAGAGUGUCUUCUGAAAAGAGUAUCCAUUGAUUGUGCACUCGAUGCUUGGAACACCAGAGUCGUUCUUCUUGAUCAAGAAAGGUGACUUGAGUCGACGAUCUUGACCUCCUUGAGCUGCAGUGACCAUCUUAGCUGACUCGGUCCACAUUUGCUUGUUCCUGUUCCUCCUGUUGGUCCUCUUCCUUGGUUCAUGUCGGGAUUGCUCUGAAGCUUGUGUAGUCUUGUUCUUGAAGGAAAGUCUCCUUCUUCCCCUUGAUGUAGAGACUGAUCUUGGCAGCAUUAGCGUAGAUGACAGCUCUGGUGUUUAGGAAUGGCCUCCCUAAGAUAAUGGGUGCCCUCUCCUCAGUACCAGUCUCUAUCACCACGAAGUUUGCUGGAGCGUACAAGGUACCAACUCGGACACAGAGGUUCUUCAAUAUUUCCUUUGGAAAACUAAGUGUCCGACCUCCAUUGUGUUUUGUGCUCGUAGAUCCCGAUUCUUCACUUGGUGGAAUCUAGGAGUUGUAAAACUCCUCCAUAUUUUGUUUGAAGUGUACCUGUUCAUAGAGACAAGGCAGAGAUCAAGUGCAUGGGCUCUGUUGGUGGAAAACACCAACAGAACCAAAAGUGUAUUUGUUCUUCUCUAACCUUAAGCAUAGUGAGCAAGACAAAGUUGAUGGAUCAUGAGUGUGGCAUUAAAAACAUUUGUUAGAUCAGAUGGCUCAACCUAAUGGAAAGAUAAUAUAUCUAUAUUUAUGUUUUGUUUAUAUCUUUCAAAGAUUUAUAUGAUUAGGAGUGUGGGAUCACGAAGGUAGUACUAAGAACAAAGAUUAAAGGACUAAACAUGUUGAAUCAAUUGGGUUGAUUAAUUUGGAGCUACAAAUCAUACAUGUUUGUCUCUUUUAUUCAUGUGUAUGCCAAAACCAAGGAGAACUUAUAAAAGUGAUAAUCAAGUACUUUAAGAUGUUAUUGAAGAGUGAUGGUAUAGUAUCACCUUAUGGAAGCUUUCCUUUCUUAGCGGUUGUGCAUCGUGUUUGUGGCACCCUCCAUGAAUCAUCUCUUAUGAGCUACAUCUUUCUUGUGUAAAUUGUUAAACUUCAUGUGUCACUUUCUUCAUCUCUAAUGUGAGUUUAUCUCAGGACUUCCUAGGUUGAUGUUGAAAGUUCUCCUGCAGGGGUUAGUCCCACAAAAUAUACCAAUAUCUACUCAAGAAGUUUUUAGUUCAGUAACCAAACUAGACUCCAUGUCUAAUCAGAUUAAGGAAGGCUAUUUAACCUAAGCACCACGCUUAAUUUAAAUGCCAUUGGAAGUGUGUCCAGUACUUCCAAACUAACACUUACUAGGAUAAACAAAGGUAGCAUGAUGGCUUUUAUAGAGAUCUACUCAAGUGGAGAUGAAGUAGUGUGAUUAGUAUUUAACAAAUUGAGCAUGUCUCAAAGGUAAGGACAACCAACAUAGUAACAUGGCAAAGGAUGUUUUAUGUAAAGUACUCCCCCAAGCUUGAAUUUUGCAAAAUUCAAGUUUGGAUGAAUUUAAUUCAAUGUUGCAUGAUGAUUGGUUGGACAUACCUUGUGCUUGUCAUUCCUCGGAUCUUCUUGCUCCAAUCCUAGAAAGGUUAGUGACACGAAUACCCGAAGGAAUAUUUCUACAAUUAUCUUUAUAUGCUCAAUACACAAGGCAAUGUUGCAAAUAAUUAAAAGUUCAUGUUAUGAUCUGAUAAGUGCUUGUUUUAGGACACUAAGCUUGUCCUUGGGAAACCAUCAAUUAACUCAGCGAGAUCUGCAAUAUUUAUUAUAGACAUAUGCAUCGACAACCGCUCUUUUAAAGUUUUUAUAAAUAGAAAAGAAGAGAGGGUUGGAGAUCUCAAAUGUGGUAAUGUUGGAGAGACUAAUUGAUUGGGGAGAUGUUGCAUAUGAGCAUGGACUUGGUGAGGUAUUUAUGAAAUAACUUCCAUGCUCACUGUUGUUUCUCUCAUUCUCAAACUCCAAGGAUGAUUCUUCAUGAAUGCUUAAAAUUCCUCUAGGAUUGUCUCUCAAGUUUGUUUUAUCUAUCCAUCCAAUGGUGAUAGCACAUGGAUUUUUAAUGCCCUCUAGCCAUUGAUGUUGCUCUUCUCGAUCCUCCUUCUUAUGCAUGGGAUGUCUAGAGAGAUUCAUAGGAUUAUCACGAAUGAAGACAUACCUUCCUUUACUAAUAGAUAAAGAAAGAAGGACUCUACCAAAGGUUAUAUUAUUAAGACCAAUGUGAAAAUAUUUAGGAAAAACAUGGUCUUGUAGGGCUAGGUCUAAACCAGGAUUUAUAGAAAGAUUAACAGAUUCCCUAGGUGUAGCUAAAAGUGCAUUAUCUUCUUGAUUAAAAGAUAGGACCUCAGCUAUAGAAAAGGGUUGGUUUUGACCUAUUGCAAUCAACUCCGGACACAGAUCAUAAUUAGAGGCAGGACGUGUUGACUCCCAUGGUCUAUGGCUGGUCUCCGAAGGUGCAAAGAAUUUAAUAAUAGGUAUGGAAUUUGAGUUAUCCAUAAAGAUAAAAAUAAAUAGAUAAAAGAAUAAAAGUAUAAUACAAGAUAAUAGCAAGAUUCAAAGUUAUCUCAGCAAACUGUCUUUCUCCCCGGCAACGGCGCCAGAAAUGCUUGUUGAUAUUUGGUAACGCAAUUAGAAAAUGAUCCGCAAGCGCACGGAUAUCGGUGAGCAUUUCACCCGGGAGGUUUUCCAGAGUAUCGUAUUUAUAUUUUUACCACUGGGAGAAAGGGUGCAUCUGACUAACCAAAUCUAUUGCUACUAUCCCUUUAGGCUACAAAGAAUGUCUCUCGAUGUGAGUGAUGUAUAGAGAAGACUGCAACCUUAGUCUCGUUCUAACCUUGGUAAGGAUGAUCUACUGUUCUAUUGGGGAGGCUCACGGAAUCUAGACAACACAAAGGAUGUUCGACCCGCACCUAUAAACCUACCCGUCCUGCUAACGAGAUGUGAUCUGCAAAGGUAACUCGGAAAUGUCACGUUCCUCGCUACUACAACGGUCCAGCUAGUCAGGGGAUAUCUAUGAGUACCCUAGCCUAAACACCACGUUUACGCUAGCAAGUGAUUACUCUAAUACUCAACCGGAAGAGGAUUAAAGUAAACUCAUAAACCAAAGAACAAUAAAACAAGAACUUACUAGUAUUAGAAGUCGAAUUACUGAAGAAUCUUAGAAGCAAGCCUCGGGUUAGGAGACUUGAUCCCGCAGGUACAACUCGGAGUAGACACCGACAGGCCGGCCUUCCUCCGAUCCACACCUCCACUCUAUCUUUCUCAAUCUAGUAGAAACUAGAAGAUCUAUUUCUACUUUACAUUGGUUGCUAAGCCUAAAAAGAAAUAUUAUUUAGAGAAGAGGUUUUCCUUCGAGGGCACCCCUCAAUCUCUAUGAUAAUUUCUUGUCUUCUCCAGGGGCCUUGCUUAUAUAGUCCUCCUCCUCUGUGCGUUUUUGGUUCAGCAGGCGAUGUGGUACUAAACUUUCCACCAUAUCUCAUUAAAAUGCACAUAGGCCUUAAUGGACCAAAAUCUGAUUUGGGCCCAAUUAAUCCCGCAGCUCUUUUAUGUGGAGUCCUUCUUUUAUUAAUAUCUUUUGAUUCCGAACUCCAAAUAUAGCAAGUAAUAUAUGCAUUUCUAUCAGCUCGACGAGAUCUUUGCAAUGAUGUACUCCAUUCUGUGAUUGGUGGAAACACCUGGGCGGGCGCCCUGCCCCCGGGCCCGUUUGCCUUCUCGUUCGUUCCCGUGGCUUCUGGAGUCUUCUAGAUGAUAGAAAAUUGUGCGGCACAUUAAUAUCUCUAUGUAAUCCCGACGUGUGGGCCUUUCUUCCUUAUUUCCUGAUAACCCCCUGCAGAAAUAGACAAACACCAAAACUCGUGGAAUUCUGUCAGAUAAAACCCUAAGUCUAGAUGUUGAUUUCAUUUGGAUCCUUUUCUUUGUUUAUUUGAUAAUUAAAUUUGAUACUUAAGGACCGUCAACAAUAUACACCAUAUUUUUUGGGAAAAAUAAUUGUUAUGAUUUAAUCUUGUUAUUUAAGUGUAAAUUCAUAUCUUUUGAUUUACUUCUCCAAUUGUUGUAAAAUUUUUGUGCUAUGCUCUGAGUAGUAGUUGAAUGCUCUGAUAAAUAUUUCAUGAUUUUGGGAGUGAUGUAUCUAUGAUAUGUAAUUUAUGUUGAUUCUAUAGCUUGUUUUCAUAUUUAAAUCAUAAUAAAUGUUUGAUGAUUAUGCUGGUGUUCUACUUUGGUGUCAAGCUUGUUUAUGGUAAUAGUAACAUGUGAAUAAUCUGAAAUCUGUUGUUUGACACUAUCUAAGCCAUGUUUCUUAAUUUAUGAAAUAAGCACCUUGUUACAUGUUAAUUACUUAUCUUAAGUUUGGCAUGUGCAAUUACUCUGAAAAUUUUAUGGUAAUGUCAAGAUGCUAUACUUGUGCUUCUGUAAUUUUUUUAGAUUUGUCUCAGCACUUUUGCUGGUAUCUUGUAAUUAUGUCCUUUUAUGGAAUUAAAUUAAUAAAUGCCUUGUUAUUAAAUAUUUAGUGGUCAACAUAUGAUGUUCUGGUAACCUUAGACUAUGUUUGUGCUUGUAAGCCAUUUGGUUGCCACUAAUUAUGUUUUGGCUAUGUCAUCAAAUAAUUAAUUAAAGGUUCAUAAACUGUUCUGGACAGCAAGGGAGUAAUCUAACCUUUGCUGGAUGAUAACUUGGCUUUCUGGAAGACUUGUCUAAAUCAAAGAUGUUGUAAACUUUAUGAACUAGCUGUAGCUCAAAGCAGGGAUCAUUUGGUCCAGUAGUUUAAAAGUUAUGGCUCUUCCAAUUUGGGUUCCUGAAAUAGGCGUUCUCUGUUUUUCUGGGACAGAAUAUGGAACUUUGUUUAAUUGACCAGUUUCACUUGUGAAUCUUGCUGUGAUGUCUAAAGAUAAAAUGUAGACAAUUUUAUAAGCUUUCCAGAAUGUCCUCAUUCAUGUUUGUUGGAUCUGUAUAGCAAUAGUUAUGAUUUGUUCUUGAGCUACACUGUUAUGUGAUAAUUGCUGUUUUGGUUUGACUUGCUAAAUCUUUCUAAGUUAGUUAGGGAUCUUGUGUAAGCUUGUUAUGAGAGUUACUCCGUAAAUGAGUGUACAGUGAAGUUCUAAUUUUGUUACCAAGCAUUCAUCCUCAUCUAGUGUGCACACAUGUCUUACUCAUUGUGCAUGCAAUAGGUGCAACGGAAACGACAGCUUCGUUCGAGCUCCAGGUGAACCCCAAAGGCCAGGAGAUCAAUCCGGAAGCGGAGGUCCAGCUAGCCGGACAAGAGGAGCCCAAAGAGGAGGUCGAGUGCCCUAAUCACGAGCCAGCCUCGUUCGUGAAAGGCAAGCCCCGGAGCAUCUUAAGUCUCCCGCUUUAAUUUCAAAAGCAAUCUUGAUUAUGUUAUAUCUAUUGAUGCAUUAGGUAUAGGAGUUGUGAUGAAACCCUUGCUGCAUGAUACUCAUCCCUUGUCCACAUAUCUUACCACUACCUGGUCGUAGAGUUAGGAUCAAGUAGCAGCUUAGCCAUGCUUAAUCGGUAGAAGUCGUGUGAUAUCCUGUCACCUACGCGAAAUAGGGUUGUGUCGGAUCACGAUUGACUAUAUGUGCUAUCGUGGAAAAGAACCUGAUUAAAAUGACUUAAGCCGGGCGGAGUUUUGCAAGGUUGUAGUAACUCCAUCUGUGGCAGCUAAGGACCGAUCGUUGUACGUCCUCUUGUCAUGUUGAACGCAUGCCUGACACUUAGUUGGCCGGAUAACUUGUUCCAACGGCGAAGCCUAGUAGUAUGACUCAGGCCGGAAGACCGGCAAGUAUAAAGUGCGCACUACUGGAGGAAGUGCGGUGUGCGGGGGACCAUUGGCGUAAGACCAAAGGCAGGUGAGGUUAAAGUCCUGACCUCCCUGGCAGAGUGGUAGCCCUGAGAGUGCGGCGCUAAUCGGAGCCGCGAUUCCUGAGUCGUACCAAAGGUGACCCGUUUGCUCUCCGAUGGGGGAUGCUUGGGUGAGUGCUAGGAAUAACCCUCCAGCUGGAUAUGAAUUGAUUCGAAUUGCCGUCUCUCCCGGAUAGUUAGAACUUGACAGAGCAGCAGCAAACAUAGCAUUCACUAAGUACCAUGGUUCUUGAUAAUGAUGUUGAUGAUAGCAAGGAAGAACAUAUGAUGAACUUGAUAUGGUUAUUAUUGUUUGUAAUAAUCAAGUGAAGUGUUUUAGUCCAGGUGCUAAUCUAGUGAUAGGCUAAUGAUGAUUAUUAUGACGCUUUUACAAUUGGUAUAGUAAUCAUUUAAGCUUUUGGCAAAUAUUGAGUCAAGCCAGCUACACUUUAUACUUAGCCUUGCAUGAUCCUUGGUGUCUUUUAUGUUUUACUAGACGGGUAAGUCUAGCUAAGUACAUCCUCGUACUCAGGGUUUAUUCUCACCUGUUGCAGAUGAUAUCUUUUAUGAUGGCUUCUGCAAGACCUGUCUCCAUCCCGCUGGGGAUGAGGACUAAACCGUUGGGCAUGGUUCUCUAACGACUUCGUACCUCGUUGCUUUUGAUGGGUGGCAUGAGACUCUGGCAAUAACAAGAACUUUGGAUAUGAGAUGUAAACUAUUUUGCUUCUGCUACUGUGAACUUGUGUUGUAAUAACUAAGUAACUCCGAUGUGGUGCCAUUUCGACGACAAUGAAUGAACUAUGUAACAAUCGAUGUGUUAUGUUGAACUAUUACGAUCUUGGUUUGUUGCAAGUUGGUUUGAAGUCCUUCGUGAUUUCAGUUGACUACCGGGAUUAUAUGGGCUCAAGUCUGGAAACUUGAUUGCUAGUUGAUCGUUUCUACACUUGAACUCUUAUAAUUUGGUCGGUUCUGUGACAAAAAGCAUUAUGCCAUAUCCUACGCUAGCAAAACCUUAUCUGGACCACAUCUCAAAUACACUACAACUGAAAAAGAGCUUUUGGUUGUUGUCUUUGCUAUAGACAAGUUUAGAUCUUACUUAGUGGGGGCAAAGAUAAUCAUCUAUUCAGACCAUGCUGCUCUCAAGUACCUCCUUCUCUAAGAAAGAUGCUAAGCCUCGUCUAAUUCGAUGGAUUCUUCUACUCCAAGACUUUGACAUAGAAAUCCGAGAUAGGAAGGGAGUAGAGAAUUCCGUAGCCGACCACUUGUCUAGGCUUCAAUAUAAGGAAAGACAUGAUGAGCUUCCCAUAAAUGACUACCUAAGGGAUGACUCCCUGCUUAAGAUAACACAUGCAGAUCUAUGGUACGCAGACAUCGUAAACUUUAUAGUAAAAGGCUAUGUCCCACCGGAUACAAACAAAAGGAAGUUGCUUCACAAUAGUCGUUUCCACCUUUGGAUGAGCCAUAUCUUUUUUGAGUCUGCACUGAUGGACUCUUGAGAAGGUGUGUUCCUAUGGCUGAGGCUACUCAAAUUAUGGAAAGGUGUCAUGCCUCCCCAUAUGGAGGACACUAUGGAGCAUUCCGGACACAUGCUAAAAUUUGGCAAAGUGGCUUUUUCUGGCCAACAAUGUAUGAAGAUACAAAGGACUUUGUCAGGAGAUGCCACCGAUGUCAAAAACAUGGGAAUAUCAACUCACGAAAUGAAAUGCCUCUCACAAAUAAUCUUCAAGUAGAACUUUUCGAUGUAUGGGGCAUUGAUUUCAUGGGGCCAUUCCCUAUGUCCGGGAAUUGCGAGUAUAUCUUGCUAGCUGUGGACUAUGUGUCCAAAUGGGUAGAAGCCCUACCUUGUCGAUCAGCUAAUUCAAAACAUGCCAAGAGAAUGUUCCAUGAAGUAAUAUUUUCUCGCUUUGGUAUACCCCAGAUAGUUAUAAACGAUGGAGGUUCUCACUUCAUCGACAAAAUCUUCCGGAAAUACCUAGCCGAUCAUGGAGUUCGACACAACAUCGCAACACCAUACCAUCCUCAGACUAGCGGUCAAGCCGAAACUUCUAACAAACAAAUCAAAAAUAUUUUACAAAAGACCGUAGAUGAGAUGGGUAAGGGGUGGAAGGACAAACUUCCUGAUGCACUUUGGACAUAUAGAACUGCAUUCAAAACACCCAUAGGCAUGUCACCUUAUCAACUUGUAUAUGGAAAAACUUGUCAUUUGCCUGUGGAGGUAGAGUUUAAGGCUCAUUGGGCACUCAAGAAAUGGAACAUGGAUCUCCACCUCGCUAGCGAGAAUCGUCUGAUGCAACUAUCUGAGCGAGAAGAAUGAAGAGAGAAAGCCUACCAAAAUUCAAGGAUCUAUAAAGAGAGAACAAAACGAUGGCAUGAUAAGAGAAUCAAGCACAAGGAGUUUAAGCCUGGAGAUAAGGUUCUACUAUUCAAUUCAAGAGUUAGGCUCUUUGGGCAUGGUAAGCUACGAAGUAAGUGGGAUGGACCAUACAAGGUUAUUGACACUUUAACUCAUGGAGCCAUUACCAUCCAAGACAACAUAGGUAACACUUUUAAGGUAAAUGGUCAACGUUUGAAAAUCUAUCUCGAGCCACAAAAGAACCUGGUAGAGGAACUUGAUGUGAUUGAGUUCAUAGAAUUCUCACAUUAAGCUCUCAUAAGCUCUAGACAAUUACCUAACCCUUAACAUGCUCAACGAGUUUUGUUGUCUAUUUGGGUUGUGCAGGAUUUUGAGGCUUAAGAAGAGUGAGACCAAACAUGUAGGUAACAAGAGUGAACGACUAUGUCAACAUCCAGCUUGGGGGAGGCACCCCCACGUGUAUCUAGAUAAGUAUUACUUUUCUUUCUUGGUUGUAUUUACUAGUAUUCAGAAAUAAAUAAAAAAAUGCAUAACCAUGAAACCAAACAAAGAUUUUCUUUUGAGUAAUAUACAAUAGUUUUGUGUAAUCCUAAGUUUUAAAUAAAAUAAAAAGAAAGUUUGAUCCAAGUCUAGGUAAUUGACAAACAUGAUAUGAGAAGGUCCGAGCUACUAUUUAACUUGUUCCAAGUUUCUCUAGAGUUGUGGAGAUUUUAUCUUUUAAAAAUCUAGAAAAAAUGAAUGAGAUCCUAUUUGACAUAAUACCUAGAGUCUUAUAAGAUAUAAAUAUUAAAACUAUAGGCACUUGCUUUGUUCAAGCCAUUGUUAAUUCUUGUAGUUUUGGUUGAGAGAAUUAUCAUGCUCCAAAGAUCAAGAUCUUUUUGUUUUAAAAAUAUAAAAGAUUCACUCUUCCGAAGUAUUAUUGCGUUAGAUGCAUGGGACUAUGCAAAAAUUUGAUUCGAAAAAAAAGAGUGAGACGAGAGGUAAAAAAUGGACAAGUGUCCGAAGUAGAAUUAGGGGUACAAAGAUACCCACCUGAGUGGAAAAAAUGGACACGAGUCCGAUAGUAGAAUUAGGGGUACUUGGUGCCCACUUGAAAAAAGAAAAAAAAAGAGAGAGACUGAAAAAAGAAAGAAAAAAUGAUAGCCAUGGUCCCUCUAAUAAGCAAUAUGCCAGUAAGAGAUGACAAACUUUUCAAAAAGGUCAAAGGUCAUGAUCUAGGAGUAUGACAUUCCUCUCCCUUGCUCCGAGCAUUGACAUAGCAAAAUUCAAAGUAAGUAUUGUUGACGGUCCUUAAGUAUCAAAUUUAAUUAUCAAAUAAACAAAGAAAAGGAUCCAAAUGCAACCGACAUCCAGACUUAGGGUUUUAUCUGACAGAAUUCCACGAGUUUUGGUGUUUGUCUAUUUCUGCAGGGGGUUAUCAGAAAAUAUGAAGGAAAGGCCCACACGUCGGGUUUACAUAGAGAUAUUAACGUGCCGUGCAAUUAUCCUACAUCUAGAAGAGUCCAGAAGCCACGGGAACGAAUGGGAGACCGGACGGGCUCGGAGGCAGGGCGCCCGCCCUGGCCACGGGGCCAAUCAGCUUCAACUUCGCGAAUCAUGCUCCACCGACCUAAAGGAUCAAGGAAAACCGUGUGAUUAAUGUCGGUUUGAUCCAAUGGCCCAUAUUCACUUGGAAUGUCUAUAUAAGCAGACCACCUAACCCCUAGAGGAGAGGACCUCUGAACCCUAAUUCAUUAUUCAUCUUGGGAGAAGAAGCCUCUGAUCAAGCCCUAGAGCCACCACAUCAAUUAGAUCUCUAGUUUAGCAUAGGUACGUAGGAUUAGAACUAGAAGGAGUCAAUCUUCGAUUGGUUUCUGGAUCUGUCAAGAGGAUUCUUGGUAAUUCCUCUACUGUUUUUCAAUUGUUCAUCUUUGUUCUUCAAUAUUAUGAAUAUGACUUUCUUCUACUUCAAUAUAUUGAUUAUGACUUUGCUCUAGUUGUUUAUAUUCGCAAUUAUAUUGUUCUUAGUUUAUCAUAGUUAUAUGCUUGGCUUAGUUAGAUUGGAAUUAUAUACAUGUUUAGGAUCGUAUAGUGUUUAUCCAUGUGUACAGUGGGUAAAUGAUAAGUAUUGUGUAGGCAUGGUGCCUAUACCGUAUUUAUCUGCGAUUGUACCCUAUAUGCCGGAUCGCGGGGUAGUUCGUGGUAGUGACAGCUCCAUUGAUUCUUAUAUAGGCCCCCUCUCGUGUAUAGGACUGGCAGAGCAACAUUAUUACAAGGGAGUGAUUGCUUUGUUUCUCAUAUUCCUUGAUAAUAUUACUAUGCAUGGGCGUAAUCCUACCUCGCAAUGAUUGCCAAGUAUAAUUGCACUAACUAUGAUAUGCUAGACUGUAUAGUUAAGAAUAACUUAGGAAAUAUUCUUGUAAUUCGUCAUAAUUCCAUGCUAAUGACUUGCUAGAAUAUCUAUUGAGGUGCUUAUCACAUUUAUAUGUGGCUAAGUUAUGCUGAUCAGAUUAAUUAUCUUUGUCACCAUUCAUACUUUAUCUAUCUUUUAUGUGACACUUAUCCCUGUAUGAAAGAGAUAGAUAAAUGCUCACACUUAUACAUGCAAUGAUAGAUACUCAAUUCUAUAUUCCAUUCCAUAAUCAACAUUGAUGUUUAGCAAUCCCUUCCCAGUGGUAAAAAUAUGAAUAACGAUACUUCCCGGUUAAAAUGCUACAUCGGUAUUAAUCUGUGCGCUUGCAGAUCUCAUUUAUUAUUUAUUUAGCAGAGCAAUUGCAUAUUUCAAUACCGCGUCUCUCUUGUCGUGCUGGGGAUGACAACUUGGCUUAAUUGGCAUGAGGGAUAGGUUUGGCAUUUUUGGCGCCGUUAUCAGAAUUAGAAAACUAAGUCUACUUUUGCUAGUGACGUUAAGAAUGCCUAACAAGCAUUUUUUGAGCCGUUGCCGGGGAAGGUUGAUUACUAAUGAGGAAUGAAUAUGCAAUUUUGAGUCAUCAUUCACAUCACUAAUAUUAUUGAGAUUAUCAAUUCUCUCAUACAGUUUUACCCUGAUAUUUUUCUAUUUUAUUUUAUGUAGGGUAAUGUAUGAAUAAAAGACAUCUUCCGGGAAAUUUUGUUGACAAUCCCGAAGCGUUAUUCAGAAAAACAAGAGCCAAGCUCAAGAAGAGAUCAUCAACACUUCAGCACGAAGCUUCAUCCAAUCAAGAAGAUCACCGAAGUUUCACCCGGAACUUGUCUUCAGAGUUCGAAGUCAUGGCGAACAAAUCGAUCCGUGAGUUCUCAGCUCCCACUACGGACAACAUCCGUACUGGACCUGCUACAGAGAUUGACGGCAACUUUGAGCUCAAGCCUGGACUUAUCAACAUGGUGCAAUCCAACCAGUUCUGUGGGAAGGCACACGAAGAUGCUAGUGCUCAUCUCCAACACUUCUUGAAGAUUUGCAGCACAUUCACCAUAUCAGGAGUCCCCAGAGAUGCUAUACUACUUCGCCUCUUCCCAUUCUCACUAUUGGGGAGAGCAAAGCCGUGGUUCUACGCUACAAAGGAGAAGAAUACUAAGUGGGCACUCUGCUCCAUGAACUUUCUGGCUAAGUUCUUUCCCAUGGGCAAGACCAAUGCUCUCCGUGGGAAGAUUACAAGUUUUCAGCAACAACAUGAUGAAUCCGUUCCAAAAGCAUGGGAGCGCUUCCAAGACUACAUCCUAGAAUGUCCCCAUCAUGGAAUGGAGAGUUGGCUACUGAUGCAGAUGUUUUAUCAUGGGCUCCGCAAUACUGCCCGAGAGACCAUGGAUGCUGCAGCUAGAGGAGCAUUCCUAUCACUCACCAUAUCACAAGCCACAGCUCUUGUGGAGAAGAUGGCGUCCAACCAAUGCUGGAAUGAAGAAAGGACCCAGACACGCAAGAGAGGUGGAGGUAUGCUCUAGCUCAAGGAGGUAGACAUGCUAUCUGCUAAGCUAGACAUGCUCAUGAAGAAGCUCGAUGAUAGAGCUGGAGAUAAGAAAGAAGUCAUGCACAUCUACGACUCUCACAUGACUUGUGAGGAGUGUGGAGAUAUUGGACACUCAGACAAUCACUGCCCUGAGAUGCUUGAGGAUGUGACCUACAUCAACAAUAACAAGAACAACAACUACUACAACCGUCCUCAAGAAAAUCAAGGUUGGAAUCAACAGAGGCCUAACUACUCAGGUAAUUAUCAAGGUAACAAUUCUUACAAUAAUAAUAAUAAUUUUCCACCUCUGAGGGAGUCAGUGUCUAAUCAAGGAAAGCUAAUGGAUAACCUAUCUAAGAAAUUUGCAUCUAAUGAUAAAAUGUUAGAAAUUAUAAAUAAUAGAAUGGAUAAUUUCUCUACUACCAUCAAGAAUCAAAUUAGCUUUAAUAAAAUGAUUGAAUCUCAGUUAAAUCAAAUAGCUGCUGCUGUUCCUGCGACUAACCCUGGUAUACCAUCACAACCAGUAGGAUUAGAAUCUGCAAAUCUUGUAGACAUGUUUGAUGCAGGUAACUACUAGAGUAACCCUGUCACUGAAGUAACUACUGACCUUCUGCCGGUCAAGAGAGGCGAUCUAGGACACCUCGUCAUCCCGAUCUCCAUCGGCAUGGUGGACUUCCCAGAAGCACUCUGUGACUUUGGCUCCAGCGUCAACAUUAUGCCCAAGGUACUCUAUAAAAAAUUCUUUACAUAUCAUUUAUUAGAGACAACCAUGUGUUUGCAGUUUGCAGAUCAGGCGUUAAGUUUCCCAAAGGGAAUAUUGAAGAACCUUUGUGUCCGAGUUGGUACCUUGUACGCCCUAGCAGACUUCGUGGUGAUAGAGACCGGUAAUGAUGAGAGGGCACCCAUCAUCUUAGGGAGGCCAUUCUUGAACACCUCAGGAGCUGUCAUCUACGCUAGUGCUGCCAAGAUCAGUUUCUAUAUCAAAGGGAGGAAGGAGAUGUUUUCCUUCAAGAACAAGACUGCACUAAUCCCAGAGCAAUCCCGACAUGAACCAAGGAAGAGGACCAACAGGAGGAACAGGAAAAAGCAAGUGUGGACCGAGUCAGUUAAGAUAAUCUCUGCAGUUCAUGGAGGUCAAGAUCAUCGACUCAAGUCACCGUUCCUGACCAAGAAAGACGACCCAGGUAUGCCAAGCAUCUAUUGCUCCAUCAAUGGAUACAACUUCUACAAGACAUUUUGCGACACCGGAUCGAGCGUCAACAUAAUGGCCCCAGUCACCUAUCGGCUCUUGUUCGGAAUCAUGCCCUUAAAACCAACAUACAUUCAGCUCCAGAUGGCAGAUCAGACAUUCCGAAAGGUUAAAGGUAUAGUAACUGAUGUCCCUAUUAAAAUAGACAAUCAUUUUGUCCAUACAGACUUUCAGGUUAUUGACAUGGGAGAAGAUGAGUACGAUCCACCCAUCAUCCUUGGGAGACCGUUCCUCAGCAUCGUUAAAGAAAUCAUCUACGUUGGAACCUGUCACACCCUAAAAUUUCCUACAUUGGAAUGUGAAAACACUAAAACAAAGCCAAAGAUUUUAUUAUUUGAUAAAAUGUUCCAACUUUAGUUAUGUUGUCAACAUUUUAGAUAGUAGAAAAAUGUGAGUUUUUAAAUUUUUUCCAAUACAACUUAGUGGUUUGUUGCAUUCAUGGCUUUGCAUUGUGUUUAUGUGUGGAAAAUAAAUUUAAAUGUUUUCAAAUAUGCCUAGGGUUGAUCCCAACUUCAUCUCCCCAAAAUACCAAAAGUUUUUUACCGACAUCCUACAAAAUACUAGCCUAACCCAUCCUCUCAUUCUCUCCUUUCUUUUCUUUCUCAAGCUCUCAAUCAAUUUGAUGACAAUAAAUUCUUCAUGCCAAUCUUUUGACCUCUCUCAUCUAUUCACAUAAACAGUUCUCAAGUUGAGUUGAAGCCAUGUUUUCAGCCUAUCAUGACAACCCGAACUUCUCUCUUUUUGCUAAUGGAUCAGUGAUCAGUUCACACAUCAAAAUUUUCCCUAAAUCAUGGGCCGAGCACAAUCUAGUCUCUCCACCUCUCUUUCACACGGAAAUGCUGCAGCCCCUCCUCCCUCCCUUCAUGCAAAAAAUACAUCCACACAUAAUGCUCAUGCCUAUAGUUUCCUAGGCUCAUCUUCCAUUAACCAUCCAUCCUUAAUCUCUCUUAUAUUUUGUGCAAUUACUCAAUUGAAGAGCAUGACCUGCUAGGACUACCUAUUCAUUCUUUGAUUGCUCCAACAAUUAUUCUUCUUGUAUUUUACUAGACAAACACACCUAUGACAAGAGUGCUCAUCUACUCUAUUAAUUUCUCUCUUGCUAUUCAAUUGCAUGCAUGCAGUAAACCAACCAGCAUCUCCUCUUUUUCUAUUUCAUGUGGAGAUGUGAUUCUUUUCCUAUCAUGCAAAACCACCAACCAUUAUUUUUUCACAAAGCAUCAAUAAUCAUAAUUCCACUCUCUAAAUUCCCUUCUUAAUUCUUCAUUGAAAUGCAUUGCAAAGAGUAGCUCCUCCCAUGGCUGGUGGCUACAUCCUCCUGCUCACACGCCACUACUUUCACAUGCAAAACCAUCAUCCCCAAAUGUUUAUUAUUCCAUCUUAAUUCUCUACAUAAAUCACAGGAGUAAGGAGCAGACUUCAUCCUUCUCACUCUUCUAUUUUUUUUUGCAUGGAUCCAUGCAGAAACAGCAGCCCUCUCUUCUAUGCCGUGUCCUCCCUCUUUCCUUUCUAUUUAAUGUCGGCCUUCCUCUUUCUUCACAUGCAACAAAAUGCUGCAUUAGUUCUCUCCUUUAAUCCCUUACCCCUCUCUCAAAUACAAAGCACCAGGUCACCUUUUCUCCCACUAUUGAUCACACGCACUCCCCCUUCUGUGCAUGCACAUAACCAGAACAGCCCAUCUCAUCUCUUCCUUUUCUUCCAAUGUAGAAAUUGCAACAAAUGCUUCACCUUCAAUUCCCUUUACAAGCCCCUCCUUACUCUCCCUAACACUCUCUAAUUGCUUUAGUAAGUGGCUCAUGAAAACAGCCAUGUAUUUUAUCCUCUCCCUGCAGAACCUAUGCGCACCCUCCUCUCAUCUCCUCCCGCUUAACAACCUUGCAUGUACCUCUACCUUUAUUUCUCACUUGACAACACUCAAUUACUCCAUCAAUUUAUCUUCUCCCAAUUGCAUGGAAACAUGCAAAGACAGGACAUUACAUCCUUCUCCUAACACGCACAAAGUAGCAGCUCACCUCCCAUCAAUUCCUAUUAAUAUCACCCAUUUUAUUCCCUUUUAAUUCCCUUCAAUGGCAUGGGUACAUUCAGCAAACACCUGCCAUAAAUAUUCCUCAUCUUUUCCUCUCCCCUUCACGCAAGGAUCAGAAGAAGCCUUCUCAUCUCCUCAUUUUCUCCACCAGCUGGGCGCCUCCCUCUCUUCUCUUCUCUCCCUCACACCACCACUAGAGAAACAGCCCCCUCCAUCCUCCUCUCCCUUCCCCAUGGCUGCAGCUCUAAGUCUCUCUCCAAUCUCUCCACAAAAAUGGAACCCCACGCAGCAGAGAUUCUGAUUUGCCACUGCAUGUUUCAUCUCAUCGCUGGCAUCCUUCACCAUGCUAUGGUAAGAUGAAUUUUCUUCUAUGUUCUUCAUGACGAACCUAAUGAAAUCUCCAGCGCCUCCUCUCUGUUUUGAAGAUGCCCAGUCUUUCGACAGUACAUGGAGGUCAUCCUAGAGGGCCUUGCUGUCUCCCCGAACCCACAACAGUAGCAGCACCUUGUUCAUCGUCAUUGCCACCAUUCAUGUGCAGCGUGUGGUGAGGUUGUUCCUUGCUUUUCCCUCUCUGAUCUUGCUGAUCAUGCCCCUCUCAUAUGUCCAAUUGAUCUCCCGAGUGGCAGCGAUCUUCUCCGAAGAGACAGUGGUGCUGUUCCGCUGAUCAGUGUCAUUGUCAACACCGUCAUCGAUGUUGUUUGCCGUUAACUUCAUCCCCAUUUGCUGACAACUCAUGGUGAGAACACCCCAACAUCUUCCCAAUUUUGUUCUCAUAUUUCUCGCUGCAUAUCUUGUACCAUAGAUGAUGUAUGGUUGAUCUACGUCGAAGUUUCUCUGUGAUAUGUGUUGCUGUCCUCGCGAUCAGCUUUGCUUCUGUUGACGAAAUCGGUGUUUCUCGCCGUUUCAUGACUCUAUUCAUCCAUCCCUUUGGUGAAAUUGUAGCUAACAUCCUUGAACACACCUCUGUAAAUUGGUUUUGCCAUAGGAGAAGAGAAACCAGUGAUAUCGUCAUCUCUGUGCCCGCUGUUCCUGCUGUCUUGACAGCUUGCAGCUCUGAAUGGCAUUAGCAUUUCUCGCUAAUCUGCUAUCCAAAUGACCAAGCCUUUAAAUCUACAUGUUCAUGAUAUCUAUGCACAUGAUCCCACCUGUUUGUUUGGCUGUGCAAUCCAUGAUGGCCAAGAUAUCGAGGUCGAGAUGUCUGCUACCCCUGCUGUCCAAGAAGCUGUCAUCCUGUUUUUGGAAAUGAUGUUCCCGUUGUUUUAACAAUCCAUUGCUCAUUUCCUUCAACACACAUGUGUAUCACAUACUUGCACAUAGUUAUGCAAAGUUGGUCACCCAUCCGAUCAGCAGAGAUGGCGUUUUUGGUCAGUUUUCACACUUGCUGUCCCUGCUAUCCUAGCAGCCACAUAGCACUAAAUUGUUUUGGCAUUCCCUAGAAAAUCAUGAUGAAAAUCAUCAAACCCUUUCACCAUAGUCUAAAUAUCAUCCUCACAAAUGUCUCUUCAAAGUUUCAUGGCCAUAAGAUCCAAGAUCAAAGAGAUAUCAUCCUUCUUAUUCUCACUGUCCCUGCUGCCGUGAAGCAGAGUUCCUGUCUGUUGGCAUGCGCAUUCCCGUUUAUUCAUGGCUCAAAGUAACUUGUCCUUUUGCCAACACCUACUCCAUACAGUGCUUAACAUAACCGCAACAUAGAUCACCAUUCGGUGCUGCUAUUUCCAUGCCUUUUCUGAUCAUAAUCCCCGCUGGCCGCCUAUGUACAUGUCCUCGAUGCAUCGGUGUUUCACCACGUCCCUCGCUAUACUGCUAUAUGAAUCACUGAGCCCAAUUACUUGAUGGUGUGUAUUCAGUUGCACAUAUUCUCAGUUAGUGUACUUACUGUACCUUUGAUGCAAACCCACAUUUUGGUGGAAAUAUUUCAGAAGCACUCCCUAUUGAUCUAGCAUCCACCGAUUUGCACAGUUUUGUCAUGAUGUGUUUUCAAUUAAUCACCGAACAUAUCUGAAAGCACUCUCUCGUCCAUGUUAGAACAAUCACUCCCUCUUAUGCAAGCUGAUGCUUGUACAAUCUUAUAUUAACAUCACUAUGUUCUAUCCAACAUAUUUUACACAACUCCAUAGUCAUCAAUAAUUCAUCUAUAAAUCCUUGUGCUCCAUAAAUCUUUCCAAGCUAGCACUCAUCGAUCAUGUUAAUCCCAUUCUGGUCAUUUACUAAACCAUCUAGCUUCUACCUUUGAUCUUUCACAUCUUUUAAACCAUAGCUUUGUUUAGUUGUUUAUGCGCUCAAACACACAUAGUUGCAAGCCUUGAGCGUUUAAAACCUUUAAAUCUUGUUUGUAAUGCUUGGUGUAUUGUUUUUAGGUUCUCUUGUGAUGCUUGUACCAAAUAUUUGCUGACGUUAGAAGUGGAGCUACACGAGGAGCAUAUCUUUGUGAAGUGGAACAAUCAGCAAGUGUUUUGGAAGGCAAGUGUAACAUGAGUUCCCUUGUUACCUAAUAACUAUUUAAUCACCUCUUCAUGUGCAUGUUUCUAAUAUGAUAAACCCCUAAGGACUUUACCGAGAACCUUUGUUAUCCUGAAUCCCUUGUUACCUUGGGUUAUGCAUAUGGGUAGUUUUGCUUACUCUGCAAUCACUAAACAAUAUAAUGUUAAUCUUGACUAAUAGAUUAUGUAAUCAAUGAUAAAAUGAUGUUUUUUAUCAACAUGGAUAGAAGGGGGCUAGAGCAUUGGGCCUUUUUGGGUGCUCUAGUCUAUCCUCCGUAAGGACUGAAUCUUAAAGCGGCCACCCAGGAUUUACUGUAUAGCCAUGAGAGCUACAUGGCUCUGGCUUUGGCUCAGUAAACUGAACUUCUCUAACUUGUUAGUGGUUACCGAAAGGCGCAAGAGGGGGUGCCUCGUGGUGUAUAGUUGUUUUCCUACCUUGGUGUGUACAGUGCCGCGACCACAUGUGCCUCUUAGAGGAGGACACCUAUGCACACUUGCCACUGAAACCUAGCGGCUACUAACUUGUUAGGGGGACUUUCGAAAGGCUUCAGGGUGAACCCUGCCGACUUACCUUGGAAGUGGGUCAAGAGGCUGAUCACCUCAGGCAUAUGUGUAACACGACUCAUGGUGAAAGUGUACAAGCUCUGCAGAGUGUUUUAAAACUGAUAUAUCAGCUGUGCUCACGGACACGAGCGGCCUGGAUCCUUUUCGAGAUAGAUGGUUCUAUGGAUGGUUUGGGUGAUCAUUAAAAUUGAUGAUAAUUAUUAUACUUCUCAUAUUGGGAGCUUAAGCAUAACCUAGCAACAUAGGUUUAAUAAUAAAAUAUUACCAACUAAAAAUGCUUAUCACAGUCAAACCAAGUCAAGCCUUUUGAGCUUUGCAUCCCCUCAUGUUAUACUUGUUGAGUAUGGUGCGCUCACACUUGCUUUACAUUCAACAAUCAAAAAUCCGCAUGGGUACCAGAUGGUGAUACAAAGGUGGAGUUCCCUGAGAUGUUCCAGGAGUACUAGGCAAGUGUACCCCGAGUCAACCAUCCCUGUGGAAAAAGGAGACCCAAAGUGAAGAUUAGGAUUAGUUUACGCUAUGCUUUGUAAUAGAUGUUGUUGACGGUCCUUAAUGCUCACAUUUAACCGUCAACUAAUCAUGGAAAAGGACCUAUAUGCAACCAACAUCCAGACUUAGGGUUUUAUGUGACAUAAUUCUACGAGUUUUGGUGUUUGUCUAUUUCUGCAGGGGGGUUAUCAGGAAAUAUGGAGGAAAGGCCCACACGUCGGGUUUACAUAGAGAUAUUAACGUGCCGUGCAAUUUUCUAUCAUCUAGAAGUCUCCAGAAGCCACGGGAACGAACGGGAAGCCGAGAGGGCUCAGGGACAGGGCGCCCGCUACUCCUUAGGGCGCCCGCCCACCUUUUUCCACCAAUCACGAUCAACUUUGCAGAUCGUGCUCCACCGACCUAAGGGAUCAAGGAAAACCGUGCGAUUGAUGUCGGUUUGAUCCGAUGGCCCAGAUUCAUUUGAAAAGACUAUAUAAGCAAGGCCCCCUGGCCCCUAGAGAUCAUACCUCUUCUACAGAAUCAAAGCUAGGGUUUCAAUUCUUCAUCCAAGUAGAGAGGAUCCUUCUAGUUCAUCUAGUUUUAGUUCCUCUAGUUCUAGUUCUAGUUAGUUCUAGUUGUAAUCUAGAAAAUAGGGAGAGAGAAGAGGAGAGCGGAGGAGGAGGAGCCGGAUCUGUCGGAUCUUCCUCAACAUUGUACUUUUGCAGCAACUAGUUCGUUCUUCAUCGUUCUCCAAGUUCUUCAAUUCACAAUUCCUGAGUUGUUUAAUUACUUUUAUUCACAUUCAAGUUAUUUAUUGGAUUCCUGCUUGCAUCAAGUGCUCUAGUCUUUAUAACACUAGAGUAGUAAUUAAUAGAUUAUACGUGGUGUUUAGUCUUGCAAUUACCUGGAAUUGCACCCAAUCCUGCGGAUUGUUGUGGUAGCCCUAGGGUAGUGACAGCCCUAACGGUCGACGUAUUCCACCUCGUUCGGAACGGUGUUUGUAGGACCGUAGUCAGAGCUUCCUAGCCCCCUUCUCAUCUCUUUCUGUGGUUAGUGUUCUGAUGUCCCGAAAUAGAUAAUCUUGAAGUAAUUCUUGAUUCUUAGAUCAACUAAGAGAUCUCUCAGGAAACUUCCUCUCUUCCCACCAAAAAUAAUUAUAUAGUUAUCCUUGGGCGAUCUUGAAUCUUAAUUAGUACACUCACGUUCCUUGUGGAAAAUCGAUACUCGGGAAUACUCCCGGGUGAAAGCUACAUCGGUGUCCGUGUGCUUGCAGAUUUUUUCUGUUUGCGUUUAAAAUACCCAACAAGCUUUCUGGCGCCGUUGCCGAGGAACGGUAGCUGUGCUAGUUUCGAACCAAGUCGUCUGUGUAUCCUUUUUCUUUUCCUUUUUUACCACACUCACCUUACCAUUUUCACCACACCACAUGGAUUUCACUCCAAGCAUUAAUGAGCAUGAAAUUUAUUUUAUAGCCACUUCGUUUACUCCAAGCUCAUAUGCAACAUCUUCCCAAUCUUUUGGUCUCUCCAACAUCACCACAUUCGAGAUCUCCAACGCCCUCUUCCUUUUUAUUUAUAAAAACUUUAAAAAGGCGGUUGUCGAUGCAUAUGUCUAUAUUAAAUAUUGUAGAUCUCGUUGAGUUGAUCUUGAUAUAGGUCAGCGUUGGAGGGGAAACCACUUCGCUGACAUAAAUUGAUGGUUACCCAAGGACAAGCUUAGUGUCCUAAAAUAAGCACUGAUCAGAUCGUAACAUGAGCUUUUAAUUAUUUGCAACAUUACCUUGUGUUUUGAGCAUAUAAGGAUAAUUGUAAAAAAUUCCUUUGGGUAUUCUUGUCACUAACAUUUCCAGGAUUGGAGCAAGAAGAUCGGAUGAAUGACAAGCACAAGGUAUGUCCAACCAAUCAUCAUACAACAUUGAAUUAAAUUCAUCCAAACUUGAAUUUUGCAAAAUUCAAUCUUGGAGGAGUACUUUACAUUAAAAACAUCCUUUGCCAUGUUGUUAUGUUGGUUGUCCCUACCUUUGAGACAUGCUCAAUUUGUUAAAUACUAAUCACACUACUUCAUCUCCACUUGAGUAGAUCUCUAUAAAUGCUCUCAUGCUACCUUUAUUUGCUUUAGUAUAUGUCUAGGUUUGGAGUAGUUUCAUUUAUCUCUUAAUUAAGCAUGGUGCUUAGUUUAGGAAUGAUGAUCUUAUUUCCAAGGGAUUUUAAAUUAAGCAUGAUGCUUAGGUUAAAAUGCCCUCCUAAAUCAAAUUAGACAUGGUGUCUAGAUUGAAUUUUGAGCUGAUAGUUUGCUAUAGUAGAUAUUGGAUAUUUUGUUGGACUAACCCCCGUAGGAAAACUUUCAAUAUCGACCUGGGAAGUCCUGAGAUAAACUCAUAUUGGAGACAAAGAGAGAGACGCAUGAAGGUUAACAAUUUACACAAGGAAGGCAUAGCUCACAAGAGAUGAUCCAUGGAGGAUGCCACAAACACUAUGCACAACCGCUAAGAAAGGAAAGCUUCCACAAGGUGAUACUGUACCAUCACUCUUCAAGUAAGGUAACAUCUUAAGGUACUUGACCAUCACUUCUAUAAGCUUCUCCUUGGUUCUAACGUUCACAUGAAUAAAAGAGACAAACAUGUAUGAUUUACAACUCUAGAUUAACCAACCCAAUCGAUUCAAUAUGUUUAGUCCAUCCACCUUUGUGAUCCCAUACUCCUAAUAUGAGCUAAAAUGUUGCACACUCAAUCUUUGGAAGAUAUAUAUAAAAAAUAAUAAGUAUAGAUAGAUUAUCUAUCCAUUAGGUUGAGCGUUCUGAUCUGACAAAUACUUUAAAUGCUACACUCAUGAACUUAUUAUCCAUCAACUUUCUCUUGCUCACUAUGCUUAAGGUUAGAGAAGAACAAAUACACUUUUGGUUCUGUUGGUGUUUUCCACCAACAGGGCCCAUGCACUUGAUCUCUGCCUUGUCUCUAUGAGCAGGUACACUUCGAGCAAAACAUGGAAGAGUUUUACAACUCCUAGACUCCACCAAAUGAAGAACCUAGAUCUACGAGCACAAACACACUGGAGAUACUCAACACUUAGGCAAUCACUGCCCUGAGAUGCUUGAGGAAGUAACUACUGGAGUAACCCCGUCACUGAAGUUACUACUGAACUUCUGCUGGUCAAGAGAGGCGAUCCAGGACGCCCCGUCAUCCCGAUCUCCAUCGGCAUGGUGGACUUCCCAGAAGCACUCUGCGACUUUGGCUCCAGCGUCAACAUUAUGCCCAGGGUACUCUAUGAAAAAUUCUUUACAUAUCCUUUAUUAGAAACAACCAUGUGUUUGCAGUUUGCAGAUCAGGCGUUAAGUUUCCCAAAGGGAAUAUUGAAGAACCUCUGCGUCCGAGUUGGUACCUUGUGCGCCCCAGCAGACUUCGUGGUGAUAGAGACCGGUAAUGAUGAGAGGGCACCCAUCAUCUUAGGGAGGCCAUUCUUAAACACCUCGGUAGCUGUCAUCUACGCUAGUGCUACCAAGAUCAGUUUCUACAUCAAAGGGAGGAAGGAGACAUUUUCCUUCAAGAACAAGACUACACAAGUCUUAGAGCAACCCCGACAUGAACCAAGGAAGAGGACCAACAGGAGGAACAGGAACAAGCAAAUGUGGACCAAGUCAGCUAAGAUGAUCACUUUAGUUCAAGGAGGUCAAGACCGUCGACUUAAGUCACCGUUCCUGACCAAAAAGGAAGACCCAGCUCCAAAUGGCAGAUCAGACAUUCCGAAAGGUUGAAGGUUAUUGAUAUGAGAGAAUACGAGUACGAUCCACCCAUCAUCUCUGGGAGACCGUUCCUCAGCACCGUUAAAGCAAUCAUCUACAUUGGAACCGGAGAUGUCCACAUGCAUUUCCCCUCUGACAAGGUACGCCGCUAUUUUACUGACCCUAACUAUAUAGUUGAAGACUCUAAGCAGGUCAGGACAAGAAGAAGACGACGCAACCGCAACCAGAGGAGGCAAAUCAUCAAGGACGGAUGGGCAGACUACGAAGGAGAAGUAGUAAGGUCUGAAGACAUACAGCUUGAACAGAACUGUCCUGAGAAGACCGUAGCACUGAGUCAGGUGUGGAGAGAGAAGAUAGUUAUACACGAACAGGAGGCGCCGCUGGAACCACCGAAUACGCCAUCCAGUGAAUCCCAGGAUGAGCGAAUCCCAGGAUGACUGAGGAAACGGAGAGUCCUGUUUGGAGGACUUAAAAACACUGAACCCCUUGCCAAGAGGUAAACUUAGUAGUUAUCUUUUUCCUUCUAAUUAUUUAAAAUAGUUUGCUUAGUUAACCAGGUUCAUAUCAUCUUGAAAAGAAAAUAAAAAUGUUAAAAAUAGUAAGCCCCAUGUGAGUAUGCUCAUGGCAUAAAACCCAUAAGUACAUUCACUGUGGUGGCGUAAAAAUGAAAUAAAUAUAUUCAUGUCCUAUAAAAAUAAAAUUAUAAAAAUAAAUUUAUGAUCCUACUAAAGAGAGUAACAUUUAUUGAGGAGGCUCAACAUGAUAAAGGCUAGAUAUUUAUGCUAACACUUAAUCAGUUCCACAAAGCUUUGUUGUCUAUUUGAGCUCCACAGAAUUCAAGGAUCAAAGAAGACUAGCUGACGGAGGACAUCCUAAUCGCUGUCAGGGUGCUGCUGAUAUUCAAAUACAGCUCCACCACCUGCUAGCUACAUCAGAAGAAAUUGCGUCAAAAUCCAGCUUGGGGGAGAGCACCCCCAUUUAUCCAGCUAAGUGUUCUACUCACGUUUAUACUUUACUCAAAUAAUAAAAAGAUGCAUGAUCAUAAAAACCCAAAUAAAGAUUUUGUGCUUAUAUAUAUAUAUAUAUCUUUGCUUAGUUUGCUAAAUAAAUAAAUAAAUAAAGUUUGUUAUGAACCCUCAUGAUAAGCUCUCACAUGGAAAUGAUGAAUAGUUGCUCUGUCAUGACUAGUUGUCAAAAUUGAAAUCUAUCUCAAGUUUAGACACAACUGUUAUAAUUUAAAGCUUGCUCUAAACCUAAAUUUGUGGGAAGAGAACUUUAUCUGAAGUCUAAGUUGUUAACGGAUAUGAUAUGGGUAGGUUGAGCUGCUGUUUAUCUGUUCCUAGAGAUAUUAGAAAACUGGAGAAUUUUAUCUUUGAAAAUCUUUAAAAUAACACAUGAUGAGUUCCUGUACGAAAAGAGUUUAAAUUCCUACCACAGCCAUAUAUACAUGCUUGCUAGACUUUGAGCCAAACAUUUACUUUUUACUGCUUAUGAGCAUUGAGUGUGGUCAAGCUGUGUGGACCCUUAGGAGUUUGUCAUGUGGUUAAAUCAAUAUUCACUUGCACGUUCACUCAUACAUGCUGCUUCUACUCCGGAAGUACGCAUCCACAUAUAUCCACCCAUUUUCAUCUCCAGAACCACCCAAAAAUAUUCUACUCCUAAUUCGGGAGAGAAUAGCCAAAAACAUUUUUGUUUUCCCCUAUGAAAUAAAUGCUCAAGUUAUCUUGGUUACUACUACUUGCAACAUUAUUUCAAGAGAUGAGUGCUCUAAAAAAAGAGAGAAAAAAAGAUACGAGGAAAUAAAAAGGGGCAAUUGUCCGGAACCUCGAAAGAAAAGAAAAAGUGAGACGAGAGGUAAAAAUGGACAAGUGUCCGACAGUAGAAUUAGGGGUACAAGAUACCCACCUGAGAGAAAAGAAAAAGAAAAUAUAGAGUAUCUCAUUCUCCUCAAAAAGUUUUAGAAGAGCAAGAAAUGUAUGUAUCCCCUCAAAAGAGCACAAGUAGAAUUAGACUUUCACCAUUGUUCUCACCAUCAUCACCAUACACCAUUCAUUCGCCACACAUGCACAUCUUGAUUUGACUUAUUGACUUAUUCUUCUAGAUCCAUGGUUUGACUAUGCAAUAAAUGUCUUGUAAGUAUGUAUUAGCUGUCUCCCACCUAGGAGCUCCAGAUAUCAAAACCUUAUUAGAGUAGGGUGAGAGAGAAGGCAAUGUCACUAUGCCUUAUAUUACAAAUACCACCUAUUUUGAGAGAAGGCAUAUACCAUUACUGCCUUAGUAAGGAUCCAGAAAUACCACAAAAGAGAGACUAGAGAGUCAUACAAGGAAUCUCUGAGUUUUAUUUGAAAAUCUACAAAAACUCUAGAGCUAUAGUUAAUCGAAGAACAAGAGACAUGGUGCUUGACUGGACCGUUCUAUAUUUUAUCUGCUCAAGACAUAAGUGAUGGUUGCAAGCCCCAUGGUGGAAGGUAAAAUGAGUAAGUUUAAAUCUUAACAGUUUACCCUAACCCAGAGAUGAGAUAUUGUUUGAACGCAUGUGUAUCUUUAAGGCACGAAACCACUGCAGAAACUCUUGAGUCCAUCUUUGCUCAGGGAUGAGCAAAGGUUAAGCUUGGGGGAGCUUGUUGACGGUCCUUAAUGCUCACAUUUAACCGUCAACUAAUCAUGGAAAAUGACCUAUAUGCAACCAACAUCCAGACUUAGGGUUUUAUCUGAUAGAUUUCCACGAGUUUUGGUGUUUGUCUAUUUCUACAGGGGGUUAUCAGAAAAUACAGAGGAAAGGCCCACACGUUGGGUUUACAUAGAGAUAUUAACGUGCCGCGCAAUUUUCUAUCAUCUAGAAGACUCCAGAAGCCACGGAAACGAACGGGAAGCCGAGAGGGCUUAUGGACAGGUCGCCCGCCCUACUCCUUAGGGUACCCGCCCACCUUUUUCCACCAACCACGAUCAACUUUGCGGAUCGUGCUUCCCCGACCUAAGGGAUCAAGGAAAACCGUGCGAUUGAUGUCGGUUUGAUCCGACGGCCCAGAUUCGUCUGAAAAGACUAUAUAAGCAAGGCCCCUUGGCCCCUGGAGAUCAUACCUCUUCUACAGAAUCAAAGCUACGGUUUCAAUUCUUCAUCCAAGUAGAGAGGAUCCUUCUAGUUCAUCUAGUUCUAGUUCCUCUAGUUCUAGUUCUAGUUAGUUCUAGUUGUAAUCUAGAAAAUAGGGAGAGAAAAGAGGAGAGCGGAGGAGGAGGAGCCGGACCUGUCAGAUCUUCCUCAACAUUGUACUUUUGCAGCAACUGGUUCGUUCUUCAUCGUUCUCCAAGUUCUUCAAUUCAUAAUUCCUGAGUUCUUUAAUUACUUUUAUUUACAUUCAAGAUAUUUAUUGGAUUCCCGCUUGCAUCAAGUGCUCUAGUCUUUAUAACGCUAGAGUAGUAAUUAAUAGAUUAGACGUGGUGUUUAGUCUUGCAAUUACCUGGAAUUGCACCCAAUCCUGCGGAUUGUUGUGGUAACCCUAGGGUAGUGAUAGCCCUAACGGUCGACGUAUUCCACCUCGUUCGGAUCAGUGUUUGUAGGACCGUAGUCAGAGCUUCCUAGCCCCCUUCUCAUCUCUUUCUGUGGUUAGUGUUCUGAUCCCAAAAUAAAUAAUCUUUCAAGUAAUUCUUGAUUCUUAGAUCAACUAGAGAACUCUCAGGAAACUUUCUCUCUUCCCACCAAAAAUAAUUAUAUAGUUAUCCUUGGGCGAUCUUGAAUCUUAAUUAGAACACUCACGUUCCCUGUGGAAAAUCGAUACUCUGGAAUACUCCCGGGUGAAAGCUAUAUCGGUAUCCGUGCGCUUCCGGAUUUUUCUGUUUGCGUUUAAAAUACCCAACACUCUCCUGAGGGAACCCCGAUCACCUGGAACCGCUUCACCACCGCUUUCUGGGGAAAUUAUAUUCCUCCGGGUUUGGUGGAGAUUAAGAUUGGAGAGUUCAUGAAGCUGUCUCAGGGGACCAAGACUGUGAAAGAAUAUUUGCAUGCUUUCAACGUCCUUGCUCGUUACGCUCCAGAGUUUGUGAACACUGAUGCCAAGAAGAUUACUAGCUUCUAGAGGGGCUUGAGCCCGAAGAUGCUGAAGACUAUGGGCACAGGAACCCGAGCUACUUUCAAUGCCUACAUCAGUGACUGUCUGACCCAAGAGAACAAUAACAACAACUACAGUGCAUCCAAGUCACGCAAGAGGGCUUUUGAAGCCGGUUCUUCUCAAUCUAGGGCACCAGUGGCAGGACGUCAGUAGUAUCGUCCUCCUGCCCCGGAUGCUUGGUUCCGACCACCAUAUAGAAGGAACACAUGACAUCUAACUCAGCAGAAGCCGUACAAGGUAGUAGUGGCUCUAGCAAAGCCAAGGGCCAAUAAGGCUGCAGCACCUGCUGCCAACACCACGACCAAGGGUCCGUGCAACGACUACCAUAAGAUGGGGCACUUUGGCAAGGAAUGUCCUUACCCCAAGAAGCAGCAUACGACCUAUCCACCCCGUGUGCACCGCACCUCAAUCGAGGAGAUUCCGGAAGGAGAACCGGUAACAGCUGGCAUGUUCCCUGUGAACCAACAUCUUGCAGUUGUUUUGUUUGAUUCUAGAUCAUCGCAUUCAUUCAUGAGCCAAGCAUUUGCACAAAAACGUGAUCAAUCGGUUACCGAGUUGGGUUGUGGUUAUCGCAUUAGUUUAGCUGGGGCUGAUGUGUUCACCAAUUCAGCAGUGAUGGGAGCAACCUUGGAUAUCAGGGGCCAAAGGUUUCGUGUAAACCUUGUGGUCAUGCUAGGGUUAGUUCUGGAUGUUAUUAGUGGCAUGAUUAAGAUGACAGAUUGAGGUGCAAUCAUAGAUGCAGGUCAAAUGACUCUCUCCCUUAAGGAUCCACAAGGUGAGGGCACAUUUCAGGUUAGAUUACCUUGGUGGUUUGACUUUGCCAAUCUUUCUUGUGCUAUACAAGUGGUUCCAUUAGAAUAUAUCCUAGUCAUCUGUGUGAGUUUCCAGAUGUUUUUCUGGAAGAGUUACCUGGACUUCCCCUGGAUAGAGAAGUGGAGUUUACCAUAGAGUUGAUACCAGGUACAACACCGAUCUCUAGGAGAUUGUAUCGGAUGCCACCAAAUGAGCUAGUUGAAUUGGAGACCCGACUGAAGGAACUACUAGACAAGGGUUUCAUCCGGCCCAGUUCGUCCGAAUGGGGUUGUCCGGCACUGUUUGUGAAGAAGAAGGAUCAAUCUUUGCGCAUGUGCGUGGACUAUCAUCUGCUCAAUGCUGUGACAAUCAAGAACAAGUAUCCUUUACCACGAAUUGACAUCCUGUUUGAUCAGUUGUCUAAAGCAAAAGUGUUCUCCAAGAUAGAUCUGAGGUUAGGGUAUCACCAAAUCAAGAUUCGACCACAAGACAUACCAAAGACUGCCUUUUCUACCGGAUACGGGUUGUAUGAGUAUCUUGUCAUGUCCAUUGGGUUGACGAAUGCUCUUGCAUACUUUAUGUAUCUGAUGAAUUCAGUCUUCAUGCCAGAGUUAGACAAGUUUGUCGUGGUGUUCAUUGAUGACAUUCUAGUCUAUCCUGAGAAUGAGCAAGACCAUGCUGAGUAUCUGAGGGUUGUACUGACUCGACUGCAGGAACAUCAGUUAUAUGCAAAGUUUAGCACGUGUGAGUUUUGGCUUAAGAAGGUUCCAUUCCUAGCACACAUUCUAUCGGAAGAAGGGUUUGCCGUAGAUCCAGCAAAAGUACAAGAGGUCAUGGACUGGAAGGCCCCAACUUCUGUCUUGGAAGUUCGAAGCUUUCUUUGGUUAGCCGGGUAUUAUCGUCGCUUUAUCCCCGACUUCUCCAAGAUUGCUAAACCAAUGACCAGCUGGUUGUAGAAGGAUCAUAAGUUCGCUUGGACAGAAGAGUGUGAAGUAGGCUUCCGCACCUUGCGAAAGCUACUGACCGCUGCUCCUGUUUUGGCACAACCGAACAUCGAGAAGUCUUUUGAUGUGUCUUGUGACACGUCAAGGAGUGUUUUAGGAUGUGUACUUAUGCAAGAAGGCAGAGUUAUAACCUAUGCAUCCCGACAGCUGAGAAAACAUGAAGUCAACUAUCUGACACAUGAUCCUCAGCUUGCAGCUAUUGUGCAUGCUCUGAAGAUUUGGAGGCAUUAUUUGCUUGGAAUGAAAUAAGUGUCAUAUCUACACGGAUCAUAAGAGCCUUAAGUACAUUUUUCACUCAAUAUUAGUUGAAUAUGAGGUAACGAAGAUGGUUGGAGUUAAUCAAGGACUAUGAUCUCGAAGUCCACUACCACCCAGGCAAGGCAAACGUCAUAGCAAAUGCUUUAAGUCGUAAACCACACUGUUAGGUGGUCUAGCCUUUGUUCGAGGAUGGGUUCAACCUGAUGCAUCCUGAGGUUCUAUGUCACAUACAGCUCAGUUGUUCACUCGAGAGUCAAGUUAUAGAGGGCCAGAAAACAUAUAAGGGUUUUUCUCAUAUCAAGGAAAAGAUCAAGAAUGACCCCAAAACCUAGUUUCGAGUGGAUGAAAGAGGGGUACUUUGGUUUCAACAACGGUUAGUGGUUCCUAAGAAUCGAGAGCUAAAGAAUCGAAUCAUGGAUGAAGUACAUCUUUUGAAGCUUUCCAUCCACCCUGGAAGUAGUAAAAUGUACCAAGAUCCGAAAUCCCAUUUUUGGUGGACCAAGAUGAAGAAGGAGAUAGCAGCCUAUGUGGCCCGAUGUGACACGUGUUGUAGAGUUAAAGCUAUACAUAUGAAACCAGCAGGAUUGUUGCAACUGCCAUCAGUUCUAGAUUGGAAGUGGGAAGAGAUUAGUAUGGAUUUCAUCACAGGAAUGCCGACUACAAAGAAAGGAAAUGACUUGAUUUGGGUUAUUGUGGAUCGGUUGACCAAAUCAGCUCAUUUCUUCCCGGUUAAGACCUGAUAUAGACCACCCGAGUAUGCUGACUUAUAUAUCGCUGAGAUUGUCAAGCUACAUGGUAUUCCCAAGACUAUCAUAUCGGAUAGAGGUCCGCAGUUUGCCGCUAAUUUUUUGGAACAAAUGCACAAGAGUUUGGGCACUAGUCUAAUGAGAAGUAUAACAUAUCACCCUCAAACCUCAGGCCAGACAGAGAGAAUUAAUUAGGUACUUGAAGAUAUGUUGAGAGCUUGUGUGUUAUCUUCAAAGGGGUAUUGGGAGGCAUGGUUACUUUUGGCUGAAUUCUUUUACAACAAUAUCUACCAAGAGAGUAUCAAGAUGGCUCUUUUUGAAGCUCUGUAUGGUCAGAAGUGUAGAACUCCAUUAAACUAGGUCGAACCUGGUGAGAGGAGAUACUACAGCAUUGACUUCGUGAAUGAAGCUGAGAAAAAGGUACAGAUCAUACAACAACACAUGAAAGCUGCGCAAUCAUGUGAGAAAAGCUAUGCUGACAAGAGAAGAAGACCACUUGAGUUUGCCAUGGGUGACUAUGUUUACCUCAAGGUGACACCAACGAAGAAAGUUCAACGUUUCUGGAUCCGAAGUAAGCUUGCACCCAGAUAUGUGGGACCAUAUCAGAUAGUGGAGCGGAAAUGCCCUGUGCCCUACAAGGUACAGUUACCUGAAGAGUUAGGCUCUAUCUUUCCAAUUAUCCAUGUAUCCCAACUAAGGAAAUGUCUGAAGGUACUUGAGCAAAGGAUUGAACCUCGAGGGAUCAAGAUAAAAGCAGACUUAGAGUACAAGGAGCAACCAGUGGGUAUAGUAGAUACCAAGGAGCGAGUAACCAGGAACAGAGUGGUAAAAACCUACAAGGUUGUCUGGAGUCAUCGUGAUGAUAGAAAUGCCACCUAGGAAACAGAGGAUUACCUAAAAACAGUUUACCCAAAGUUUCAUAAGAAAUGGUUAGUAACUCAAAAAUCUCGGGACGAGAUUUCCUUAAAGUUUCAUAAGAAAUGGUUAGUAACUCAAAAAUCUCAGGACGAGAUUUCCUUAAGAGGGGAAGGGCUGUAACACCCUAGGUGUUAAGCAUGCACUUGGCCUCAUAAAUCAUUCAUAAGUAUUCUCACAAAGCAUGGGCAUGAACAUGGCAUCAUGUGAGCAUGAUAGCAUUUGAGUGUAAUUUUAUGUGCUUAAUUAAAAUAGAUUUAAUUAUGCUAAAUUAAUAUGCUUGCUUUGAAAAUACUUGUGAUGAUAAAAUUAGGUUGAAUUAUGUUUUAGGGGAAUUAAGAACAAUUUUUUGUAAUUUUUGGAGCUCUAGAGUUUGAGAAAUGGAUUUUAUUCAAAUUUCCCUAAAAUAAAUUUAUGGCAGAAGAAUCUCUUGGCAAAUCAUGGGACCGCUUUAUUAACCUUACUCUCACUGGCCCAAAGCUUUCUAUUCCACAAGAAGUUCUUCUAAUUCACUUUUUUGAGGGCCUUAGUAUGGAAAAUAAGCAAACCCUUCAUGCGGCCUCUGGAGGAUCUUUCCACCACCUGUCCGCUAGUGAAGCUUGGAAUUUGAUUGAUUUAAUGAGCGGAAAGUCUCCUAGCUUUUAUAUCCAUGAGAAAGAGAAAGAACCAGUUCCUAGACAAGAAGAAGAAGUUUCAAUAGCCAGAUCACAACCACUUCAAUUCCAAACUUUAGCUAUCGAUCCUAAACCAUCAAUACCCCAAAAUUCUCCAAGGGAGGAAGGAAUUCCGACCUUAAUUCUUUCAGAUACUGAUGGUUUAGACUUUUGGUUCCACAAGAAACCUUGAAGCAGGGAUAAUCUAAGUCCUUGCAAUAAUGGUUCUCUUAGAGAAUGCCCUGGUUCCUGCUAUGAAGAAGUCGAGGAUGACAUAUCAAGUGAAGGAGAGCUAAGCCAUAUAGAAAAUUCUAACACCUCCCCUUUCCUGAUCAAAAGUUCUAAAUGGCUAGAAUGUGUAGAAUGGAUGGACAAGGAACAAGCCUUAAUGGAUUCUGACUUUGGCUGAGUUUCAAAUGGUGAGUUCUUGACUCCCUUUGAAAAUGGGAUUCAUCCAACUAUAGAAGAGGACAUAAGUGAGACCAAUCCAGGAGAAACUCCGAACAUUCAGAUUGGAGACGUAGAUAACAUUAAUGAACAUGGAAUUUAUUUCAUAGCCACUUCAUGUACUCCAUGCUCAUAUGCAACAUCUUCCCAAUUUAUUGGUCUCCCCAACAUCACCACAUUUGAGAUCUCCAACCCCCUCUUCCUUUCUAUUUAUAAAAACUUUAAAAGGGCGGUUGUCUAUGCAUAUGUCUAUAAUAAAUAUUGCAGAUCUCGUUGAGUUGAUCUUGAUAUAGGUCAGCGUUGGAAGGGAAACCACUUCGCCGACAUAAAUCGAUGGUUUCCCAAGGACAACCUUAGUGUUCUAAAAUAAGCACUGAUCAGAUCGUAACAUGAGCUUUUAAUUAUUUGAAACCGUACCUUGUGUAUUGAGCAUAUAAGGAUAAUUGUAAAAAUAUUCCAUCGGGUAUUCUUGUCACUAAUCUUUCCAGGAUUGGAGCAAGAAGAUCGGACGAAUGACAUGCAAGUACAAGGUAUGUCCAACCAAUCAUUAUGCAAAACUAAAUUAAAUUCAUCCAAACUUGAAUUUUGCUAAAUUCAAGCUUGGGGGAGUACUUUACAUAAAAACAUCCUUUGUCAUGUUGCUAUGUUGGUUGUCCCUACCUUUGAGACAUGCUUAAUUUGUUAAAUACUAAUCACACUACUUCAUCUCCACUUGAGUAGAUCUCUAUAAAUGCCAUCACGCUACCUUUGUUUAUCCUAGUAGGUGUUAGUUUGGAAGUACUGCACAUACUUCUAUUGGCUUUUAAAUUAAGCAUGGUGCUUAGGUUAAACAACCUUCCUUAAUCUGAUUAGACAUGGAGUCUAGUUCGGUUAUUGAACUAAAAACUGCUUGUGUAGACAUUGGUAUAUUUUGUCGGACAAACCCCUGCAGAAAAAAACUUUCAAUAUCGAUUUGGGAAGUCCUGAGAUAAACUCACAUCGAAGAUGAAGAGAGAGACACAUGAAGUUUAACAAUUUGCACAAGAAGGACAUAGGUCAUUCAUCAUAGAAAGAUGAUCCAUGGAAGGAGAUAAAGUACAUAAACAAGAUACACAGCCACUAUGAAUGGGAAGCUUCCACAAGGUGAGAUGGUACCAUCACUCUUCAAUUAAGGUAAUAUCUUAAGGUAUGUGACUAUCACUUUUAUGAGCUUCUCCUUGGUUCUGGCAUUCACAUAAAUAAAGAGACAAACAUGUAUGAUUUAUAACUCCAAAUUAACCAACCCAACUAAUUAAGCAUGUUUAGUCCUUUAAUCUUUGUUCCUAGUACUACCUCCAUGAUCCCACACUCCUAAUCAUAUGAGCUAAAAUGUUACACAUUCAAUCUUUGAGAGAUAUAAAGAAAAAGACAUAUACAUAGAUAGUUUAUCUUUCCAUAAGGUUGAGCGAUCUGAUCUGACAAAUGUUAUAAGUGCUACACUCAUGAACUUAUCAUCCAUCAACUUUGUCUUGCUCACUAUGCUUAAGGUUAGAGAAGAACAAAUACACUUUUAGUUCUGUUGGUGUUUUCCACCAACAGGACCCAUGCACUUGAUCUCUGCCUUGUCUCCAUGAGCAGGUACACUUCGAGCAAAACAUGGAGGAGUUUUAUUACUCUCAGACUCUACCAAGUGAAGGACCUAGAUCUACGAGCACAAACACACUGAGCAGGAUACUGCCAACGCCGCACAUUGAACUGCUGGGCAAACGAAGAACAUGGGUGACACCGUAUCAAGACGAGCAGACGUCAAGGUUCGCACCUGAAUCAAUUAACGCACCUGAUGGAUGAACACAGUGAGAAGUCUUGUUCAGAAGACUUUAAACAUUGAACCCUCGUCAAAAGAAUUCAAGGAUCAAAGAAGACUAGCAGACGGAGGACAUUUUAAUCGCUGUCAGGGUGCUGCCAAAUACACCUCCGCCACCUGCUAGCUACAUCAGAAGAAAUUACGUCAAAAUCCAGCUUGGGGGAGAGCACCCCCAUUUAUCCAGCUAAGUGUUUCUACUCGCGUUUAUACUUUACUCAAAUAAUAAAAAAGAUGCAUAAUCAUAAAAACCCAAAUAAAGAUUUUAUGCUUAUAUAUAUCUUUGCUUAGUUUGCUAAAUAAAUAAAUGAAGUUUGCUAUGAACCCUCAUGAUAAGCUCUCACAUAAAAAUGAUGAAUAGUUGCUCUGCCAUGACUAGAUCUCAAAACUGAAAUCUCUCUCAAGUUUAGGUAUAACUCUUAUGAAUUAAGAUUGGUUCUAAACCUGAACUUGUGGGAAGAGUACUUGAUCUAAAGUCUAAGUCGUUAACGGAUAUGAUAUGAGAAGGUUGAGCUGCUGUUUAUCUGUUCCCAGAGAUGCUAGAAUUUUAGAGAGUUUUAUCUUUGAAAAUCUUUAAAAUGUUGCAUGAUGAGUUCCUGUAUGAUGAGAGUUUCAAAUCCUACCACAGCCAUAUAUACAUGCUUAUUAGACUAAGAACCAUACAUGUACUUUUUACUACUUAUGAGCAUUGAGUGUGGUCAAGCUGUGUAGACCCUUAGGGCUUGUCAUGCAGUUAAAAUCAAGAUUCACUUGCACGUUCACUCAUACAUGCUGCUUCUACUCCGGAAGUACGCAUCCACAUACAUCCACUCAUUUCCAUCUCCACAUUCACCUUAAAUUAUUCUACUCCUAUCCAGGAGAGAAUAGCCAAAAACAUUAUCCUAUCCCUGUUAUUCCCCAUGAAAUAAAUGCUCUUGAUAUUUUGGUUACUACCACUUGCUACAUUAUUCUAGGAGGGUGAGUGCUCUGAAGAAUAUAUAUAUAUAUAUAUAUAUAUAUAUAUAUAUAUAUAUAUAUAUAUAUAUAUAAAGGGGCAAGUGCCCGGAACCUCGAAGAAAAAAAGUGAGACGAGAGGUAAAAAUGGACAAGUGUCUGACAGUAGAAUUAGGGGUAGAAGAUACCCACCUGAGAGAAAAGAAAAAUAAAAUAUAGAGCAUCUCAUUCCCCUCAAAAAGGCUUCAAAGUGCAAGAAAGGUGUGUAUCCCCUCAAUAGAGCAAAAGUAGAAUUAGACUUUCACCAUUGUUUUCACCAUUAUCACCAUCAUCAUCAUACACCAUUCAUUCACCACACAUGCACAUCUUGAUUUGACUUAUUGACUUGUUUCUCUAGAUCCAUGAUUUGACUAUGCAAUAAAUGUCUUGUAAGUAUGUAUUAGCUGUCUCCCACCUAUGAGCUCCAGAUAUCAAAACCUUAUUAGAGUAAGGUGAGAGAGAAGGCAAUGUCACUACGCCUCAUACCAAAAAUACCACAUACUUUGAGAGAAGACAUAUAUCAUCACUACGUUGGUAAGGAUCCAGAAAUACCACAAAAGAUAGACUAGAGAGAGUCAUACAGGAAUCUCUGAGUUUUAUUUGAAAAUCUGCAAAAACUCCAGAGUUAUAGGUGAUCAAGAAUACGAGACAUGGCGCUUGACUUGACUAUUCUAUCUUUUAACUGCUCAAGACACAAGUGACGGUUGCAAGCCCCAUGGUGGAAGGUAAUAUGAGUAAGUUUAAAUCUUAACAGUUUACCUUAACCUAGAGAUGAGAUCUUGUUUGAACGCAUGUGUACCUUUAAGGCAUGAAACCACCGCAGAAACUCUUGAGUCCAUUUGUUGAGGGACGAGCAAGAGGUAAGCUUGGGGGAGUUGUUGACGGUCCUUAAGUACCAAAUAUAAUCAUCAAAUAAAUAAAGAAAAGGAUCCAAAUACAACCAACACCUAAACUUAGGGUCUUAUCUGAUAGAAUUCCACAAGUUUUGGUGUUUGUCUAUUUUUGCAUGGGGUUAUCAGGAAAUAUGGAGGAAAGGCCCACAUGUCGGGUUUACAUAGAGAUAUGAACGUGCCGCGCAAUUUUCUAUCAUCUAGAAGACUCCAGAAGCCACGGGAACGAACGGGAGGCCGAGCGGGCUCGGGGGCAGGAUGCCCGCCCUCCCCCUUGAGCGCCCGCCCUGUCCCAGAGUCCAAUCAGGACUCUCUUCGGGGAUUAUGCUCCACCGACCUAAAGGAUCAAGAAUAACCAUUCAAUCAAUGUCGGUUUGAUCCGACGGCCCAGAUUCACUUGAGGGGACUAUAUAAGCAGACCCCCUGGCCCCUAGAGGAGGCACCCCUUGAUCAUUAUUCAUUAUUCAUAGACAGAGCAAAAGCUAGGGUUUAGAGAUGAGAGCUCUCCUCUCUUCUCUAAACUAGAGUAGAUCUAGAUAGUAGCGAGAUGGAGAGCGAGGGAGGAUUAGAGGAGAGGCCGACCUGUCGGUUCUUCCUCCGGUUGUACUUCGCCAUGAUCAAGCUCUAAUCAAGUUUGCUCAUGGGAUGACUCUGGUAAUCUACUUCUAAUUCAUUAUGCAAUUACUAAUCAUGUAUGUUCUGGUUCACAACUCUUUUGAGUACUUCUAAUCUAUAGGACCCUAUAGGUUAGAGUUGUAGUAUAGGUGUAAGAGUGGUGCUUAGACCUAGAUUACUUGUGAAUAUCCCCUGUCUAGCUGGAUCGUGUGGUAGGCCACGCAGGUGACAGUUACGUUGGUCCCCUGUAGUCCACCUCUUGUUAGUAGGACGGGUAGGGUUUAUUGGCCUAUGGAUAAGCAUCCUUUGUGGUGUAUUCUUAUCACGUGGUUCGUCCCAGACAUAGACAUACCCCUUUGAAGUAGAGAAACCAUAGUUAUUCUCUCUAUUCUGCUACCAUCACCCAUAUACUAGAUUGCUCUACUCUCUAUUCCCAUAUUAUCACCCAUUGUUAUCUUACCUUUAAUAUUGUUCUUAUUCAAUUCUACCAUCUUUCCUAUUUACACUUAUCUAUCUAUCUUGGUUAAGUUAGAGCGCAGUUGGUUCUCCCGUUUCCCUGUGGAUACGAUAAAACCUUUAACCGGGUAAAAGCUACAACGGUAUCCGUGUGCUUGCGGAUUUAUCUGUGUGCGUAUAAAUACCAUAGUACACUCUAGUGCCAUGCUGGGGAUAACAACCUAGUAUUCAAGUGGUGUUAGCAAGUGUCAACACCAUCCCUGGUGGUGAGGUAGUUACGGUUGGUAAGUUUCUGGUUAAUCAUUGUGAUGCAGUUGUGCUUUUUGAUUCAGGAGCAUCGCAUUCCUUUGUGAGUUCAGAUUUUGUGUCUAAACAUAAUCUCAGGGCAGUUACACUUGAUAAAGGUAGUUAUUGCAUUAGUGCCACUAGAAAUAAUAUUUCUACCAAUCAAGUGGUUUUGGAAGCAACUUUGGAAAUAGGAGACCGUCAGUUUCUUGCUGAUGUGGUUGUGUUGCCUGGUGUGGGCAUAGAUGUAAUUCUAGGAAUGAAGUGGACAAGUGGUAACGGGGUUCUUAUCGAUAUCACUACUCGCGUAGUGAUGUUGAGAGAUCCUAGUACUAAGGAAGCGUUCUUAGUGCAACUUCCUCGUGACAUUCAUAUCCACAGCAUGAUGAACGCAGUUACAUCUAGGGCCAUCAAGGAUAUUCCUGUGGUGUGUGAGUUUCUCGCUGUGUUUCCUGAUGACUUUUCUGGGAUUCCUUCAGAUCGGGAUGUGGAGUUCAAAAUUGAAUUGCUUCCAAGUACUGUUCUAGAAGACCGUAUAGAAUGCCGCCAAAUGAGCUACCUAAGUUUAAGACCCAGUUGAAUGAAUUGUUGAAGAAGGGUCUUAUUCGUCCUAUUUCUUCUCCUUGGGGUUGUCCGGCUAUCUUUGUGAAGAAGAAAGAUCAAUCCUCUCGCAUGUGUGUGGAUUAUCGCCCACUUAAUGCGGUGACUAUCAAGAAUAAGUAUCCUCUUCCUCGCAUUGAUAUCUUGUUUGAUCAGUUGUGUAAAGCUAAGGUAUUCUCCAAGAUUGAUUUGUGGUCUGGGUACCAUCAGAUCAAGAUCUGUCCUGAAGAUAUACCCAAGACAGCUUUCUCGACAAGAUAUGGGCUAUAUGAGUAUCUCGUCAUGUCAUUUGGUCUUACGAAUGCACUGGCACACUUCAUAUAUCUCAUGAAUUCGGUCUUCAUGCCCAAAUUGGACAAGUUUGUGGUGGUUUUCAUUGAUGAUAUCCUAAUAUAUUCUCGCAAUGAAGAAGAACAUGCAGAGCAUCUGCGUGUAGUGUUAACUCAUUUGCAUGAGCAUCAGCUUUAUGCUAAAUUUAGCAAAUGCGAGUUCUGGCUAAAGAAAGUACCUUUCUUAGGCCAUGUCUUGUCUGAAGAAGGGAAAUCAGUUGAUCCGGCCAAAGUGCAAGAAGUGCUGGAUUGGAAGGUCCCAACUUUAGUGCAUGAGGUUUGGAGUUUUCUGUGUUUGGCUAGAUAUUAUCAUCGUUUCAUUCUGGAGUUCUCAAAAAUAUCCAAGCCAGAAGUUGGAAAUUCAUGUGGACGCCAGAAUGUGAGGAAGCAUUCCACAAGUUCAGGACCUUGCUAACAUCAGCUCCUGUCCUGGCUCAAGCCGAUAUCGAGAAGCCUUUCGAUGUCUUUUGUGAUGCAUCUGGUAUCGGUCUGAGCUGUGUGCUUAUGACAGAAGGUCGUGUUUAUCUCUUAUGCCUCACGCCAACUUUGGAAACAUGAGGUCAAUUACCCCACUCAUGAUCUAGAAUUGGCUGCAGUUAUCCACGCUUUGAAGAUCUAGAGGCACUAUUUGCUGGGUAAUCUGUGCAAUAUUUACACCAAUCAUAAGAGUCUCAAGUACAUCUUCACCCAACCUGAAUUGAACUUGUGGUAGUGAAGCUAGCUUGAGUUGAUUAAAGAUUAUAAUCUUCAAGUACACUAGCAUCUGGGCAAGGCAAACGUGGUUGCAGAUGCCUUGAGUCAGAAAUCGCACUACAAUUCCGUUCAGAUUGAAGAUUCACCCUUGUCAUGUCUUAUGCAUCCACUAGUGCUUCACUAGAUUGCCUUAGAAAGCUCUCUUCGUAAUCGAGUAAUUGAGUUGCAGCAAACUAAUGUAGGCAUCCACCAUAUAAAGAGGAAAAUGAAAGAAGAAGAAACCAAGCAUUUCUAGGUUGAUGAGAACAGAAUUCUAUGGUUCAAAGAACAGCUUGUUCUACCAAAGAACCGUGAGCUAUGAAAUCAGAUCUUAUAUGAAGCUCGUUCGUCCAAGCUAUCUGUUCAUCUUGGUAGUAGUAAGAUGUAUUAGGAUCUUAAACCUCUAUUUUUGUGGACAAAGAUGAAAAAGGAGAUUGCUGCUUUUGUUGCUCAUUGCGAUAACUGUUGUCGCGUGAAGGCAGUUCACAUGAAAGCGGGUUUACUUCAACCCUUACCCAUUCUUGGGUGGAAAUGGGAAGAAGUAAGUAUGGACUUUAUCUCUGGACUUCCAACUUCUAUCAAGGGUUAUGACUCAAUUUGGGUGAUUGUGGACCGCUCAACCAAGGUCGCUCAUUUUAUUCUAGUUCGAACCAAGUAUCAACGACAUCAGUAUGCGGAGUUGUACUUCGAGCACAUUGUCCGUCAGUAUGGUGUGCCUCGUACUACCAUAUCAGAUCAUGGACCGUAGUUCACUGGCCGUUUUGGGGAGUGUCUUCACGAGCAAAUUGGUACUCACACUACAAGAGAUGUGGCCUUCUGUGACAGCUCAUUUUGGUCAUAAACAGAGGAAUUUAUGUCACCAUAAUAUGCUCUGUGACGAUGCAGUGACGAAAUACCUAUCGUCACCGAAGGUGCGUGUUAAAGCCCCUUCCAUGACGAUUGAGAGUAUAUCGUCACUGAGUUAGUGACAACAAUAUUUUCGUCGCCAGCAAUAAUGACGAUCAUUAUUUGUCAUUAAAACUGUCAUGAAAUCUCAAAUAGACAACUACCAUGUGUGCCUAUAUAGUAACAAUAUUAACCAUAUAAUUGAAUUCAACAAAUGACAGCCAUACAUUGAUCCAUAACAAAUUUCAUAGUCAUCCAUUCAACAUCUUAGAAGCAACAAUCUCAACCAUACAUCCAGCUCACUCAUACAUCCAUCUAAGUCAUACAUAACAACUUGAAAUAGUUUGCAAGCUAAAGCAAUACUAAGUUCAUAGUUUGUAUUGCAGCACCCACAAGUAGGCCAAAAUGCUACAGAGUUCACCAAAGACUCUCAUCUGCCCAAAUUCUAGGGAUAGAUACAAAAGGCAUAAUUGAACUAACUCGCCUUGAUGCAUAUCUUGAUGAUGAUGCUCACAAAUUUUAGGGAGGAGUGACUUGACCCUGAUUGAAGUUAAUCAGUUGUCGAAGGAGGGCAUGAGUUUCUUGCUGUCCCUUCUUCAAACUGUCAAUUUCAUAUGCUUGGCUAGCCACCUCUUGCUUAAGUUGUGCAGAUUCUUGUUUAAGUUGCACAGAUUCUUGCUCCUUAGCCUCAAGUUGAGCCUGUAGCUCCCGCACCUGUGAACUAACUGCACUUCUACUACUUGGCUUCAAGGUUGGUAGACCCACAUUUUGAAGAAAUGUGCUUGAUUUUGGCAGCACCUUGGAAACAAUUUCAGUAGAAGAUAGUGACUGCUGGCCUUCUUGCAUUGGUGCAGCCUCAAUUGCUUCCAUAGCAGCCUAGCAAUAGAAUGAUACAAAAUUAGUAUUGACUUUGGUACAGAUUUAUAGCAAUAUAGGAAAAACUUCCUACAAUAAUACUUUACAAAGACCUAAAAUAUGAUCUUACUUUAGCCAAAAUAGCCUGAAACAUAAUUUCAAGCAUGGGGAUAUACACAUGUGAAUUUAGAAGACUACAUACACCUAAAUUGGGAAAUGAAUAAUGUAAUAAAGUAGUCAAGCAAAAAGUACAUCAUAACCCUUCCAACAUCAAUUCUGACAAUAGCAAAAAUAGCCCAAAAUCAUUUCCAAUCAUGAAGUAAAGGCAAUAGUAGUUGCAGCUAGUGGUGCGUGCAUGGAUCAGAUUCUAUGCAUUGGAUUUCAGUGGUUCAGAUAAGUAGCAUGCAACAACAACUGCAGCACAAGAUGUGCAGCCAAUCCGGCCAAAUAUUCAAGUUGACUUUCAAGAAUGUCUUGGAGAAGAGGAGAAAAGUACUUACAAUUGCAUUUUUGACAGGCUCACAAAAUCCACUCUUCUUGCUGCAAUGCAUCUCCUUGAACAAAUCAAUUGCAGUGGGUUCUAUGUCUUUAUAUUUUUCUUGUUUCUAAAAUAAUUAGAAAACAACUACAAUGUUAGCUUGAACCAAUUCCGUGGCUUCUCAUUUCAAAUAAUGUGCAGCAGACUUUAAUGAAACAAAAUGUGGCCAAAGUGCUACCAGCAAUGCACUCAUGCAAACAGUUGCAAACUAUAGAACCUAGACUUAGAAAUACAAGUUCAUUGAACAAGUUUUGCUCAUUCAAGUAUUUUUCAAUAAGUAUAACAAGGACAGAAAUUCAAUUGGAGGCAUAUUUUUGCAUGUAAAUUAGAAGCACAUGAAAAUAAACAUAUAUUCAAGCAUGUACAAGGUAUAUGCAAGAUUUUAGAACAUGAACCAUGAGACAAUAACAACUAUCUAUAUGCUCCUCAUUCUGGCUUGCGGUAGUAUCGGUAGAUGCCAAUGCAUCAUGCGUGACAAUAGUGAGGCUUCGAUUUGCAGCAGUCCUUUGCCUCGUAACUCUAGUACUUUCCCCUUGUUCUUGUGGUGCCACCACUCUCUUUGACGUUGUUGAACCUCUAGAGCAGAACUUGCCAAUAAGUUGGCCAUUCUUGCUACAUCCAUCCUCACCCAUGUUAGGAGCCUAGUAUGAAGCAAAAAAGAAGAAUUAGACCCAAAAAAUAAUAGAAGUGCAGUCACCAAAAUGAUAAUGAUCAAUAACAAUCCUUCAUACCAUGCUGACUUCGUCCUCGUCAUGUUGGUAAGAGCCCUCAUCGUCCUCAGGAUCGUACAGAGAUCCAGAUUUUUUUGGAACAUCAUCCUUGUUCCUUGCACUUUUACCCUUAACUUGCACAGCUAGUGUACUGAGCCCAAGGCUUUGGAAAAUUUGGUCAUUCCUCAUAAUGUUUUCAUUCCUCUGUCUUAAAUAUUCGAGUGCCGUUGCUUCUGUACAUUCAAUUGAUACAAUUAUAAGGGAGUAGUUAGAGCAAAAAAUAAAAAAUGUAUGUUGUUGCUUGUAAAAUAAAAAUGUAUACUGCUAGCAUCUCUGUACUAUUUACUAUUUCUAGUUUAACCACUGAUUUCCCACACAUGUAAAUGCUCCUGCAUCUCUGUAGAACUUCUGAAUUUUAAGAUGGGUUGCGGAUUCACAAAAGUCACCAGGUUUCAGAACAAGGGUUAUGAAUGAUUCACCAAUAAGAUCCUAUGAAGGAUUGUCUUUUCUUCACUCCACUUCCAUCAUUUUAAUUUUGAACUUAUAGCAGCAUACUCUGAAAUUGAUAGUGCUAUUUUCUAUUUGCUAAUAACCUUCAGAGGAUCUCCUAACUCGUGGUAUCCAGGAUUAUUAGGCAACAAUCUUUGCAGAUUGGAAGGGCACUCAAGAUUUAUCCAGGAUCUCCUAAAUUUGGUUCUGCUUUUUCUACUUCUAAAAAUAAUUAGUUUUCCUAAUGUGAAGGGCACUCAAGAUUUAUUUUGCUUUAAACAUUCUCUUCAUAUUUAUUAAACAUAGAAAUCUGCAUAAUAACAAAAUGUGUAAACACAUUUUUCUUCUGUAUAGGAUGGAUCUGAUAAACUAACAAAAUUAGUUUGAAGCCAUAUGGAUCUACAAUUAUUUUCCUUUGAUUUUUCAAAAACCAUGAACGAAAUGGUACAAACAUACAUGCUAGCUAACUAGCUUCUACUGUUUAUCUCCCUGCAUACGCAUAACAGAAACUCAUCCGUGCAGACACAGGGCCAUCAACAGCCAUCAACCAGGCCACUCCGCGCUCCAGAAGGCCACUCUUCACUUGCUGCCCACUCCCCCAAAAUCUCAAGAGGAUGGACGCACACAUCCCUCGCCGACUCACUGCCACUGGACACGGACUCGCCCACAGGAACCAAAAUCCCCUCACCUCAAACCCAAAGUUCGAACAGAAGAACACCAAAAAAACCAAAUCCCCAUUGGCACCCCUCAGAUCCACUUGUUUUUCCCUUGCCUGGCGCUCAAGCUUGAGGAAUUACCUGUGGGCGUCUCAACUAUCUUGGCAGUCUGCACCUUUCUCCCAGGAGGCAUCUUGUAUUUGGAGCAGAACUCGUCGCCUAGCACUAGGAAGGAAGGGGGUAGCUGGUAGAUGUGGUGCUGGCUGGUGGUGCUGGCUUCUAGGAGCAAGAGCUACGGCAGAGGUAGAGGGGGAGUGGUGGCGGCUAGAUGCACAGGGGAAAGGGGAAAGAUGAAAUCAGACUGGAAUGUGCAGGGUUUCAGUUCUUGUAUAGGAGUUUACUGUAAUACCCUUGAUUUGAACACAUGAAGGACUUGUUAUAGUGGACAUAAGUGGCAAUUGGUCAAAAAAAGAUGGCGGGAGAUGGAGAGGCUGGCGGGAAUCAUUGGUGGGGAGGUAGAGGGACAAUUUUAUUGUUGGUGGGGAGACAAAUUUUUUGCCUGGUGGCCAUUUUUUGCACCAAUCGUUGGCAGGAGACCAAUUGCAGCUUUUCUAAGCAAUAUUAGGGUGUAGUUUAUCAUUAAAGUAGAGAGAAGUAAAUAUUUAAUAAUGAUAUUGUAGAAUUAUGGACUCAAACAAGUGACAAAUUAACAUUGCGAAGGACUUUUAUAGUAUUAUAAAUUAUGUCAGAACAAUCUAACCAUAAUUUUUUUUAUUCAAUAAAUAACUAUGAUGCAUGAACAUUUGUCAUAUAAAUCCGUCAUAACCAUGAUGCCAAAAUAGGUAAUGACGAUUUUGAUUUUGACUUCGUGACAGGUAAUAUAUUUUCGUCAUUAACCAAGGUUGGCUCUUGAAAAUCGUCAUUAUCUUAAUAAUUUAGUGACAGAUUGCUCUGUUGUCAACAUAUAAUCAUCAUAGAAGGUCACAUCUCUUGUAGUGUCAUUGAUUCGAAGUUCUGCAUAUCAUCCACAAACUGCCGGCGAAACUAAGCGUGUUAACCAAAUCCUAGAAGACAUGUUGAGAGCAUGUGCUCUCUCUUCAAAAGGUUCUUGGGUAAAGUGGUUACCGUUAGCUGAGUUCUCUUAUAACAAUAGUUACCAAGAGAGCAUUAAGAUGGCUCCUUUUGAUGCCCUGUAUGGUCAAAAGUGUCGAAAUCCGUUGAAUUUGGUGGAACCCAGGGAACGAAGGUAUUACAGCUUUGAUUUUGUGAACAAAGCGGAGCAGCAGGUCUGUACAAUCCAGCAACAUCUGGAAGCUGCUGAAGCUCGUCAAAAGAGUUAUGCCAACAAGAGAAGAAAAUCGAUUGACUUUACACUCAGGGAUCACGUGUAUCCCAAGGUGUCUCCGAUGAAAGGUGUAUAAAGGUUUGGAGUCAAGCGAAAGCUUGCACCCCAUUAUGUGGGACCUUAUUGGAUUCUUGAGCUACGAGCUUUUUUUCCUGUCUUUCAUGUAUCUCAGUUGAAGAAAUGCCUUCGAAUUCCGGAAGAAAGGGUAGAGGUUUGGGAUAUCAAGUUGGAAUCGGACUUGGUGUAUGAAGAGAAGCCUGUGGUGAUCCUUGACCACAAGGAAUGGGUAACUCAUAAUCGCAUGGUUAAGUUCUACAAGGUUUUGUGGAGUAACCACGGGGAGGAAGAUGCUACUUGGGAAACAUAGGACUAUUUAAAGGAAAUUUAUAAAACCAUCUUCGAAAAUCAGUAAGCUUUCAAAUCUCGGGACAAGAUUUUUGUAAGGGGGGAGGGUUGUAAUACCCUAGUGUUAUGGUUGCAUCCUUUCACAUGCAUGACAUGAGCAUAGUCAUCUUCAUAAGCAUACCAUGAUCAUCAUUUAUCUUGGGACAUGUCAUUUUAUGUGUAUGUGUUGCUUAAUUUGUUUAUUUAUGCUUUCUAUGCUUGUGUUUGAGUAUAAAAUGCUCUUGUAUGUGUCGUAGACCUUGGUAAGUGGUUUAACUUUGCUUAACUCAACCUUAGGAGCAAUGUUCAUGUUGAUCAUAUCCUCUAAUUAUGCUUCUAAGUCAUAGUUUCAUCUAGGGGGCAUAUAAACCUCUUUUGCUUAGGCUUUUAAAAAGUACUUCAUAGAAUGUUUGCAUGUCAAAACUUUCUAAAGGAAAGUUGUAGCAAAUGUUAUAAGGAACAAAAGUUGUUUUAUGGCCAUCUCAGGAAAAUUAUCACAACUUGCUCAAAAAUGGUCCACAAGGCAGAAUUGGGGGCUGUUUUGACACAUAGCAAAAUUUUGCAAAGUCCUCUCGCCACCAGUUUGUCUGAAGGAUUUUGGAAACCUUUUAUCUCUUCAUCUAGGCCGAUCUGGCUCUUGCUCCAGGUGACAAAGUUGUAGAACUCAGUUAGUACUUCAAGUUUGUAAACUACACCAUCUCCUAAUUCGCCACGGUUUGGGAGUUAAUCUUUGUCAAUGUAGCUCUGUCAGACAUCAAAGAAAGCUGUGAUGGCGAGCUCUGUCCACCGUCGUGCCGACCAGAGCAGCACCUAGCUGUAAUUUGGCACCUGUACGCUGGUGUUUGCCCCACCAGUCAGGCCAUCGACGCUGUCAAGGACGCCACGCCACCCCCGCACUCGCCCAGCGCUGCUCCCACUCGCUCUGCCUCUCUAUCGCACCCUUCGAUGGCAGAGGCGCCAUCGCCAUUGCCGCCGAGAGCUUCGCGAGCUCCGCGUGCCUUCGUCCUUGCGUCGUGCCACCUCUCCAGGCGUCAUCGAGUCCGUCUCGAGCUCCGCCUUCCUCUCCACCUCUUGGCCGCCCGAGAUUGCCCCGAGGUGAGCCACAUUUCACAAGUUCUCCGUCGUCGGGUUCGCGGCCGUCGCGACCCAAACUCCGGCGAACCCUGCCGCUGCUCCAUCCCUACCUUCUUUCUUCUAUCUGAGUCAUGUUAGAGCUUGCUUAGGUCACCGUCGUGGUCUGUGUCACACCCUUUCGUCUUUGGUGGCACCGUCGUGCGGGAACACGGCCACCGUGCCGUCGUGCUCACCGCCGACGACCAUCCUGCACGUGAGCAGGCUCAUCGGAGUCAGUAGGGUGAGGCCUUUCAACCUAGGAAGCUCCACGCUAUCUUGCUGAUGCAUAAGCCACCUUUCCCCGAUUUUCUACCGGUUGGAGACGGCCGGCGUAAGCCCGGAUAUGUCGUACUGCCAUGGCCGAUGAUGACCUCACCCUGUUGCUCCAACCCUCAAACCACCGACCUCUAUCGACGCGGAAGGACUCAGGGUGCACGCUGAUGUCCUUGGAUCCACCAGAGAAGCUCACCAUUGGCGAGCAUUCGCCGGCGAGUGUUCUCUCUGUUCUCGUCGCUGACACGUGGGUCCCGCUGUCAGUGACCUGGUUUUCCUCCUCCUCUUUUAUUCAAAUCCUAGAUUUUUGUACAAAUGCUGUGAAAUUUUUAUGACAUGCUUUGUGUGGUACUAGUACACUCUGGUAAAUAUUUCAUGAUUUGUGAAGCACUGUAUCUCUGAUAUAUAAUUUAUGUUGGUGUUAUUGCUUAAAUCCUUGUUUAAAUCAUAGUAAAUGUUGUAUGCUUAUGCUGGUACUCUUCUUUGGUGUCAAGUGUGGUUAUGGUAGUAAUAUCAUGUAAAUAAUCUGAAAUCUAUUGUUUGACACUGUUUAGCCCAUGUUUCUUAAUUUAUGUAAUAAGCACUUUGUCACAUGUUAAUUAGAUAUCUUAUGUUUGGCAUGUGCAAUUGUUCUGAAAAUUUUAUGGUGAGGUCCAGGUGCCCUGCUUGUAGUCCUGUAAAUUUAGUAGAAUUUUCGGAGUAUCUUUGCUCGUAUCUCUUAUUUAUGCUCUUUUAUGGUAUUAAAUUAAUAAAGGCUUCAUAAAUAAGGGUUUGGUAGUUAACAUGUGGUUUUCUGGUAAUCUUAUAUCAUGUUUGUUCCUGUGAGUCACUUGGUUGACACUAAAUAUGAUGUUGCUAUGUGAACAAAUAAUUAAUUGAAGGAUAAGUAGCUGUUCUGGACAGCAGGGGAGAAAUCUGAUUAUUCUCUAGUGUUAGCUUCUUUUCUUGGAUGACUUGUCUAUACCAAAGUUGUUGUAAACUUUGUGUUCUAACUGUAGUUAAAAUUUGGGGUCAUUUGUCCCAGUAGUUUGAAAGUUAUGGCCUUUCCAAGUGAAGUUCCAGAACCAGGUGUUCUCUGUUUUUCUGGAACAGAACCUGGAACUUUGUUUAAUUGGCUUGCCUAACUUAUGAAUCUUGCUAAGAUGUCUAAAGAUGAAAUGUAAACAGUUUCAUAAGCUUUCCAGAAUGUCUUAAUUCAUGUCUGUUGGAUUUAUAUAUCUCCAGUUAUAAAUUGUUCGGUGGACUGUCUUGCUGUUUGUAGUUGCUGUUUAUUUGUGUAAGUAAUACAUCUUUGUUAGUUAUGGUGGGACUCUUGUGUAAGCUUGUAAAGAAGUUACUCAGUAAAUGAGUGUCCAGUGAAGUGUUGUGACCAUGAUCAUGUCAAGCAUUCACCAUUUCCUCGUAUGCAUACAUUCCUCACUCAUUGUGUGCAUGCCAUAGGUGCACCAGAGACUGCGGCCUUGUUCGAGCUCGAGAGGGUGAAUCCAGAAGGCCCGGAGGUCACUCAGGAGAUGGAGGUCCAGCCAGCAGGGCCUGAGGAGCCCGAAGAGGAAGUCGAGUGCCCUAGUCAUGAGCACGCUUUGUUCGUGAAAGGCAAGCCUCGGAGCAUCUCAAAUCUCCCACUUUAAUUUGAAAGCAUGCUUGAAUAUGCUAUGUCUAUUGUUGCAUUACGUAUAGGAGUUGUUAUGGAACCAUUGCUGCAUUAUACCUUGUCCAGAUAUAUCACCUUACCCUGGUAUAGAGUCAGGAUCGAGUAAUAGCUUAGCCAUGCUUUAAUCGGUAGAAGUCAGGUAAUACCCUGUCACCUGCGUGAAAUAGGGUCUGUUGUUGGAUCACGGUUGGCUAUAUUUGCUAUCGUGGAAAAAGAACAUGGUUAAAAUGACUUAAGUCGGGUGGAGUUUUGCAAGGUGGUAGUAACUCCAUUUGUGGCAGCUAAGGACCGAUCGUUGUACGUCCUCUUGUCAUGUUGAACGCAUGCAUGACACUUAGUUGGCCGGAUAACUCGUUCCGACCGUGAAGCCUAGUAGUAUGACUCAGGCCGGAAGACCGGCAAGUAUAAAGUGCACACUACCAGAGGAAGUGCGGUGUGCGGGGACCAUUAGCGUAAGACCAAGGGCAGGUGAUUUAAAGUCCUGAUUUUCCUGGCAGAGUGGCAGCCCUAGGAGUGCGGCGCUGAUCGGAGCCGCGAUUCCUGAGUCAUAGCAAAGGUGACCCGCUUGCUCUCCGACGGGGGAUGCAUGGGUGAGUGCUAGGAAUAACCCUCCAGCUCGAUAGGAAUCGAUUCGAAUCUCCGUCUCUCCCGGAUAGUGAGAACUUGACAGAGCAGCGGCAAACGUAGCAUUCACUAAGUACUUAAUGGGUCUUUAAUGAUGAUGUUCAGGAUAGCAAGAAAGAACAUAUGUUGAAACUUGAUAUGGUUAUUAUUGGUUGUUAAUAAUCAAGUGAAGUCCUUAGUCUAGGUGCUAAUCUAGUGAUAGGCUAAUGGUAAUCAAAAUGAUGCUAAUAAGAAUGCUUUACUAUCCAAUUUAAGCUCUUUUGCAAAUAUAUGAGUCAAACCAGCUCCACUUAUACUCAGCCUUGCAUGAUCCUUGGUGUCUUUUAUGUGCGGUUAGAUGGGUAAGUCUAGCUGAGUACAUCGACGUACUCAGGGUUUAUUUCCACUUGUUGCAGAUGACAUCUUCUAUGACGGUUUCUACAAGACCUGUCUUCACCCCGCUGGGGAUGAGGACUAAACUGUUGGACGUGGUUCUCUAAUGACUUCGUACCUAUGAUGCUUUUGGUGGAUGUGAUGAAACCCUAGCUGUAACAAGAAUUAGUGAUGUGUGUGUGAAAACUAUGUUGCUUCCACUACUUGAACUUGUGUUGUAAUAACUUAAGUAAACUCUGAUGUGGUGUCGCUUCGUCGACAGUGAAUGAACUAUAUAACAAUCGUUGUGUUGUGCUGAACUAUUACGACCUUGGUUUGUUGCGAAGUUGGUUUGAAAUCCUUCGUGGUUUCACUUGACUACCGGGAUUAUAUGGGCUCAAGUUUGGAAAGUUGAUUGCCUGUGCGAUAGUUUCUACACUUGAACUCUUAUAAUUUAGUCGGUUCUAUGACAGCCGUCUACAAGGUCUGUGGCUCGCGGAGCUCGACGUCCACCUUGAUGUGUUCCGGUAGGCCACCCACAAAAGGCUCCGCUUUUUGGGCGGUGGAUAAAUUGCGGGAGUGGCACAACACCGCGUUGAAGCGUUCGACAUAGUCCUAGACCAUGGAGAUGAAAAGCAGCCUAGAUAGUUUGGACAGAUGGGAGGUGCAUACCACUGGUCCAAACUAGAGAUUGCAGAGGGCCUUGAAAUGAUCCCAAGGCGGCAGGCCCUCAUCUUGUUCCAAGGCGUAGUAAAAUGUUUGUGCCGCACCAUUCAAGUGGUAGGAGGCCAGCCACAUCUGAUCCGAGGCUAACGUCUGCUAGCCGUGGAAAAAACUGCUCACACUGGUUGAGCUAGUUCAAAGGAUCAAUAGAACCAUCGUACGUGGUGAACUCCAAUUUGUAGAAUUUGGGGCAUGAUGAUCCCUAGGCGUGCUGAUCUCCGCUGCCAACAUAUCAGGCACCGAGCCCCCCGGAUGUGGCUGCGGCAAAGGGGGAGGGUUCAGGGUACUUCUGGGGCUCCCGCACAUCGUACCAGAGGUGAAGGGAGCCCCAAAGGUGGCAGACAGAGGGGCUCCCACGAUCAUCGGCGAGGCGGUCAGCCAUGGGGGCACCAAAGUGUACACUAGCGCUGAACUUAACGCCCAUGAUGGGAUCAGCGAUGGAGAUGGUGGGAAGGACAUCUAGUGGAUGAGAACGUAUGUCGACGGUGUGAGGAAGGAGGGCCCUAGGGGCAGCUCCACAGAUGAGUAGGUCAAAGCGAGGGUGGGCUGGGUGUAUGGGAAGGAGGGGUGCAGUGGUGGGGGGUACAUUGGCGGUGCUGGUGCCUACUACUAGUCGAGAACUAGGGCUUGCAGCGUGCGCUGCACUUGCCCCAUGGCAUGACUGAGAUCGACGACCGCCCCUGUCAGCUGUUCAGGCAUGAACACAGCGGCAGUGAGGGCUGCAGCGGUGGUGAGCGUCGGCUAGGAGGGAGAGACCAGCACCGACGUGGUCGCUGGGAGGGAGUGGGUAGGGGGCGGCGGCAGUGGCGUUCGAAGGGUAUUGCUGGGCGGCGGUGGUGGUAGGGAGGAGGUGGCCGUUGAGCUGGACAUCGAACCUGACAUCUCCAAUACCAAAUUGAUAAGAUUUCAGAUCCUACCAGGCUUGUUGUGCAGAUUGUAGGGAUGGGAAGGAGGAGGAUGGAGGCGAUCAUGGUGCAGGGACGCCGUGCUUGCUUGAUGGACGCGCGUUAGAGAAAGAGGUCGGCUAGGGUUUCUAGGCUCCCUCAGGGAAGCCGAGAAGAAUAAUGCUCUUGCUUAAUUCCAAAUAGGUGCAAAGUACAUGUAUUUACACUACAACUAGUAAUAUAUAAAUAUCCCCCUCUUAUUUAAAUAAUUCUAAUAAAUAUGAUCCGAAGAUCCCCCUUUUAGCCACCUCUAGGCUUCCUCCGAUCAUAUAGGACGCUGGUCAUAAAAGAACCAACCAGUGAUGUACCUAAAGUGCAAAAGGCCAUGUAGGGACUACACUAUCUAUGUCACCACCAAUGUAUACCUUCUUCACCUGGCCAUAUUUCAAAUCAAUACUGAAUAGGCCAUCCACAGUCUGCACAAAGAAGAGUGCAACACCAUCUGCAAAGCCAACCAAUUCAGUAGAGAUGGAGUUGGCAUCAGCAGGGAGUAGUGUCCGAAGAUCAAUGUCUUUGCUUUGUGCCCACCCCGCUGUUGACACCAUUUUUGGGCACGUGUCCAGGAUGGCAGGAUAGGGUGGCAGUACGAUGCGGGUUGCUGAUAAGGAUGGUUGCCGAUGAGGGAAAGGUUGAAUGUGACUAAGUCCUCAGGCAGUAAUAUGGUGCCGAUGACCAAGUAAAAAGGUCUGCCGAUGACUAUGGCAAGGAGAUUGCCGAUGACGCGAAGGAGGAGUCCGGAAGCUGCCAGUUGUCAUGUGGAGGAGUUUCGGUUUGUCACGAAGGAUGGUUUUAUUAUUUCCUUAGUUAUUCGCAUCGUUUUGUAUACGGGUUCCGUGUAAUUUGGAAUUCGAAUUCUAAUCGUGUCUGGUCGUAGCUCUUUGAGCAGGGUAUAAAUAUAAGCCCUAGGACCUUGUAAUCAAGACAUCUAUCAAUCAAUCAAACACACGUUUUUACUCAUAUUCCAGCAUUUACUUUUUCGACGACUUCGUCAUACGUUUUCUUUUUGUUACGAGUUCUUAGGAAUUCGUCGACUCAAGCUCGGCGUAUCCUCAAGUUCCGCGUGAGUACCUCUUAGCCGUGACAUCCGGGCGCAUCGCUGUUGUCAGGACUAAAGUAUUCGAGUUAUCACCUUUGCCGAUAGUAAGGUCAAAUCGGCUGGCACGCCUUAACGUUUGGAUCGGGUAUUAGCCCUUUGUGUUUGCAGACUAGUUUUUGCAUCAACACAUCUUUUGGCACGCCCAGUGGGACCGAUUCAAGAUCAAGAUCAACAUGUCGAUCUCUGACCUCGAUCAAGACAACGUCAUCCCCGUGACAGAAGCCAACCUCAAGGAUGAGCAGAAGCAAGCUGUUGCCCAAGCCAUGGAAUAGUUCAAGCAGCAAUGCCUGAAGUCUUUCAGCAUAAACAGGAGCGGCGAAGUGGUCCAGAAAGAUGCACUGCCGGCACCACGGCAGGUCACCUUUGACGCCAAUCCUGGCAAGCUUCAAGACAUGGUUGACAAUGCCAUCAAUCGAGCGCUGAUUAACCAAGCUAGUGUACUGUCUAAUACGGUUUUCAACGCCGUGGCAAGAACCUUCAAGGAAGGACAAAUCCCGCCGGAUUAUGUGGGCCCUUCCCAUCAUCAACCCAUGGCACCAGAGGUCACGGCUCCAUCGGCUGCCUUGACGAGUGCAAGUGCACAGUCUGCCGUCCCUCCAAGUACAUUGGGGACUACUGGUGCACUAUCUAUGCCGAUGGCAACCAACCCACAAAUUUCAGUUGGGCAGCAUAAACUGACAACAGAUAUGUUGGCAUCGGCAAUGUCGGGAUUAACUCUUCCUCCCAACUGGUGGGGUUAUGGUAUGCCUCCAGAGUUGACGCCGGGAACGUCACAGAUAACUGACAUGAGGGGCAAAACUCCUCUGACAUCGGCACCUUCCAAUGUGCCGGUGAACCAGAGUCCUCGGUAUACCACAACUACUACUGCAAGGCCUCACACUGGAAAUCCUCAAGAUUCAAUGUUCCAGAUGCCCAACGCAUCGGCAGAGUCAAUGCUGAUGCAACAGAGGCCUAUGGCCCAGUCGGGGUAUGUCAAUUCAAUGACGAUACCCAAUUACCAAUCAUCGGCAGCACCUAUGCCGAUGAACGCUAAUAAUGGAUGGCUUGGACAGCAAGCCUUUCCACAUUCGCCCCAGCAGGGUUAUCAGACUACGGGGUUCCAGCAAGGGCAGGUUUAUCCCGGGUUCCAAGGUCAGGGAAUUCCCAACCAGCCAAUAAAUUUUGGACAGCAACUCGGAGGACAGCCAAUCGGUGGACAGCAGUUUGGUAGUCCGCAGAUUGGAGGACAGGUGACCAAUACGAUGUUCCAUACAGGUCACGUCCCAAACAGACACGUGGAGGUUCGCCACCAAGUGCCGGAUCCGCAGCCGCCUCAUCGGCAAGAUGCCGAUGCUUAUUGGGCCGAUAAGAUUGCUGAAGUAAUGAGGGAACAAUUUGGGAUAAAACCCAAAGUCAACACUUAUUCUUAUCGGACACCGUAUCCUCCAGCGUAUGAUUUGAUCCCGCUUCCACAUCGGUACAAGGUACCAGAUUUUACAAAGUUUUCCGGACAGGACGACACGUCAACCAUGGAGCAUGUCAACAGGUUCAUUAUUCAAUGUGGAGAGGCUGGUAACAGGGACGAAUUAAGGGUUCGUCUAUUUUCGUCAUCACUGUCUGGAUCGGCCUUUACUUGGUUCAUAUCGUUACCUCCCAACUCAGUAAUUACUUGGGCCGAUCUAGAGAAGCAAUUCCACAGAUACUUCUUCUCGGGGGUUCAUGAGAAGAAGAUCACCGACUUGGUUAAGUUGAGGCAACGUAAUGAUGAGUCGGUUGAGGGAUUUGUGCAGAGGAUACGAGAGGUCAAGAAUAAAUGCUAUAGCCUGGUUCUGGAUGAUCGGCAGCUGGCCGAUUUGGCUUUCCAGGGUUUGUUGCCACAUAUCAGGGAUAAGUAUGCAUCUCAAGAGUUCGAGAGUUUAAGUCAUUUGGUGCAGAGGAUAUCUGAUCAAGACAUCAAGCCUUUCGAGCCUAAGAGGGCAUGGAAUAAGAAAGUAUCAUUUGUUGACGAAGCAACAAGCUCAGAUUCCGACGAGGAACCAGUAAUCGGUUUGGCAGAGUGGGUAAAAAACAAGAAGCCGAUGUCUUGUCCUUUUGGGCAGAAAGAACCAGAGAAGUUUGCCUUUGACACCGCCAAGGCCGAUAGGAUAUUUGACUUUCUACUUCAGGAAGGUCAAAUCAAACUGUCACCUAACCAUGUGAUCCCGUCGGCAGAAGAGUUGAAGAGGAUGAGAUAUUGCAAGUGGCAUAAUGCAACUUCACAUGACACCAACGAGUGCAAAGUAUUCAGACAACAGCUGCAAUCGGCUAUAGAGUCGGGGAGAAUCAAGUUUGACAGUUCUAAAGCCCAGAAGCCGAUGAAGAUAGACCAACAUCCUUUCCCGACAAACAUGUUGGACGCUAAGGGGAAGGCUAAGGUCUUAACGUCGGAGACAGCUGAGAAGAGUGCAUCGGUAGAUCCUCAGCAUCAAGUUACUACCGCCGAUGCAAGAAGUAAGGGCUUGGUCCAGGAAGGAGCUAGCUCAGGAAGACUUCCUCGGUCUGGUAUUGUCAUAACUCAUAGAAGGCCUCGAGAGAGAUGGCAACAACGGGAAGAUCGAUAUCGGCGCCAGCAGGAAGAUUAUCAACGGGAAGAAGAAAGACGCCGACAGGAGUGGAAUCGGCACAGGGAUCAUUGGAAUUGCCCAUUCUUCAUCCAUUGUUGGGAGGAAAAUAUCAAGCUUCCUACUGUCAGAGACUGCCCUGAAUGCAACGGUUAUGAUCGGUACGAUAGGAACGAUCGGCGUUAUCAUGAUGAUGAACGGCGAUUUAAUGGGCCAAUCAGAGGAAGGGCGUCAGUUCAUGAUCGGCUGGGGGGCAGGCUUAGUGUUCGCGAUCGGAUCGGUGACCGUGUCCAGUAUUUUCCCAGGAACCAGGAAGAGCUUGAGGAAAUGGCUAAUGCGCGGGUUCCCGAUGAGUUCAUAUUUUGCAGAGAUGCUAACACACAUCGUAUGGAAUCAAGGGAGAACCGACGCCCGGCAGUAAGGCAAAGGCCACUUCCUCCAUGGUGCCCUCAAGGAUUAACCAAGACACAGAAAAGGAGGUUGCAACGAGAAAGGCAAGAGGAGUUAAAUAAAGGAGAGAGUUCUGAAAGUCGGCAGCCGGCAGACACUAAGAAGGAAGGUCCAUCGGCAGGCGUCAACAUGGUAUUCAUGUUGCCGAUGGAGUUUCUUGCACCAGCCAGUGACGAUGAGUUGGGAUUUUCUGAUCAGAUAGCUCAGUUGGCUCUGGAUCCGAUGACGGCUAUCUUUGAGAAACCUGCCGAUAACGAGAGGCAGCAUCUUAAAGCUUUGUUCCUCAAAGGAAGGGUUGAUGGGCAGCCAAUGACUAAGAUCCUAGUUGAUGGUGGAGCUGCUAUUAAUAUUAUGCCGUAUGCAGUAUAUCGGAAGCUUGGGAAAGGGGAUCAAGAUUUGACCAAGACCGAUAUGAUGCUCAAAGACUUUGAGGGAAACGUGUCUCCGGUCAAGGGGGCGAUAUGUGCAGAGUUGACCAUCGGCAGCAAAACCUUGCCGACAACCUUUUUCGUGAUCAGCGGAAAAGGUGCUUACAAUUUAUUAUUGGGGAGAGAUUGGAUUCAUGCCAAUUGUUGUGUCCCAUCUACAAUGCAUCAGUGCUUGGUUCAGUGGGUAGGUGACAAGAUUGAGAUCGUCCCAGGGGAUUCUUCUUAUGUUAUCGCAUCGGCAGAAGCGGAUACUUAUGAAAAGACUAGGUGCAUUUCAGGAGAAGUUUGGGAGAAAGAUUUUCUCAAAGUUGCCGAUUAUGAGAUUCCACCGAUCCAAGCAGUCGGUUCUGACGACGGUUUUUAAUGGAUAGAUUCGCCGAUGAUGGAAAAUUAGGCCAGGGAUUCACAUCGGCCGAUGAUUUGGUAGAAGUAGAUAUAGGUAGUGGUGAUAAGCCUAGGCCUACUUUUAUUAGUGCUAAACUAGAUCCUGAGUGUAAACGGCAAUUAACUAGUUUGUUAAAGGAAUAUAAAGAUUGCUUUGCUUGGGAUUAUACAGAGAUGCCUGGUUUAGACCGAUCAAUUGUUGAACAUCGGUUACCCAUCAAGUCUGGAUUUCGGCCACAUCAGCAACCUGCCCGCCGAUGUAAUCCUAACAUUCUACCUGAUAUUAAGGCCGAAAUCACUAAACUUAUUGAAGCUAAGUUUAUUCGGCAGUGUCGGUAUGCCGAAUGGAUUUCCAAUGUCGUCCCGGUUUACAAGAAGAACGGGAAGCUUCGGGUGUGCAUUGAUUUCAGGAAUCUCAAUAAAGCUACGCCGAUGGAUGGAUACCCAAUGCCUGUCGCCGAUCUACUGGUUGAUGCUGCGGCUGGCCAUCGGGUCAUCAGCUUCAUGGAUGGUAAUGCGGGUUACAAUCAAAUAUUCAUGGCAGAAGAGGAUAUUCCAAAAACCGCAUUCAGGUGUCCUGGUCAUGUUGGACUAUUUGAAUGGAUAGUCAUGACUUUUGGGUUAAGGAAUGCCGGUGCUACUUAUCAAAGGGCUAUGAAUUUUAUAUUUCAUGAGUUCAUCGGCAAGAUCGUAGAAAUUUAUAUUGAUGAUGUGGUGGUCAAGUCUGGAGAUUUCUCAAAGCAUCUUGCCGAUUUACGAAGAGUGUUGGAGUGCACAAGGAAGCAUGGAUUGAAGAUGAAUCCCAACAAGUGUGCAUUUGGUGUAUCGGCAGGGCAGUUUCUUGGUUUCAUGGUACAUCAGAGGGGUAUUGAAAUUAGUCGAAGAUCUAUUGAUGCCAUCAAUAAAAUAGUGGCCCCUACCAAUAAAACCGAGCUCCAAUCUUUGAACGGCAAAGUGAAUUUUAUCAGAAGAUUUAUAUCGAAUUUAUCUGGGAGAAUUCGUGCUUUCAGUCCUCUUCUAAAAUUGAGAGCCGAUCAGGAGUUUGUUUGGGGAGAAGAACAGCAGUUGGCUCUAGAUGAAAUCAAAAAGUAUCUAGUAAAUCCUCCAGUUUUAGUUCCACCUCAACAAGGGAAACCCUUCAAAUUAUACUUAUCUACCGAUGGAUCGGUUAUCGGCUCAGCUUUGGUUCAGGAAUUUGAAGGGAAAGAGAGAGUAAUUUAUUAUUUGAGUAGGAGGUUGAUUGAUGCUGAAACCAGGUAUUCGGCCAUCGAGAAGCUGUGCUUAUGCUUAUAUUUUUCAUGUAUCAAGCUAAGACAUUACCUAUUGUCGGCCGAAUGUGCUGUUAUUUGCAAAGAUGACGUAGUCCGAUACAUGCUAUCUAUGCCAAUUAUGAGUGGAAGGAUCGGUAAAUGGAUUUUAGCGCUGUCGGAAUUCGAUUUGCGUUACGAAUCGGCUAAGGCGGUCAAAGGGCAGGUUAUGGCCGAUUUUGUGACUCAACAUUGCGGCCUAGUGGAAACCUUGGAAAUUGCACCCUGGACGCUCUUCUUUGAUGGAUCUACCUGUGACCGGGGAGCAGGAAUCGGCAUUGUGUUAGUUUCUCCCAAGGGGAGGAAGUAUGAAUUUUCCUUACCGAUUGUUGCUACAUCAACAAAUAAUCAGGCUGAGUAUCAAGCUCUGAUCUAGGGAUUGGAGUUGUUAAGAGAAGUUCGUGCUGAUGCUGUUGAAGUAUUCGGGGAUUCCAUGUUGGUUAUAAAUCAAUUAGCCGGAAGCUAUGAAUGCCGAAGUGAAGUUCUCAUAACCUAUUUCGAGAAAAGUAUGCAACUGUUAAAGGAAUUCAAAAACUUCCGAUUGGAGCAUGUUCCCCGAUUGCAUAAUGAGGACGCUAAUCGGUUAGCCCAGCAUGCCUCUGGAUAUCAGCCAAUGAUUAAUGCAACAUCGGCAGUCAGUGCCGGUGACUGGAGGAAAGAGAUUGUCGACUAUCUAGAAGAUCCAUCUAAGAAAGUUGGAAGACGGGUUCGAUUUCAAGCGACCAAGUAUGUGCUCCUUGAAAAUGAAUUGUAUUAUCGAACUAUCGACGGAAUUCUUCUCCGAUGCUUGGGUGAUGAUGAAGCCAGAAGUUUAAUGGGGGAAAUCCAUGAAGGAGUGUGUGGAGCGCAUCAGUCAGCUUUCAAGAUGAAGUGGAUGAUUCGAAGGAAUGGAUAUUUUUGGCCAACCAUACUUGAAGAUUGUUUUAAAUAUUUCAAGGGAUGUCAAGGUUGUCAAAAGUUCGGUAAUAUCCAGAGAGCACCUGCAUCGGCUAUGAAUCCUAUAAUAAAACCUUGGCCGUUCCGGGGGUGGGCCAUCGAUCUGAUCGGCCAGAUUUAUCCACCAUCUAGCAAAGGGCAUAAGUUCAUUCUAGUUGCCACGGACUAUUUCACUAAGUGGGUCGAAGCUAUUCCCUUGAAGAAGGUCACAUCGGCCAAUAUGAUUGAUUUUGUGAAGGAGCAUAUUAUUUACCGAUUUGGGAUUCCCCAAACGAUUACUACCGAUCAGGGCACCAUGUUCACGUCAGGGGAGUUCGAUGAAUUCGCAAUCGGUAUGGGAAUUAAAGUGUUGAAUUCCUCUCCUUACUAUGCUCAAGCCAACGGGCAGGCCGAAGCGUCUAACAAAGGAAUUAUCAAGCUUAUUAAACGAAAGAUUGAAGAAAAUCCUAGGCGGUGGCAUACAUUGUUAAAUGAAGCACUGUGGUCUUAUCGGAUGGCUUGCCAUGGAUCAACCAAGGUGUCACCCUAUCAAUUGGUGUAUGGACAUGAUGCAGUAUUGCCUUGGGAGAUUAAGGCUGGAUCUAGGCAAUUAUCUUUUCAAGAUCAAUUGGCUGCCGAUGAUUAUGCCACUUUGAUGACCGAUGAGUUAGAUGAUUUAGCAGGACAUCGGUUAAAGGCCUUAAUGAGUAUAGAAGAAAAUAAGAAGAGAGUUGCUAGAUGGUAUGAUAAAAAAGUAAAGGCUAAGGAGUUUGCCGAUGGGGAUUUGGUAUGGAAGUUGAUUUUGCCAGUCGGGACUAAAAGUUCGAAGUUUGGGAAGUGGUCUCCUAAUUGGGAAGGUCCUUAUCGGAUAAGACAUUCAGCUCCUGGUAAUGCCUAUAUUCUAGAAACUCUCGAAGGAGUUGAAUUUCCCAGAGCAUUAAAUGGCAAAUAUUUGAAGAAGUACUACCCCAGCAUAUGGAUCGACGCAUGAAAGUUUAAGUGCCGAUAACACUCCUAUCGGCUGGAUAUAAAUGUUCGAGGGCAGACUUAAUGUUUCAAAAGAUGCCGAUAACAGUCUUAUCGGCUAGACUAAAAGCUGAAGGCGGAAAAACAAAGGUGUGUCGCCGAUGAAAGCUUCAGAUGCUCAGCAGCGAUUGGAUUGCUGAUAUGGCGCGCAGCCGAAUCUGGUUGGCUGUCUCUAUCUCUUUGAUAUCAUCAUCGGCAGAACCUUCGAUCGGCUUCAGCUUCCUCUUCAGUUGCAGCGCUUUGCGACCAUGGACGUUUCGUUCUUGUUCAAGAUGCUUGAUGGUCUCCGGCAGUUGACUCUCUUCUUGCUGGGCUUGGGACAGAGCGUCUUCUACUUGCUUGAGUUCAGCCAGUAGAGCUUCUCUUUUUGCCGAUAGAUCAGACACUUUCUGCUUCAGUACAUCACCUGAGGACUUUAAGGUGCCGAUGUUCUUAUGUUUCUCAUCGGCUAAAAGUUUUUCUUUCAUCAUCUCCUCAGAAAGCUGGAUUUGAGCAGCUCUAUCGGCAAGGCGUCGAGUAGCUCUCUGGUACUGUAGCUGGCGGCUUUCUAGAUGUGCAGCAUGGAAGAGUGUUUCUUCAGCAUCGGCAGGAAUUUGGCCUCUAAGGGUCUUGAACAGGGCCUUGGCUGGGUCAGAAUCGUUGACCAGUUGAGUUGUGUCUUGAUGAAGUAUGGCCGAUAGCUCCUCCAGCUUAGCUCUGGUUUCUGCCGAUACAAUUCCAACUGCCCGAGAGGAGCUUGCUUCCUCGCCUUCUUCUUCGAAGAUAUCAAUAGCGAAGGAGAACAAGCUAUUGGGAGAAUCUUGUUCCUGAAAAUAAAAAUGAAGUAGGUCAAUUUUAUGGUCAAAACUUCAGCAGACGAUACUGAUGGAAAAGUGGAUGACUUACUUGCUUCAAGGCGAUUUCUUGCCUUUGACUCAGAGAGGCCGAUGGAGCUGCAGGUUGAUCGGCAAAUGUUGCCGAUAGAGCGAUAUCGCCUAAAAGAAGACAGGAAAGAUUAUAAGAAUAAAUGAGAAUAAGUUUAUCGGUAGGAGUAUUGUUGAGAUAUGUUACCCGGAGGAGAAACAACAGUUGCCUGAAUCGAGGAAACCGCCGAUGAUGUAACUGUACCUGCCGGGCCAGUUGUUUGUUCACCUACAUCAGCUGAUAUACCUGCCGUUUGAGGUUCUUCCUGCUGGGGUUCUUCCAUCUGUGGUGCUUCCUGUGUUGGUUGUGGAGAUAGUACUUGCUGUGCCUGGACGUCUGGGGAAGAAGGGGAAGAUUCCACCGGGAUUGGAAACACCGGAGGAGGAGGAGGAGUUGCCACUUUCUGGCGCUUUGUUCCAGCCUUAGCACCGUGGAUACCCUUCCUCUUUGGCUGGCUAGACUGGGGGGCAUCGGCGCCUUGGCGUUUGACUUUUGCCGAUGCACCAGUUUGCUGCAACAACAAAAAGGAGGUUAUGAAUACAGAUAGCCGAUACAAAGAUAAGUCAGCGUAAAUGAAAAAAGGGUUUUAACAGAUUGCCUUGAAAGCUUGUGCCAGAGUGGAAGCAGUUACCGGUGGUGAUGUCUGAGUUUUCCUGGUGGUAACUUUCUUGAGGCGCGCACCCCGGUGCACGAUGGAAGCCAGAGUGGGAGCAUUAUGGCCGAUUGAGGAGAUCGGGCCUGAUGGGAAUAAGUCGAUCGGCUUGCCACUCCUACUAACUGAUGGGGGGGUGUUGUCAAUCUGCAAAAGGAAUACAGGGGUAAGUUACCGAUGGGAGUGAUAUUGGAAAAUGAGACAUCGGUUUAAAAUACUUACAGUGUCAUCAGGGACUUCAUAUUCGGGGUCGAUCAUGCUGCGGUAUGAGAGGGCUGAUCUGCAGAACAGAUUCUCUUUCCAUUCUGCCCACCAUAGCUUGUAUGCCUGAGUGAUAAAGGCGGCUGGAACCCAUUCUGACAGAUCUACAUCCGUAUCGGCAUUUGGUGGUAGCUGGGCUACUCGAGUCCACUCGAGGAGGUUGGCGAUGGGCUCUCUGGGCUUUAUUACAUCAGCAUAAGGAAGUGCAAUCGGCAAUUGGCCGAAAGCUAGCUGGCGAGCUAAUGCCGAUGGAUUAUAAAAUUCAUAGGUUUGGGGAGAGGUUUUCGUGCUACCGAAGAAAUUCACUGGUAUGGCUCUGGGGGUCACGAUUGCCAUCAUCACCUCAUUGUCCCUGUCAAGAGCUUCAUCAAAUGGAUUGAAGGUCAGAGGGAGCAUGCUGUCUGGGUCGUCAUAAGCCAGCCAUGGUCGUUCAUCUCUGGCCAGACCCUCAUACAGCGUCUCGAAGAAUCGGCCGAUCUGAUCCGGAGUGUUCCCUGAACCGGGUAAGACUAUAACAGCUUCGCCAAAGUUCAGGGGGGCACGUGUUGCCGAUUCCUCUUCACCCAACACAUGAUUCUCGGCUAUAUCUCUUGGGAAGUGCUGUGAGAACAAGUUGAGAUCAAGGCGCUUGUGCAGGUGCAGAUUGAGCCACAUAUUAAUAAACCACCAAGGACCUCCCAAGUUGCCGAUAGGUUGGCCGAGCAGGAGUUUCUGGACUACCUGAUGAAGAAGGUGAUAAACAGCGCCGAGCAAAUAACGGCCGAGAGGAAAUUGGCCGCCGCUAGCCAGUCUUUCUGCUGCCGAUAGAUAGACAGAAGUCGGUCCUGCCGAUCGACCACAGAAUACAAAAUUGUCUAGCCACAUGUUCAGAAAGGUGGUUUGUUCCUUUAUGGUGACAGGCCCUCUCCCGCGGUACUUCUGGAUGUACCCUGACCAACCGCCGAUAGCGCGAGUCUCCACUUUGGCACUAGGGGCGGUAUCAAAAAAAUGGGUGCUAUCGGCAGAAGAUAUAUCUAACCCAGUAAGCAUGGCUACAUCGGCAAGGGUAGGAGAAGCAGGACCGUGGCCAAAAACAAAAGCGUUGAGAGUGUCUGACCAAAAGUAAGAUGCAGCUAUCAGCAAUGACUCGUUCCUGUGCAUAUCGGCAAUGGACAGCCUAAUGCAUUGAGCUAAUUUCCUCUCACCCCAUUGAACUUCAUAAGAGUUGCUGACCCUCAAGAACCAGUCUUUCCACCCUACAGUAGGGCUGGGCCAAGAGCGAAAGGUGUCUUUCCAUAGAUCUAAAGCAAAGUUUUCAGCCCUAAAGGGAAUCCUGUUGGUUUCUGCAUUGAUAAGGUCGGUUGGAUCUGGAUCCCCUAGAGGGCCGAGGCAUUGAAGAUGUGGUUGAUCGGUAGGCAUGACAAUUUUGUUGGAUAACUCCUAGUGUUUUGGGGAAUAAAAAUACAAAGAAAAAGGAAAAGGAAAAUAUUCGGUAAGAAUGAAUCGCAGAUGAACAGGAAUGCAAGAAAAAGGUACAGCAGAUGAGAUGGAAGUCUGACCUCAGGGACGACGAAGCCAACGGCCAUCUUGUCGUGAAGAGGACGCUGGAGGGCGCCGGAGUUGAUGAAGAAGAAUGCUUGUCGGAGAUCUUGAGGAUUGAGAAUGGCGCCGCCGCUGGAAAAGUGAAGUUGGAUGGCAGAAUGAUGCAAUGGGGGAGGAGUACCCAAGAAGGAACUAUUUAUAGGACAAGAUGGACAAGGGCAAAUCUGACUUAUUUCUUUGCCGCAUCCGAGAAGCCCGAGGGUACUCAAGUGGAUACGGUAACUGUUUGCACGAUAAUCCAGGGAUUGUGCAGGUGAUUUGACAGGAAGCGGUCAUUAUCUAAAGAUAUUUUACUGUGCGCGAUCUCCUGGUCGGUCCAUCGGUGAUAUUCUAUAACGGUCGUCCUGCCGAUGGGCGGAUAGAGGGGAGGUAACCGUUUUUGCGAAUCUCCUGGGCAGAGCAUCGGCAGAUCUUUGUAACGGUAUUGUUGCCGAUGUACGACUAAGAGAGAUGCCCGUUUAGGAAGUUGGGGAUUUCGAGGGAUCUGCGGAGGAUUAGGAUCAGAGUUGUCCAGAUUGAGGUUGUCGGUUACCAGAUUAGGAGCAUUAAUUGCGGAGAAGACAUCAUUGCUGCAGAGAAUUUCGGAGCAUUAAUAGUUUUAUACUCCGAAACUGGGGGGCAUGUGUUGACACCAUUUUUGGGCACGUGUCCAGGAUGGCAGGAUAGGGUGGCAGUACGAUGCGGGUUGCUGAUAAGGAUGGUUGCCGAUGAGGGAAAGGUUGAAUGUGACUAAGUCCUCAGGCAGUAAUAUGGUGCCGAUGACCAAGUAAAAAGGUCUGCCGAUGACUAUGGCAAGGAGAUUGCCGAUGACGCGAAGGAGGAGUCCGGAAGCUGCCAGUUGUCAUGUGGAGGAGUUUCGGUUUGUCACGAAGGAUGGUUUUAUUAUUUCCUUAGUUAUUCGCAUCGUUUUGUAUACGGGUUCCGUGUAAUUUGGAAUUCGAAUUCUAAUCGUGUCUGGUCGUAGCUCUUUGAGCAGGGUAUAAAUAUAAGCCCUAGGACCUUGUAAUCAAGACAUCUAUCAAUCAAUCAAACACACGUUUUUACUCAUAUUCCAGCAUUUACUUUUUCGACGACUUCGUCAUACGUUUUCUUUUUGUUACGAGUUCUUAGGAAUUCGUCGACUCAAGCUCGGCGUAUCCUCAAGUUCCGCGUGAGUACCUCUUAGCCGUGACAUCCGGGCGCAUCGCUGUUGUCAGGACUAAAGUAUUCGAGUUAUCACCUUUGCCGAUAGUAAGGUCAAAUCAGCUGGCACGCCUUAACGUUUGGAUCGGGUAUUAGCCCUUUGUGUUUGCAGACUAGUUUUUGCAUCAACACCCGCAUCCCCAACACUACCACUAAAGGCUUCCCAUUCCAAAGAUAAAGUUUGGAGUCAUGCACGGCGCCAAAUCCAAGCCUAGCAUCAUCCUCUGUCGCCAUAAGUACAAUGCGCAGCCCAUGUUCAAGAUGGGAUAGUGGUAGGUCAAUGGUAAAAGUUGACCAUAAGCUCAUUUGGUAAGGCAGGUAGAAUGCAGACAUUUUUAAUGUGCUCAAAUCAUACUUGAUGAUUUUGGACCUGAAUGCUUGGAUGUAUAUCUCAAACUUGAAGUAAAGUGCAUUCCCCACAAGGGCAGCGUGUGCCAAGCAGUCCACAUCGUUAUGCUCAGAACAAAUGGUGGGCAGCCUCCGAUGAGUAGACGUGGCUGAAGAGCACCCCGUGGCCGCAGACCACCAAAUCCAUGAGGAAGGGUCCACGGCGGCAGUUGAGGUGGUCACAACCCACAGGGGCGUAGAGCACUGCCGCGUUCUAGCUAGUCCACUCAUAUUGCCUCGGCAACUCAGGCAGCUUUAGGUGAUCACCAGUGAUGGGAUCCUAGAUGAUGAGGGGAUCGUCGACAGGCCCACAGUCUUGGUCUAAGUUAGUAAGGAGGACACGGCCAUGGUAGGAGUCGAGCAUGAGCUUGCAGCGGUGGUCAGGGAGAGGCGAGCGGAAGCGGAGGGAGGACGUUAGGACAAGUCUUGGGUGUGUGGGUGAGGGUCUUGCAAAGUCUUCCUAGGCAUUCCCCACGAGAGGCAUGAGAGGUAUUUAUGGCGGAUACAUAUGACAUGGAGAGAUUAUGGUGGAGUGUCUUUGUGGGUGAAUCUUCAGGAUGGGAGGUGUUGUUUAGCAUAGGGCAUUGGAUUUCUUGUCAAGCAAGGUAUUGUUUGGCCUCUCAUGAAGGAUGUCUUGUUCGUCACACUAAGUGUAACAUCUCAACCUAGGUCUUAAUAAGAUUAAUAUGAUACUCAUAUAAACAAGGUGCAACUUCUUUUUUGGAAGUCUAUCUUCAAAGAAUUCUGAGGUUAAGCGUGCUUGGUCUAGAGAAACUUUGGGAUGGGUGACCGACCUGAAAGUUCUUCUCGAGUGUAUGAGUGAGGACAAAGUGUGCAGAAAAGACUGGUGUUCGUCUGUUAGGGCAGUCUAUGUUCUAAAAAAGCUGCCAAAUGUAAACAGGCCUAACAUUCCAGCCUAGGUCUUAGUAGGAGUAACAAGAUACUCAUAGAAACAAGUUCCAGAAGCCUAUCUCCAAAGAACUCUAAGGUUCAGCGUGCUUGGCCUAUAGAAAUUUCAGGAUGGGUGAACAACCAGAAAGUUCUUCUUGGGUGCGCAUGAGUGAGCCAAGCCUCGAAGAGGCAGGAUGUUACAUUACGGACUAGUAUGUUCUGGGGUCUUAGGAAGCCUUGCACCCCACUCGCUUUUUGUGUGUGAGAGAGACAAAUGUAGGACCAGCUAGGGCGAUACCACUACUACUUGGUUGUUAGCGGAUAGUGUAGGGAGGUAUCGGCAUGAGGACCCACACCCUCCGAAGACAACAUGGUGACAUUUAGAGGCCCAAUACUACAUCUCACAGUCUUAGCAUGCCAGUCGUACUCUAGUAUGUCUCCAUUUUGAGUGGUAGAAUGGCAUCGUGUUAGUUGGAAGGCAACCUGGCAUCAACCUAGGAGGGGCGCACAAUCGAUGAUGUUGAUCUUGUGGGUAGUGCAAACCUCUGUAGAUUUCUGGUUGAUCAAUCGAUACAUGUGUUUCCCUUGUGGCUAUGGACCUUUCUUAAGUAUAGCUUCACUUAACUAGUGAGAUGAGUCCCUUCUAUCUUCCCCCUAGAUUUGUUAAGGUGAUGGCUGUUGAGGCAAGACACGAGCAGGAGUCAUCCUUGUCGCAUAGAGAGUGAGAGGAUGGUGAGAUGUGCAUGAUGGGGUGGGAGAAUGUGUGGAUGAGAUGGACUAAAACUUGAUUUUCUAAAAUUAUAAAAUAUUGAUGAACUUGCAUAGGAAACCUACAGCCAUACAUAGGUCUUUUGAUCUACCCUUUUGCAUUUCCACUUACCACAAAGAAAUGCAAAAGCAUAGGGUGAAAGCCAAUGACCAGUACAAAUCGUACUAAAAAAUGUUUAGUAGGUUUUUGAUGUCUUCUACAAUGCUGACUACGAAGACUACAAGGGUUAGGUGGUCUCGUUCCUAUGCUCCAGUUUGGUUGAGAAGAUGAAGUCUACGUCCACUGACAUUCUACGCCGACUCUGAUGAUUGCCCAUAAAGGAGGAGCCUUCACCCCUAACAUGCUACAUUGACUCUAAUGAAGAUCCAUGUGCGUUUCCACGAGAAUAAUACUGUAAAUAGGUGUGUUUAUCAGUGUUGUAAUACCUUGUAAAUUUAUAAUUUCAUGAUGUACGACUAUGAUAACAGCUGUUAUUUGAUAAUGUGAUAGCUUAUUCUUGUGAACUAUCACAUUAUAAUUUGUAUCUAUGGAUUUUUGCUUCGUGGAAAAAUUGAGAUCUUUUCAAUCUCGUCGCCAAUUCAUGCCAUGAUCAGGUCUCACCGAUUGAGAUACUCCGUGAGGCCCGUUGCUGUUGCGAGUGCCGAGUCUAGAUACCAUAUAGCAACUUGUUGAUGCAAAACUGAUCUGCAAACACAAAGGGCUAAUACCCGAUUCAAACGUUAAGGCGUGCCAGCCGAUUUGACCUUGCUAUCGGCAAAGGUGAUAACUCGAAUACUUUAGUCCUGACAACAGCGAUGCGCCCGGAUGUCACGGCUAAGAGGUACUCACGCGGAACUCGAGAACACGCCGAGCUUAAGUCGACGAAUUCUUAAGAACUCGUAAUAAAAGGAAAAAAGUAUGACGAAGUCGUCGAAAAGUAGAUGCUGGAAUAUGAGUAAAAACGUGUGUUUGAUUGAUUUCUUGAUUCUUUGAUUACAAGGUCCUAGGGUUUAUAUUUAUACCCUGCUCAAAGAGCUACGACCAGACAUGAUUAGAAUUCGAAUUCCAAAUUACACGGAAUCCGUAUACAAAACGAUGCAAAUAACUAAGGAAAUAAUAAAACUAUCCUUCGUGACAAACCGAAACUCCUCCACAUGACAACUGGCAGCUUCCGGACUCCUCCCUCGCGUCAUCGGCAAUCCCCUUGCCAUAGUCAUCGGCAGACCUUUUUAUCCAGUCAUCGGCACCAUAUUACUGCCUGUGGACUUAGUCACAUUCAACCUCUCCCUCAUCGGCAACCAUCCUCAUCAGCAACCCGCAUCGUACUGCCACCCUAUCCUGCCAUCCUGGACACGUGCCCAAAAAUGGUGUCAACACAUGCCCCCCAGUUUUGGAGUAUAAAACUAUUAAUGCUCCGAAAUUCUCUGCAGUAAUGAUGCCUUCUCCGCAAUUAAUGCUCCUAAUCUGGUAACCGACAACCUCAAUCUGGACAACUCUGAUCCUAAUCCUCCGCAGAUUCCUCGAAAUCCCCAACUUCCUAAACGGGCAUCUUUCUUGGUCGUACAUCGGCAACAAUACCGUUACAAAGAUCUGCCGAUGCUCUGACCAGGAUAUUCGCAAAAACGGUUACCUCCCCUCUAUCCGCCCAUCGGCAAGAUGACCGUUAUAGAAUAUCGCCGAUGGACCGACCAGGAGAUCUCGCACAGUAAAAUAUCUUUAGAUAAUGACCGCUUCCUGUCAAAUCACCUCCACAAUCCCUGGAUUACCGUGCGAACAGUUACCAUAUCCACCUGAGUACCCUCGGGCUUCUCGGAUGCGGCAAAGAGAAAAGUCGGAUUUGCCCUUGCCCAUCUUGUCCUAUAAAUAGUUCCUUCUUGGGUACUCCUCCCCCAUUACACCAUUCUACUAUCCAACUUUGCUUUUCCAGCGGCGGCGCCAUUUACAACCCUCAAGAUCUCCGACAAACACUCCUCUUCAUCAACUCCGGUGCCCUCCAACGUCCUCUUCACGACAAGAUGGCCAUUGGCUUCGUCGUCCCUGAGGUCAGACUUCCAUCUCAUCUCCUGUACCUUUUCUCGCAUUCCUGUUCAUCUGCGAUUCAUCUUACUGAAUAUCUUCCUUUUCCUUUUUCUUUGUAUUUUUAUUCCCCAAAACACUAGGAAUUGUCCAACAAAAUUGUCAUCCCUACCGAUCAACCACACCUUCAGUACCUCGGCCCUCUAGGGAAUCCAGAUCCAACCGACUUUAUCAAUGCAGAAACCAACAGAUUCCCUUUAGAGCCGAAAACUUUUCUUUAGAUCUGUGGAAAGACACCUUUCGCUCUUGGCCCAGCCCUACUGUAGGGUGGAAAGAUUGGUUCUUGAGGGUCAGCAAUUCUUUUGAAGUCCAGUGGGGUGAGAGGAAGCUAGCUCAAUGCAUUAGGCUAUCCAUUGCCGAUAUGCACAGGAACGAGUCGCUGCUGAUAGCUGCAUCCUACUUUUGGUCAGACACUCUCAAUGCUUUUGUUUUUGGCCACGGCCCUGCUUCUCCUACCCUUGCCGAUGUAGCCAUGCUCACUGGGCUAGAUAUAUCUUCUGCCGAUAGCACCCAUUUUUUUGAUACUGCCCCCAGUGCCAAAGUGGAGACUCGCGCUAUCGGCGGUUGGUCAGGGUACAUCCAGAAGUACCGCGGGAAAGGGCCUGUCACCAUAAAGGAGCAAACCACCUUUUUGAACAUGUGGCUGGACAAGUUAGUAUUCUGUGGUCGAUCGGCAGGACCGACUUCUGUCUAUCUAUCGGCAGCAGAAAGACUGGCUAGCGAUGGCCAAUUUCCUCUCGGCCGAUAUUUGCUCGGCGCUGUUUACCACCUUCUUCAUCAGGUUGCCCAGAAACUCCUGCUUGGCCAAUCCAUCGGCAACUUGGGAGGCCCCUGGUGGUUUAUUAAUAUGUGGCUCAAUCUGCACCUGCAUAAGCGCCUUGAUUUCAACUUAUUCUCACAGCACUUCCCAAGAGAUAUAGCCGAGAAUCAUGUGUUGGGUGAAGAGGAAUCGGCAACGCGUGCCCCCUUGAACUUUGGCGAAGCCGUUAUAGUCUUACCCGGUUCAGGGAACAAUCCAGAUCAGAUCGGCCGAUUCUUCGAGACUCUGUAUGAGGGUCUGGCCAGAGAUGAGCGACCAUGGCUGGCUUAUGACGACCCAGACAGUAUGCUCCCUCUGACCUUCAAUCCAUUUGAUGAAGCUCUCGACAAGGACAAUGAGGUGAUGAUGGCAAUUGUGACUCCCAGAGCCAUACCAGUGAAUUUCUUCGGUAGCACAAAAACCUCUCCCCAAUCCUAUGAAUUUUAUAAUCCAUCGGCAUUAGCUCGCCAGCUAGCUUUCGGCCAGUUGCCGACUGCACUUCCUUAUACCGAUGUGACAAAGCCCAGAGAACCCAUCACCAACCUUCUCGAGUGGACUCGAGUAGCCCAGCUACCACCAAAUGCCGAUACAGAUGUAGAUCUGUCAGAAUGGGUUCCAGCUGCCUUUAUCACUCAGGCAUACAAGCUAUGGUGGGCAGAAUGGAAAGAGAAUCUAUUCUGCAGAUCGGCCCUCUCAUACCGCAGCAUGAUCGACCCCGAAUACGAAGUCCCUGAUGACACUGUAAGUAUUUUAAACCGAUGUCUCAUUUUCCAAUACUAUUUCCAUUGGUAACUUACCCCUGUAUUCCUUUUGCAGGUUGACAACACCCCCCCAUCGGUUAGUAGGAGUGGCAAGCCGAUCGACUUGUUCCCAUCAGGCCCGAUCUCCUCAAUCGGCCACAAUGCUCCCACUCUGGCUUCCAUCGUGCAUCGGGGUGCGCGCCUCAAGAAAGUUACCACCAGGAAAACUUAGACAUCGCCAACGGUAGCUGCUUCCACUCUGGCGCAAGCUUUCAGGGCAAUUUGUCAAACCCUUUUCAUUUACGCUAACUAUCUUUGUAUCGGCUAUCUGUGCUCAUAAACUCCUUUUUGUUGUUGCAGCAAACUGGUGCAUCGGCAAAAGCCAAACGCCAUGGUACCGAUGCCCCCCAGUCUAGCCAGCCCAAGAGGAAGGGCACCCAGGGUGCUAAGGCUGGAACAAAGCGCCAGAAAGUGGCAACUCCCCCUCCUCCUCCGGUAUUUCCAAUCCCGGUGGAAUCUUCCCCUUCUUCUCCAGAAGUCCAGACACAGCAAGCACCAUCUCCCCAACCAAUGCAGGAAGCACCACAGAUGGAAGAACCCCAGCAGGAAGAACCUCAAACAGAAGGUACAUCAUCUGACGUGGGUGAACAAGCAACUGGCCCGGCAGGUCCAGUUAUAUCAUCGGCGGCUUCCCCGAUUCAGAUAACUGUUGUUCCUCCUCCAGGUAACAUAUCUCAACAAUACUUCCGCCGAUAAACUUAUUCUCAUUUAGUCUCAUAACCCUUCCUGUCUUCUUUCAGGCGAUAUCGUUCCAUCGGCAACAUUUGCCGAUCAACCUGUAGCUCCAUCGGCAUCUUUGAGUCAAAGGCAAGAAAUCGCCUUGAAGCAAGUAAGUCAUCCAAUUUUCCACCAGUAUCGUCUGCCGAAGUUUUGACCAUAAAAAUGACUUAUUUCAUCUUCAUUUUCAGGAACAAGAUUCUCCCGACAGCUUAUUCUCCUUCGCCAUUGAUAUCUUCGAAGAAGAAGGCGAGGAAGCAAGCUCCUCUCGGGCAGUUGGAACUGUAUCGGCAGAAACCAGAGCUAAGCUGGAAGAGCUAUCGGCCAUACUUCAUCAAGACACAACUCAACUGGUCAACGAUUCUGACCCAGCCAAGGCCCUGUUCAAGACCCUUAGAGGCCAAAUUCCUGCCGAUGCUGAAGAAACCCUCUUCCAUGCUGCACACCUAGAAAGCCGCCAGCUACAGUACCAGAGAGCCACUCGACGCCUUGCCGAUAGAUCCGCUCAAAUCCAGCUUUCUGAGGAGAUGAUGAAAGAAAAACUCUUAGCCGAUGAGAAACAUAAGAACAUCGGCACCUUAAAGUCCUCAGGUGAUGCACUGAAGCAGAAAGUAUCUGAUCUAUCGGCAAAAAGAGAAGCUCUACUGGCCGAACUCAAGCAAGUAGAGGAUGCUCUGUCCCAAGCCCAGCAAGAAGAGAGUCAACUGCCGGAGACCAUCAAGCACCUUGAACAAGAACGAAACGUCCAUGGUCGCAAAGCGCUGCAGCUGAAGAGGAAGCUGAAGCCGAUAGAAGGUUCUGCCGAUGAUGAUAUCAAAGAGAUAGAGACAGCCAAUCAGAUUCGGCUGCGCGCCAUAUCAGCAAUCCAAGCGCUGCUGAACAUCUGAAGCUUUCAUCGGCAACACACCUUUGUUUUUCCGCUUUUAGCUUUUAGUCUAGCCGAUAAGACUGUUAUCGGCAUCUUUUGAAACAUUAAGUCUGCCCCCAAACAUUUAAAUCCAGCCGAUAGGAGUGUUAUCGGCACUUAAACUUUUAUGCAUCGACCCAUAUGCUGGGGUAGUACUUCUUUAAAUAUUUGCCAUUUAAUGCUCUGGGAAAUUCAACUCCUUCGAGAGUUUCUAGAAUAUAGGCAUUACCAGGAGCUGAGUGUCUUAUCCGAUAAGGACCUUUCCAAUUAGGAGACCACUUCCCAAACUUCGAACUUUUAGUCCCGACUGGCAAAAUCAACUUCCAUACCAAAUCCCCAUCGGCAAACUCCUUAGCCUUUACUUUCUUAUCAUACCAUCUAGCAACUCUCUUCUUAUUUUCUUCUAUACUCAUUAAAGCCUUUAACCGAUGCCCUGCUAAAUCAUCUAACUCAUCGGUCAUCAAAGUGGCAUAAUCAUCGGCAGCCAAUUGAUCUUGAAAAGAUAAUCGCCUAGAUCCAGCCUUAAUCUCCCAAGGCAACACUGCAUCAUGUCCAUAUACCAAUUGAUAGGGUGACACCUUGGUUGAUCCAUGACAAGCCAUCCGAUAAGACCAUAGUGCUUCAUUUAACAAUGUAUGCCACCGCCUAGGAUUUUCUUCAAUCUUUCGUUUAAUAAGCUUGAUAAUUCCUUUGUUAGACGCUUCGGCCUGCCCAUUGGCUUGAGCAUAGUAAGGAGAAGAAUUCAACACUUUAAUUCCCAUACCGAUUGCGAAUUCAUCGAACUCCCCCGACGUGAACAUGGUGCCCUGAUCGGUAGUAAUCGUUUGGGGAAUCCCAAAUCGGUAAAUAAUAUGCUCCUUCACAAAAUCAAUCAUAUUGGCCGAUGUGACUUUCUUCAAAGGAAUAGCUUCGACCCACUUAGUGAAAUAGUCAGUGGCAACUAGAAUGAACUUAUGCCCUUUGCUAGAUGGUGGAUAAAUCUGGCCGAUCAGAUCAAUGGCCCAUCCCCGGAACGGCCAAGGUUUUAUUAUAGGAUUCAUAGCCGAUGCUGGUGCUCUCUGGAUAUUACCGAACUUUUGACAACCUUGACAUCCCUUGAAAUAUCCAAAACAAUCCUCAAGUAUGGUUGGCCAAAAAUAUCCAUUCCUUCGAAUCAUCCACUUCAUCUUAAAAGCUGACUGAUGCGCUCCACACACUCCUUCAUGGAUUUCCCCCAUCAAACUUUUGGCUUCAUCAUCACCCAAGCAUCGGAGAAGAAUUCCGUCGACAGUUCGAUAAUACAAUUCAUUUUCAAGGAGCACAUACUUGGUUGCCUGAAAUCGAACCCGUCUUUCAACUUUUUUGGAUGGAUCUUUUAGAUAAUCAAUAAUUUCUUUCCUCCAAUCACCGGCACUGACUGCCGAUAUCGUAUUAAUCAUUGGCUGAUAUCCCGAGGCAUGCUGGGCUAACCGAUUAGCGUCUUCAUUAUGCAAUCGGGGAAUAUGCUCCAAUCGGAAGUCCUUGAAUUCCUUUAACAGUUGCAUACUUCUCUCGAAAUAGAUUAUGAGAACUUCACUUCGGCAUUCAUAGCUUCCGACCAAUUGAUUUAUAACCAACAUAGAAUCCCCGAAUAUUUCAACAGCAUCAGCACGAACUUCUCUUAACAACUCCAAUCCCUUGAUCAGAGCUUGAUACUCAGCCUGAUUAUUUGUUGAUGUAGCAACAAUCGGCAAGGAAAACUCAUACUUCCUCCCCUUAGGAGAAACUAAUACAAUGCCGAUUCCUGCUCCCCGGUCACAGGUAGAUCCAUCAAAGAAGAGCGUCCAGGGUGCAAUUUCCAAGGUUUCCACUAGACCGCAAUGCUGAGUCACAAAAUCGGCCAUAAUCUGCCCUUUGACUGCCUUAGCCGAUUCGUAACGCAAAUCGAACUCCGACAGCGCUAAAAUCCAUUUACCGAUCCUACCACUCAUAAUCGGCAUAGAUAGCAUGUAUCGGACCACGUCAUCUUUGCAAACAACAGCACAUUCGGCCGACAACAGGUAAUGUCUCAGCUUGAUACAUGAAAAAUAUAAGCAUAAGCACAGCUUCUCAAUGGCCGAAUACCUGGUUUCAGCAUCAAUCAACCCUACUCAAAUAAUAAAUUACCCUCUCUUUCCCUUCAAAUUCUUGAACUAAAGCUGAACCGAUAACCGAUCCAUCGGUAGAUAAAUGCAAUUUGAAGGGCUUCCCUUGUUGAGGUGGAACUAAAACUGGAGGAUUCACUAGAUACUUCUUGAUUUCAUCCAGAGCCAACUGCUGUUCUUCUCCCCAAACAAACUCUUGAUCGGCUUUCAAUUUAAGAAGAGGACUGAAAGCACGAAUCCUCCCAGAUAAAUUCGAUAUAAAUCUUCUGAUAAAAUUUACCUUGCCGAUCAAGGAUUGGAGCUCGGUUUUAUUGGUAGGGGCCACUAUUUUAUUGAUGGCAUCAAUAGAUCUUCGACUAAUUUCAAUACCCCUCUGAUGUACCAUGAAACCAAGAAACUGCCCUGCCGAUACGCCAAAUGCACACUUGUUGGGAUUCAUCUUCAAUCCAUGCUUCCUUGUGCACUCCAACACUUUUCGUAAAUCGGCAAGAUGCUUUGAGAAAUCUCCAGACUUAACCACCACAUCAUCAAUAUAAAUCUCUACGAGCUUGCCGAUGAACUCAUGAAAUAUAAAAUUCAUAGCCCUUUGAUAAGUAGCACCAGCAUUCUUUAACCCAAAAGUCGUGACUAUCCACUCAAAUAGUCCAACAUGACCAGGACACCUGAAUGCGGUUUUUGGAAUAUCCUCCUCUGCCAUGAAUAUUUGAUUGUAACCUGCAUUACCAUCCAUGAAGCUGAUGACCCGAUGGCCAGCCGCAGCAUCAACCAGUAGAUCGGCGACAGGCAUUGGGUAUCCAUCCAUCGGCAUAGCUUUAUUGAGAUUCCUGAAAUCAAUGCACACCCGAAGCUUCCCGUUCUUCUUGUAAACCGGAACAACAUUGGAAAUCCAUUCGGCAUACCGACACUGCCGAAUAAGCUUAGCUUCAAUAAGUUUAGUGAUUUCGGUCUUAAUAUCAGGUAGAAUGUUAGGAUUACAUCGGCGGGCUGGUUGCUGAUGUGGCCGAAAUCCAGACUUGAUGGGUAACCGAUGUUCGACAAUUGAUCGGUCUAAACCAGGCAUCUCUGUAUAAUCCCAAGCAAAGCAAUCUUUAUAUUCCUUUAACAAACUAGUCAAUUGUCGCUUACACUCCGGAUCUAAUUUAGCACUAAUAAAAGUAGGCCUAGGCUUAUCACCACUACCUAUAUCUACUUCUACCAAAUCAUCGACCGAUGUGAACCCCUGGCCUAAUUUUCCAUCAUCGGCGAAUCUAUCCAUUAAAAACCGUCGUCAGAACCGACUGCUUGGAUCGGUGGAAUCUCAUAAUCGGCAACUUUGAGAAAAUCUUUCUCCCAAACUUCUCCUGAAAUGCACCUAGUCUUUUCAUAAGUAUCCGCUUCUGCCGAUGCGAUAACAUAAGAAGAAUCCCCUGGGACGAUCUCAAUCUUGUCACCUACCCACUGAACCAAGCACUGUUGCAUUGUAGAUGGGACACAACAAUUGGCAUGAAUCCAAUCUCUCCCCAAUAAUAAAUUGUAGGCACCUUUUCCGCUGAUCACGAAAAAAGUUGUCGGCAAGGUUUUGCUGCCGAUGGUCAACUCUGCACAUAUCGCCCCUUUGACUGGAGACACGUUUCCUUCAAAGUCUUUGAGCAUCAUAUCGGUCUUGGUCAAAUCUUGAUCCCCUUUUCCAAACUUCCGAUAUAUUGCAUACGGCAUAAUAUUAAUAGCAGCUCCACCAUCAACUAGGAUCUUAGUCAUUGGCUGCCCAUCAACCCUUCCUUUGAGGAACAAAGCUUUAAGAUGCUGCGUCUCGUCAUCGGCAGGUUUCUCAAAGAUAGCCGUCAUCGGAUCCAGAGCCAACUGAGCUAUCUGAUCAGAAAAUUCCAGGUCAUCGUCACUGGCUGGUGCAAGAAACUCCAUCUACAACAUGAAGACCAUGUUGACGCCUGCCGAUGGACCUUCCCUCUUAGUGUCUGACGGCUGCCGACUUCCAGAGUUCUCUCCUUUAUUUAGCUCUUCCUGUCUUUCACGUUGCAAUCUCCUUUUCUGUGUCUUGGUUAAUCCUCCAGGGCACCAUGGAGGAAGUGGCUUCUGCCUUGCUGCCGGGCGUCGGUUCUCCCUUGACUCCAUACGAUGUGUGUUAGCAUCUCUGCAAAAUAUGAACUCAUCGGGAACCCGCGCAUUAGCCAUCUCCUCGAGCUCUUCCUGGUUCCUGGGAAAAUAUUGGACACGGUCACCGAACCGAUUGUGAACGCUAAGCCUGCCCCCCAGCCGAUCAUGAACUGACGCCCUUCCUCUGAUUGGCCCAUUAAAUCGUCGUUCAUCAUCAUGAUAACGCCGAUCGGUUCUAUCGUACCGAUCAUAACCGUUGCACUCAGGGCAGUCUCUGACAGUAGGAAGCUUGAUAUUUUCCUCUCAACAAUGGAUGAAGAAUGGACAAUUCCAAUGAUCCCUGUGCCGAUUCCACUCCUGUCGGCGUCUUUCUUCUUCCCGUCGAUAAUCUUCCUGCUGGCACCGAUACCGAUCUUCCCGUUGUUGCCAAUUUCCUCGUGGCCUUCUAUGAGUUAUGACGAUACCAGACCGAGGAGGCCUUCCUGAGCUAGUUCCUUCCUGGACCAAGCCCUUAUUUCUUACAUCGGCAGUAGUAACUUGAUGCUGAGGAUCUACCGAUGCACUCUUCUCAGCUGUCUCCGAUGUUAAGACCUUAGCCUUCCCCUUAGCAUCCAACAUGUUUGUCGGGAAAGGAUGUUGGUCUAUCUUCAUCGGCUUCUGGGCUUUGGAACUGUCAAAUUUGAUUCUCCCUGACUCUAUAGCCGAUUGCAGCUGCUGUCUGAAUACUUUGCACUCGUUGGUGUCAUGGGAAGUUGCAUUAUGCCACUUGCAAUAUCUCAUCCUCUUCAACUCUUCUGCCGAUGGGAUCACAUGGUUAGGUGACAGUUUGAUCUGACCUUCCUGAAGUAGAAAGUCAAAUAUCCUAUCGGCCUUGGCGGUAUCAAAGGCGAACUUCUCUGGUUCCUUCUGCCCAAAAGGACAAGACAUCGGCUUCUUGUUUUUUACCCACUCUGCCAAACCGAUUACUGGUUCCUCAUCGGAAUCUGAGCUUGUUGCUUCAUCAACAAAUGACACUUUCUUAUUCCAUGUCCUCUUAGGCUCGAAAGGCUUGAUGUCUUGAUCAGAUAUCCUCUGCACCAAAUGACUUAAACUUUCGAACUCCUGAGAGGCAUACUUAUCCCUGAUAUGUGCCAACAAACCCUGGAACGCCAAAUCGGCUAGCUACCGAUCAUCCAGAACCAGGCUAUAGCAUUUAUUCUUGACCUCUCGUAUCCUCUGCACAAAUCCCUCAACCGACUCAUCAUUACGUUGCCUCAACUUGACCAAGUCGGUGAUCUUCUUCUCAUGAACCCCCGAGAAAAAGUAUUUGUGGAAUUGCUUCUCUAGAUCGGCCCAAGUAAUUACUGAGUUGGGAGGUAAUGAUAUGAACCAAGUAAAGGCCGAUCCAGACAAUGAUGAUGAAAAUAGACGAACCCUCAAUUCGUCCCUGUUACCAGCCUCUCCACAUUGAAUAAUGAACCUGUUGACAUGCUCCAUGGUUGACGUGUCGUCCUGUCCGGAAAACUUUGUAAAAUCCGGUACCUUGUACCGAUGUGGAAGCGGGAUCAAAUCAUACGCUGGAGGAUACGGUGUCCGAUAAGAAUAAGUGUUGACUUUGGGUUUUAUCCCAAAUUGUUCCCUCAUUACUUCAGCAAUCUUAUCGGCCCAAUACGCAUCGGCAUCUUGCCGUUGAGGCGGCUGCGGAUCUGGCACUUGGUGGCGAACCUCCACGUGUCUGUUUGGGACGUGACCUGCAUGGAACAUUGUAUUGGUCACCUGUCCUCCAAUCUGCGGACUACCAAACUGCUGUCCACUGAUUGGCUGUCCUCCGAGUUGCUGUCCAAAAUUUAUUGGCUGGUUGGGAAUCCCCUGACCUUGGAACCCGGGAUAAACCUGCCCUUGCUGGAACCCUGUAGUCUGAUAACCCUGCUGGGGUGAUUGUGGAAAGGCUUGCUGUCCAAGCCAUCCAUUAUUAGCGUUCAUCGGCAUAGGUGCUGCCGAUGAUUGGUAAUUGGGUACCGUCGUUGAAUUGACAUACCCCGACUGGGCCAUAGGCCUCUGUUGCAUCAACAUUGACUCUGCCGAUGCGUUGGGCAUCUGAAACAUUGAAUCUUGAGGAUUCCCAGUGUGAGGCCUUGCAGUAGUAGUUGUGGUAUACCGAGGACUCUGGUUCACCGGCGCAUUGGGAGGUGCCGAUGUCAUAGGAGUUUUGCCCCUCAUGUCAGUUAUUUGUGAUGUUCCCGGCGUCAACUCUGGAGGCAUACCAUAACCCCACCAGUUGGGAGGAAGAGUUAACCCUGACAUUGCCGAUGCCAACAUAUCUGUUGUCAGUUUAUGCUGCCCAACUGAAAUUUGUGGGUUGGUUGCCAUCGGCAUAGAUAGUGCACCAGUAGUCCCCAAUGUACUUGGAGGGACGGCAGACUGUGCACUUGCAUUCGUCAAGGCAGCCGAUGGAGCAGUGACCUCUGGUGCCGUUGGCUGAUGAUGGGAGGGCCCCACAUAAUCUGGCGGGAUUUGUCCUUCCUUGAAAGUUCUUGCCACGGUGUUGAAAACCGUAUUAGACAGUACACCAGCUUGGUUAAUCAACGCUCGAUUGAUGGCAUUGUCAACCAUAUCUUGAAGCUUGCGAGGAUUGGCGUCAAAGGUGACCUGCCGUGGUGCCGGCAGUGCAUCUUUCUGGACCACUUCGCCGCUCCUGUUUAUGCUGAAAGACCUCAGGCAUUGUUGCUUGAACUCUUCCAUGGCUUGGGCAAUAGCUUGCUUUUGCUCAUCCUUGAGGUUGGCUUCCGUCACGGGGAUGACGUUCUCUUGAUCGAGGUCAGAGAUCGACAUGUUGAUCUUGAUCUUGAAUCUAUCCCACCAGGCGUGCCAAAAGAUGUGUUGAUGCAAAACUGAUCUGCAAACACAAAGGGCUAAUACCCGAUUCAAACGUUAAGGCGUGCCAGCCGAUUUGACCUUGCUAUCGGCAAUGGUGAUAACUCGAAUACUUUAGUCCUGACAACAGCGAUGCGCCCAGAUGUCACGGCUAAGAGGUACUCACGCGGAACUCGAGAACACGACGAGCUUAAGUCGACGAAUUCUUAAGAACUCGUAAUAAAAGGAAAAAAGUAUGACGAAGUCGUCGAAAAGUAGAUGCUGGAAUAUGAGUAAAAACGUGUGUUUGAUUGAUUUCUUGAUUCUUUGAUUACAAGGUCCUAGGGUUUAUAUUUAUACCCUGCUCAAAGAGCUACGACCAGACACGAUUAGAAUUCGAAUUCCAAAUUACACGGAAUCUGUAUACAAAACGAUGCAAAUAACUAAGGAAAUAAUAAAACUAUCCUUCGUGACAAACCGAAACUCCUCCACAUGACAACUGGCAGCUUCCGGACUCCUCCCUCGCGUCAUCGGCAAUCCCCUUGCCAUAGUCAUCGGCAGACCUUUUUAUCCAGUCAUCGGCACCAUAUUACUGCCUGUGGACUUAGUCACAUUCAACCUCUCCCUCAUCGGCAACCAUCCUCAUCAGCAACCCGCAUCGUACUGCCACCCUAUCCUGCCAUCCUGGACAUGUGCCCAAAAAUGGUGUCAACACAACUAUUGACAAAAGCUGAUCAGCAGUCUACCUUGGGGUAUUCAGGUUCGGCCGCUGUGUGGGCGUAAUACCUACGUCCUGCGUCUGAUUGUAUUGCUAUGGAUUGUGUUGAGUUGAGAUUAGAUGUGCUAGGGGGGUCCCUUGCCUCUCCUUAUAUAGUUCAGAGGGUAGGGUUACAGAUCUGGAAAACUAAUCCUAGUCGGUUACAAUUGCCAUAGAUAGUACGAUAUCAAUUCCUAUUCUAACCGACUAGAAUCCUGCUUGAUCUCCACGUCUUGUUUCCUUGCGCGAAACUCCGAUGAGUCAGAUCAAGCCUUGAACUCGUCUUGUAAUGGGCCAAGCCUCCUAGCCCAAGUCUAGCCAUAAGGGUAUAGGGGUUUAUACCCCCACAGCUAGUCCCCGAGCUCCAUGUAUUAUGAUGCAACACACCGUCUUGAGCUUCUUCGAUCAGCGAGACUUGACAUCUUCAACAAUCAGGAAAGUCGCUCGAAUGAUUGUAACGAUACUUUGACCAAUCUUGAAAACCAUUCGACCAACAUCAACAUCGAAGAAUCCGGUUGCUCGACGAAUGCAUGGCGCUCUUGAGAAAAAAUAUUUAUUUUCUGAUGAAGUGUGCCCACUUUACUUUUCUGCUUAGUAAAGUUCGCCAAAAAGAAGCAAAUUCACCGCGAGGUGAAGUGUGCCCACUUAGUCCCCGAGCCUGGUAGUAGGUGACGUAGGCAUGUGGUGCUAGGGUCUAAGAAGAGAAAACAUUUUAAAAUUUCUGAUACUAACAUGCAUCGCUACAUGCAUCGUACCGAUGUAGUCCCCGAGCUUGCUGGAAGGCGAAGUAUGAGCCUUGUAGCAAGGUCUAAAAGAAUUAAAAUUAUCUGAGUUGCCAUUGUGCAGUUUGAUUUUCAGCGCCAAAAUCGUGUUGCUAUUUUUGUGUCUGAGAGAACCAAUUAACCAAUCCCCGAGUACGUCAUGCUCGAGGUUUGGCACAAUCCCUAGAUUUUCAAAAGAUGAGACUAAAUAGCCAGUCCCCGAAUAUGGCGUACUCGGUUGUCAAUGCAAUCACAGAUUGUCGAAAGGGCAGACUGGUCGACCAGUCCCCGAGCAUCUCAUGCUUGGUGGUCGGUACAGUGCCCAUGAUAUCAAAUGGGCAGACUGGUCGACCAGCCCCAGAGCAUCUCAUGCUUGAUGGUCGGUACUGUCCCCGGGAUAUCAAGUGGGCUGACUGAUCGACCAGUCCUUGAGCAUCUCAUGCUUGGUGGUCGGUACAGUCCCCGGGAUAUCAAGUGGGCAGACUGGUCGAGCAGUCCCUGAGCAUCUCAUGCUCGGUGGUCGGUACAGGCCCCAAGUAUAUCAUGUUUGUCAGACCAAAAAGUUCUACUUUUCUUUUUUAAAAAACUGUAUCGCCGUAUUAAUGUGUGAUGUGACGGAUCAUCCUACCAUUUUGUCAGGCUGUUGCAUAGAAAGGCACGCCUAUUAACUGCGCAGCCUUUCCUUGCGUGGUCCAAGAAAAGGUUUAGUUGGAUAGACCAUCCAUAAUACACUUGUCAAGUGGCAGAGCUGAUGAGCCUGAUCGACUGGUCCUGCCUGGACGGUCCUGGAGUGGUCGGGAACUUCCUUGUGCGACGAGUGAUGCCUUGCCAGAGGAGGGUGCACUCGGCAUACGAGUACGCAGGAAGCCAGGACCCGACCAAGAUGCACAGGGAUGGUUUAGAAAAGGUAGAGGUCCAGCAGUUGAUGAACGAGCUGUUCAACCUGACCGACGAUAACUUCGUUAGAAGUGAUGACCGGAUGCAUGCCUUUAAGCUUGGCCGACCAGCUCCUAAGGUAAAUGAAUGCAUUUGUAUAAUUUUAUUGCUAUGUAAAUAUUGUAGCCUUUUGACUGAUGACUUGUCGUUGUUGUACUACAGAUAGGAGAUACUGACCUGUGCUCGGUGUAUAUAUCGCUGGCACCCGGUAUGGACCAUCCCGCUGGGGUGGUACCCCCGGCAGACGAUGUUGCUCGGUGUCUCCAAUACACUAGCAGCGAAGAAGACCGACUGCUAAAGACAGGGCAGCUAGGAAAAGGCCAGUAGCUGUGAAGCCAUCCCCUACGGAGGAAAUACCGGCGGAGACCAGCCAGGCCCCGAAGCAUCGCCGGCUCGUGAGGAUUGCCGAUGAUGAGGACAAAGAGGACUAGGCUGCUCCUUUUGUCUGAAGACCGCGCAUCCAUCCUGACGUCUCGCCGAUCGGUACUGGUCGGGUAACCAAUGAUCCUCCUGCCCCGCACGUCGAGCCAGUACGACUUGGAGGUGCAGAAGCGGCAGCUGCGGCUAGGAGGACCAGGAGAAGGUUCUUCACGGCGACGCACGGGAGUUCUGACCUAUGAGUUCUAAAACAUGUCCUCUGCACUGUCCCUAUUUCUCUCUCUAUUUUUUAUUUGCAUUAUCUCCUCUUUGUUAGUGCGGCUUCGGAUGUCGAUCCGAGCAACGUUGUUGGCUUGGGAACAACUGAGCCGGCCGUUGCCGACAAGGAUGCCGUCGAGCAGACUGCUCGUGAGCAACCCGUGGAGCAGCCCACGGUUGCGUCUGUGGCGGAGACUGACAAAGAAGACCCGGCUCAAGUAAAGGCCAGGGCAAGUACUUUGACAAGAGACAAAGAGGCCACAAGGACGCCUCCCCCGAGCAGCGUCGCAGAGGAAGGAGACAAAGUCCUGACUCCCCCUCCAGCUGAAGAAGAGAGGGCCCCAACUCCAGCCCUAGCGGAGGCUUCUACGUCGAAGGGCUCCCCUAGCCGGGGUAAGGGUACUUUGCUACCCGUUACCACAGCUAGUGCCCCCAUGUUGGUCGCCAACAUGUUUACGUUUGGCGCCAGCGUGGGGACCGCUGUGCCGGUCACGAGGAGCUCGCCGAGACCGAAGAGGCGGCAAGGGUAGAGCGCGCUGCCAAGCGGCUCGUCAAUGAAGUCAAGGUAAGUGGUCUUGUGUUAUGCUAAAAUGUGUAUACAUUGUUGCUUGUUUAUUGCAUAAUAUGUAUACUUCUUGCAGGGCGCAAUGAAAACGGCGAAGUACCGAAAAAGGUGCUUUGACCAAAUGGAGGGCAUAGUCGUGGAGAACAAGGCCCUGACCGUGGAGGUGGACCGCCUUCGGUCGGAGGCCGAGAAGGAGGCGGCCGAGAAGGCGGCUCAGGAGGAGCGCCUGCUGGAUCUGAAUCGGCGACUAGCCGACAAGGAUCGUGAGAAGAAAAGUAAGUCAAAUGUUCCAAGCAGUUGUAGUUAACUGUGUGGUCAGUUUUGAUGACCAGCAAUUGUUGUUUCAGAUCUGGAGGAGGAGAUUGGACGCCUCCAAGAAGAGAGGGAUCGGCUCGACCAAGAGCGUGCCGUUGCGCUGGAGACCGGGCGCAAGGCUGGCGAGGAGCUAAAGAACAAGGAUCGGGAGCUAGCUGGUAAGAGCCGUUCCUCCUUUUUUGACCACACAUUUUUUUGGUUAUACUGACUGUUUGCUUGGUUUUUCUUGAAAACUCAAUCGUAGUGCUCAAAGUCAAUACUAAGAAGCACCUGGACCAACUGCAUCAAGAUUUCGAAAGGAGUAGCCCCGAUACUUGACCUGAUCAGUCCCGAGCUCCCUGAGGACCAGCCCCGCGUGCCGAAACUGACCACGGUCGAGAAGGCACAGCGCGUGGGGCUGGCUUUAGCAGUUCGUUAAGGACGUCGGGGAGUUUGCCACAGCGCACGUCCUCAACAUGAUAAGUGCUCACUACCCCCUGGUCGACUUGUCCUGGCUAGAGAGGGGAUAUCCCAAGGAGGUUGGUCCGAAGGAGGCAGAUGAACUUCAUGUCGGCCUGCUCGACAUGUCGUCGACGAUGAUCGGCGAUAUAAAUCUCUACGGUACUUCAACUCCCCCCAACCAUCCCGGAUCAGACAGGUCGACCAGGGAGUUAUCGGGAGCGUCAAUUGCUGGAGAUGGGCGGUCGACGCGUGCGAUCUCGACCAGCCAGGCGCCGGUGGCCCCGACCCCUUCGGCGAGACAAGAAGACCGUGCGGGUGAUCAGCUCGAGCAGUAGGUCUGUAGAGUAGUCUGUAGGAAUAGACUAGAACCCGCCCAAAGGGGUGUUUAUUGUAUACUUUGUAAAGUUUGUAAUAAAGUGAGAUUUAUGUGAUCCAUGGUUUUGAGCGCUGUAAGUUUGUUUGAGUGAUGUAUCACUGAAUCAUGUUAUUUGCCCUUUAGGAACUAGUCCUGGAAAGUAAUUGUAGCACUUGUCGAGUAUUCUACGUAUGUAAAAGUAUAUAGCAAAAGAGGCAAAAAUUAUUAUUAUUCAUCAAAAGAGAUUUACAAAUGAAAUGUAUUGAAACUUAGGGAUAGAAACAGCGCAGUAUGUCUAUGUGCCAGGAGUUGGGCAAGCGUGUUCCAUCUGGGUACGCCAGUCUGUAAGAUGUAGGGUGUGUAAUUUCGGUGACCACAAAAGGCCCUUCCCAAGGUGUAGAUAACUUGUGCAUUCUGUCCUGGCUUGUUUUCCAUUUGAGUACCAGAUCACCGACCAUGAAGGAACGGUCUUUGACAUUCCUGUUGUGGUAUCGUCUAAUGGCCUUGAGAUACUUCGCUGUUCGAAGACUGGAAGUCAGGCGCCUUUCUUCCGCGUAGUUGAUUUCGAGCUCCCUGGCAAGGUUGUUUGAAGACUGGUCGAAGUGUUCGACUCUUGGAGAUCCAAAGGCUAUGUCUGAGGGAAGCACUGCCUCGGCCCCAUAAACCAUAAAAUAUGGCGAUACACCCGUGUUCCGACUGGGCUGUGUUCGAAGACCCCAGACCACAGCUGGUAUCUCUUUCAUCCACCGCCCUGGUGCCCUAUCGUUUUCGGUAUACAAUCUCUUUUUUAGAGCAUCAAUAAUCAUUCCAUUUGCUCGUUCGACUUGGACGUUGGCUCUCAGAUGGGCUACCGACACGUAUUUUAUGACUACACCUCUGUCAUCAAAGAAGUCCCAAAAUAUAGUGCCGGUGAACUGAGUGCCCAAGUCGGUGAUUAUGCUGUUGGGAACCCCAAAUCUAUGUAUGAUUUGAUUGAGGAAUUCCACGGCCUUCUCGGAAGUCGCUUUGACCAAUGGCAUGUACUCGAUCCACUUCGAGAACUUGUCGAAUUGUACGAAUACGAAUUUGUAAUUGCCGGGAGCCGGUUUGAAUGACCCGAUCAUGUCGAGACCCCAACAUGCAAAUGGCUAGGAUGACGAUAUCGUCUGGAUUUCAUGGGCAGAUACAUGGGUCCGCUUGGCGAAGAACUAACAUCCUUCACAAUGCCGGACCAGUUUCUCGGCGUCGGCGACUGCGGUUGGCCAAUAAAAGCCUGCUCGGAAAGCCUUCCCGACCAGUGUUCUUGAUGCGGCGUGGUUACCACACGAUCCAGCAUGUAUGUCUUCCAGUAACAUGAUGCCGUCGUCCUGGGGUAUACACUUCAGCAAGACUUCUGAACUUGCGUUCUUACGCAUAAGUUUGCCAUCGACCAGUAUGUAAUUUUUGGAUCACCGAAUAAGGCGCUCGUUCUCCGUUUUGUCUUGAAAUCUAGAACCGACCGAGAGAUACUUGAUGAAAGGGGUGCGCCAGUCGUGGCUGCUGGUUAUCAAAGUGGCAUCGUCUACGAGCAUUGUUUCGUUGGGUGAUUUCUCGACCAGGUCCGUACCGACGCUUGGCGUGUGAAUGUCCUGGACGAAAACGCCUUGCGGAAUCUGGGCUCGGGAUGAUCCUAUCUUUGACAGCGCAUCUGCUACUUGAUUCCUGUCCCAGGCCAUGUGGAUGUAUUCUAUGCCGUAAAAAUUUGAUUCCCACUUCCAGAUUUCUUUGUAGUAGAGGUCCAUCUUCUCGUGAGUUGUGUCCAACUCCUUAUUUAGCUGGUUGAUGACUAAGGCAGAGUCGCUGUAGACGUGUCGGUGUUUUCCCCACGCGGGGUCGCACCAACGAGUAAAUUUGUAUGCGUGCUCCCUUUCCCAGAUGGUGAUGCAAGAAGACACAAAGAUUUAUCCUGGUUCGGGCAAGAGAAUGCCCUACGUCCAGCGGGGGAGGGAAGUUUGUAUUAUCUUGCACCUAAGUGCUUGUACAGGGGCGAAUACAAGCGUGGUAUGGAGUGAGAUGGAGUAUGGGAGUUCUACUGCGUAUGAAUGUAGUGUUGCGUGGUUGAUGUAUGUCUAUUCCCGGGUCUCCCCUUUUAUAGCUCCAAGGAGAGACCUAGGGUACAUGUAUAGGUGUUAGAGUAGGGGUCGAUAGAGGCAUGGCGCGCUGACCUACUCGAGGCCUCCGUACCGGCGUGUUCUCAAGCCGUCCUGUCUUGGUAGCUUGAUGAUGAUUACGCGUGCCCCCGUAUCCAACUCUGCGCGCCGUCUCGGGUUGGUUCACCGGUCGCACGCCUGUACGGUAUAGCGGCAGAUCCGGCGGAGUGGCUGCGAUGUUGUCAGUCGACGCCCAACUCUUCCCCAGGAAGGAAUCAUGUCUGGUCGAGGGUCAGACGCCGUGCAGUGCCUUGUUGUCCAAAGCGUUGACCUUGGGUGUCUCGAGGGGUCCCGAUUAGACGCUCCAUCCCUGCUUUCUGCGUCCUGGUACGCUCUGGGUCGUUUGGUGGGGAAAGCUGCAGAAAGGAUGAUGGGACAGGUGCCUGUUCCCUAUCACGCUUCCCGUGACCAGCGUGUUAGGUGGGAAAGCAUCAGGCGCAUUAAAUGCCCUGGUUCUCGUGCGCGCGUCAGGCGGCGGACGUUGUCCUUGUGCUCGACGCCUCUGACUCGCUCGAGCCUAUUUCUGUAUUCGACGGUAGUUAGCGCUCGGCCCCUGAGUGGUUCGCUCGACGUCUUUUCCGUCUUCGAGGCUGCGGCCGUCGAUGACCGCAUAGCUUAUUAGAACAUCAGGUUGAGGGCCUCGAUCUGUGCGCGGGUAAUCUCGUUAUGUGCAUCGGUUAGGGUACCCCUUACUGAUACCCUCGACAGUAGCCCCCGAGUCCCCAUUCGAGCGCUGGCGCUCGAGUGGAGGCUUUAUUUUGUGGUCGAAUUUCCGUGGGGACGCGCGAGCAACCCCACGGGGGUAGCCCCCAAGCCCUUGGAGGAGUUUUUGACUCCUUCGUGGGUUAUAUUGGCUAACUCUUAGAAACGCUAUCGACACCGGUGGUGGAAGGUCCUAAUUGGCUUGUUUUGUGCUGGGGUUUCGACGUACUCUCGAUAGAGCGAGCGUCUUCCACCCCAAAUUGAGUUCCUAGCGGGUAGUCCACGUGAGAACCUAUGCCCCUUUCGAGGGGGUCAGCUGUUGCCCGGAGGCGUUCUCAUAAAGCAGGGUCGACGUGGUCGGGGAUACUGAUCUCAUUCGAUAGAGUCCAGCGGCUCUAUGCCCCCCAUCUGGGGGAUUCCUCUCGACUGUCUCGACCCUACCUUGGACAUCCCUAGCAAGUCUUCGAGGCGGGCCUCGAUCUUUGACCACUCGCUGGGGAUCCCUGACUCUGGUGCUCGAGAUCAGCUGUCGAACCCUUUCGGUGGGCCAGCCUACGACCUCUCGAGGCUUUCACGGGUACAUCCCUUGGCUUACAAGGGAAGGAAAGAGCCGUGGGCGGUUCGCCUUUUUGCCCGUUGGGCGCGCCUUUUUAGGUGGGAGGCAUUACGACACUGUGUUGGCGUGGAAUUCGGAGUGCCCCACCUGUGAGGAGGGAAAGGACCGUUAGACGGCGCAUUUAUGGGGGGGUUACCUCAUUUCUCGGAUCUGCCCGUUGGUGGACUGCUGCCUAUAAAUGUGCCUUGGCGUCGCCGCCGUUCUCCCUUCUGCCUCCCGUCUUCGUUCUCGCCUUUGCCCUCUCAUUGCCUUAGUUCUCUUGCUGACUCACGCACGCGCGCACCCCCUCGAGCGGUAGCGGAUCCACCGUCCUUCCAGCCAAGAUGCCUGUGAGACUCGUCGCCACCGAUGACUGGUGCCCGUCGUCGAUGACGGAGCGCCGGUUGCUAGGGCUUGAGAGAGAGGGACUCCUGCGCCGCCGCACCUCGCUAUCGUCGCCAGAGUGAAUCGCGCCGCCGGCGGACCACAGGGAGCCCCAGCCGCCCGAGGGCUACGUGGUGUCGUUCGCCAAAUUCCACCGCAACGGCCUGGGUGCUCCUCCGAGCCGCUUCAUGCGGGCGCUCUGCCUCCACUAUGCGGUGGAGCUCCAGCACUUCUCCCCGAAUGCCAUCACCGUCGCGGCGGUCUUCGCUGCGGUGUGCGAGGGCUACCUGGGGAUGAUGCCCCACUAGGAGCUGUGGCUCCACCUCUACAGGGGCGAGCUUUUCAACGCCCCCAACGGAACCACUGGCGUGAGGAAGCCCAUGCGGGCGGGAUGCCUCAAUCUCAUGCAGAAGACGGGGAAGACGGAUAGGCCGCGUGAGUACAUCCCAGUGGGGUUGUCGACUAACCACGCCAGCUGGGACGCCUAGUGGUUUUAUCUACGGAACGACGAUAACCUCCUGCUCGCUUACUCCGGUCGCUUGAUCAUGGAGCGUCCAGUGGACUGGACAUACGGCGUCGUCCAAGCUCAUCAAUCGCGGCUCGACCCUCUCCUCGACGCCCUGAAGAAGCUUCGCCUGGAGGGCUUGACUGCCGCUCUCGUCCUCUCGGCCGUCCAUCAUCGGAGAGUUCUCCCAUUGAUGUCUCGACCGUUGAGGAUGGACGAGAUGGGCCCUGGUGUUUCAUCUCAGGACCUCGAGGCGUGCCGGAUGUCCAACAAGGCUCCAACGAACGACAAAGUCGCAGCCCGGGUCAGGGCCGCAAUUGCCGGUGACUUUAAGCCGGAGCAUGUUAACGGCUUCCCCAUGAGGCCUGAUGCGGGCUCGAUCGAUCUGGUAUACUUUCUUCUCAUGCACAGCUUCGAUUCUGGGUUUUUUUCUUCCCUUUUUCUAAGUCUACCUUUGUUCUUGCAGGGACGGAUCGAUGUCCGGUCCUCGAGGCCUCCAGUAAAGGAGGACGAGGUCGACCGCGACAAACGGCGCCAAUCCGCCGAGAAACUGAAGUCCGCUAAAGACUCUAAGAAGAAAGGAGAGAAGAAGAGGAACCUCGACCGCCAAGCACUAGAUGCACGUCGAGCUAAAUCCAGGCAGAGGGGGGAGCCUGAGGAAGAAUCCCCCAGCGACGAUGAUGGGGGAGAUGGUGAUGAGGACAGCGACGACUCCGAGGGGAUGGCGUCUCGCCUCGACCGGAUCCUCGAGGGUCCGCCUCGAGGCAACAUCGUCGCCCCGCGGAUGGAAACACCGAAAGAGGGACCAUGCAGAUCACACCGCCCUCGUGCCGACCCCCCCUCCCCCCCCCCCCCCGUGCCCACGACUGGUCAGGUCACCCCGCGCCCUCCCCCUACGCCUAGGAUGGGUAGCCAUGCUAGGCCCCAGGCGACGGGGCCACUGACUCACGGUCGUGCCGCGGCCUCCGAGAAAGGAGAGACUGGCCUCAGGAGCGCCAGUCUCGGUGCCCGCCAAGCGGAAGUUGCUGGGUCAAGGCCAGCGCCUGCCCUCGAGGGGCUUGGGACCUUGACGCAGGGUGGCUCGAGGCCCACCGGUCGGGGCACCGGCAGGCGAGCUGUUCUCCUCGUGGGGUAAGCUCUUUGAUGUUGUGACUUUUGUUCUCCUGUUCCUCCGCGUUUCCUCGUAUACUGGUCUCUUUAUACUCGUUCCUUUUUUCUCAGAUUAAAGCCGACGCUUGAGCAGGCCUAGACCUCAAUGGCGAAGAGGCUCAAAGCGGGAGCAGCCUCCAAGGAGCCAGGUUUGUAGCUUAAUUCUGGGAGUUGUGAUACUCUUACGUUGGUCAUCAUAGUGACAGGCCUUUAUUCUUUAUUUUACAGGCUCCUCCGACUCUCAACCUCCGGCCGACGCUGAGAGUGCCCCGCCUCGCCCCGAGUCUGCCCCGUCGCCGCCGACACGGGCCGAGGUGCCUCACACCCAGGGGCAAGAGGGAGCCCCCUAGCCUCCCCGAUCGGGGGUCGAGGGGGACCCCAUUACCAUCAGCGACACGUCUGGCGGCAAUGAGACGUCGAGGGAUGUCCGCCCUAUGGAUGAGGAGGCGUCGACCUCCCUUGUGAAGGGACGGACGCCCUGGCCUGCUGGUCUUCGUACCGUCGAGGAGCAGAAGAACAAGGAAGAGGAGGAGGAGCGGGAGCGCGAGGUGAGGUGGUGGCCGCAGGAGCAGGGCUGCCGAUGAGAGUCGCAGGAGCUCGAGGAGCAACAGCAGCAGCAGCAGGGGGGCCAGGAAGAAGGACUGCUCGAGCCCCCUCCUCACAGUCCGCCCCAACCUGUACCACCAGCGCCGCAAGAACCCGGAGACCCGGAGGAGGAUUUUCCAGUUUUCGGCCCUCCAACCCCAGCGUGGCUCCUUCCAGGGGCGCCUGCCGCGAUCCCGGCGGAGUCGGGGCGGGCGGACGGUGUGGUGGCGCUUGCCUGCAUGAUGCGCACCCCCAUCGACCCCGAGUCCGAGAUCAGGAGGACGAUCUACGGCAUGGAGAGAAUCGCCCCAGGGUUCCUCUGGGAGCGUCGGGCGUGGGAGGACUGUAUUCCCCCUAAGGAGGACGAGAUCGGGACGUCGGGGAGUAAACACGGCACCUGGAAGACGGUGGACGACGACGGGCGGUUCCCAUGCCUCGUCGACUUGUUCUUGCGCCAUGGGGGCUCCCUCGAGACCAUCGAGAACCUUAUCCGCGGCGUCAAGGCACGGGCUGACCGGGAGAUGGAGAACUGGUGCCCCGAUCGGAUUCGUAUCCGGGCUUCCACCGAUCCAUCCGAGCCCAACAUCUUCCUUGACGAUCGGAAGGAAGCCAAGAAGUGGGAACACGUCGAGGAGCUCCGCCUUUGGAUGAAGCACGUGGUGGGGCUCCUGUCGGACAUCAUCAAUAACGGGCUCGGGCCGACUUACUUUGUAAGUGUUUUUUCGAUCUUUAAUCCUUACGGAGCCUUUUGGUUUUGUAUUCUAACUAUUCGACCACCGGCUCGCAGGAUAUGAAAGAGACCUCCCAUAUCAAAUCGAGCUUCAUUCAUGCCACGAGGGGUGGCUGGGAGCAGCUCCCCGUCCACAAGGACCAACUCCUCGAGUCGCAGGAAAAACUCCUUAAGGCUUAUAAAGACCUCAUAGCACUCGAGGAGGAGAAGAAGGCGAGGGAGGCUGCCUAGGUCGAGGCUCGAGAGGCCUCAAGGAAGGCGGUGGAGGAGACAACGCUGCUGCGGGAGCGGGCUCUGACGGUCGAGGAGGCCGCAUCAAAAGCCUGGGAGGAGGAUCCUCAAGGCCGACCAGGACUCCCUCCAAGACUCCUUUCAAAGGAUGAAGGUGGAGCACGUGAAUGGCGAGAUCGCCAGGAGCGCCGUGGAGGAAGCCAAGAAGAAGGCCCUCGAAGACCUCGAGGCGGAGCAGGCUCGAUCCCGCAGGCUCUCUGACGACGUCGAACGUCUGAAGGGAGAGCUGUUGGAGAAGAGUGGGGCCAUUGCUCAGGCUGGCAAGGCGAUCAAAGAUCUCUGCGUUGCCAACACUGAGCUGGCACGCUCAAACAAAGAGAUUGAGAGGGCCAACACCAGAUUGGUUGGCGAGAACAUGGCCCUGGAGGAGAGCGUCCGUGGUACGUUUCUAUUGUCGGACUUCCUUUUCGAGGUGUGCUUGGUUUUUUCUAAAGUUUCUUGUAUUGACAUUCAUAGGGCUUAAGGACGAACUCUUGGCCGCCUAAGUCGAGGCCCGUAGUGCUAAGGCUCAGCUCGAGGCGGAGGUCGCUUUGAACCAUCGAGUGCGGACGGCGAUAAGCGAUCUCUCGACCUCUUGGGAGAUCGAGCCCAUGAACGAGUCGAAGGAGGACGCUCGAGGCGACGCACUGGUCGACCAGUUGUGCUACUUAGGCGCGACGCUGAGAGAUCGGGUGCGGGACGCCCUCCACAUCGGGGUGAAGCGGGCGAUGGCGGUUGUCUGCUCAGGCUUCUCCUACGACAAGGAGGUGGUGUCCCACGGCUUCGUCACCGACAUCUCUAAGACUGAUGCGGAUAACAAAGAGAGGCUCCGCGCCUUGAUCGACGACGCGGAGGUUCCUAGAGAGAGGCUGGCCAAGCUAUUUGAGCCUGAGGUGCUUCCUCCUGAGACUAGCUCGGGCGUAGGCGAGGGUGGUGAGGAUCGUGCUGUGGACUAAGCCCUGCGAGCCUGCUCAGGGUGCCUGGGGCCCCUUGUAUAGUACUCUGCUAGUCUUGUUUUUAAGUGACACAGUGUCUUUAAGUGGUUGUCAUAUGUUUGUCUGCCUUUUCUUUCGAGGCUUCUUUUUAUUCCUUUUUGUGCCUAUGUUUGUUUUUUUCUCACUUGGUCUUUUGUUCGAGGCGGUCUCGAUUGCCUUAAGGGUGAGGAGGCGAGUAGAGUUUCCAUAGCCCAGGGGUUUAGGAGUUCUCAGGCUCGUCGUUUCCCGGUCCUUAAGGGGCUCGAGGUACCUUUACUACUCAACCGUGUGAGAUUACCGAUAGGAACGAAAGGAUUCUUUGGUUUUUUUUGGCACUUGGGGGGGUCACCCCCCUUGCUAGCCCCCGAGGGGGUGUCGACUAUGAUGGGUCAUGGUCGAUACUCCCUUCUAUCGUUGAGACUUGCAAAAAGGUAAGUUGUUCGAGGGAAAGACUUCAUUUAUUCAUGCAUCCAUUUACAAGGUCUUGGUACAAAGUGUACGUAGGAACAUAAAGCUUUGAAAUUCUAGGGGUAGAAUCGACGUAGCUGUUCGAUGUUCCAUGCGUUGGUGAAGACCGCCCCCUUUUCGUCCGCAAGCUUGUAUGUCCCUGGCUUCAAGACUUCGGCUACCACGUAUGGGCCCUCCCAUGGUGGGGUCAGCUUGUGGCGUCCUUGGUUGCUUUGUCGUCGUCGUAGAACGAGGUCUCCCACGUUCAAGUCCCUCCUGCGCACGUGCUUGUCGUGGUAGCGUCGAAGUUUCUACUGGUAUCUAGCAGAGUUGAUGAGGGCCAUGUCUCGAGCUUCUUCGAGUUGGUCGACCGCGUUUUCUUGAGACUCUUUAUUUGAUUGUUCGUUGUACGCUUUGAGUCGAGGGGACCCGUACUCGAGGUCUGUCGGGAGAACAGCCUCAGAGCCGUAGACCAUGAAGAAUGGGGUGUAUUUUGUGGCCCUGCUUGGCGUCGUCCUUAGGCUCCAUAGGACCGAGGAAAGCUCCUCGACCCACUUCUUGCCGAAUUUCUUCAAGCGAUUGUGGAUCCUUGGCUUGAGCCCCUGCAAAAUCAUGCCAUUGGCACGCUCGACCUGGCCGUUAGUUCGAGGGUGGGCCACUGUAGACCAGUUCACACGGAUGUGAUGCUGAUCGCAGAAGUCCAAAAACUUCUUGCCAGUGAACUGAGUGCCGUUGUCAGUGAUGAUGACGUUGGGGAUCCCAAACCGGUGGAUGAUGUCGGUGAAGAAAAGGACGGCCUGCUCGGAGCGGAUGUUGGUGAUGGGUCGAGCCUCGAUCCAUUUGGAGAACUUGUCGAUAGCUACCAGCAAGUGGGUGUACCCCCCUUUUGUUUUUUGGAGAGGCCCUACUAAGUCGAGCCCCCAUACUGCGAACGGCCAUGUGAUGGGGAUCAUCUGAAGAGCGUGGGCGGGCAGAUGCGUCUGUUUGGCGUAGAACUGGCACCCAUGGCAUGAGCGUACGAGCUCGAUGGCAUCAGCUACGGCCGUUGGCCAGUAGAAACCUUGUCGGAAGGCGUUCCCUACGAGGGUCCGUGGAGCAGCAUGGUGGCCGCAAGCCCCCGAGUGUAUGUCCUCGAGGAGUUUCCGUCCUUCUUCCAUGGUAAUGCAACGCUGCAAGACCCCCGUCGGGCUUCGUCGAUAUAGCUCAUUGCCCUCACCAUAGAUCACAUAUGACUUGGCCCAUCAAGCGAUACGGCGGGCCUCAGAUCGAUCUUCUGGCAACUCGAAGCGGAUUAGGCAGUCGAGGAAUGGUGUGCGCCAGUUGAACGGUCGACCGGGCCGCUGUUCUACCUCCAUCACCUCAGCUGCCAUUAAUAGUGCAUCGACGGUGUCGGUUUCCUGGGUAGGAGCGGCAUCGAUGCCAGCCCCCGAGCCCAAGUCGACGGAUGGCUCGUGAAGAUCUCUUGAGAACGCGUCAGGUGGCACCGUGCCUCGGGUCGACACGAUCUUGGCGAGUUCGUCGGCUGCCUCGUUGUAUCAUCGAGCGACGUGGACGAGCUCAAGGCCAUGGAAUUUGUCCUCGAGUUGACGGACUUCCUUGCAGUACGCCUCCAUUUUCGGGUCGUGGCAGCUUGAGGUCUUCAUCACUUGGUCGAUGACGAGCUGGGAGUCGCCUCGGACGUCAAGGCGUCGGACUCCUAGCUCGAUGGCGAUCUUGAGACCGUUGACGAGGGCCUCGUACUCUGCGACAUUGUCGGAUGCAGCAAAGUGAAUCCUGAUGACGUACCUCAUAUGAACGCCCAAGGGCGAGAUGAACAGCAGACCGGCCCCGGCUCCCAUCUUCAUGAGUGACCCGUCGAAAUACAUCGUCCACAGCUCCGAGUGGACCUGAGUCGGGGGAAGCUGGGAGUCUGUCCAUUCCGCGACGAAAUCCACCAGGGCUUGCGAUUUGAUAGCCUUGCGAGGCGCAUAAGUGACAGUCUCACUCAUGAGCUCGACCGACCAUUUGGCUACUCUUCCCGUGGCCUCCCUAUUUUGGAUUAUCUCGCCCAAGGGGAAAGACGAGACCACCGUGAUGCGGUGGCCGAGGAAAUAGUGUUGCAGCUUGCGUCGGGCGAGGAUUAUGGCGUAUAUUAGCUUCUGGAUUUGAGGGUAACGCGUCUUGGUCUCCGAGAGCACCUCGCUGAUGAAAUAGACCGGUCUCUGGACUGGCAACGCAUGCCCCUCCUCCUGCCUAUCGACAACCAUAGCUGCACUGACGACCUGAGUCGUUGAGGCAACGUAAAGGAGCAGUGGUUCCGCAGGUUGAGGCGGGACCAAGACCGGUGCUGAAGUCAGUGUUUUCUUCAAAUUUUCGAGGGCUUCCUCAGCCUCAGGAGUCCAAGAGAAACGCUCGACUUUCUUCAGGAGCUGAUAUAAUGGUAACGCCUUUUCUCCUAACCUCGAGAUGAAAUGGCUCAGCGCCACUAGGCAUCCUGUGACUCUCUGCACACCCUUGAUGUCCCGGAUCGGCCCCAUUCUUGUGAUGGCCGAGACAUUCUCGGGGUUGGCCUCGAUGCCACGCUGGGAAACAAUGUAACCUAGGAGCAUGCCUCGAGGCACGUCGAAAACGCAUUUCCCGGGAUUGAGCUUGAUCUGGUUGGCGCGUAAGCAGCUGAAAGCGAUCUCGAGAUCCUAGAUCAGGUCUGCUUGCCGCUUUGAUUUGACGAUGAUGUCGUCGACAAAGGCCUCGACCGUCGACCCUAUGUGCUUGCCAAACACGUGGAGCAUGCAGCGUUGGUACGUGGCUCCCGCGUUUCGGAGCCCGAAUGGCAUGGUUACAUAGCAAUACAUCCCAAAAGGUGUGAUGAAAUAGGUCGCGAGCUGGUCGGACUCUUUCAUUUUUAUUUGAUGGUAACCAGAAUAUGCAUCAAGGAAAGAAAGGGUUUCACAUCCUGUAGUAGAAUCAACAAUUUAAUCAAUAUGUGGUAAUGGAAAGGGAACUUUCGUACAUGCUUUAUUUAAACUCGUAUAAUCGACACACAUCCUCAUUUUCCCAUUCUUUUCUUAACUAGUACAGGGUUUGCUAACCAGUCGGGAUGAUGAACCUCCUUGAUGAAUUCGGCCGUCAAAAGCUUGUGGAUCUCCUCGCCAAUGAUCUUGCGCUUCUCCUCGUCGAAUCGGCGCAACCGUUGCUUCACUGGCUUGGAACCGGCUCGAAUUUCCAAGGAGUGCUUGGCGACUUCCCUCGGUAUGCCUGGCAUGUCCGAGGGACUCCAUGCAAACAUGUCGGCGUUCGCACGGAGAAAGUCGACGAGCACAGCUUCCUAUUUGGGGUCAAGGUCGGCACUGAUCGUCAGCACCUUGCCGUCGGAGUUGUUGGGGUCGAGCGGGAUCUUCUUGGUUCCCUCUGCUGGCUCGAAGCUGCCCGCAUGGCGCUUGGGCUCUGGAGCCUCAGCGGCCAGGGCCUCGAGCUUCGCGACGAGCUCGGUGGAGUUCUCGACCGCCUCCCCAUACUCGACGCACUCGUCGUCACACUCAUAAGCGUGCUCGAAGGAGGAGCUGACGGUGAUGACUCCUUUGGGACCGGGCAUCUUCAGCUUCAAGUAGGUGUAGUUGGGUAUAGCCAUGAACUUGGCGUAGCCUGGGCGCCCGAUGAUGGCGUGGUACGUGCCCCAGAACCCGACCACCUCAAAGGUGAGGGUCUCCUUCCUGAAGUUGGCCGUCGUGCCAAAGCAGACCGGUAAGUCGAUUCGGCCCACUGGCAGCGCCAUUUUCCCUGGCACGACGCCAUGGAAACCACCGGCGCUUGGUUGGAGCUGUCCCCUGUCGAUGCCGAGGAGGUCGAGGGUCUCGAGAUAGAUGAUGUUGAGGCUGCUGCUGCCGUCCAUUAGCACCUUCGAAAGCCUGGUAUUGACGAUGAUGGGGUCGAUGACGAGCGGGUAGAUGCCUGGGGCGACUACCUUGUCUGGGUGGUCCUCUCGAUCGAAGGUGAUGGGCGUGCUCGACCAGCUGAGGUACUGGGGCACCGCCAUUCUCGCUGCGAAGACCUCACGGCGUUCCCUCUUGCGCUGCCUUGCAGUCAACUACGUCGAGGGCCCACCAUAGAUCAUGUAGCAAUCGUGGACAGCAGGGAAACCAUCGUCGUCCUUGUUGCUCUCCUUGUCACCGCCCUUCUCCUUCUUUGGGUCGUCGCGCGCAUCCUUUUUGAAUCCCAGACCGUCGAAAUGCUUUUUCAGCAUGCGACAGUCUUUGAGCUUGUGAUUGGCUCCUCCCUUAUGGUAAGGGCAUGGCUCUUCUAGCAUCUUGUCGAAAAUGCCUCCAUCUGGAGGGCCUCGGUUGCGUUCCGUGACGGCGGCGAGAUCGUCGUUGAGGUCUUCCUGCUUGAACUGCUGCGCUUUCUGCUUCUUCUUGUUUUCUUGGGCCCUCGACUGGGGGUCUCAUCUUCAUCGGCGGGCUGCUUGCCUUUCCUUCCUUCACAACUGAAGAAGGCGCCGACUGCUUCCUCUACUGCUGCGUAGUUUGCCACUACGUCCAUUAGCUCAUCGACGGUUUGAGGGCGAUUCCGGCCCAAUUCCCGUACCAGGUCUCGAUUGGUGGUACCAGAGACAAAUGCCAGGAUGACGUCGUGGUCAGGGAUAUGUGGCAGCUCGGUGCGCUGCUUCGAGACGCGUCGAGCAUACUCUCGAAGAGUUUCUCCUGACUUCUGUUUGCACUUGCUGAGGUCCCACGAGUUCCCGGGCCAUAUGUAGGUCCCUUUGAAAUUAACCUCGAAGAUUCUAACCAAAUCGACCCAGUCAUGGAUCUGAUUAGCUGGAAGUUCCUCGAGCCAUCGACGGGCGGUAUCAGAGAGGAAAAGCUGUAGCUGUCUGAUGAUGGCUCGAUCGUCUCCUCGAGCACCUCCCAGCUGACAAGCUAACCUGAAGUCUGCCAGCCACAGUUCUGGUUUGGUUUCACCAUUGUAUUUUGCGAUGCUGGUUGGGGGUCGGAACGGACUAGGCAGUGGCGUGCUGCGGAUUGCCCUGCUGAACACCCGUGGGCCUGGUGGCUCGGGGGCCAUUCCGUCCUCAUCGCUGUCAUACCUCCCGCCACGAUGUGCGCUGUAACCGCGUUCUUCCGCGUCCCCAUGCCAGUGGCGUCGAUUCUCCUCGAGGGGGAGAAUGAGCGUGGUCUUUCUUCCUCGAGGGGGUGGCAAUUAAUGGACUGAUACCUCCUUUCCGUUUUGGGGUGGCUCAUCGCGCUUUUCAGUGGUAGCUCCUCGUCGUGGAGAAGCCGAGCUUUCGGCUUGUUGAACUGCCGCUACCUGGAGCAGAGUCUGCACCUCGUCUCGAAUACGUCGAGCUUGGGAGUUUGAUGGCUCUGGCAUGUUGCGCAGCAGCAUUGUCGCCGCCACUACGUUCUGGCCUGCUCGAGGGAAACGGCUGACAGGCUGCUCUGGCUCUGCGUCUCCGACGAUUUGUCGGUGUACCUCUCGAGCGCGUCUGCAGACACUUCCACCAGGUGGGUAGGGCAAGUCUUGCUUGAGGAUUUGCUCGAGCAGGACGAGGCGCUCACGAUCCUCGUCAAGCUCGGUCUUGAGCUCUCGUAACUGCGCGAGUUGCGCGGCCCUAUCUUCCUGUGGAAGCGGGUCGACCUGUCCGUCGUCCCCAGGUGUCCUGGGAUCUUCUCUUGCCAUAGGGGCUCAACCGCUGGCAGCCGCAUCCUGCGUCUCGUCGGUAGUUUCUACCGCCCCAUCGAUGUGAUAGCAUUCCCUUGUAGGGUCGUAGCUAUCGGUCUCGGAGUUGGAGUCCAGCUCGGCGGCGUAGUAACAUCCGCGUCCUUCCUCUAGCAGCCGCUGCCUGAGCGAGGUGAUCGUGUAUCGUCUAGGGCCUAGGCGGCGGAGGCCUCGUACCCGGGAGGGGUCCGACAGCUCGGACGUCGGCUGCCGUGUUUCGGAGUCACGUGGGAGGACCAUUGGUCUUUCCACGUAUGUUUGGGCGUUUGGGCAUAUCGCCCUGGCGAGCGACGUCGCGGCGUUGUCCAACCCGAAUGGCAAUGCCCUUCUUGGGGUGAACAACCUAUGUGGAAGCAACCUAGCGGUGGGGGAGAGCGCUCGGGGCGCGUCACCUCUUGUCAUCGUAUGGUGUUGGGCCGGCAUGCCCACGGAUCUGGUACGUGGCGCGGCCGGCUCCUGUGCCACCUCCUGCCUAGCACGAACUGCCGGUCGUGACGGGGCAGAGGGGUGACGAUGGUGUUGCCCACGCCUCUUCUUAGGCGGGGAGGCGUGAUGUCGAGGGCGUCUUGGAGCCCUCGUUCGUAUUGGCGCAACGCGAGCUCCUCCCGGUCCUUUGAUCGAGAGCAAGAUCAUGUCGUAGCCAAAGCCCGUCGACAUGAACUCAAGGCUCCCAAACCAAAUCACCGUGGAGCGCGGAAUCGGCGAGGCAAGAGUGGCCAUCUAGAAAGGAGUGGGAAAUCGAUGAAAAACACGCAGGACCCCUACCUGGCACGCCAAUUGUCGGUGUUUUCCACACGGGGGGUCGCACCAACGAGUAAAUUUGUAUGCGUGCUCUCUUUCCCAGAUGGUGAUGCAAGAAGACACAAAGAUUUAUCCUAGUUCGGGCAAGAGAAGGCCCUACGUCCAGCGGGGGAGGGAAGUUUGUAUUAUCUUGCACCCAAGUGCUUGUACAGGGGCGAAUACAAGCGUGGUAUGGAGUGAGAUGGAGUAUGGGAGUUCUACUGCAUAUGAAUGUAGUGUUGCGUGGUUGAUGUAUGUCUAUUCCUGGGUCUCCCCUUUUAUAGCUCCAAGGAGAGACCUAGGGUACAUGUAUAGGUGUCAGAGUAGGGGUCGAUAGAGGCAUGGCGCGCUGACCUACUCGAGGCCUCCGUACCGGCGUGGUCUCGAGCCGUCCCGUCUUGGUAGCUUGACGAUGAUUACGCGUGCCCCCGUAUCCUGCUCUGCGCGCCGUCUCGGGCUGGUUCACCGGUCGCACGCCUGUACGGUAUAGCAGCAGAUCCGGCGGAGUGGCUGCGGUGUUGUCAGUCGACGCCCAACUCUUCCCCACGAAGGAAUCAUGUCUGGUCGAGGGUCAAACGCCGUGCAGUGCCUUGUUGUCCAAAACGUUGACCUUGGGUGUCUUGAGGGGGUCCCGAUUAGACGCUCCAUCCCUGCUUUCUGCGUCCUGGUACGCUCUGGGUCGUUUGGUGGGGAAAGCUGCAGAAAGGAUGAUGGGACGGGUGCCUGUUCCCUAUCACGCUUCCCGUGACCAACGUGUUAGGUGGGAAAGCGACAGGCGCAUUAAAUGCCCUGGUUCUCGUGCGCGCGUCAGGCGGCGGACGUUGUCCUUGCGCUCGACGCCUCUGAAUCGCUCGAGCCUAUUUCCGUAUUCGACGGUAGUUAGCGCUCGGCCCCUGAGUGGUUCGCUCGACGUCUUUUCCGUCUUCGAGGCUGCGGCCGUCGAUGACUGCAUAGCUUAUUAGAACGUCGGGUUGAGGGCCUUGAUCUGUGCGCGGGUAAUCUCGUUAUGUGCAUCAGUUAGGGUACCCCUUACUGAUACCCUCGACAAGACGUAAAGGCGUUUGACGCCUAGUUCGACAGCCAAUCGGAUGCCGUGAAAGCAUGCUUCGUAUUCGGCGACGUUGUUGGAUGCUGGAAAGAGGAUCCUGAGGACAUAACGGAGUUUAUCCUUGUUUGGUGAAACAAAAAGUACUCCGGCACCGGCUCCAUUGAUGUUUAAGGAUCCGUCGAAGAACAUUGACCAGUAGUCGGAGACAUCUGGAGAGGGGGGCUCGUUGAGAUCCGUCCAUUCCGCGAUGAAAUCGACCAGGUCCUGAGACUUGACGGUAGUGCGACUCCGGAAAUCUAAAGAAAAUGGGCAUAACUCCAUUGCCCACUUUACAAUUCUUCCGUUGGUGUCCUUGUUGCGCAGAAUGUCCGCCAAUGGAAAACUGGUAGUAACUAAAACUCGAUGGCCGUCGAAGUAGUGCUUCAGCUUUCUUGAGGUGAUUAAGAUGGCGUAGAUUAGUUUUUGUAUCAGAGGAUACCUGGUCUUAGAUUCAUUUAGAACUUUGCUUAUGAAGUACAUAGGUCUCUGGACAUUGUAGACUUGGCCUGGUUCGUCCCGCUCAACCACAAGCGCCAUGGAGACGACUUGAUCAGUUGCUGCUAUAUAGAGGAGCAGGUCCUCGUUAGGUUAAGGUGCGGUGAGGACGGGUGGUGAGGUGAGGAAUGUUUUGAGCUGGGUGAACGCAGCGUUAGACUCUUCUGUCUAGGAGAAUUUCUCCGAUGCUUUUAGAAGUUUAAAAAGCGGAGCCCUUUUUCUCCCAGACUAGAAAUAAACCGGCUGAGGGCGGCCAUGCACCCCGUGAGCUUUUGAAUGUCUUUGACGUUCUUGAGUGGUCGCAUAUCGAGCACCGCCUUAACUUUUGAGGGGUUCGGCCGUAUGCCGUCGCGGCUGGCGACGUUACCGAGCAGUAGACCAGAGGGGACCCCAAAGAUACAUUUUUUGGGGUUGAGUUUCCACUUGUAUUUAUUCAGCGCUUUAAAAGUGAGGUCUAAGUUAUCGAUCAGGAUGCUUGCGUCCCUGGUUUUGAUGACAACGUCGUCGACGUAAGCCUCGACGAGGUCAUCACGUAUCUCGUCAUGGAGGCAUUGUUGAAUAGCGCGUUGAUAGGUGGCUCUGUUGUUUUUGAGUCCAAAGGACAUGGUUGUGUAGCAAUAUGCACCAAAAGGAGUGAUGAAGGAAGUUUUGAUCUGGUCGUCUUCCUUUAGUGAGAUUUGGUGGUAACCAGAGUAACAGUCGAGAAAAGAGAGGAGUUCACAUCCGGCCGUUGAAUCGACCACCACAUCGAUGUGAGGGAGACCAAAAGGAUCUUUAGGACAGUGUUUAUUGAGAUCAGUGUAAUCAACACACAUUCUCCAUUCAUUAUUCUUUUUUCUUACAAGGAUUGGAUUGGCAAGCCAAUCGGGAUGAUACACUUCUUUAAUAAAUCCAGCUGCUAAAAGCCAUGUAAUUUCUGUACUAAUAGCCUCCUUUUUGUCACGAGCGAACCGUCGUAGCUUCUACUUGAUAGGUCUUGCGGUCUUCGAGACGUUUAAGGAGUGCUCGAUCAGAUUUCAUGGGACGCCGGGCAUGUCUGCGGGUUUCCAUGCAAAAACGCUUACGUUGUCCCUUAGAAACUUGACGAGCGUGUCUUCCUAUUUGGCGUCUAGGUUGGCCCUGAUGAGAGCCGUGUUUUCUGGGCUGCUAUCGACCAGGUGUACUUCCUUGUGCUCUCUAGACUUAGAGCUUUUCCUGGGAGUCUCCUGCUCGGGUAUUUGGAGCUGGUCGGAGGGAAUUUGUAUGGCUUGAGCUGCAGUUUCUGCCAUGCGAAUCGAGAGAUCGUUUGCCUCGGUGACCUUGAAGCUUUCCUCCUCGCAAGUGUAUGCGGUGUAGACGUUGCCUCUGACGAUUAAGACGCCCUUCUUGGUUGGCAUCUUGAGGACCAGGUAUGAAUAGUGUGGAACUGCCAUGAACUUAGUCAGCGAAGGGCGGCCUAGAAUUGCGUGAUAGGUUCCGUCGAAGUCGGCUACCACAAAGUUGACGAACUAUGUGCGGAAGUGGUCUGGUGUUCCAAAUUGGACGGGCAACGUUAUCUGCCUGAGGGGUACUGAGCUUUGUCCUAGUAGGACGCCCCAAAACUGAGCAUCAUACGGCUUUAGUUGCGCCGGGGUUAGCUUGAGAGCAGGCAAGCUAUUGCGGAAAAGGAUGUCAAUGGAGCUACCCCCGUCAAUGAGCACGCGCUCAAACCUGACGCUAUUGAUACACGGGUCGAGGAUCAGGGGGAAACACCCUGGUUCUGGGAUGGCGGCCCACUAGUCCUGGCUGUUGAAGGAGAUCUCUCUGUGCGACCAUGUGGGAAUUUUGGAUCAGCAAUCAGGCCAUCAGUGCUGUCCACAUUAAGGCAAGCUCUUUUCAAGAGCUUUCUUUCUCGUUUGGACUCGAUGGAAAGUUUGCCUCCAAAGAUGGAGUGUACCACGUCGGUGGGACUGACAUAUUGGUGCCGCGAGUCCCUAUCCUGGUCGUCAUCCUCGUCUUCGUGACCGUUUCUAUCCUGUUUCCCGUUUUUCUUGACGGAAUCUCCCUGAGCGGCCUGUUGUGUGUAGAUGCUUUUGAGGACAUGGCAUUCUUCCAUCGUGUGGAUGGACUUGGGAUGGAGUUGGCAUGGUCCUUUCAGCGUCUUGUUGUAAUCUUCCUGGUAAUCUCGCCGUCCAUUGGGAUGCUUGACUGUGUUUACCUCAUGGUUGCUGUCGCGAGGUCGCUUGCCUCUGAAAUCACCGCGGUUGUCGCGACACCUGUCCCACCCUUCUCAGUGGUCGCGGUUGUUGCCGCGGCGAGAAUUCCAGUUAUCGAAGCAUCCAUGACUAUCAUCUCGUCGGGGAAGCUGGUCAGCUCCUCUCACAUCUUCUCGGAUGUGUUUUUCAGCGUCGUCGGCGUCGGCGUAGUUUUUGGCCGUGGCGAGGAGCUCGGCGAUCGUGGUUAGUCUUUUGCGUAGUAGCAUACUCCUUAAUGCUUCAUGGAAGCGUAGGCCCUUGAUGAAGGCUGAUAUGGCCUCGUCGUGAGAAAUCUUUGGAAUCUUAAGACGCAUAUCCGAGAAUCGUCGGAUGUAAUCGCGCAAGGGCUCGUUCUUCCUGUCCCUUAUCCUCUUGAGAUCGUAUUUGUUUCUAGGCUACUCGCAGGUAGCAAUGAAAUUGUCAAUAAACGCCUGGCGCAGAUCCUACCAAGAAUCAAAGGAGUCCUCGGGUACGCCGAGGAGCCAUUGAUGGCCAGCUUGGUCGAGGACGACUGGGAAGUAAUUUGCCAUGACGUGCUCGUCUCCUGCUGCUGAUCGGACUGCGAUCUCGUAAAGAGUGAUGCAGUUUUCAGGGUUCUCUUUGCCGUCAUAUUUUUUAAGCUUCUCGAGCUUAAAUUUGCGGGGCCAGACGACUUGGUGAAGGUGCGAGGAGAACUGUCUUAGGCCGGGGGGGCCAUGUGCUGCGUCAUACUCAAUGCGUCGCACGUUUUCGUGCGACUCUCAUUCCGUGGCGCACCUGUUGAUGCAUUCGCGGGCAUCCUUAGGAGGGAUGUUGUAGCGUAGAUCCCUGUCUUGGUUUACUUCCUGACCACGUCCGCGCCUCUGCUUGCGGUAACCGCCCGUGUCCUGACCACGGUUGUCGCAUCCAGUGUCCUUCCUUCGAUUAUUGGCAGGUGAACAGCUACGACGGUGCCCACCGGAUCGUGAUGAGGUGCGGCUGUGAUGAGUCUCGUCAGAGGUGACCUCCGUGUAGGAAACGGCUUGAAUCCUUUUGAGUAGGGUAGCGGUCUGUCCCAUGGCCGCGAUCAGAUGUGCCCGUAUAUUAGCCCGAAUGUCUUGAUAUUCGGGAGCAUCGGGAAGGCGAUCCAAGUUUGCCAUGGCGACGACCACGUUGGCGCUUGGUGUCUUGUAGACCUGUUGAUUUCCGACCAUGUCGAAACCAUCGUUGAGAUUAUGUGGGGCGAGCUGUCGGUCCUCGUCUGCUCGUCGUUGGGCUCGGUCGGUAUUGCGCUGUUCUUGUUACUGUCGUUGUUCGUCAGUUUCUCCGUCAACAACUGGUUCAUCAUUACUAACAUUGAGAACCAAAUCUCCUCGUCGAGGCGGAAAGACUGGGAAGCGGGAGAAACCCGGUGGGUAUGGCGGCAGAUCUAUAUCGUAGUCCUCGUCCUCAGGGUGUAAAACCUCGGUAGGGACAGAUUCUGUACUGGAGCUUGUACUGCUGGACUUGUCUUCUGGCAGGGUGCGGAUGGAGACCAUAUUGACGAAGUGACGAGAUACUUGCCUAUUUUGGCUCAGCGACGAGCCUGCCUUUCUAAAUAGGAAUUGUGUAUGCCGUGAGAACUGAUCGGCCGCGUUACUCAAACCGUAAAGGCAAUGUUGUUCUGGGGGGCUUGUCUUGAGCCUGACGGUCCGUCCCGCGGAGGUCGACGUUAUCGUUAGGGACGUCUCUAGCCGUUCGUGUGUGGAGACACGAGUUGGUCGACGGGAGUCGAAAAAAUUUGUUGUUGCCGCCUGAACGGACCUUCGUGAAAUCGAAUCCACUAGGUUGGAGGCUUCGAGGAGCUUGUGGUCGGCGCGAUCGAGGGCUUGAAGAAGAUCCAAAUUGUCGGCCCGCUUUGCCCUGUAGCGAGGGAGUGGAGGUCGGAUCCUCGUAAUCGGCGUGAUCGGAGUCGAUGCCUCCGCUGUCCCAGACUGAUCUGGGUUUCUUCCAAGGUCGUGGUCGCAAGGCCGCCGCCGUGAGUUGUCCAAGUGAUCUGGCCGACGGUGAAAGUGAGACCUUCAGCCAUGGCCGCGGAAGCUGGGAUGAUGACCAUCUUGUUCGUCGGAAUUGCUGUACACACACCCCCUACCUGGCGCGCCACUGUCGACGAAAGCUGGUCGGCAGUCUACCUUGGGGUAUACCCACGGUAGUAGUUUAUCGGUAGACGGUGCGCAAGCUACGAACUUGAUGGUGACGCAAGACACAGACAAGGUUUUUAUCCAGGUUCGACCGCGGUGUGGGCGUAAUACCUACGUCCUGCGUCUGAUUGUAUUGCUGUGGAUUGUGUUGAGUUGAGAUUAGAUGUCCUAGGGGGGUCCCUUGCCUCUCCUUAUAUAGUCCAGAGAGCAGGGUUACAGAUCUAGAAAACUAAUCCUAGUCGGUUAUAAUUGCCAUAGAUAGUACGAUAUCAAUUCCUAUUCUAACCGACUAGAAUCCUGCUUGAUCUCCACGUCUUGUUUCCUUGCGCGAAACUCCGAGGAGUCAGAUCAAGCCUCGAACUCGUCUUGUAAUGGGCCAAGCCUCCUGGCCCAAGUCUAGCCGUAAGGGUAUAGGGGUUUAUACCCCCACAGCAACUUCACCAACACAUGCGAUCUCUGGCUCCACCUCCGUCGUUCGCACCAUUGCUACUGCACAUCGCUCGAAAGGCUAGGAUCUGAGGAGGAGCACCUACUAUGUCGAAACUCCCUGUUUAUUGGCGCAUGUCGGCCAUCACAUUUCUUCACCAGGAUGGUCGGUGUUGUCUGUCACACCACCACAUCGUAGUUGCUAGAGAUUUUGAACGAGAAUCAAAUUAAAAGAUCCUAGUAUGGAUUACUUUGUUGUCCGAGGUGCCAGAACGGUCCGCACGCUGGAUACAUGUACCGAAUGUUUGAGGUGCCAUCAAUCAUGGACGUGGCGAUGCUAUGGCCAUUUGGCCUAAAUGGCUGAACUCCUAGCCCGUGUAUGUCUUUGCCACUAUCACUAGAGGUACGGUCCGUGUCGCCUAAUCUCAAGUCCCUAAAUGUCCCACGACCAAAGUCCUAACCAUAUUAUGCUUUUUCAAUGUCUUAGUAGAGCAUAACUAGAGUCACCUGGGUUGGAGAUGACAUGGCGAUGGAAGAAUCCAGUAGAAAAACAAAAAAAAUGUGGUGCUCCAAUUCUAAUUGACAUGACAAUAUGAAAAGAGAGAUACAGUGACAAGUUUAUUAAACUUUAUAGAAAGAACGAAACAUAAUUUUUUUUCCUAUUGCAACAUGAGCAUUUUUGCUAGUGAAUAUAAUCGCAUAUAUUUAGAUUGCAAAUUUUAACAUACAAAUUUGACCACACAUAUUUAUAUUAAAAUUUUGACAUACAAUCCAGAUAAUUCGGGUUUUGGGCCGUUCACUUCCACCUCUAAAAGAAAGUAUGCCGCCUCUUCUACGAGUCUCUAACCUUCAUAAAGGUCUUGCUUAGGUCGUAAAAAUUUUUAGGUUCGACUACUGUAGCACUUUUAUUCGUAUUUGAUAAUUAUUAUCUACCCAUUAUCUAACUAGGCUUAAAAGAUUUGUCUCACAAAUUACAGAUAAACUAUGGAAUUAAUUAUUUUUUAUCUAUAUUUAAUGCUCCAUACAUGCAUCUAAAAAUUGGAUGUAACGGAGAAUCUUAAAAUAAUUUUCAAGAUUCCCCAUCACAUCGAGUCUUUGGACGCAUAUAGGGAGCAUCAAAUAUAGACUAGUAUAAGGCUAUGGCUUUAUCUUAAGAAUGUAUCUUAAAACAACAAAAUUGUUUUGCAUAGUCUAAUUUUUAUACAAGUAUAUUUGAGUCUAUAUAUAAUUCAAAAAUAGUUUUGCAUAUAAGAAUGCAUAGUUUCAAUUUCUGUUUCUCAUAUCAAUUACUCAACUUCACGCUGAUGUGCGCAUUCACUCUUUUCAGAACAAGGCCAUAUCAGAUAAAAGCAGAUGGAGCUUUCGUAGGCAUUGAGUUUUGAAGAACUCUGAUAUCUCCUGAAAGUCUUAGUUUCAACAAAGUUAAGGCUGACAUUACACCAAGCAACAAUGUUUAUACUUUAACAUAUUCUUAUGCCUCGGAGAAACCCCUGCAACAAGACAAGCCAGAUGAGAAGAUUCCGCAUCAAGAGAAGCCAGAGGACAAGCCUCUGCAUCAAGAUAACUCUGACUAAAAGCUGCUGGAGAAGCCAAUUGAAAAGCCUAUUGACAAACUUGUGGAAGAGCCAUAUAAUUGAAAAUUCAAUUGAACUACCUACUCAAAAGAUAACUAAAUGACCAACUGAUGAGCCAAUCGAAAAAAUAAAUGAUGCACCAACUGAAGAAGCAGCUGAAAAAAUAACAGAGACAGUGAAAAUACAGCUGAAGGGACAAUAGAAAAUGCAACAGAAGAGACACCCGAAAGGGCAGUUGAGGAAGUAAUUGAAUAGUCAGAUGAAACUAUUUCUGUCUCAUCAACUGGGCCGAAGCUGGGGGAAAACACAUCACUUGUUGAAGGAAGCAAUGCAGACCCUGACGAAGAUCAUUUGGAGUCUUCAUCUACUAAUUUUCAGCCUAGCAGUGGCACUAACAUUGUAAGUUGCAAUUAUUGCUCUUUUAGCAUUAUGCUUAGCUGUCCCUCAUCGAAUGUUAUUAAUAAUUUAUAUAUUAUCAAAGUAAAAAACAACACAUUGUCCAUUUGCAUGACUACAGGCAAGGGAAUAGCUACUGAAUCAGAAGCAUCUGGUGAAAAUGCAAGCCGUAGCAUUAACACGUCUGCACGCUCCUUAUCUCCACAGCCACACGGCGAGUGACAAGGACUGCGGACGACGUCGUGAUCUGCAAAUGAACUCCCCCAGUCAGACAAGAAGACGUUGGCCCUUGUUUAGUUUUGGAUAAUUAAUGAAACCUAUGUGUACUAAUCUUUAUGAUAAGUGAAAUACAAAGAUACAUUGGUACACACCAAGUGAUGGAGCUAGAUGAUGGUCUUGGUGCCUCUAAACAUCCCCACUGGCAAAGGAAGAACUUCAUUGCUAAACUGAAGGUGGGAGAUUGCAUCUUCACUACACAUUAGGAAAAGGCUGCUGAGAUCUUGGAGUUCUACUCAAAUCUGAUUGGUACAGUUGAUGAUAGAGAAAGAACCAUAAAUUUGGAUGUACUCAAUAUUUCAGAAUAUGAUCUUUAGGCGUUGGACAUGCCUUUUACGGAAGAGGAGGUGUGGAACACCAUCAAAGGACUUCCAUCAGAUAAGGCCCCUGGCCCUGAUGGGUUUACAGGAAACUCUAUAUGUCCGCCUUGCACACCAUUUGGGAGAAACAUUUUAGGAACUUGGGGAUGCUGAAUUCUGCUUUUAUAACAUUAAUUCCAAAGAACGCUGAGGCUGAUCAAGUAAAAGAUUUUAGACCCAUUCGUUUGGUACACAGCUUUGCUAAACUAGUGACUAAAAUACUGGCGAACCGGUUAGCUAGUCGUCUUGAUGAAAUAGUUUCCUCCAAUGAAAGCGCCUUUAUCAAAAGACGGUUUAUUCAGGACAACUUCAUGCUGGUACAGCAGACUGUGAAGUAUCUGCACUCCCAAAGGCAGCCAAGAAUCCUCCUCAAAUUGGAUAUCACUAAGGCGUUUGAUUCAUUAAAUUGGUCAUUUCUUUUGGAAGUGCUCUGGAAGCUUAGCUUUGGUGCUUUAUGGUGUGAUAUUCUUUGUGGCCUGCUUUCCUCUUCUUCUACUCAAGUUCUCUUGAAUGGUAGUCCUAGAGAGACUAUUCAGCAUAAGAGAGGGCUCCGCUAGGGAGAUCCCUUUUCCCCAAUGCUUUUCAUUCUGGUAAUGGACGUGAUGAACAGGAUGGUCACACGGGCUGAAGAGGAAGGUCUGUUGCAACCAAUGGCUAGAAGGUCAAUUCAACACAGAAUUUCCCUAUAUGAUGAUGAUGUAGCUCUCUUCCUCCAACCUGCUGCGGCAGAUAUCUCUUUGACUCUAAGAAUGCUCCAGCUCUUUGGGGAUGCCUUUGGACUCAGAACAAUUGUACAAAAAAGUAAUGUACUGCCAGUCCAUUGUUUGGAAGAAAAUAUGGAAGUUAUUCAAAGCCUGCUACCCUGCGGUAUUCAAGAAUUUCCUUGCAAAUACCUUGGGUUGCCUCUGUCGACCAAGAAGCUGACCAAAGACCAAUUCCAGCCAAUUAUUGAUAAAAUAGCGGAUCAGCUCCCAAGAUGGAAAGCAGAUUUGAUGACAAAGGCAGGAAGGGUGGUGCAGGUCCAACAUGUCCUGACUGCAAUGCUAGUAGCUAUGGCAAUCGAGCUGCCACCAUGGGCUAUCAAGGCAAUUGAUAAAAUUAGAAGGGCUUUUCUAUGGAGAGGGAGAAAAGAAGCAAACGGGGGACAUCACCUCAUUGCAUGGCCCAAGGUGUACUUCUCUAAAGAUCAUGGGUGACUGGGAAUUGCUGACCUGAAAUCUCUAGGCUUUGCGCUCAAAGCUCGGUAGCCAUGGUUGAAAAAAUCUGAGAAAUAAACCUUGGGCGAGUCUGCCACUUUAGGUUUGCAAGGAGGUGGAUGGUCUGCUCUCUAUGGCUGUGUUCACUGAGGUAGGAGAUGGACCUAACACCUUGUUCUAGAAGGAUAGGUGGCUUGCUGAGAGGAAUAUCCAGGAAUUAGCACCAAAAAAUUAUUGCUUGGUCCCUAAAAGAAAAAUAGGCAGACGUACGGUAAGGGAGACUUUGUCUGAUGAGAAAUGGAUUGAUGAUAUUCGAGUUGACAUACCUGUAGAAGCUCUAAUGGAAUAUCUGGAAUUAAGGGAUAUACUAUCUAAUGUUGUGCUAGACAAAGGGGCAAACGACAAACACAUUUGGAGACUUUCGGCUUCAGGUGAUUACACGGCCAAGUCGGCAUAUGAUUUGUUUUUCAAAGGCGCUAUAUACUUCAGACCAUAUGAGAGAAUAUAGAAGUCAUGGGUUCCUCCCAAGUGCUGUUUUUUCAUGUGGUUAGUUCAUAACCGGUGUUGGACAGCUGACAGGCUUGCUCGAUGAGGACUGCCUCACCGGGCCAAAUGUAUCAUUUGUGACCAGGAAUAGGAAAGCAUCCAGCACCUCCUAAUUGGGUGCGUUUUUGCUAAGCAAUUCUGGUUCUCUCUCCUGCAGUGCGUUGGACUCUCUUCACUCACUUCUCAGCCGGAGGAUUCAGCUUGGGAGGACUGGUGGGAAAAGGCAGAGGCUGCUACCAAUGGGGAUGUAGGAAACGGCUUAAACUCCAUCGUCAUCCUUGGCGCCUGGAGCAUCUGGAAACACCAGAAUGACUGUGUCUUCAAUGGGGAUGUCCCAAAUAUUAACACAGCCCUAAGUAUAGCUAGGGAUGAAGCCCAUUGGUGGUGUUUGGUAGGAGCUUACGGUCUGUCCUUGCUUACCGCUGGGGGUCUUAGUUUCUUCCCCGCUCGGUAGUUGUACACUCUGAUCUAGGUGAUGACGUCUUAGAAAAUAGAGAAAGUGUGAGGGGGUGUGUGUGAGUGGAUCUGGGUCUAUGUAUGUGUAACACCCAAAAAAUUUCAUCUUUCCAGAUAGGGUAAAAUGAUUUAAUUAAUUGUUUAUGAGCACUAAAAUGUAGUAAGAAAUGAAUUUUUAUAGAAUUAAAAGUCAAUAUAAGGUUUAGACACAUGUUGUGCAUCCAUGCUGCUUCAUAUGUUUUAUUGACUGAUGUUUCUUUAAAUUCAAAAUGGUUUUUAAAUCCUUUUAAAUGGUUUGAGAAAAGGUGUGAAAAUAAAAAGGAAAAAGGUUUUAUUCUCUCCCUCACUUCUCUCGAGCUUGGCCCAAUCUUUUCUCCCCCCCCCCCCCCGCGGCCUGCUUUCCCCCUUCCUCUUCUCACUCCCGCGCCAUCCAUUGUGGCCGCUGACAGAGCGGACCCGCACCCCGUUUCACUGCCAGGUGGGGCCCACCUGUCGGAUCCGUCUCCCACCUCGCAACUGAGCCGGACUCGAUGGGGUUUCCGCACCGGCCACGUGCGAUCCCCGCAGCUGGCUUGCCUCGCACGCCAAGGAGGCUUUAAAUAGCGGCCUCCGCUCAGCCGCAACCCCCCUAUCUCAAUCUAGUGCCAGCCGCCGCACAGUUUUCGCCGAAAAUCACCUUCGAGAUUCAAGCCAAAGCCAAUCCGCCGCUGCAGCGCGUCCCAGCCUCCGUGAGCGACUUGCCGAGCUUCGGCUCCGUCGUGCGAAGUCGCUGAGAUCUUCUUUUCGCACACUUUUGCUCCCUACGCUUGCCUAACCUUUGCCGAACCACUUUGCAGAGCCGCCGCCUGCCGUUCAUCAUCGGGAGCCCUAGCCGGCGUCUCUCCGUCCCGUUUCUUGCCUCAGGUGAGUGUGCACCGAGCUUGUGAGCAACCCCGUGCUUUUAUCUCGCGUUCUACCGCUCUGAGUUGCCACAUUGGCCAACUCCGGCCAACUUGGCCAUGGCGCUGCCGCGGCCUACCCUAGCUCCGACCGGCCGGCUUGAACCCACACCCCACGAUCUAAUCUCAGCCACUGAUCCGCGAUCCAACGGCCCUAGAUGAAGGGUACCCCUUCGGCCGCGCGUUUUUGCAAAAUAGCCCCCUUGUUUUCUAAAGAUCAAACCUGUAGUCCCUUGCAGUUCUCCCGAGUGCAUUUUCUAAUCUCGAAAGCGUAUUCCCGCCUACUCAGUUGAAAAUAUGCUUUCUCAAAAAUACAGUUUUGCCAUUGAUCCUAUUUAACUCAUAAAAACACUGUUUUAACUCGGUUUUGAUCCGUUUAAAUUGUGUUAGAUUCGUUUUUGCGUAACCUAUAGAUUAGUGGCACUGUUAUAUAUGUUUCCAACUUUUAAAAUCUGAGCUUAGAUUUAAUCUAUUAUUUUAUUAAAGGAAAUCUUGUUUAAAUCAUAACUUCUUCUUUAUAGGUCCGAUUUUUGUGAACUUUACAUCUGUGUGAUCGUAGAGCGAUGUAGAAUCGUUUUAUAAACUUUUUGUCUUUAUUUAUUACUGUUGGCAUACUGUUCUAAUUAAGACUUGUUUGCCUUGUAUGAUUGUCUUUGGGUGAUUGCUGUUGAUGUGGUGAUUACGUUCAGAUGGUGAGCAGUUCGUGGGUGACCAAGAGUAUUGCUACGAGCAGGAUCAGUAGGACCAGUGUGAUCAAGGCAAGUAUAGCAUGGGAUCAUCCUUGUUUCCUAAUAACUUUAAUCACAUAAUUCAUAUUGCAUGUGUCUCCUUGAUAAGGAUUUCCGUUUUGCAUUUGGGUAGCUUAUGCUAGUGCUCCACUAAACCAUGAUCUUGUAAUUUGAUUAAUGGAAUAUGCAAUAAACAUUAAAAGAUGACUUUUUAGCAACUUUGGAAAAGAGGGCUGGAGCAUUGGGCUAUCUUAUGGUGCUCUAGUUUCUCUCCCUAAGGACUUAUCUGUAUAUGACCAUCCGGGACAUACAGUACAAUUGUGUGAGGGCUACAUGGCUCUGGCUUUAACUUAGUAUGAGGACCUUUUCUAGCUUGUUAGUGGUUACCCUUGCGGCGCAAAUGGGGGAUAGCAGACCGUGGAUUCCUACAGGUGGAUCACAUGGACUGACUAACGAAUCCAAGCGGCCCUAACUUGUUAGACGAACCUUUAAAAGGCUUCAUAGUGAACCUUGUUGGUCUUCCUUGGGAGUGGGCUAAGGGGCUGAUCACCUCAGGCGAAAGGGUAAAUCACGACUCACAGUGAAAGUGUACAAUCUCUGCAGAGUGUAAAACUGAUAUAUCAGCCGUGCUCACGGUCACAAGUGGCCUUGGACCAAUACAGAAUAAAUAAUCACUAAUGGCAAAUCAUUAAAUGUUAUUAUUGUUAAUAUGUUGUUUAUGCUAUUCUUUAUUCACUUUACCUGAUCAUAAGUUUAUUUUGGGUCUUGACAACUUGAUGCUACUCAUAUGCUAAAAUUGUGACAACUGAAAGCUACAUGCAGUUAAACUAGUGUCUAGCCUUUGAGCCUCACGAAUCCCAUCUUACACUUGUUAAGUACGAGAUGUACUUACACUUGUUUAUUUUCUUUAUUUGGAUAGAAAUCCCAGAUGGGUAACAAAUGGCAUGGGUAAUGACUACUACCAGUACUUCCCUGAGGAUUUCUAGUCUUGUGGUCAACCAUUUGAUGUGCCUGUGUGAUGGAGCUUCCAUGCAAGAGUUAUCUUUUAUUUUCGCUUUAUUUUUUUGUAAAGACUUUGAGAUAUUAUCGUUAUGUAAUGAACACUUGUGAUGGUACUCUCUAUAAUUUGUUGGCUUAUGUGUGAUUGAUCUCUGGGCACACAUAAGGUUUUGCAUUCAAUUUUAUACUUAAAAUUGGGUGUGACAAAUUGGUAUCAGAGCCGUGUUGACUGUAGGACGCAAGCCUAGAUAGAAAUGGUCGUUUUAGUUGUCUUUUCUUCUCUACUUUCAUGCUUACCAUCUUACUCUUGUUAUUUGCUAAAAUUUUUAUGCUUCUACCAUCUCACUCUAUUAGAAAAAUUAUUGCUUCUAAUCUAACUUCUCUCCGGUCUCUUCUAUAGAUGGUUCGUGCCAACAAGAUCGCUCGUAUCUCAAUUGGAGGAUACCACCCACCCCGUUACCAGUACGAGCCUAUGGAGCCACAAGAGGAGAGUUCACCGGAACAUGAGGAGGUUCCACCACCUUUAGAACAAGCAUUUGAUCUAGAGCUAUCACAAGUGGAGUCUGAACCAGAGGAGGAUCCCCAGGAGGUCAUAUUAAUUUUUAAUGAUGAAGAGGAAGGUGCUCCCGGAGGAGGUCAACCCCCAUCACCGCCACAAGAUGGACCUGCUGAAGAUGAUGAGCCCCCUCCCAUGGGGUGGACUAGAAAGGUGUACCACAAGUCUUCGUGCAACGCUCCGUCGCAUCACCGGCUGGUGAGAAUGUUGGAGGCUUACUUCUCUAACUGGGAUGCAGCCGUGGAGUAUUCCUACAUUGAGUAUACGCACCCCCUGGAGAACACCUACUGGAAGUCCAAAGUGCUGAUCUUUCCCAAGGAUGUGGAGGAAGAUGCAUACCUGAAGGACAGGGGCUACCGUCACGAUGGACAUAGAGCUACUAUAGAAGAGAGCAUGGAGGAAGCAGCUUUCACAGCAUGUUUGUUCCUCCGUGAGUAUCGUUUUGGUAACAUGCGGUGGGAUAUACACCAUUAUCUACCCCGCCUCUACCCCGCCUAGACCCGGAACAAGGAUGGGGAAUGCUGGAGCCAAUAGAUUUAGACCCAGUCUCCCGAGUGAUGGUGUGCUUUGCUCAUGAGAUGGUGGAAAAGCAUAUGAAACUGCAAGACAUGGUGAUACCACAAGGAAAGGCUCUCAAGAGGUGCUACAAGACGAUCGACGACUAUCGUGAGAGGGAAGGACAGCCCAAGAUCUAUGGGAAGCUCGAUUAUGAACCACGCCCUUAGUGUUGGAAGUCCCUAUUAAGUAAUAAGCCGCAAGAAGCGCAAGUGAGUCGAGUCAAGUUAGUGUGGUGUGCUUUUUGUUAUGCUUAGUUGCUUUGUUAUUAUGUUUAUGGGUGAGUUGGAUCUUUGUAAUGAGUGCUGGGACUUUGUGGGCAUGUCUACAAGUUCCAUAGUUUAGGUUAUUAAGGAAUAAGGUUUAAUGAAUAAAUAGUUGGGUUGGUAUAUCUAUCUUUCCUGUUUCGUUUCUUUAGACCAAUCUGUCUUAAUAAUUUUACCCAGAAAAAUCAGUUCGAUCAAAAGUUAUAAAAAUUUUAUGAGAAUACCUAGACUUAAGCAUCUUUCCUAUGCCACUGGAAUCACCUUUUUAUCUGAUCUUGGCCGAGAGAUAUGAAUGUUGAAAACAGAGGUUCCUGCGCAGUCUGAGUUCUGGGACAGUUUCGGGUGGAGACAGUUUAUGCCUAAUUUAAUGACUGAAUCUGAAUUCAUGCUCUAAAUAAAAGUUGUAGACAAAUUCUUAAACUUUCCAACCAUCAAAGUUUCCCCUCCGUUGGAUUUUUAUACCUCGCGAUAUGAUCGUUUUACCGAACUACUGACACUGGAAUCACUCAGAAAAAUUUCAGAAUUGCAAACUUAUUCAUGAAUGUCUAUAAUUGGGAGAUUCUAAAGUUCUGCAUGUUAUGACAGAUGUCGCCCAGAGGUAGAGGACGUGGAAGGGGUGCUCCACUCAACCCACCUGCCACCAUCGAACAGCUACUGGCAGUCCAGACGCAGCUCAUGGAAGCCCUGGUGAACAACCAACAGAAUCAUCCAAUCGGAGGGGCACCACCACGUGUUAAGCGGGGCGAAUUCUCGAAAGGCCACCCCCCUAUGUUCGCACAUGCCAUUGACCCACUAGAGGCAGAUGACUGGCUUCGUGCAGUGGAGAAGCAAUUCAACAUAGCACAGUGUGAUGAUAGGCAGAAGGUGUUGUUCUUAUCUGGACAACUCCAGGGAGAUGCUCAGACAUGGUCGGAGUCGUUUGAGUAUGGACGACCCCCAAUGCACCUGCUAUCACAUGGCUAGAGUUCAAGGAGAACUUUAGGUCUUACCACAUACUAGAAGGGCUAAUAGAACUGAAGGCAGAGGAGUUCCGGAGCUUGAAGCAGGGAUCUAUAAUAGUUCCGGAGUACCGGGACAAGUUUGCUCAGCUGUCACGCUAUGCUCCAAACGAGGUGGCUAACGAUGCUGAUAAACAGCGCCUCUUUCUGAAGGGAUUGUAUGAUGGUCUCCAACUCCAACUAAUGUCCAAUGAAUACCCCAACUAUCAUACGCUUGUGAACCGUGCUAUUGUAGUGGAUAACAAGCGUAAGGAGAUGGAUGCUAAAAGGAAGCGGAUGCAGGGACAGGCCUCUGGAAGUAAUUCUCGUCCACGCACCAACCAGCAGCAAGGUUCUCAGCAAAGGUACCAAGGACCACCUUCACAGUGGAAUCGUGGUCAGUACCCCCAGCGCAAUCAGUUUCAGCAGCACCUGCAGAACCAGUAGAAUCAGCAGCAGGGCAACCAACAGACGUCACGCCAGGGUACGCCUAGCAACACUCCAAUGAAGACUAGUGCCCCUAACACCCCCAACAAGUGUUUUCGUUGUGGCAAGGAGGAUCAUCUAUCAUAUCACUGCCCUGAAAAGCAAAACCAACAGACUCCCAAGAAGCAGAAUAACCACCAGAAGUCAGCUUCUAAUACUGGAAGGGUGAACCACAUGUCUUUUGAGACAGAACAACAGGAACCAGAAGUCAUGCUCGGUACGUUCGAAGUCAACUUUAGUUCUUUUUGAUUCUAGAGCUUUCCAUACUUUCAUAUCACAAGCAUUUGUUAGAAUACAUAGCUUACCCUUAUGUGCCAUGAAGAAUCCCAUACUAGUAAAUUCACCGGGGGGGAAGCAUGCAAGCUUCUUAUAGUUGCCUCCCACUUACUCUAACUCUAAGGGGGUAGAGUUCAAGAUAUGCCCGAUUGUGUUGAGAGCAUAUGGUACAGAUGUGAUUGUGGGAAUGGAUUGGAUGAAACAACAAGAUGCUUCGAUUCAAUGUAAAGGAAAGGCAGUUGCACUAACAACACCAAAAGGGGACAAAAUCUAUGUGGAAGUUGCAGUUCAGCCUCAGCCAACAGCUACAGUGAACCAGCUUGAUAACAGUGUCAAUCAGGAGGACCCGGUUGUUGAUGAGUUCCCAGACGUGUUCCCAAAUGAUUUGCCAGGUAUGCCACCUGACCGUGACAUUGAGUUUAUUAUUGAAUUAUUACCUGGCACUGCACCUAUAGCUAAACGUUCAUAUAGAAUGGGGGUUAAUGAAUUAGAGGAACUUAAGAAACAAAUAAAGGAGUUACAAGAGACAGGUUUCAUUCGUCCUAGCUCUUCACUUUGGGGAGCACCAGUUAUUUUUGUCGAUAAGAAAGAUGGUACACAGAGAAUGUGUGUAGACUACCGGUCACUUAAUGAGGUCACAAUCAAGAAUAAAUAUCCCUUGCCUAGAAUCGAUGAUUUGUUUGAUCAGUUGAGAGGUGCUUGUGUGUUUUCCAAGAUUGAUCUUCGUUCGGGGUACCAUCAGCUGAAGAUUCAUCCUACUAAUAUACCAAAGACAGCAUCUACGACCCGGUAUGGCUUGUAUGAGUACACAGUAAUGUCUUGUGGUUUGACCAAUGCUCCUGCAUACUUUAUGUAUCUGAUGAAUAAGGUGUUCAUGGAAUUCCUUGAUAAGUUUGUGUUGGUGUUCAUUGAUGACAUAUUGAUAUUCUCCAAGACUGAACUAGAGCAUGCUGAGCAUCUGAGGUUAAUCUUGCAAAAGCUUCGGGAGCACAAGUUAUAUGCUAAGCGAAGCAAUUGUGAGUUUUUGUUGAAAGAAGUCUCCUUUAUAGGCCAUGUUGUUUCUAAUGGAAGAAUAGCUGUGGAUCCGAGCAAGGUGAAAGACGUGCUCGAUUGGAAACCACCGACCGAUGUGAGUGGGAUACACAAUUUCUUGGGAUUGGCUGGUUACUACCGAAGGUUUAUUGAGGGAUUUUCAAAGCUUGCCAAACCGAUGACAGCUCUGCUUGAGAAAAACGCCAAGUUUGUGUGGUCAGAUAAGUGUCAAGAAAAUUUCGAGGAAAUGAAGAAGAGAUUGACUAUAGCUCCAGUGCUAGUAUUGCCAGAUCUAAGUAAGAAUUUCUCCAUUUAUUGUGAUGCAUCCCGUCUAGGACUUGGGUGUGUUCUUAUGCAAGAAGGAAGAGUAGUGGCCUAUGCAUCUCGACAGUUGAGGAAGCAUGAGUUGAAUUACCCUAACCAUGACUUGGAAUUAGCCGCAGUGGUUCAUGCCUUGAAGAUCUGGAGGCAUUAUCUUAUCGGUCAUAAGAGUGACAUAUACACGGACCAUAAGAGUUUGAAGUAUAUAUUCACGCAGUCAGAUCUGAACUUGACGCAACGACGGUGGUUAGAAUUGAUGAAGGACUCUGAUUUGGAGGUACACUACCACCCUGGGAAAGCAAACAUGGUCGCAGACGCCCUGAGCAGGAAAAGCUAUGCCAACGAGGUGCAAAUAGCCUCUAUGGCUGAUGAGUUAUGUGCUGAAAUUGCACACCUGAAUCUGGGUUUUGUUAUUAAUGCAGUUGAGUUAGUAAUAGAACCCACUUUGGAGCAAGAAGUACGAAAAGGGUCAGUUACAUGAUGAAAAGCUGAAAGAGAUAGCUGGGAACAUCGUGAUUGAAAAGGCACCAGGAUUCCGGAUGGAUGAUAAUGGAACACUAUGGUUUGGGAAAAGGCUAUGUGUGCGUGAGGAUUGAUCUAUUAGGGAGGCAAUUCUGCGAGAGGCACACAAAUCUGCUUAUUCUAUACACCCUGGCAGCACUAAGAUGUACCUAGACCUAAAAGAGAAGUAUUGGUGGUAUGGCUUGAAGAGAGAUGUUGCUGAGUAUGUCGCUUUAUGUGAUACUUGCCAGAGAGUCAAAGCAGAACAUCAGAGACCGGCAGGACUGUUGCAACCAAUGAAAAUCCCUGAGUGGAAAUGGGAGGAAGUUGGUAUGGACUUCAUAAUGGGACUACCCCGCACUCAGAAAGGUUAUAUGGGUAAUAGUACACCGGCUGACUAAGGUCGCUCAUUUUAUUCCGGUUAAGACCAAAUACAGUGGACCAAAAUUGGCUGAAUUAUACAUGGAAAGAAUAGUGUGCUUGCAUGGGGACCCUAAAAAGAUAGUUUAUGAUCAAGGUACCCAAUUUACGUCUCACUUUUGGCAGAAAGUGCAUGAGUCCCUGGGAACUAAGCUGAAAUUUAGUACAGCAUACCAUCCCCAGACCGAUGGGCAGACUGAGAGGACUAAUCAAAAUUUGGAGGAUAUGUUGAGGGCAUGUGCAUUACAGUAUGUAACGAGUUGGGAUAAGAGUUUGCCAUACGCAGAGUUUUCAUACAACAACAGCGGCACCAUUUGAAGCCUUAUAUGGGUGGAAGUGUAGAACCCCGUUGUUUUGGAAUCAAGCGGGAGAAACACAAGUGUUUGUGCCAGAUGUGCUACGGGAUGCAGAACAGCAAGUGAGAGUAAUCAGGGAGAACUUGAGGGCAGUACAGUCCCGACAGAAGAGUUAUGCUGACACACGGAGAAGAGAAUUGGCUUCUGAGGUAGGAGACUAUGUGUAUUUGAAAGUGUCACCUAUGUGAAGUGUGCGAAGGAUCAACAUGAAGGGGGAAGUUAGCACCAAGGUACAUUGUGCCUUUCCGAGUGUUGGAAAGACGAGGGGAAGUAGCCUUCCAAUUGGAACUGCUUGAAAGUUUAAAAGGACUGCAUGACGUCUUCCAUGUGUCACAGCUUAAAAAGUGUUUGCGGGUGCCGGAGGAGUAGAUACCGAUAGAGGAAUUGACCGUUAAAGAGGAACUUACUUAUGAAGAAUAUCCGGUAUGAAUUUUGGAAACAGCAGAAAGAGUUACCAGGAGUCGGGUUAUCAAAAUGUGCAGAGUACAGUGGAAUAGAUAUACCGAAGAAGAGACUAUCUGGGAGAUGGAAGAAGACUUAAGAAAGUCAUAUCCUCAGUUGUUUGAGUAAGCACCAACCGAAUCUCGAGGACAAGAUUCAUUUUAAGGGUGUAGAAUUGUAACACCCUAAAAAUUUCAUCUUUCCAAAUAGGGUAAAAUGAUUUAAUUAAUUGUUUAUGAGCACUAAAAUGUAGUAAGAAAUGAAUUUUUAUUGAAUUAAAAGUCAAUAUAAGGUUUAGACUGCUGCUUAUGUUUUAUUGAGUGAUGUUUCUUUAAUUUCAAAAUGGUUUUUAAAUUCUUUUAAAUGGUUUGAGAAAAGGUGUGAAAAUAAAAAGGAAAAAGGGUUUAUUCUCUCCCUCACUUCUCUCAGCUCGGCCCAAUCUUUUCUUCCCCCCCAUGGCCUGCUUUUCCCCUUCCUCUUCUCACUCCCGCGCGGUCUAGUUCCCCGGCCCACACUGGAUCAGCCAGCGAGCCGCGCCCUCCCCUCCGCUGUGGCCACUGACAGAGCAGACCUGCGCCCCGUUUCACUGCUAGGUGGGGCCCACCUGUCGGAUCCAUCUCCCAUCGCGUAACUGAGCCGGACUCGGUGGGGUUUCCGCACCGGCAACGCGUGAUCCCCGCAGCUGGCUUGCCUCGCACGCCGAGGAGGCUUUAAAUAGCGGCCUCCACUCCACCGCAACCCUCCUAUCUCAAUCUAGAGCCAGCCGCCACACAGUUUAUGCCGAAAAUCGCCGUCGAGAUUCAAGCCGAAGCCAAUCCACCGCUGCAGCGCGUCCCAGCCUCCGUGAGUGACUUGCCGAGCUUCGGCUCCAUCGUGCGAAGUCACCGAGAUAUUCCUUUCGUGCUCUUUUGCUCCGUACGCUUGCCUAACUUUUGCCGAACCUCUUUGUAGAGCCACCGCCCGCCGUUCGUCGUCGGGAGCCCUAGCUGGCGUCUCUCUGUCCCGUUUCUUGCCUCAGGUGAGUGCGCACCGAGCUUCUGAGCAACCCCCGUGCUUUUAUCUCGCGUUCUACCGAUCUGAGUCGCCAGAUUGGCCAACUCCAGCCAACUUGGCCAUGGCGUCGCCGCGGCCUACCCCAGCUCCGGCUGCCCGACUUCAACUCCCACCCCAUGAUCUAAUCUCAGCCACGGAUCCGCGAUCCAACGGCCCCAAAUGAAGGGUACCCCUUCGGCCGCACGUUUUUGCAAAAUAGCCCCCUUGUUUUCUAAAGAUCAAACCCGCAGAACCUUGCGGUUCUCCUGAGUGCGUUUUCUAAUCUCGAAAGCGUAUUCCCGCCUACUCAGUUCAAAAUACGCUUUCUCAAAAUUAUAGUUUUGCCAUUGAUUCUGUUUAACUCAUAAAAACUCCGUUUUAACUCCGUUUUGAUCCAUUAAAAUUGCGGUAGAUUCGUUUUUGCAUAACCUAUAGAUUAGUGGCACUGUUAUAUAUGUUUCCAACUUUUAAAAUCUGAGCUUAGAUUUAAUAUAUUAUUUUAUUAAAGGAAAUCUUAUUUAAAUCAUAACUACUUCGUUAUAGGCCCGAUUUUUGUGAACUUUACGUCUGUAUUAUCGUAGAGCGAUGUAAAUUCAUUUUAUAAACUUUUUGUCUUUAUUUAUUACUUUUGGUGUACUGUUCUAAUUAUAGACUUGUUUGCCUUGUAUGAUUGUCUUUGGGUGAUUGCUGUUGAUGUGGUGAUUACGUUUAGACGGUGAGCAGUUCGUGGGUGACCAAGAGUAUUGCUACGAGCAGGAUUAGCAGGACCAGUGUCAUCAAGGCAAGUAUAGCAUGGGAUCAUCCUUGUUUCCUAAUAACUUUAAUCACAUAAUUCAUAUUGCAUGUGUCUCCUUGAUAAGGAUUCCUUAGUAUUGAUCUUAUACCUUGUCACCUAUGGUUUUGCAUUUUGGUAGCUUAUGCUAGUGCUCCACUAAACUAUGAUCUUGUAAUUUGAUUAAUGGAAUAUGCAAUAAACAUUAAAAGAUGACUUUUUAGCAACUUUGGAAAAGAGGGCUGGAGCAUUGGGCUAUCUUAUGGUGCUCAAGUUUCUCUCCCUAAGGACUUAUCUGUAUAUGACCAUCCGGGACAUACAGUACAACUGUGCGGGCUACAUGGCUCUAGUUUUAGCUCAGUAUGAGGACCUUUUCUAGCUUGUUAGUGGUUACUCUUGCGGCGCAAAUGGGGGAUAGCAGACCGUGGAUUCCUGCGGGUGGAUUACACGGACUGACUAACGAAACCAAACGGCCCUAACUUGUUAGACGGACCUUUGAAAGACUUCAUACUGAACCCUGCCGGUCUUCCUUGGGAGUGGGCUAAGGGGCUGAUCACCUUGGGCGAAAGGGUAAAUCACGACUCACAGUGAAAGUGUACAACCUCUGCAGAGUGUAAAACUGAUAUAUCAGCCGUGCUCACGGUCACGAGUGGCCUUGGACCAAUAGAGAAUAAAUAAUAACUAAUAACAAAUCAUUAAAUGUUACUAUUGUUAAUAUGUUGUUUAUGCUAUUCUUUAUUCACUUUACCUGAUCAUGAGUUUAUUUUGGGUCUUGACAACUUGAUGCUACUCAUAUGCUAAAAUUGUGACAACUAAAAGCUACAUGCAGUUAAACCAGUGUCUAGCCUUUGAGCCUCAUGAACCCCAUGUUACACUUGUUAAGUACGAGAUGUACUUACACUUGUUUAUUUUCUUUAUUUGGAUAAAAAUUCCGAAUGGGUAACAGAUGGCAUGGGUAAUGACUACUACCAGUAUUUCCCUGAGGAUUUCUAGUAUUGUGGUCAACCAGUUGACGUGCCUGUGUGAUGGAGCUUCCAUGCAAGAGUUAUCUUUUAUUUCCACUUUAUUUUUUUUGUAAAGACUCUGAGAUAUUAUCGUUAUGUAAUGAACACUUGUGAUGAUACUCCCUAUAAUUUGUCAGCUUAUGUGUGAUUGAUCUCUGGGCACACAUAAGGUUUUGCAUUCAAUUUUAUCCUCAAAAUUGGGGGGCAUGUGUUGACACCGUUUUUUGACACGUAUCUUUGAAUACGUAUCUGGAGUUAAUGAGGAGUAGAUCGGCAAGCAGGAAAAUAGUGGUUGGUUUGCAGAUGAAUUGCCGAUGGGGUUGGUGCCGAUGGGAGAACGACAAAAUAUAACUAAGUCCAGGAAGUAGUGACAGGAUCAUGCCGAUGACUAGCACUGAUGGUUGCCGAUGAUGGUGAAAGGCGGUCUGCCGAUGGUCAUGGAGAAAGAUGCAGGGGUUGCCGAUUAGCUCAUAAAAGUGUACCGAUCGGUUGUGAAGGAUAGUUUAAUGCUUUCCUUCAUUAUUAGAGUUCGUUUUGUAUACGGAUUCCGUUUAAUUUAGAAUUCGAGUUCUAGUCGUGUCUGGUUGUAGAUCUUUGGGAUAGGGUAUAAAUCUAGACCUCGUGGCAAUAUAAAGACAUCAUCUAUCAAUCAAUCAAACACAAGUUUUUACACAUAUUCUAGCAUCUACUUUUCGACGACUUCAUCAUAUUUUCCUUUUACUACGAGUUCUUAGGAAUUCGUCAAGUCAAACUCAGCGUUUUCUCAAGUUCCGCAUGAGCACCUCUUGGCUGUGACAUCUGGGUGCAUCGCUAUUGUCGGGACCAAAGUGUUCGAGUUACCACCUUUGUCGAUUGUAAGGUCAAAUCGGCUAGCACGCCUUAACAUUUGAAUCGGGUAUUAGCCCUUUAUGUUUGCAGAUCAGCUUUUACACCAACACAUCUUUUGGCACACCCAGUGGGACAAAGAUUCAAGAUCAAGAUCAACAUGUCGAACACCGAUUUUGACUUGGAGAACGUUAUCCCCGUGACGAAAGCCAAUCUCAGAGAUGAGCAGAAGCAAGCUAUGGCAAAAGCCAUGGAGGACUACAAGCAGUUAUGCUUGAAAUCCUUCAGUAUCAACAGGAGUGGCGAGGUGAUCUAGAAGGAAGCAUUGCCGAUGCCUCGGCAAAUCACUUUUGGGGCCAAUCCUGGUAAACUUCAAGACAUGGUUGACAGUGCUAUUAACCGUGCCUUGAUCAAUCAAUAUGGUGUGCUGUCUGACACGGUUUUCAAUGCUGUGGCUAGAACUUUCAAAGAAGGACAAGUACAACCAUCUUAUGUGGGUCCUGCCUAUCAUUAGCUAGGGUCAUCGGUGGUUACGGCUCCAUCGGCUACUACGGCUGUUGCGGGUGCAGAAGUUAAUUCCCCUCCAAGCACAUUAGGGAUGACUAACGCGCAAUCUACAUCGAUGACAACUAAUCCAUCAACAUCAGAUGGGCAAAUCAAACUUGCCACAGAUUUAUUGGCAUCGGCGAUGUCAGGGACUGUUCCUCCCAACUGGUGGGGCUAUGGUAUGCCCCCAGAAUUGAUGGCAAAAGGUCCUGGAUCAUCUCAAGUGGCUAACGUGACAGGGAAGGCUCCAAUGGCAUCAGCACCCCCAAAUUCACUGAUGACUCAGAAUCCCCAGUAUUCUACAACUACUACUGGAAGAACUUUUACUGGGAAUUCUCAAGCACCAACGUUCUAGAUGCCUAAUGCAGCGGCAGAUCCUAUGCCGAUGCAGCAGAGGUUUAUGACAUAGCUAGGGUAUGUCAAUUCAAUGAUGAUGCCCAAUUACCAGUCAUCGGCAGGACCUACGCCGAUGAAUGUUAAUAGUUGAUGGACAGGGUAGUUUGUCUUUCCACAGAUACCUCAGCAGAAUCAUCAGGCUAUGGGAUUCCAGCAGGGACCAAUGUAACCUCAAUUUUAGAAUCAAGGGUUGAUCAAUUAGCCGAUGAAUCUUGGCCAGCAACUUGGUGGUGAGCAGACAAUGGUUAAUCCAAUGUUCCAUGGAGAUCGUGCACCUCAGAUACACGUGGAAGCUUAUCAGCAGGUGCCAGAUCCACAACCACCUCAUCGGGAAGAUGACGAUGCUUAUUGGGCCGAUAAGAUAACUGAAGUGAUGAGGGACCAUUUGGGAUAAAACCCAAAGUCAACACGUACUCUUAUCGGACACCGUAUCCUCCUGCAUAUGACUUAAUUCCACUUCCAAAUCGGUACAAGGUACCAGAUUUCACCAAGUUUUCUGGACAGGAUGAUACAUCGACUAUGGAGCAUGUUAACAGGUUCAUCAUCCAGUGUGGAGAAGCUGCUAACAGAGAUGAGUUAAGGGUUCGCUUGUUCUCAUCGUCUUUGUCUGGGUCGGCCUUUACUUGGUUUAUUUCAUUACCUCCUAAUUCAGUGAUCACUUGGGCCGAUCUAGAGAAACAAUUCCAUAAAUACAUCUUUUCUAGAGUUCAUGAGAAGAAGAUUGCCGAUUUAGUUAGGUUGAAGCAAUGCAAUGAUGAAUCGUUUGAAAGUAUUGUGCAAAGGUUGCGAGAAGUCAAGAAUAAGUGCUAUAGUCUGGUUCUGGACGAUUGGCAGAUAGCUGAUUUGGCUUUCUAGGGAUUGUUGCCACAUAUCAGAGACAAGUAUGCUUCUCAAGAGUUUGAGAGUCUAAGUCAUUUGGUGCAGAGGAUUUCUGACCAAGAUAUUAAACCUUUUGAACCGAAGAGAGCAUGGAAUAAAAAUGUGUCAUUUGUCGAUGAGGCAGCAAGCUCAGACUCUGACGAAGAACCAGUCAUCGGCAUCGCAGAGUGGGUAAAAAAAUAAGAAGCCGAUGUCUUGCCCUUUUGGGCAUAAAGAGCCAGAGAAGUUUGCAUUUGAUAUCACCAAAGCCGAUAGGAUAUUUGACUUUCUACUUCAGGAAGGGCAAAUCAAAUUGUCACCCAAUCAUGUAAUUCCAUCGGCAGAAGAAUUAAAGAAGAUGAAAUACUGCAAGUGGCACAAUGCAACAUCUCACAGCACAAAUGAGUGCAAGGUUUUUAGGCAACAGCUGCAAUCGGCUAUAGAAUCUAGGAGAAUUAAGUUUGAUAAUUCCAAAGCUCAGAAGCCGAUGAAGAUCGAUCAACAUCCUUUCCCAACAAAUAUGUUGGAUGCUAAGGGAAAAACCAAGGUGUUGACGUCAGAGGCAGUAGAAAGAAGUGCAUCGGUGGAUCCUCGACAUCAGAUUACUGUCGAUGACGCUAAAGGAAAGGGUCUAAUUCAAGAAGGAAUCAGCUCAGGGAGGCCUCCCCAAUCUGGUAUUGUGAUUACUCAUAGAAGGCAUCGGGAGACCUGGCAACAGCGUGAGGAUCGGUAUCGACGCCAAUAGGAGGAUCAUCGUCGGGAAGAAGAAAGACGCCGACAAGAGUGGAAUUGGCAUAAAGAUCAUUGGAACUACCCAUUCUUUAUCCAUUGUUGGGAGCAAAACAUUAAACAGCCCACUGUUAGAGACUGCCCUGAGUGCAAUGGUUAUGAUCGGUAUGAUAGACCUAAUCGGCAGUAUCAGAACGAUGAUCGGCGAUUUAAUGGGCCGAUUAGGGGGAGAGCUUCAGUUCAUGAUCGGCUGGGGGGCAGACUCAAUGUGAAUGACAGGCUUGGUGACCGUGUCGGGUAUUUUCCUAGAAAUCGAGAGGAGCUUGAAGAGAUGGCGGAUGCGUGAGUUCCCGAUGAGUUCAUAUUUUGCAGGGAUGCUAAUACUUAUCGAGUGGAGUCAAGAGAAAAUCGUCGCCAAUCGGUAAGGCAGCUGCAACUUCCUCCAUGGUGUCCAGAGGGACUAACUAGGACACAGAAAAGAAGGCUGCAGCGUGAAGGACAAGAAGAGCUGAGCAAAGGAGAGAAUUCUGGUAAGUCAAAAGGUCAGCAGCAGCCAGAUCCUAAAGGAAAAGGGCCAUCGGUAGAUGUUAAUAUGGUAUUUAUGUUGCCGAUGGAGUUCCGCCGCGCCGUCCAGUGAUGAUGAGGAGGUGGAUUUUUCCGACCAGAUAGCUCAGUUGGCUCUAGAUCCAAUGACGGGUAUCUUUGAAAAGCCUGCCGACAAUGAAAGACAGCAUCUUAAAGCUCUGUUUGUCAAAGGAAGGGUUGUUGGACAGCCAAUGACCAAGAUACUUGUUGAUGGUGGGGCUGCUAUCAAUAUUAUGCCGUAUGUAGUCUAUCGGAAGAUUGGGAAAGGAGAUCAAGACUUGACCAAGACCGUUAUGAUGCUGAUGGACUUUGAAGGGAAUGUGUCUCCGGUUAAGGGAGCAAUAUGUGUCGAGUUGACCAUCGGUAGCAAAACCUUGCCGACAACUUUCUUCGUUAUUAGUGGAAAGGGUGCUUAUAACCUACUAUUGGGGAGAGAUUGGAUUCAUGCCAAUUGUUGCAUCCUGUCUACAGUGCACCAGUGUUUGGUUCAGUGGGUAGGCGACAAGAUUGAGAUUGUCCCAGGAGAUUCUUCAUAUGUUAUAGCAUCGGCAGGGGCAGAUACCUAUGAAAGGACCAGAUGCAUUUCAUGGGAGAUUUGGGAAAAGGGUUUUCUCAAGGUUGUCGAUUAUGAAAUUGCACCGAUCCAAGCAGUCGGUUCUGACGAAGAGUUUUAAUGGAUAGGUUCGCCGAUGAUGGAAAAUUAGGCCAGGGGUUUACAUCGGCCGAUGAUUUAAUAGAGGUAGAUAUAGGUAAUGGUGAUAGGCCUAGGCCUACUUUUAUUAGUGCUAAGUUAGAUUCUGAGUGUAAGCAAAGUUAACUGAUUUGUUCAAGGAAUAUAAAGAUUGCUUUGCUUGGGAUUAUACUGAGAUACCUGGUUUGGACCGAUCUAUUGUUGAACAUCAGUUGCCUAUCAAAUAUUGAUUUCGGCCACAUCAGCAGCCAGCUCGCCAAUGUAAUCCUAAUAUUCUUCUUGAUAUUAUGGCCGAAAUAACUAAACUUAUCGAAGCUAAAUUUAUUCGGCUGUGUCGGUAUGCCGAGUGGAUUUCCAAUGUCGUUCCAGUUUACAAGAAAAAUGGGAAGCUUCGAGAUUGCAUUGAUUUCAGGAAUCUUAACAAGGCUACGCUGAUGGAUGGUUACUCAAUGCCAGUUGCCGAUUUGCUAGUUGACGCUGCGGCUGGACAUCGGAUUAUUAGUUUUGUGGACAGCAAUGUAGGAUAUAAUCAGAUAUUCAUGGCUGUUGGUGCAAAAGCUGAUCUGCAAACACAAAGGGCUAAUACCCGAUUCAAACGUUAAGGCGUGCCAGCCGAUUUGACCUUACUAUCGCCAAGGGUGGUAACUUGAACACUUUGGUCCCAACAACAGCGAUGCGCCCGGAUGUCACGACCAAGAGGUAUUCACGCGGAACUUGAGAACACGCCGAGCUUAAGUCGACGAAUUCCUAAGAACUCGUAAUGAAAAGGAAAAAAGUAUGACGAAGUUGUCGAAAAAGUAGAUGCUGGAAUAUGAGAAAAAACGUGUGUUUGAUUGAUUGAUAGAUGUCCUCAUUACAAAGCCCUAGGGUCUACAAUUAUACCCUGCUCAAAGAGCUACAACCAGACACGACUAGAAUUCGAAUUCCAAACUUAAACAGAAUCCGUGUACAACACGAUCUAAAUAACUAAGGAAAAGGUAAAACUGUCCUCACGGGACAAACCAGAACAUCCCCACCAGCCAAUCGGCAGCUUCCAGACUCUCCCUUUGUAGCAUCGGCAGACCUCCUUGUCGUAGCCAUCGGCACAGACACAUCAUCACCUACGGACUUAGUCACGCUCAACAGCCCCUCCAUCGGCAACCAUCCUCCAUCGGCAACUCACCCUGCAGAUCAAGCAACACCAUCUCAUCUUGCCGAUCCACACUUUACCGAUCAUGGACACGUGCCCAAAAACGGUGUCAACACAUGCCGCCCAAUUUCGGAGUAUGAAAUCAUUAAUGCUCCGAAAUUCUUUGCAGUAAUGAUGCCCUUUUUCCACAAUUAAUGCUCCUAAUCUGGUAACCGACAGCCUCAAUCUGAACAACUUUGAUCCUAUUCUUCUGCAGACUCCUCGAAAUCCUCAACUUCCCUAAACGGACAUUUCCCCUUUAGUUGUACAUCGGCAAUAUGACCGUUACAAAGACUUGCUGAUGGACGACCAUAUCUUAUCCUUCCAAACGUCUAUCUCCACAUCACUCUCCUAUCGGCAAUAUGACCGUUACCAGAUGCUGCCGAUGGACCGACCAGGAGAUCCCUCAUAGUAAAAUAUCUCUGGAUAAUGACCGCUUCCUGUCAAAUCACCUGCACAAUCCCUUGAUUACCGUGCGAACAGUUACCAUAUCUACCUGAGGUCCCUCGGAUUUCACGGAUGCGGCAAAGAGAUAAGUCAGAUUUGCCCUUGCCCGUUUUGUCCUAUAAAUAGUUCCUUCUCGGGUACUCCUCCAUCACAUCAUUCCACAACUCCAACUUCACUUUCCCGGCGGCGGCGCUGUCCAAAAGCUCCAAAAUCCUCGACGAAGCCCCUUCUUCACCAACUCCGAAGCUCUCAAACAUCUCCUCCAUGGUAAAAUGGCCGUCAACUUCAUCGUUCCUGAGGUCAGUCCUUCGCGCCAUCUCUUGUACUUUUUCUCGCACCCCUGUUCAUCCGCAAUCCAUCUUACUGAACAUUUUCUCUCCCUUUUUUUUCUUUGUGUUUUCCAUUUCCAUCUCCAAAACCACUAGGAAUCGGCUAACAAAAUUGUCAUCCCCACUGAUCAACCACACCUCCAAUGCCUUGGCCCGCUAGGGGAUCCAGAUCCAACCAGGUACCUCAUAAACGCAGAAACCAACAGGAUCCCUUUUAGAGCAGAGAAUUUUUCUUUGGAUCUAUGGAAGGAUACUUUUCGUUCCUGGCCUAGCCCUAGCGUGGGGUGGAAGGAUUGGUUCUUGAGGGUCAGCAACUCCAACGAAGUCCAGUGGGGCGGGAGAAAGCUAGACCAAUGCAUUAGGUUGUCCAUUGCCGAUAUGCAUAAGAAUGAAUCACUGUUGAUAGCUGCAUCUUAUUUCUGGUCAGACACCCUCAAUGCCUUUGUCUUUGGCCAUGGCCCUGCUUCCCCUACACUUGCUGAUGUAUCUAUGCUCACUGGCCUGGACGUUUCUUCUGCCGAUAGCACCCACUUUUUCGAUACCAAACCCAGUGCUAAGGUAGAAACCCGCACUAUCGGCGGCUUGUCGGGGUAUAUCCAAAAAUACCGCAAAACAGGCCCUAUUGACAUAAAAGAGCAGACCUGCUUCCUGAACAUGUGGCUAGACAAAUUCGUGUUUUGUGGCCGAUUGGUAGGACCAACUUCUGUUUAUCUAGCAGCAGCAGAAAAUCUGGCCAAUGGUGGCCGAUUUCCCCUCGGCCGAUACCUGCUUGGAGCAGCCUAUCACCUCCUCCACCAAGUAACUAGGAAGCUCUUGCUUGGCUAGUCCAUCGGUAAUCUGGGAGGUCCCUGGUGGUUCAUUAACAUGUGGCUCAGCCUCCACAUGCACAAACGUCUGGAGUUCAAUCUUUUCGCACAGCGCUUUCCAAGGGACAUAGUAGAAAACCAUGUGCUGGGUGAAGAACAAUCAGCAACACGACCUCCCUUGAACUUCGGUGAAGCUGUCAUAGUUCUGCCUGGCACAGGGGUUAAUCCAGAUCAGAUUAACCAAUUCUUCCAAACCUUGUACGAAGGUUUGGCCAGAGAUGAGCGAGCAUGGUUAGCUUAUGAUGACCCAGACGCAGUGUUUCCUCUGGUUUUCAACCCGUUUGACGAGGCUCUUGAUAAGGACAAUGAAGUGAUGAUGGCAUUGGUGACUCCUAGAGCCAUACCAGUGAACUUCUUUGGCAGUGGAAAAACCUCCCCCUAGACUUAUGAAUUCUACAAUCCAUCGGCACUAGCCCGUCAGUUAGCUUUCGGCCAGCUGCCGAUUGCACUCUGUUAUGCCGAUGUGAUAAAGCCCAGGGAAACCAUCACCAGCCUCCUUGAACGGAUUCGAGUAGCCCAGCUGCCAUCAAGUGCCGAUACAGAUGUAGACCUAUCAGAGUGGGUCCCAGCCGCCUUUCUCACUCAGGCAUAUAAGCAGUGGUGGGCAGAAUGGAAAGAGCACCUUUCUGCAAAUCGGCUCUUUCGUACCGCGGCAUGAUCGAUCCUGAGUACGAAGUUCCCACUGACACCGUAAGUAUCUUUAAACCGAUGUUUCAAUUUUUUUUCAUCGGUAAUUGACUCUUUGUGUGACUUUUCAGGUCGAUUACACUCCACCAUGGGUCAGCAGAAGUGGCAAGCUGAUUGAUCUGUUUGCAUCAGGUCCAAUCUCUUCAAUCGGCCACAACGCUCCCACUCUGGCCACCAUCGUGCAUCGAGGCAUACACCUCAAGAAAGUUACCACCAGGAGAACUCAGACACCACCAUCGGUAGCCGCUUCCACUCUAGCACAGGCUUUUAAGGUAACUGUUAGACCUCUUCAUUCAUACCGAUCUUAUUUUUACAUCGGCUGUAUUGGUACCCACAAAUUCUUUUUCUGUAACAGCAAACCAGUGCAUCGGCAGGAACCAAGAGUCAAGGUGCCGAUGCCCCCCAGUCCAGCCAGCAAAAGAGAAAGGGUGCCAAGAGUACCAGGGCACAAACAAAGCGCCAAAAAGUGGCGAGUCCUACUCCUCCUCCGGUAUCUCCCAUUCUGGUGGAAUCUUCUCCUUCUCCCCCAGACGUAGAGACUCCGCAAGUACCAUCUCCUCCUCAACCGCAAGAAGCACCAGAAGCAGACGAACCGCAGCAAGAAGAACCCCAAGUAGAAGCUCCCCAGCCAGCAGACACAUCAGCCGAUGUAGGCGAGCAAACUACCGAUCCGGCAGGUUCAAUUAUGUCAUCGGUAGUUUCCUCAAUCCAGACAAGCAUCGUCCCUCCUCAAGGUAACACAUUUUUUAUAACAUUACUGCCGAUGAACUUAUUCUUUUUCAGUCUCAUAACCUCUUCGGUCAAUUUUCAGCUGACGUCGUCCCAUCGGCAAUCGUGGCCGAUCCAUCUGCGGCUCCAUCGGCAUCUUCCAGUCGAAGGCGAGAAAUUGCCUUGAAGCAAGUAAGCCAUCCGAUCUCCAUCAAUAUUAUUUGCCGAUGUUUUGACUAUAGAACGACUCACUUUGUUUUUCUUUUUAGGAACAGGAUUCUCCCGACAGCCUAUUUUCCUUUGCCAUUGAUAUCUCCGAAGAUGAAGGUGAGGAAGCAAGUUCCUCCCGAGCAGUCGGGAUCGUAUCGGUAGAGAUCAGGGCCAAGUUAGAAGAACUAUCAGCUCUCCUCCAUCAGGAUACAGCACAACUGGUCGAUGACUCUGACCCAGCCAAGGCUCUGUUCAAGACGCUCAGAAGCCAGAUUCCUGCCGAUGCCGAGGAAGUCCUUUUCUAGGCCACACAUCUGGAAAGUCGUCAGCUGCAGUACCAGAGGGCCGCCCGGCGUCUUGCCGAUAGAGCCGCUCAGACCCGACACUCUGAGGAGAUGAUAAAAGAGAAGCUCCUAACUGAUGAGAAGCACAAGAACAUCGGUGCUUUGAAGUCUUUAUGAAACGCAUUGAAGCAAAAAAUGUCCGACCUAUCGGCAAAACGGGAAGCCCUGUUGGCGGAGCUCAAGCAGGUGGAGGAUGCCUUAUCCCAGGCCCAACAGGAAGAAAGCCAACUGCCAGAGACCAUCAAGCUCCUUGAACAAGAACGAAACGCCCAUGGUCGCAAAGCUUUGCAGUUGAAGAAGAGGCUAAAGCCGAUAGAAGGUUCUGCCGAUGACGAUGUCAGAGAGAUAGAAGCAGCCAACCAAAUCCGACUGAGUGCCAUAUCGGCGAUCCAGGCGCUGCUAAGCACAUGAGCUCUUCAUCGGCAACACACUUGCUCCUUCCUACUCUUCAGCUUUCUUGAUGUUUAGUCCAGCCGAUAGGACUGUUAUCGGCAACUUUUGAAACAUUAAAUCCGACCCCAGAUACAUUUUAAUCCAGCCGAUAGGAGUGUUAUCGGCAUUUAAAUCUUUAUGCAUCGACCCAUAUGCUGGGGUAGUACUUCUUUAAAUAUUUGCCAUUCAAUGCUCUGGAAAAUUCAACUCCUUCGAGAGUUUCUAAAAUGUAGGCGUUACCAGGAGCCGAUCGUCUUAUCCGAUAGGGACCCUCCCAAUUAGGAGACCAUUUUCCAAAUUUUAAACUUUUAGUCCCGAUCGGUAAGAUUAAUUUCCAUACUAAGUCUCCAUCGGCAAAUCCUUUGCCUUUACCUUCUUAUCGUACCAUAUGGCAACCCUUUUCUUAUUCUCUUCUAUACUCAUCAAAGCCCUUAGCCGAUGUCCUGCUAGAUCAUCUAACACGUCUGUCAUCAAAGUAGCAUAAUCAUCGGCAGCCAACUGAUCUUGAAAAGAUAAUCGCCUAGAUCCAGCCUUAUUUUCCCAAGGCAACACUGCAUCAUGUCCAUACACCAACUGAUAAGGUGCAACCUUAGUUGAUCCAUGACAAGCCAUCCGAUAGGACCACAAGGCUUCAUUUAACAAUGUGUGCCACCUUCUAGGAUUUUCUUCAAUCUUCCGUUUAAUAAGCUUAAUAAUUCCUUUGUUAGACUCUUCGGCCUGCCCAUUAGCUUGAGCAUAGUAAGGAGAGGAAUUCAACACUUUAAUCCCCAUACCGAUUGCGAAUUCAUCAAACUCCCCUAAUGUGAACAUAGUGCCUUGAUCGGUAGUAAUUGUUUGAGGAAUCCCAAAUCGGUAAAUAAUGUGCUCCUUCACAAAAUCAAUCAUAUUGGCCGAUGUUACCUUCUUCAAAGGAAUAGCUUCAACCCAUUUAGUGAAAUAAUCGGUGGCAACUAGAAUAAACUUAUGCCCUUUGCUAGAUGGUGGAUAAAUUUGGCCGAUCAAAUCAAUAGCCCAUCCCCGGAACGGCCAAGGUUUGAUAAUAGGAUUCAUGGCCGAUGCGGGUGCUCUUUGAAUAUUGCCAAACUUUUGACACCCUUGACAUCCUUUGAAAUAUUUGAAGCAAUCUUCACGUAUGGUCGGCCAGUAAUAUCCAUUCUUCCUAAUCAUCCACUUCAUCUUGAAAGCCGACUGAUGUGCUCCACAUACCCCUUCAUGGAUUUCUCCCAUCAAACUUCUAGCUUCAUCAUCACCCAAGCAUCGAAGAAGAAUUCCAUCAAUAGUUCGGUAGUACAAUUCAUCUUCGAGGAGCACAUACUUGGUGGCUUGAAACCGAACCCGUCUUUCAACUUUCUUGGACGGAUCUCUCAACUAAUCAAUGAUUUCUUUUCUCCAAUCAUCGGCACCAAUUGCCGAUAUUGCAUCAAUCAUAGGCUGAUAUCCCGAGGCAUACUGAGCCAAUUGAUUGGCCUCUUCAUUAUGCAAUCGAGGAACAUACUCUAACCGGAAAUCCCUGAAUUCCUUUAAUAAUUGUAUGCUCCGCUCGUAAUAAGUUAUGAGAACUUCACUUCGGCAUUCGUAGCAUCCAGCCAAUUGAUUUAUAACUAGCAUAGAAUCCCCGAAGACUUCAACAGCAUCAGGAUGAACUUCCCUCAAUAAUUCUAAUCCCUUUAUCAAAGCCUGAUACUCAGCCUGAUUAUUUGUCGACGUGGCAACAAUCGGCAAGGAGAACUCAUACUUCCUUCCCUGAGGGGAGAUCAAUACUAUGCUGAUUCCUGCUCCCCGGUCACAUGUAGAUCCAUCAAAGAAAAGCGUCCAAGGUGCGAUUUCCAAAGCUUCCACUCUGCCGCAAUGUUGAGUUACAAAAUAAGCCAUAAUCUACCCUUUAACUGCCUUAGCCGAUUCAUAACGCAGAUCGAACUCCGACAGCGCCAAAAUCCAUUUACCGAUCCUGCCACUCAUAAUCGGCAUGGAUAACAUGUACCGGACCACAUCAUCUUUGCAAAUAACGGUGCAUUCGGCCGAUAACAAGUAGUGCCUUAACUUGAUACAAGAGAAAUAUAGGCACAAGCACAGUUUCUCAAUAGCCGAAUACCUGGUCUCAGCAUCAAUCAACCUCCUGCUUAAAUAAUAAAUUACACGCUCCUUCCCUUCAAACUCCUGAAUUAAAGCCGAACCGAUGACCGUCCCAUCGGUAGACAAAUACAAUCUGAAGGGCUUCCCUUGCUGAGGUGGAAUUAGAACUGGAGGAUUUAUUAAAUACUUCUUGAUUUCAUCCAGAGCCAACUGUUGUUCCUUCCCCCAAACAAACUCUUGAUCGGCCUUUACCUUAAGAAGAGGGCUGAAAGCACGAAUUUUACCAGACAAGUUAGAUAUAAACCUUCUGAUAAAAUUUACCUUGCCGAUCAAGGAUUGGAGCUCGGUCUUGUUGGUAGGGGCUACUAUCUUAUUGAUGGCAUCAAUAGAUCUUCCACUGAUUUCAAUUCCCCUAUGGUGCACCAUGAAACCAAGAAAUUGCCCUGCUGAUACACCAAAUGCACACUUAUUGGGAUUCAUUUUCAAACCAUGCUUCCUUGUGCAUUCCAACACCUUUCGUAAAUCAGCAAGAUGCUUUGCGAAGUCUUCAGACUUAACCACCACAUCAUCAAUAUAAAUCUCCACCAGUUUGCCGAUGAACUCAUGAAAUAUAAAAUUCAUGGCCCUUUGAUAAGUAGCACCAGCAUUCUUUAAGCCAAAGGUCAUGACUAUCCAUUCAAAUAAUCCAACAUGACCAGGGCACCUGAACGCGGUUUUUGGAAUAUCUUCUUCAGCCAUGAAUAUUUGAUUGUAUCCUGCAUUGCCCUCCAUAAAGCUAAUAAUUCGAUGCCCAGCCGCAGCGUCAACCAACAGAUCGGCAACUGGCAUUGGGUACCCAUCCAUCGGCGUAGCUUUAUUGAGAUUCCUGAAAUCAAUGCAGACCCAAAGCUUCCCGUUCUUCUUGUAGACCGGAACAACAUUGGAAAUCCAUUCGGCAUACCGACACUGCCGAAUAAACUUGGCUUCAAUAAGUUUGGUUAUCUCGGCCUUGAUGUCAGGAAGAAUAUUAGGAUUACAUCAGCGAGCUGGCUGCUGAUGUGGCUGAAAUCCAGAUUCGAUAGGCAACCGAUGUUCAACAAUCGAUCGGUCCAAACCAGGCAUCUCAGUAUAAUCCCAAGCAAAGCAAUCUUUAUAUUCCUUUAACAAAUCGGUUAACUGUUGCUUACACUCAGAAUCUAACUUAGCACUAAUAAAAGUGGGUCUAGGCUUAUCACCACUACCUAUAUCUACCUCUACUAGAUCAUCGGCCGAUGUGAAUCCCUGGCCUAAUUUUCCAUCAUCGGCGAACCUAUCCAUUAAAAACCAUCCUCAGAACCGACUGCUUGGAUCGGUGGAAUUUCAUAAUCGGCAACCCUGAGAAAAUCCUUUUCCCAAACCUCCCCUGAAAUACACCUAGUUCUUUCAUAGGUAUCUGCCUCUGCUGAUGCGACGACGUAAGAGGAAUCUCCUGGGACAAUUUCAAUUUUGUCACCUACCCACUGAACCAAGCAUUGGUGCAUUGUAGACGGGAUGCAAUAAUUAGCAUGAAUCCAAUCACUUCCCAACAGCAGGUUGUAAGCACCCUUUCCACUGAUCACGAAGAAGGUUGUCGGCAAGGUCUUACUGCCGAUGGUCAACUCUACACAUAUUGCCCCCUUGACUGGAGACACGUUCCCUUCAAAAUCUUUAAGCAUCAUAUCGGUCUUGGUUAAAUCCUGAUCCCCUUUCCCAAGCUUCCGAUACACUGCAUAUGGCAUGAUGUUAAUAGCAGCCCCACCAUCAACUAGAAUCUUGGUCAUCGGCUGCCCAUCAACCCUUCCUUUGACAAACAAGGCCUUGAGAUGUUGCCUUUCAUCAUCGGCAGGCUUCUCGAAGAUAGCUGUCAUCGGAUCCAGAGCCAAUUGAGCUAUUUUGUCAGAAAAUUCUAGCUCAUCAACACUGGAUGGGGCAAGAAACUCCAUCGGCAACAUAAAGACCAUGUUGACAUCUGUCGAUGGACCUUCCCCCUUGGGAUCUGAUUGCUGCUGAUCCCAGACUGACCAGAGUUCUCGCCCUUGCUUAGCCCUUCUCGCCUUUCGCGCUGCAACCUCCUUUUCUGUGUCCUGGUCAACCCCUCUGGACACCAUGGAGGAAGUGGUUUCUGCCUUGCUGCUGGGCGAUGAUUUCCCUUGACUCCACCCGAUGUGUAUUGGCAUCCCUGCAAAAUAUGAAUUCGUCGGGAACUCAUGCAUUAGCCAUCUCCUCGAGCUCUUCCUGGUUCAUGGGGAAAUAUUAGACACGAUCACCAAGCCUGUCGUGCACGCUAAGCCUGCCCCCCAGCCGAUCGUGAACGGAUGCUCUUCCUCUAAUCGGCCCAUUAGAUCGCCGAUUGUCGUCGUGAUAGCGCCGAUCGGUUCUAUCAUACCGAUCAUAACCAUUACACUCAGGGCAAUCUCUGACAGUGGGAAGCUUAAUAUUCUCCUCCCAACAAUGGAUGAAGAACAGGCAAUUCCAAUGAUCCCUGUGCCGAUUCCAUUCUUGCCAGUGUCUUUCUUCUUCUCGACGAUAAUCCUCUUGCUGGCGCCGGUACCGAUCUUCAAGUUGUUGCCAAUUCUCCCGAGGCCUUCUAUGGGUUAUAACAAUACCGGAUCGGGGAGGCCUUCCUGAGCUGGUUCCUUCCUGGACCAACCCCCUUCCUCUUGCAUCGGCAGUAGUGACCUGAUGCUGAGGAUCUACCGAUGCACUCCUUUCGGCCGCUUCCGAUGUUAAGACUUAGCCUUCCCCUUGGCAUCCAACAUUUUCGUUGGGAAAGGAUGUUGAUCGAUCUUCAUCGGCUUCUGGGUCCUAGAACUGUCAAACUUGAUUCUCCCAAACUCUAUAGCCGAUUGCAGUUGCUGUCUGAAAACUUUGCACUCAUUGGUGUCGUGCGAAGUUGCGUUGUGCCAUUUGCAGUAUUUCAUCCUCUUUAACUCCUCAGCCGAUGGGAUCACGUGAUUAGGAGACAGCUUGAUCUGACCUUCCUGAAGUAGAAAGUCAAAUAUCCUAUCAGCCUUAGCGGUGUCAAAUGCGAACUUCUCUGGUUCCUUCUGCCCGAAAGGGCAAGACAUUGUCUUCUUAUUCUUUACCCACUCUGCUAAGCCGAUGACUGGUUCCUCAUCAGAAUCUGAGCUUGUUGCUUCAUCAACGAAAGAUACCUUUUUGUUCCAUGCUCUCUUGGGCUCAAAAGGCUUGAUAUCUUGAUCAGAAAUUCUCUGCACCAAAUGACUUAAGCUUUCAAACUCCUGAGAAGCAUACUUGUCCCUGAUGUGGGGCAACAAACCCUGGAAAGCCAAAUCGGCUAGCUGCUGAUUGUCCAGAACCAAGCUAUAGCAUUUGUUCUUGACUUCCCGUAUCCUCUGCACGAAACCUUCAACCGAUUCAUCACUGCGUUGCCUUAACUUGACCAAAUCGGUGAUCUUUUUCUCAUGGACCCCAGAAAAGAAGUAUUUGUGGAAUUGUUUCUCUAAAUCGGCCCAAGUAAUCACUGAGUUGGGAGGCAACGAUAUAAACCAAGUGAAAACCGAUCCAGAUAAUGAUGACGAGAAUAAGCCGACCCUCAACUCGUCCCUAUUACCAGCUUCUCCGCAUUGAAUAAUGAACCUGUUGACGUGCUCUAUGGUCGACGUGUCAUCCUGCCCAGAAAACUUGGUAAAGCCCGGUACCUUGUACCGAUGUGGAAGCGGGAUCAAAUCAUAUGCGAGAGGAUACGGUGUCCGAUAAGAGUAAGUAUUGACUUUGGGUUUUAUCCCGAAUUGGUCUCUCAUUACUUCAGCAAUCUUAUCGGCCCAAUAAGCAUCGGCAUCUUGCCGAUGAGGUGGUUGCGGAUCCGGCACCUGCUGGUAAGCUUCCACGUGUCCGUGUGGCGCACAAUCUGCAUGAAACAUUGGAUUGAUCAUCCGGCCUCCAAUCUGUGGACCACCAAGCUGUUGCCCGCCAAUUUGCUGUCCGCUGAUCUGCUGCCCAAGAUUCAUUGGCUGGAUGGGGAUCCCCUGAUUCUGGAACCCGGGAUAGAUCUGUCCUUGUUGGAACCUCAUAGCCUGACGAUUCGGUUGGGGCGUUUGCGGAAAGACUUGCUGCCCAAGCCAUCCACUAUUAGUAUUCAUCGGCAUAGGCCCUGCCAAUGACUGUUAAUUGGGCAUCAUCAUUGAAUUGACAUACCCUGAUUGAGCCAUAGACCUCUGUUGCAUCAGCAUUGAGUCUGCCGAUGCGUUAGGUAUCUGGAACAUUGGAGCUUGAGAAUUCCUAGUGUAAGGUCUCGCAGUAGUAGUUGUAGUAUACUGGGGACUCUGGUUCAUCGGCAUAUUGGGAGGUGCCGAUGCCAUAGGAGUCUUGCCUCUCAUAUCAGUCGUCUGCGAUGUACCCGGCGUUAGCUCUGGAGGCAUAUCAUAACCCCACCAGUUAGGAGGAAGAGUCAAUCCUGACAUUGCCGACGCCAACAGAUCUGUAGCGAGUUUAACCUGCCCAUCUGAAGUUGACGGAUUAGUUGUCAUCGGCGUAGAUUGUGCAUUCGUGACUCCCAACGUACUUGGAGGAACGGUAGUUUGUGAACCUGCAGCGGCCGUAGCAGCCGAUGGAGCUGUGACCACCGGUGACUUCGGUUGGUGAUAAGUGGGCCCACAUAAUCCGGUGGCAACUGUCCUUCCUUGAAAGUUCUUGCCACGGCAUUGAAAACCGCAUUAGACAACACCCCAGCUUGGUUGAUCAAAGCACGGUUGAUAGCGCUGUCUACCAUCUCUUGAAGCUUGCCAGGAUUGGCUUCGAAAGUAACCUGCCGCGGUGUCGGCAGUGCAUCCUUCUGGAUCACUUCGCCACUCCUGUUUAUGCUGAAGGACCUCAGGCAUUGCUGCUUGUAAUCCUCCAUGGCUUUAGCAGUAGCUUGCUUCUGCUCAUCCUUGAGGUUGGCUUCCGUCACGGGAAAGACGUUCUCUUGAUCAAACUCAGAAGUCGACAUGUCGAUCUUGAUCUUGAAUCUGUCCCACUGGGCAUGCCAAAAGAUGUGUUGGUGCAAAAGGUGAUCUGCAAACACAAAGGGCUAAUACCCGAUUCAAACGUUAAGGCGUGCCAGCCGAUUUGACCUUACUAUCGGCAAGGGUGGUAACUUGAACACUUUGGUCCCGACAACAGCGAUGCGCCCGGAUGUCACGGCCAAGAGGUAUUCACGCGGAACUUGAGAACACGCCGUGCUUAAGUCGACGAAUUCCUAAGAACUCGUAAUGAAAAGGAAAAAGUAUGACUAAGUCGUCGAAAAAGUAGAUGCUGGAAUAUGAGUAAAAACGUGUGUUUGAUUGAUUGAUAGAUGUCCUCAUUACAAAGCCCUAGGGUCUACAUUUAUACCCUACUCAAAGAGGUACAACCAGACACGACUAGAAUUCGAAUUCCAAACUUAAACAGAAUCCGUGUACAAAACGAUCUAAAUAACUAAGGAAAAGGUAAAACUGUCCUCACGGGACAAACCAGAACAUCCCCACCAGCCAAUCGGCAGCUUCCAGACUCUCCCUUCGUAGCAUCGGCAGACCUCCUUGUCGUAGCCAUCGGCAUAGACACAUCAUCACCUACGGACUUAGUCACGCUCAACAGCCCCUCCAUCGGCAACCAUCCUCCAUCGGCAACUCACCCUGCAGAUCAAGCAACACCAUCUCAUCUUGCCGAUCCACACUUUACCGAUCAUGGACACGUGCCCAAAAACGGUGUCAACAAUGGCUGAAGAGGAUAUUCCAAAGACCAUAUUUAGAUGUCCUGGUCAUGUUGGGUUGUUUGAAUGGAUAGUCCUGACCUUUGGCUUAAAAAUGCUGGUGCUACUUAUCAGAGGGCUAUGAAAUUUAUCUUUCAUGAAUUCAUCGGCAAGCUGGUAGAAAUUUACAUUGAUGAUGUGGUGGUUAAGUCUGGGGAUUUCACAAAGCAUCUUGCCGAUCUGCGAAAGGUGUUGGAGUGCACAAGGACACAUGGUUUAAAGAUGAAUCCUAACAAGUGUGCAUUUGGUGUAUCGGCAGGGCAAUUUCUUGGUUUCAUGGUACAUCAGAGAGGAAUUGAAAUUAGCAGGAGAUCUAUUGAUGCCAUCAACAAGAUAGUUGCUCCUACCAAUAAAACUGAACUCUAGUCUUUGAUCGGCAAGGUAAAUUUUAUUAGGCAGUUUAUAUCUAAUUUGUCUGGUAAAAUUUGUGCUUUUAGUCCUUUACUUAAAUUGAAAGCCGAUCAAGAGUUUGUAUGGGGAAAAGAGCAACAAUCAGCCUUGGAUGAAAUCAAGAAUUAUUUAACGAAUCUUCCAGUUUUGAUUCCACCUCAGCAAGGAAAGCCUUUCAGAUUAUAUUUGUCUACCGAUGGGAUGGUCAUCGGUUCGGCUUUGAUUCAAGAAUUUGAAGGGAAGGAACGUGUGAUUUAUUAUUUAAGUAGAAGACUGAUUGAUGCUGAGACUAGGUAUUCGGCAAUAGAAAAAUUCUGUUUAUGCCUAUAUUUUUCAUGCAUUAAGUUGAGGCACUAUUUGUUAUCAGCCAAAUGCAUUGUUAUAUGCAAAGAUGAUGUAGUCCGAUACAUGCUAUCUAUGCCGAUUAUGAGUGGUAGAAUCGGUAAAUGGAUUUUGGCGUUGUCGGAGUUUGAUCUACGUUUGCUGACACCGUUUUUGGACACGUAUCUUUUGACACGUACCUGGGGAUUAGUAAAGUAUAGAUCGGCAGAUGAAGCAACGGUAACUAGUCUGCAGGAAAGUUGCCGAUGAAGGUGGUUGCCGAUGAGGAGACAAUUGAAUCUGAUUAAGUCCAGAGGUGGUGACAUGUUCGUGCCGAUGAUCAGUGUUAGUGUUUGCCGAUAGCCACAACAGGAGGUCUGCCAGUGACUCUGAAGGAAAGUGUGGAGAUUGCCGAUUGAUCUGUGUCGGUGCCCUGGUCGGUUACAAGGGGAUAGUUUUAUGUUUUCCUUAGUUAUUAGAAUUCAUUUUGUGUACGGGUCCGUUAAUUUGGAAUUCGAGUCCUAGUCGUGUCUGGUUGUAGCUCUUCAGACAGGGUAUGAAUAUAGACCAUAGGGCAAUGUAAUGAGACAAUCUAUCAAUCAAUCAAACACAAGUUUUUACUCAUAUUCCAGCAUCUACUUUUUCGACAACUUCGUCAUAUUUUCUUUUUAUUACGAGUUCUUAGGAAUUUGUCGACUUAAGCUCAGCGUGUUCUCAAGUUCCGCGUGAUCACCUCUUGGCCAUGACAUCCGGACACAUCACUGUUGUCAGGACCAAAGUGGUCGAGUUACCACCUUUUUCAAUUGUAAGGUCAAAUCGGCUGGCACGCCUUAACGUUUAAAUCGGGUAUUAGCCCUUUGUGUUUGCAGAUCAGUUUUGCACCAACAUAUCUUUUGGCAUGCCUAGUGGGACAGAUUCAAGAUCAAGAUCAACAUGGCAAAUACCGAGUUCGACUUGGAGAACGUCAUCCCUGUGACGGAAGCCAAUCUCAGAGAUGAGCAAAAGCAAGCUAUUGUAAAAACCAUGGAGGACUACAAGCAGCAAUGUUUGAAAUCCUUCAGCAUCAACAGGAGUGGCGAGGUGAUCCAGAAGCAAGCAUUGCCGGCACCUCGGCAGAUUACUUUUGAUGCCAAUCCUGGUAAACUUCAAGACAUGGUUGACAAUGCUAUCCAACACGGUUUUCAAUGUUGUGGCUAGAGCUUUUAAGGAAGGACAAUUGCCACCAAAUUAUGUGGGCCUUGCCUAUCAUCAGCCUGAAUCACCAGUGAUCAUAGCUCCAUCGGCUACUAUGGCUGGUGCUGGCACAGAAACUACUGCCUCUCCAAGCACAUUAGGACUCACUAAUGUGCAAUCUACGCCGAUGACGACCAAUCCAUCAACUUCGGAUGAGCAAAUCAAGCAUGCCACAGAUCUAUUGGCAUCGGCAAUGUCGGGAUCGGUUCCUCCUAAUUGGUGGGGUUACGGUAUGCCCCCUGAGAUGAUGAUGAAGACUCCUAGAACAUCUCAAGUGGCUGACUUGACAGGCAAGGCUCCUUUGGCAUCGGCACCUCCAAAUCCGCCGAUGAAUCAGAGUCCUCGAUAUACUACAACUACUACUGCAAGACCUUACACUGGGAAUUCUCAGGCUCCAACGUUCCAGAUGCCUAACGCAUCGGCAGAUUCAAUGCCGAUGCAACAGAGGUUUAUGACACAGCCAGGGUAUGUCAAUUCAAUGAUGAUGCCCAAUUAUCAGUCAUCGGCAAGGCCUAUGCCGAUGGAUACUAACAAUGGAUGGACAUGACAACUAGUCUUUCCACAGAUGCCUCAGCAGAAUCAUCAGGCUGUAGGGUUUCAACAAGGACAAAUCCAACCUAGUUUUCAGAAUCAAGGGUUGGUCAACGAGCCGAUGAAUCUUGGUCAGCAGAUUGGUGGUCAGAUGGUUAACCCAAUGUUCCAUGCAGAUCGUGCACCUCAGUGACACGUGGAAGUAUAUCAGCAGGCGCCAGAUCCACAACCGCCUCAUCGGCAAGAUGCCGAUGCUUAUUGGGCUGAUAAGAUAGCUGAAGUAAUGAGAGACCAAUUUUGGAUAAAACCCAAAGUCAAUACUUACUCUUAUCGGACACUGUAUCCUCCUGCAUACGAUUUAAUUCCACUUCCAAAUCGGUACAAGGUACCAGAUUUCACUAUGUUUUCUGGGCAGGAUGAUACAUCAACUAUGGAGCAUGUCAACAGGUUCAUCAUUCAAUGUGGGGAAGCUGCUAACAGAGACGAGUUAAGGGUUCGAUUGUUCUCGUCAUCGUUGUCUGGAUCAGCGUUCACUUGGUGCAUAUCAUUACCUCCUAACUCAAUGAUUACAUGGGCCGAUCUGGAGAAGCAAUUCCACAAAUACUUCUUUUCUGGAGUUCAUGAGAAGAAGAUCACCGAUUUGGUCAGAUUGAAACAACACAAUGAUGAAUCGGUUGAAAGCUUUGUGCAGAGAUUGCGAGAAGUUAAGAACAAGUGCUAUAGUCUGGUUCUGGACGAUCGGCAGCUAGCCAAUUUGGCUUUCUAGGGUAUGUUGCCGCAUAUCAGGGACAAGUACGCUUCUCAAGAGUUUGAAAGUUUGAGCCACUUGGUGCAGAGGAUUUUUGACCAAGAUAGUAAGCCUUUUGAGCCUAAGAGAGCGUGGAAUAAAAAGGUGUCAUUUGUUGAUGAGGCAGCAAGCUCAGACUCUGAUGAAGAGCCGAUCAUCAGUUUAGCAAAAUGGGUGAAAAAUAAGAAGCCAAUGUCUUGUCCUUUUGGGCAUAAGGAGCCAGAGAAGUUCGCAUUCGACAUUACCAAGGCCGAUAGGAUAUUUGACUUUCUACUUCAGGAAGGGCAAAUCAAAUUGUCGCCUAAUCAUGUGAUUCCAUUGGCUGAAGAAUUAAAGAAGAUGAAAUACUGCAAGUGGCACAAUGCAACCUCUCACAGCACCAACGAGUGCAAGGUUUUUAGGCAACAGCUGCAGUCGGCUAUAGAAUCUGGGAGAAUCAAGUUUGAUAAUUCCAAAGCUCAGAAGCCAAUGAAGAUCGAUCAACAUCCUUUCCCAACAAAUAUGUUGGAUGCUAAGGGAAAGACCAUGGUCUUGACGUCAGAAGCAGCUGAAAGAAGUGCAUCGGUGGAUCCUCAGCAUCAGAUCACUGCUGCCGAUGCUAAAGGAAAGGGUUUGAUCCAGGAAGGAAAUAGCUCAGGAAGGCCUCCCCGAUCUGGCAUUGUGAUAACUCAUAGAAGGCAUCAGGAGACUUGGCAGCAACGCGAGGAUCGGUAUCGGCGCUAGCAGGAAGAUUAUCGUCGGGAAGAAGAAAGACGCUGACAGAAGUGGAAUCGGCACAAGGAUCAUUGGAACUGCCCGUUCUUUGUCCAUUGUUUGGAGCAGAACAUUAAGUUGCCCACUGUUAGAGAUUGCCCUGAAUGCAAUGGUUAUGAUCGGUAUGAUAGACCUAAUCGGUAGUAUCGGAGUGAUGACCGGCGAUUUAAUCGGCCGAUUAGGGGGAGAACUUCAGUUCAUGAUCGGCUGGGGGGCAGACUCAGUGUGCAUGAUAGACUUGGUGACCGUGUCGAAUAUUUUCCCAGGAACCAGGAAGAGUGUGAAGAGAUGGCAAAUGCUCGAGUUCCCGAUGAGUUCAUAUUUUGUAGGGAUGCCAAUACCUAUCGAGUGGAGUCAAGGCAAGUUCGUCAGCAAUCGGCAAGACAGCCGCAACUUCCUCCAUGGUGCCAAGAAGGGUUGACUAGGAAACAGAAAAGGAGGUUGCAGCGCAAAAGACGAGAAGAGCUAAGUAAGGGCGAGAAUUCUGGCCAAUCUGGAGAUCAGCAACAACCGGAUCCUAAGGGAAAAGGGUCAUCGGCAGAUGUUAACAUGGUAUUUAUGUUGCCGAUGGAGUUCCUUGCGCCAUCCAGUGAUGAUGAGGAGCUAGAUUUUUCUGACCAAAUAGCUCAAUUGGCUCUAGAUCCAAUGACAACCAUCUUUGAAAAGCCUGCCGAUAAUGAAAGGCAGCAUCUUAAAGCUUUGUUUGUCAAAGGAAGGGUUGAUGGGCAGCCGAUGACCAAAACACUUCUGGACGGUGGAGCUGCUAUCAAUAUUAUGCCAUAUGCAGUCUAUCAGAAGCUUGGAAAAGGAGAUCAAGAUUUGACCAAGACCGAUAUGAUGCUAAAGGACUUUGAAGGAAAUGUGUCUCCGGUUAAGGGGGCAAUAUGCGUCGAGUUGACCAUCGGCAGCAAAACCUUGCCGACAACUUUCUUCGUGAUCAGUGGAAAAGGUGCUUAUAAUUUGCUGCUAGGGAGAGAUUGGAUUCAUGCCAAUUGUUGCAUCCCGUCUACAAUGCACCAAUGCUUGGUUCAGUGGGUAGGUGACAAGAUUGAGAUUGUCCCGGGAGAUUCUUCUUAUGUCAUUGCAUCGGCAGAGGCGGACACUUAUGAAAGGACCAGGUGUAUCUUGGGAGAGAUUUGGGAGAAGGAUUUCCUCAAAGUUGCCGAUUAUGAAAUUCCACCGAUCCAAGCAGUCGGUUCUGGUGAGGUGUUUUAAUGGAUAGGUUCGCCGAUGAUGGAAAAUUAGGCCAGGGGUUUACGUCGGUUGAUGAUUUAGUAGAGGUAGAUAUAGAUAAUGGUGUGUUGGGCAUUUUAAACGCAAACAUAAAAAAUCCGCAAGCGCACGGAUACCGAUGUAGCUUUCACCCGGGACUAUUCCAGAGUAUCGAUUUUCCACAGGGAACGUGAGUCUACUAAUUAAGAAUCAAGAUCGCCCAAGGAUAACUAUAUAAUUAUUUUUGGUGGGAAGAGAGGAAGUUUCCUAAGAAUUCUCUAGUUGAUCUAAGAAUCAAGAAUUACUUCAAGAUUAUCUAUAUUGGGACAUCAGAGCACUAACCACAGAAAGAGAUGAGAAGGGGGCUAGGAAGGUCUGACUACGGUCCUACAAACACCGAUCCGAACGUGGUGGAAUACGUCGACCGUUAGGGCUGUCACUACCCUAAGGCUGCCCCAACAAUCCGCAGGAUUGCGUGCAAUUCCAGGUAAUUGCAAGACUAAACACCACGUCUAAUCUAUUAAUUACUACUCUAGCGUUAUAAAGAAUAGAGCACUUGAUGCAAGCGGAAAUCCAAUAAAUAACUUGAACGUAAAUAAAAGUAAUUAAAGAACUCAGGAAUUAUGAAUUGAAGAACCUGGAGAACGAUGAAGAACGAACCAGAUGCUGCAUGUUGACACUUCUUAACGCAACCACCGGAUAUCGGCGACGGCGCCAGAAGUGCCCUGGUAGGGUAACUCUAUUUACUAUUGGAUAAUUCCGCAAGCGCACAGAAUGUACCGCUGUAGCACUUCACCAAGGAGUAUUCCAAGGUAUCGUAAUUUAUAUUUUCCCAAGGGAAAGCGGCUAAGUGUGUUUAACAAAAAGGGGAAUGAGAUUCCUUGAGUUGUCUAGUAUCAACUAGUGAAUAAGGGUGGUAAAUAACGAAUAGGAAGGGUAGUGGUGAAUCCAAGGUCCUAUGCUAAAGGUAAAUGGUAGAGUUAGCUAGGUGGGAGGACAACGAGUGAGUAAAGGACUCCUAUGUAUCUAACUUAACUUCUGUGACUUACUUUAAUAGAUAAUUGCCUUAACUACGCUAGAGCCUUACUAACUGUGUGCGAGGGAUAGCCGAGCUGGUAAGACGCUUAGAAGGUUUUUCACCUAACCCCUUACCGAAAGCGACUAUUGGGCUUAUGGACGCCUUACCUUUUAAGAACUAGCCUGUACGUGAGGAGAACCUAAUGCCGCCCACGAUCUGUCACCUACUAGGGAGUGCGCUCCUACUUUCCGUUCAAGCCAGCGGUAAUCAAAGUUAAUCUUAAGUAUGAGCACCACGCUCACACUUAAUCCUACAACUCUAACUAGUUGCAGCUAGCUAGAGCUCCUAUACAAGAUAGGACGAUGAUGCACACACAGGAGUGGUUACAGGUCACUAACUUCACUAAGACAACUAUAUUACUAAAGUAAAUGCACAACAAGACUAAAAGACUUGCACUAAGUAAGAACUCAGUAAAGUAAAGUAAGAAUAAUAUAUUAAUAAAAGGAAAGUCUUACAAAAGUAGAAAGGUACAAGAGCUAUACCAGACUCUCCAGAAGACGACUCCGGAGACCCCGAGCUUCGCUCGACUCGACUCUAACUCCCACUCUAGACUAACUACUACUCUACUUGUAUGCUUGGAACUUGUAAUGCACUUGGCCUUGGAAUUGCACACUUGAAAUGAAGGGUGGAGGCUGCCUUUUAUAGAGGGAGAUGGAGUAGGGGUUACUCCAUCGCCACGUCAUCGAUCCGCGUGACAUCUUCUCUCCACCCUUGGAUCAAACCGACCUCACAACCGCCAUUUGAUCAACGGCAGGGGCAAAUCAACAUGUGGGACAUGUGGGGAAGGUCGGUGGGGGGCCACCGACCCUGGAACCGCCUUUGAUGUGGGGUCGGGCGACCCCACUUCUGGGCCUCUGGGCCCACCGGCAGUGUCCACAGGGGUCCCUUAUGUCGGUGGACUAGGUGGCACACCUGGGUCCCACCAAAGAGGGGUCGGGCGACCCCCUCCCUGUGGGCCCAGGGUGUCACCUGUUGUCCCCUCGAUCUCCUCUUGAUGAUUCUGAUGUUGGCUUUGUCAAAUAAUGUCUUGAAUUUGUUGUUCCUGCAUAAACAAGCUAAGAGUACAAGUGGAACUAGUUAUGGAUAAAAUAUGUUCAUGUCAUGUCAUUUCCCCUUGCAACCGAGGCAUGUUGACGGUGUUUUGUAUGUGGAUUUCUAUGGUAUAUCCACCGUCAACAAGAUCCCCCAAGCUUAACCUUUGCUCGUCCCGAGCAAACAAUCAAACUUAGCCUCGGUGGAUCAGGUAUUGUUACUAUGUUCACAUUUCAAGAGUACCAUGUGUACAACAAAGUUCUUCUCUUUGCAUGAAAAAUUUAGCUAUGUAAACUUACCCCUAUUACCUUAGUCCCUUAUGGGGCUUAUGGCUUUUCCUUUGUCUUAGGUGGUUGAGAGACAGAACAGUUUGACUUGAGCACUAACUUUCUCAUUCUUAGCAAGUUUCAUAUCAGAGGUUUUGUGAUAUUUUCAAAAGAAAGCUUAAAUGUUCCUCUUAUGGUUCUCUCAUGUCACUCAAAUGGUGUAUGAUUCCUCACCAAGGCAUAUGGUAAGAGUUGCCUUCUCUAUUUCAUCCUAUUUCUAAAAGGCUUAUGUGGAGUUCAAGGUAGGGAUGAAAGGAGAUAGCAUACUUACUUUGCAUAUAUUGCGAAGUCAAAGCUCGGAUCCUUGAAGAGAAGUGUCAUACUCCCAGAUCAAGAUGUGCAAGUGUGAUAUAUGGUGGACUAGGUUGCUCCUUUAUUUGAUAGACUCUCUAUGUAUUGAGACAUGGCUAGCUUUUUUUUUAUAUAUAUAUGAGCUUUCAUGUGCUCAAUUUUCUUUUUCUGUGGACUUGCAUAUGUCCAUCUUUUUAUUUCAUUUUGCCUAGCCUUUUGAUGUCUCAUUUACCAAAUAAUGCUUAGAGAGAUGUUCUAACAUUUAGAGUCUGGAGCAACCUAUUUAGUGGAUGCGAAAUACAUGUGGUUGCGUACUUCCAGUGUAGAAGCAGCAUAUAUAUAUGUGGUGUGUACGUGAUCUUGAUCUUAGGAGCAUGAAAAGUCUCUUAACAAGGGUCAACAAGACUUGACGACACUCAACACAAAGCAAAUAGCUUAUGUGGAAAGAUUGCAAUUAUGUAAAGUAGAUAUGGCUGUGGUAGGAAUUCAUCACCAUUGAGGAACAAUUAAGGUUUUGAUCAUUUUAAGAAUAAAUCUCUGAUAAUCAUGCAUGCUUAGAAAAAUAUUAUAGUAGCUCUUGUCUUACUAUCUCAUGUCCCACAACAACUUAGACUUAGUUCUAGCACUUGCAACCCACAAAGUUUUUAGGUUCAUGGCCGUUUAAGUGAGCUAAGUGAUCCAUACUUAGAGAAAUACUAAGUUGUAUACUAGGUACUAGAGAAACAUUAACAAGCAACUAGUCAUCAUUUCCAUGAGGGAUAUAAACAUACAUGAAGCAUAUAUGCUAAAGGGAAAUGCUAAUAAAUAUUUUUUUUUUAAGUAAGAAUGAUAAAAUGCAUGAAAAUAAAUAGGAUAGAAUACUUACCUUAGUGGGGGAGAGGAUCUCCCCCAAGCUAGAUCUUCGCUCACUGUGGUGGCGGGAAAUUCUGGUACCAUCCAGCCCAGCGUUGUGCGUCUUCCUCUCGCACACGUCGGAUAUGUUGGCCGUUUUGUAACGCCAGUUGCAAUGUUGCUUCUUGCCCAAUCUGCAAUUCGCCCAUGUCAUUAAUGAGACUGUCCAUACCUGUGGGCUAGUGACGCCUAGCCCUGUCCCUUGGGCGUGGAGUGCGUUGUGGAGGUAGACCCAUGGAGUCUGAAGCAUCCACUGACAUCGCUUCAUCGCCCUCUUCAACGUCAUGGUGCGAGGAUCCUCCUUGCUCCAUCUGGGCGGCUUGCAUCAUCCUUCUUGUCACCCUGCGUGUCCCUGCAAUAUCUGGACUUGCCACUUGGGCUAGUCUAAUGGUAAGUGUGCGGACCCCAUACAACCGGCGCCUCGCACAUGGGAGAGGAAUUUCGGUUGUAUAGCCCGGAUAAAUCAUUUUAAGUUCACCAUUUGGAUUUCUUAUGAGCAUGUUAGCAUUGAUAAAGAAGUUCUCAUCUACCACUCCUCUAACAUAGCCAAUGUCUUCAAAAUAAUGUGAUUCAAGUAAUCCAAAAGUAUCGGCUAUUCGAGUAAUAAAGGAUGUGAAAUAGAUGGGCUUCCCAUACUCAAUAGAGUUAAGCCAAUAGUUCACUAGCAGUUUCACAGGGGAGACCUUGAUUUUACUAACCAUGGCAUAGAGAAUUUUAAGUUCAUCAUCAAUUAAAGUAUCAGUUCCCAUGCCAGGAUAUAGAGUGCACAUGAUCCAGAAGUGAAGAAAGCGCAAGGUUGGAUUAUGGAUUUCAAUGGGAGUAGGAUUUGAACAAUCAUUAGAGCCAGAAAUUGCUUUCCAGAAUCUAAAUUUAUCGAACAUUCUUGUGGCAUGAUCUAGAUCAAGUUCACAUUCAUGUUCACACCCUAAAGCAGUGUUUAGCAAACUCCAAUUUAAUUGAUGUUCUUGCUCACACAUGCGAAAAGAUAUUCCAUUAUUUGUGAGUUUUAGGGUGCAUAGAAAUUCCUUAGCAAGCAAUUCUUUUCCAAAUUCAGGCACUUGCCAAAAACUACUCCAACAAAUUGCUCUAAACACCUUAUCGAAUUCAACAUCCAUACCUGUGCGGGCCAAAAGGUCCGGAUCGAUGAUGCUAGUGUGUAGGAAGAGACUUUCUCGGAUGAUGUAGUACCUUUGCAACUCUUCUUGGCUUAACAUGAGGCCGCUCUCGGGCUCUCUCAUCCUUCAUGGAGGCUCGUAGGGUACCAUCCCAUGGUAACCUUCUUCUUCCUCCCUUCCAUGAGCAUGGUGAGAGCCUUGAGAAGAGCUCUCACCCUUUGCUUUCUUGAACUUGCCGAAGAUAUGCUUCUUCAUCCUCCUACACAAGUGAGGCAAACCAAGCUCCUACUACUACUACUAUGCAAGGGGAAUCUUUUUGGGUUUUUGUUGUGAUGACUAUUUCUAAACUAAACUUGAGAAAUGGCUUGUAACAAAGAGAGAAGAGAAAGGAUUGUGAGCUCGAAAUGGUUCUGGUGGUUUUGGGUGUGGAGUUGAGCUCACAAUGCUGUGGUAUUUAUAGGGGGAGAAGGGCAAGUAGUGGACCCACAAUAUAGGGGUCGGCCGACCCCCCCUAGAAGCACUUUGAAUUUGAACUUAGCUUUAUACAGGGAACCAUUCUGCAUGCUUUCAAGAUUUUGCAGAGAUGGUCCAAAAUGGGGGUCGGCCGACCCCCAUCCUAGCCCCUCCUCCACUUUAAACAUUGUGUCAUUGAUUGUCCAGAAAAGUAAAGGCUAGGUGUGGACCAAAAGUUUUCAAAUUGUUUCUGAGAUUCCCUGUUUUGGUGCUUUGUGAAAGGUAAAAGAUGAAUGACAAAAGUGGAGACAUGUCUAAAGUGAUUCCUAUGGACCAUGGGAGCACUCAAGCAUGCCUAGGUGACCACUUUGCAGAAUUUAAGCUAGUGGAGUGGUCCCAAAAGAAUCAAAGAUGAAAGGAGCAUCUUAUGACUAAAGUAAAGGAUCAAGGGACCACUCUUUUUUCAAACUUUAGCUAGUGUUACAAGCAUAGGACUCCAUUGUGAUUCAAAUGGUGGCCAGCAGGAGGCAAGUGGGGCCAAUAUGGGGGUUGGCCGACCCCCACAUUGGAGCUCCCAGAGCAUCCAAGUGCUGGGUUGGAACCUCUAUGACUAGCAAGGUUGAAAUGUGGUGAAGUGGGCCCCAAGGUGGGGUCGGGCGACCCCCCUUUGGGAGCUCCGGCAGCUCAAAUUUUUAUGAUAAGUUAUUCUCAAGAUUUUAUUUAUUAUGGCUAAACAUUUUGUCGAAAUAAGAUAUGCAAAAUUCAAAGUAAGAAUGCAAUUGAGAAGUGAAUAGUAGAAAUUGAAAUGCAGAAAAUAAAUAUGGGAUAACUACUGAUUUACCUUAUCAGCAAGGGCUCCAUGUUUUAGGUCCGUAGAGCAGGACCUCUCCAUCUUGUUCAUUCUUUGGGUGCAUCAGAUGGUCCCGGAGACGUGGACCUUGAUUGCACCUCUUUCUCCCGCCAUACUUGCUUGGUAUUGAUUUUUGGUUCAGCGGGUUCCUCUUCUUUCUUUUCGGCCCUUUUGGCCGACUUACCUCUCUUGUCCCUUCGGCGUCGGAUGUGGCGAGGCUUAGUCGGAGGUUCUUUGUCCUUCACCUGCAUGUUAGCUUUAUAACCAUUGAAUGGACAUUUUACCUUCCAUCCUGGGAAUUGGAGGUGAAUCUGGCCGGACCCCACAUAGAUGACUGCAUUGACCGUGUUGAGGAAUGGCCUUCCCAAGAUGAUCGAGACAUCAUUAUUGGAUCCCAUAUCCAAAAUGAUGAAGUCGGCAGGGACGUAGUCGUCUUGGACCUUUACCAGUAUGUCCCUUGCCAACCCCUCAGGGAACCUGAUCGUCUGAUCUGCCAUCUGCAAACGAACAAAUGUGGGGUGCAAAGGCCCCCCUAGCAAAUUAUCAUAAGUUACCUUGGCCAUGAUGUUGACACCCGAUCCAAAGUCGCAGAAGGCGUUGUGGAAGAUUUGCGGUCCGAUCUCACAGGUGAUGGUCGGCAGGCCUGGGUCGUCUUUCUUGGUGAUGAAGGGCGAAUCCAGAAGAUAGCUCCAGUUGGAUUGUACCGGAGGCUUACCGAACCUCGUAGUAACUAGUUUAACUCCUUCAAUUGGGUCCUCAGGUUUCCCUGGGAUCUUACCUUGCUCGAAGGAUGGGACAGCUGCUGCUAAUUGAGCUAAUUGUGUUUCUAGCAUUUUGUUAAAGCUCAACUGAUUUUUCAUAGCAGAGUUAAAGCUAUCCAACUUUUCACUUAAGUUUUCAAGGAUCUUAUCAUUAGCCAUCAUUUUCUUGUUAAUGCUAUCAUUGAUUUUAGAUUGGCCUAAGACAAGAUCUCUAAGAGAAGGUUGGUUACCAAAAGAAUUAUUGAAAUUUUGAUUGUAACCAUUACCUUGAUUACCUUGGUAGAAGGGGCGCGAGUUCCAUUGCUGUUGUUGGGGCCGGUACCCAUUGUUGUUGUUGUUGAUGAAGCUCACUUCCUCCUUUGUUUCGGGACAAUUGUUUCCCGAAUGAUCAUCUCCUCCGCACACUUCGCACCAUGAAUCAGAUUCAAUGGCCCGUGCAGUGGCGUAAGGUUGAAUGGUCUCUUGCUUGGAACUUUCUUCCAUCUUCUUCAAUAAGAGGUCCAUCUUAGCAGAGAGCAUGUCCACCUCAUUCAAGGCAUGGAAACCUCUUCUCUUGGGUUGGAGGCGUUCCUCAUUCCAUCCUUGGUUUAUAACCAUCUUUUCAAUGAGGUCCUUGGCAUCCUUGACAUUGUGUUGCAAGAAUGCUCCUCCAGCGGCAGCAUCAAGGUGACUACGGGCCAAACCGGUCAGGCCAUGGUAGAAACCUUGGAUUAGGAGCCACUCCUCUAUCCCAUGAUGAGGACAGGCGCGAAUGUACUCCUGCAGACGUUCCCAUGCUUCGGGAAUCGUCUCAUCCGCUUGCUGUUGGAAGCUGGAAAUCUUUCCACGAAGGGCGCUGGUCUUGCCCAUCGGAAAGAACUUCUUGAGAAAUGCAUUGGCGCACCUCUCCCACGUGGUCACUUCACCCUUGUUGGCGUAGAACCAUUGCUUCGCCUUCCCCAAUAACGAGAAUGGGAAGAGGCGAAGACGGAUGGCGUCUGCGGCGACAUUCUUGAUGGUGAAGGUGCCGCACACCUCCAAGAAGUGUUGGAGAUGGGCAUUGGCAUCCUCGUGUGGCUUUCCACAGAAGGGAUUGGCUUGCACCAUAUUGAUAAGCGCAGGCUUCAACUCAAAAGUCGCAUCCCCCAAGUUAAGCUGCGGACCCGUGGCGACAUUGUCAGCCGACGGCGCAGCGUACUCAGAGAUGGUCUUCUGGGCCAUAGCUUCUUUGAUAACCGGUGCAGAUACUCCUUCCUCUAACGGAUUCAGGUUCGAGAUGAACCUUUGAGGUGGAACUUGACGACGUCUAGUUCUCCUCAACAGUUGCUCAGGAUCUUCAACGAAGUUUGACGGCAAUUGGAAACCGCUCAUACACUGUCAGGCUUCACAAUAAAGGAAGACAAGACAAGUGAUGGGUUAUCCCUAUCACUACUUGAUAACUAGCAAACUCUGGAUUCUCUUUUUGUUAAAACUCUUAGACAGACGCUCUCCCCGGCAACGGCGCCAGAAAUGCUUGUUGACACUUCUUAACGCAACCACCGGAUAUCGGCGACGGCGCCAGAAGUGCCCUGGUAGGGUAACUCUAUUUACUAUUGGAUAAUUCCGCAAGCGCACAGAAUGUACCGCUGUAGCACUUCACCAAGGAGUAUUCCAAGGUAUCGUAAUUUAUAUUUUCCCAAGGGAAAGCGGCUAAGUGUGUUUAACAAAAAGGGGAAUGAGAUUCCUUGAGUUGUCUAGUAUCAACUAGUGAAUAAGGGUGGUAAAUAACGAAUAGGAAGGGUAGUGGUGAAUCCAAGGUCCUAUGCUAAAGGUAAAUGGUAGAGUUAGCUAGGUGGGAGGACAACGAGUGAGUAAAGGACUCCUAUGUAUCUAACUUAACUUCUGUGACUUACUUUAAUAGAUAAUUGCCUUAACUACGCUAGAGCCUUACUAACUGUGUGCGAGGGAUAGCCGAGCUGGUAAGACGCUUAGAAGGUUUUUCACCUAACCCCUUACCGAAAGCGACUAUUGGGCUUAUGGACGCCUUACCUUUUAAGAACUAGCCUGUACGUGAGGAGAACCUAAUGCCGCCCACGAUCUGUCACCUACUAGGGAGUGCGCUCCUACUUUCCGUUCAAGCCAGCGGUAAUCAAAGUUAAUCUUAAGUAUGAGCACCACGCUCACACUUAAUCCUACAACUCUAACUAGUUGCAGCUAGCUAGAGCUCCUAUACAAGAUAGGACGAUGAUGCACACACAGGAGUGGUUACAGGUCACUAACUUCACUAAGACAACUAUAUUACUAAAGUAAAUGCACAACAAGACUAAAAGACUUGCACUAAGUAAGAACUCAGUAAAGUAAAGUAAGAAUAAUAUAUUAAUAAAAGGAAAGUCUUACAAAAGUAGAAAGGUACAAGAGCUAUACCAGACUCUCCAGAAGACGACUCCGGAGACCCCGAGCUUCGCUCGACUCGACUCUAACUCCCACUCUAGACUAACUACUACUCUACUUGUAUGCUUGGAACUUGUAAUGCACUUGGCCUUGGAAUUGCACACUUGAAAUGAAGGGUGGAGGCUGCCUUUUAUAGAGGGAGAUGGAGUAGGGGUUACUCCAUCGCCACGUCAUCGAUCCGCGUGACAUCUUCUCUCCACCCUUGGAUCAAACCGACCUCACAACCGCCAUUUGAUCAACGGCAGGGGCAAAUCAACAUGUGGGACAUGUGGGGAAGGUCGGUGGGGGGCCACCGACCCUGGAACCGCCUUUGAUGUGGGGUCGGGCGACCCCACUUCUGGGCCUCUGGGCCCACCAGCAGUGUCCACAGGGGUCCCUUAUGUCGGUGGACUAGGUGGCACACCUGGGUCCCACCAAAGAGGGGUCGGGCGACCCCCUCCCUGUGGGCCCAAGGUGUCACCUGUUGUCCCCUCGAUCUCCUCUUGAUGAUUCUGAUGUUGGCUUUGUCAAAUAAUGUCUUGAAUUUGUUGUUCCUGCAUAAACAAGCUAAGAGUACAAGUGGAACUAGUUAUGGAUAAAAUAUGUUCAUGUCAUGUCAUUUCCCCUUGCAACCGAGGCAUGUUGACGGUGUUUUGUAUGUGGAUUUAUAUGGUAUAUCCACCGUCAACACUGCAAAAGUAUAAUGUUGAGGAAUCCGACAGAUCCGGCUCCCUAUUUUCUAGAUUACAACUAGAACUAACUAGAACUAGAACUAGAGAAAAUAGAACUAGAACUAGAUGAACUAGAACUAGAUCUAGAUGAACUAGAGGUAGAACUAGAAGAACUAGAGGGAUCCUCUCUACUUGGAUGAAGAAUUGAAACCCUAGCUUUGAUUCUGUAGAAGAGGUAUGAUCUCCAGGGGCCAGGGGGUCUGGUUUUAUAGUCCCUUCAAGUGAAUCUAGGCCAUCGGAUCAAACCGACAUUAAUCGCACGGUUUUCCUUGGUCCCUUAGGUCGGUGGAGCGUUGUUCGCGAAACGUGUCCUGAUUGGGCACUGUAGCUGGGCGGGCACCCAAGGGACUUGGGCGGGCGCCCUGCCCCCGGGCCCGAUCGGCCUCCCGUUCGUUCCCGUGGCUUCUGGAGUCUUCUAGAUGGUAGAAAAUUGUGCGGCACGUUAAUAUCUCUACGUAAACCCGACGUGUGGGCCUUUCUUUCAUAUUUCCUGAUAACCCCCUGCAGAAAUAGACAAACACCAAAACUCGUGGAAUUAUGUCAGAUAAAACCCUAAGUCUAGGUGUUGGUUGCAUUUGGAUCCUUUUCCAUGAUUAAUUGAUGGUUAAAUAUGAGCUUUAAGGACCAUCAACAAGCUCCCCCAAGCUUAACCUUUGCUCGUCCCUGAGCAAAGAUGAACUUAAGAGUUUCUGCAGUGGUUUCAUGCCUUAAAGAUAUACAUGCGUUCAAACAAGAUCUCAUCUCUGGUUAGAGUAAACUGUUAAGAUUUAAACUUACUCAUUUUACCUUUCACCAUGGGGCUUGCAACCGUCACUUGUGUCUUGAGCAGUUAAAAGAUAGAACGGUCUAGUCAAGCGCCAUGUCUCUUGUUCUUUGAUUAACUAUAGCUCUGGAGUUUUUGCAGAUUUUCAAAUAAAACUCAGAGAUUCCUUGUAUGACUCUCUCUAGUCUCUCAUUUGUGGUAUUUCUGGAUCCUUACCAAGGCAGUAAUGGUGUAUGCCUUCUCUUAGAGUAUGUGGUAUUUUUGGUAUGAGGCAUAGUGGUAUUGCCUUCUCUCUCACCCUACUCUAAUAAGGUUUUGAUAUCUGGAGCUCAUAGGUGGGAGACAGCUAAUACAUACUUACAAGAUAUUUAUUGCAUAGUCAAACCAUGGAUCCAGAGAAACAAGUCAAUAAGUCAAAUCAAGAUGUGCAUGUGUGGCGAAUGAAUGGUAAUAAUGGUGAAAGUCUAAUUCUACUUGUGCUCUUUUGAGGGGAUACAUACCUUUCUUGCUCUUUUGAAACUUUUUGAGGAGAAUGAGAUGCUCUAUAUUUUCUUUUUCUUUUCUCUCAGGUGGGUAUCUUGUACCCCUAAUUCUACUGUCGGACACUUGUCCAUUUUUACCUCUCGUCUCACUUUUUCUUUUCUUUCGAGGUUCCGAGCACUUGCCCCUUUUUAUUUCCUCGUAAUCACUUUUUUUUCAGAGCACUCAUCUCUUGAAAUAAUGCAGCAAGUGGUAGUAACCAAGAUAACUUGAGCAUUUAUUUCACAGGGGAAAACAGAAAUGUUUUUGGCUAUUCUCUCUCGGAUUAGGAGUAGAAUAUUUUUGGGUGAUUCUGGAGAUGGAAAUGAGUGGAUAUAUGUGGAUGCGUACUUCUGGAGUAGAAGCAGCAUGUGUGAGUGAACGUGCAAGUGAAUCUUGAUUUAACCACAUGACAAACUCCUAAGGGUCUACACAGCUUGACCACACUCAAUGCUCAUAAGCAGUAAAAAGUAAAUGUGUGGCUCAAAGUCUAGCAAGCAUGUAUAUAUGGCUGUGGUAGGAUUUUAAACUCUCAUUAUACAGGAACUCAUCAUGCAACAUUUUAAAGAUUUUCAACGAUAAAAUUCUCCAGAAUUCUAGCAUCUCUAGGAACAGAUAAACAGCAGCUCAACCUUCCCAUAUCAUAUCCGUUAACGACUUAGACUUUAGAUCAAGUACUCUUCCCAUAAGUUCAGGUUUAGAGCAAAUCUUAAUUAAUAACAGUCAUGCCUAAACUUGAGAGAGAUUUCAAUUUUAAGAACUAGUCAUGGCCGAGCAACUAUUCAUCAUUUCCAUGUGAGAGCUUAUCAUGAGGGUUCAUAGCAAACUUUAUUUAUUUAUUUAUUUAGCAAACUAAGCAAAGAUAUAUAUAAGCACAAAAUCUUUAUUUGGGUUUCUAUGAUUAUGCAUCUUUUUAUUAUUAGAGUAAAGUAUAAACGUGAGUACAAUACUUAGCUGGAUAAAUGGGGGUGCUCUCCCCCAAGCUGGAUUUUGACGUAGUUCCUUCUAAUGUAGCUAGCAAGUGGUGAAGGUGUAUUUGAAUGUCAGCAGCACCCUGACAGCGAUUAGGAUGUCCUCCGUCUGCUAGUCUUCUUUGAUUCUUGAAUUCUGUGGAGCUCAAAUAGACAACAAAGCUUUGUGGAACUAGUUAAGUGUUAGCAUAAAUAUCUAGCCUUUAUGAUGUUGAGCAUCCUCAAUAAAUGUUACUCUCUUUAGUAGGAUCACAAUCUUAUUUAUAUUUUCAUUUUUAUAGGACAGGAAUAUAUAUUUAUUUUUACGCCACCACAGUGAAUGUACUUAUGGGUUUUAUGCCAUGAGCAUACUCACAUGGGGCUUACUAUUUUUAGCAUUUUUAUUUUUUUUAAGAUGAUGUGAUCCUGAUUAACUAAGCAAACUAUUUUAAAAUAAUUGAAAGGAAAAAGAUAACUACCAAAUUUACCUCUUGGCAAGGCGUUCGGUGUUUUUAUGUCCUCCGAACGGGACUCUCCGUUUUCUCAGUCGUCCUGGGAUUCGCUGGAUGGCGUAGUCGGUAGUUCCGGCGGUGCCUCCUCUUCAUGUAUAACUAUCUUCUCUCUACACACCUGACUCGGUGCUACGGUCUCCUCAGGACAGUUCUGUUCAAGCUGUAUGUCUUCAGACCGUACCACUUCUCCUUCGUAGUCCGCCCAUCCGUCCUUGAUGAUUUUCCUCCUCUGGUUGCGGUUGCGUCGUCUUCUUCUUGUCCUGACCUGCUUAGUGUCUUCAACUAUAUAGUUAGGGUCAGUAAAAUAGCGGCGUACCUUCUCAGAAGGGAAAUGCAUGUGGACUUCUCCGGUUUCAAUGUAGAUGAUUGCUUUAACGGUGCUGAGGAACGAUCUUCCAAGGAUGACGGGUGGAUUGUACUCAUCUUCUCCCAUGACAAUAACCUUACGGAAUGUCUGAUCUGCCACCUGAAGCUGAAUGUAUGUCGGUUGUAGGGGCAUGGUUCCAUGUAGGAGCUGAUAAGUGACUGCAGCCAUUAUGUUGACGUCAGAUCCAGUGUCGUAGAGUGUCUUCUAAAAAAUAUCCGUUGAUUGUGCACUCGAUGCUUGGAACACCAGGAUCAUCCUUCUUGAUCAAGAAAGGCGACUUGAGUUGACGAUCUUGACCUCCUUGAGCUGCAGUGACCAUCUUAGCUGACUCAGUCCACAAUUGCUUGUUCCUGUUCCUCCUGUCGGUCCUUUCCUUGGUUCAUGUCAGGAUUGCUCUGAGAUUUGUGUAGUUUUGUUCUUGAAGGAAAACGUCUCCUUCCUCCCCUUGAUGUAGAAACUGAUCUUAGCAGCACAAGCGUAGAUGACAGCUCCUGAGUUGUUCAGAAAUGGCCUCCCUAGGAUGGGUGCCUCUCAUCAGUACCAGUCUUUAUCACCAUGAAGUCUGCUGGGGCAUACAAGGUACCAACUCGGACGCAGAGGUUCUUCAAUAUUCCCUUGGGGAAACUUAGUGUCUGAUCUGCAGGCUGCAAGCACACGGUUGUUUCUAGUAAAGGAUGUGUAAAGAAUUUUUUUCAUAGAGUACCCUGGGCAUAAUGUUGACGCUGGAGCCAAAGUCGCAGAGUGCUUCUAGGAAGUCCACCAUGCCGAUAGAGAUCGGGAUGACAGGGCGUCCUGGAUCGCCUCUCUUGAUCGGCAGAAGGUCAGUAAUUACUUCCACAACGGGGUUACUCCAGUAGUUACGUCCUCAAGCAUCACAGGGCAGUGAUUGCAUGAGUGUCCAGUAUCUCCAGUGUGUUUGUGCUCGUAGAUCUAGGUUCUUCACUUGGUGGAGUCUGGGAGUUGAAAAACUCCUUCAUAUUUUGCUCGAAGUGUACCUGCUCAUAGAGACAAGGCAGAGCUCAAGUGCAUGGGCCCUGUUGGUGGAGAACACCAACAGAACCAAAAAUGUAUUUAUUCUUCUUUUUUUCUCUUACCUUAAGCAUAGUGAGCAAGACAAAGUUGAUGGAUAAUAAGAUCAUGAGUGUAGCAUUUAAAACAUUUGUCAGAUCAGAUCACUCAACCUUAUGGAAAGAUAAUCUAUCUAUACUUAUGUUUUUAUAUAUAUAUAUAUCUUCCAAAGAUUGAGUGUGCAACAUUUUAGCUCAUAAGAUUAGGAGUGUGGGAUCACAAAGGUGGAAGGACUAAACAUGCUGAAUCGAUUGGGUCGGUUAAUCUAGAGUUGUAAAUCAUAUAUGUCUGUCUCUUUUAUUCAUGUGAAUGCUAGAACCAAGGAAAAGCUUAUAAAAGUGAUAGUCAAGUACCUUAAGAUGUUACCUUACUUGAAGAGUGAUGGUACAGUAUCACCUAGUGGAAGCUUUCCUCUCUUAGCGGUUGUGCAUCGUGUUUGUGGCACCCUCCAUGGAUCAUCUCUUGUGAGCUAUGCCUUCCUUGUGUAAAUUGUUAAACUUCAUGUGUGUCUCUCCUUGUCUCCAAUGUGAGUUUAUAUCAGGACUUCCCAGGUCGAUAUUGAAAGUUUUCUUUUUUUCUGCAGGGGUUAGUCUGACAAAAUAUACCAAUGUCUACACAAGCAGUUUUUAGUUCAAUAACCAAACUAGACUCCAUGUCUAAUUAGAUUAAGGAAGGAUGUUUAACCUAAGCACCAUGCUUAAUUUAAAAACCAAUAGAAGUAUGUACAGUACUUCCAAACUAACACUUACUAGGAUAAACAAAGGUAGCGUGAUGGCUUUUAUAGAGAUCUACUCAAGUGGAGAUGAAGUAGUGUGAUUACUAUUUAACAAAUUGAGCAUGUCUCAAAGGCAGGGACAACCAACAUAGCAACAUGGCAAAGAAUGUUUUUUAUGUAAAGUACUCCCCCAAGCUUGAAUUUUUGCAAAAUUCAAGUUUGGAUGAAUUUAAUUCAAUGUUGUGUGAUGAUUGGUUGGACAUACCUUGUGCUUGUCAUUCAUCCGAUCUUCUUGCUCCAAUCCUGGAAAGGUUAGUGACAAGAAUACCCGAAGGAAUAUUUUUACAAUUAUCCUUAUAUGCUCAACACACAAGGUAAUGUUGCAAAUAAUUAAAAGCUCAUGUUACAAUCUGAUCAGUGCUUGUUUUAGGACACUAAGCUUGUCCUUGGGAAACCAUCGAUUUAUGUCAGUGAAGUGGUUUCCCCUCCAACGCUGACCUAUAUCAAGAUCAACUCAACGAGAUCUGCAAUAUUUAAUAUAGACAUAUACAUCGACAACCGCCCUUUUAAAGUUUUUAUGAAUAGAAAGGAUGAGGGGGUUGGAGAUCUCGAAUGCGGUGAUGUUGGAAAAACCAAUGGAUUGUGAAGAUGUUGCAUAUGAGCAUGGAGUAAAUGAAGUGGCUAUGAAAUAAAUUCCAUGCUCAUUAAUGCUUAGAGUGAAAUCCAUGUGGUAUGGUGAAAAUGAUAAGGUGAGUGUGGUAAAAAAAAGGAAAAGAAAAAGGAUACACGAACGACUUGGUUCGAAACUAGCACAGCUACCGUUCCCCGGCAACGGCGCCCGAAAGCGUGUUGGGCGUUUUAAACGCAAACAGAAAAAAUCCGCAAGCGCACGGAUACCGAUGUAGCUUUCACCCGGGAGUAUUCGAGAGUAUCGAUUUUCCACAGGGAACGUGAGUCUACUAAUUAAGAAUCAAGAUCGCCCAAGGAUAACUAUAUAAUUAUUUUUGGUGGGAAGAGAGGAAGUUUCCUGAGAAUUCUCUAGUUGAUCUAAGAAUCAAGAAUUACUUCAAGAUUAUCUAUAUUGGGACAUCAGAGCACUAACCACAGAAAGAGAUGAGAAGGGGGCUAGGAAGGUCUGACUACGGUCCUACAAACACCGAUCCGAACGUGGUGGAAUACGUCGACCGUUAGGGCUAUCACUACCCUAAGGCUACCCCAACAAUCCGCAGGAUUGGGUGCAAUUCCAGGUAAUUGCAAGACUAAACACCACGUCUAAUCUAUUAAUUACUACUCUAGCGUUAUAAAGACUAGAGCACUUGAUGCAAGCGGAAAUCCAAUAAAUAACUUGAAUGUAAAUAAAAGUAAUUAAAGAACUCAGGAAUUAUGAAUUGAAAAACCUAGAGAACGAUGAAGAACAAACCAGAUGCUGCAAAAGUAUAAUGUUGAGGAAGAUCCGACAGAUCCGGCUCCUCCUCCGCUCUCCUCUUCUCUCUCCCUAUUUUCUAGAUUACAACUAGAACUAACUAGAACUAGAACUAGAGGAACUAGAACUAGAACUAGAUGAACUAGAACUAGAUCUAGAUGAACUAGAGGUAGAACUAGAAGAACUAGAGGGAUCCUCUCUACUUGGAUGAAGAAUUAAAACCCUAGCUUUGAUUCUGUAGAAGAGGUAUGAUCUCCAGGGGCCAGAGGGUCUGGUUUUAUAGUCCCUUCAAGUGAAUCUAGGCCGUCGGAUCAAACCGACAUUAAUCGCACGGUUUUCCUUGGUCCCUUAGGUCGGUGGAGCGUUGUCCGCGAAACGUGUCCUGAUUGGGCACUGUAGCUGGGUGGGCACCCAAGGGACUUGGGCGGGCGCCCUGCCCCCGGGCCCGAUCGGCCUCCUGUUCGUUCCCGUGGCUUCUGGAGUCUUCUAGAUGGUAGAAAAUUGCGCGGCACGUUAUGUAAACCCGACGUGUGGGCCUUUCUUUCAUAUUUCCUGAUAACCCCCUGCAGAAAUAGACAUACACCAAAACUCGUGGAAUUCUGUCAGAUAAAACCCUAAGUCUAGGUGUUGGUUGCAUUUGGAUCCUUUUCCAUGAUUAAUUGAUGGUUAAAUAUGAGCUUUAAUGACCGUCAACAUGGUGAUAAGCCUAGACCUACCUUUAUUAGUGCUAAGUUAAAUUCUGAGUGUAAGCAACAGUUAACUGAUUUGCUAAAGGAAUAUAAAGAUUGCUUUGCUUGGGAUUAUACCGAGAUGCCUGGUUUAGUCCGAUCUAUUGUUGAACAUCAGUUGCCUAUCAAGUCUGGAUUUCGGCUACAUCAGCAGCCAGCUCGCCGAUGUAAUCCUAAUAUUCUUCCUGAUAUUAAGGCCGAAAUUACUAAACUUAUCGAACCUAAUUUAUUCGGCAGUGUCGGUAUGCCGAGUGGAUUUCUAAUGUUGUCCCAGUUUACAAGAAAAAUGGGAAGCUUCGAGUUUGCAUUGAUUUCAGGAAUCUUAACAAAGCUACGCCGAUGGAUGGUUACCCGAUGCCGGUUGCCGAUUUACUAGUUGAUGCUGUGGCUGGGCAUCAGAUUAUUAGCUUCAUGGAUGGCAAUGCAGGAUAUAAUCAAAUAUUCAUGGCUGAGAAAGAUAUUCCAAAGACUGCAUUUAGAUGUCCUCAUCAUGUUGGGUUGUUUGAAUGGAUAGACUUUUGGUUUGAAAAAUGCUGGUGCUACUUAUCAAAGGGCUAUGAAUUUUAUCUUUCAUGAGUUCAUCGGCAAGCUGGUAGAAAUUUAUAUUGAUGAUGUGGUGGUUAAGUCUGGAGAUUUCACAAAGCAUCUUGCCGAUCUACGAAAAGUUUUGGAAUGUACAAGGAAACUUGGUUUAAAGAUGAACCCUAACAAGUGUGCAUUCGGUGUAUCGGCAGGGCAAUUUCUUAGUUUCAUGGUGCAUCUAAGGGGAAUUGAAAUUAGCUUAAGAUCCAUCGAUGCUAUUAACAAGAUAGUUGCUCCUACCAACAAAACUGAGCUCCAAUCUCUGAUCGGCAAAAUAAAUGUUAUCAGGCGGUUUAUUUCUAAUUUGUCUGGUAAAAUUCGUGCUUUUAGUCCUUUACUUAAAUUAAAGGCCGAUCAAGAGUUUAUAUGGGGAAAAGAGCAAUAGUUGGCUCUGGAUGAAAUCAAGAAUUAUCUAACAAAUCCUCCAGUUUUAAUUCCACCUAAGCAAGGAAAGCCUUUCAGAUUAUAUUUGUCUACCGAUGGGAUGGUCAUCGGUUCGGCAUUGAUUCAAGAAUUUGAAGGGAAGGAGCAUGUGAUUUACUAUUUAAGUAGAAGAUUGAUUGAUGCUGAGACUAGGUAUUCGGCCAUUGAAAAUUUAUGUUUAUGCCUAUAUUUCUCAUGCAUUAAGUUGAGGCACUAUUUAUUAUCGGUCGAAUGUACUGUUAUAUGCAAAGAUGAUGUGGUCCGAUAUAUGCUAUCUAUGCCGAUUAUGAGUGGCAGAAUCGGUAAGUGGAUUUUGGCACUGUCAGAAUUCGAUCUGCGGUACGAAUCGGCUAAGGCGGUUACAGGACAGGUCAUGGUCGAUUUUGUGAAUCAACAUCGGGGUACAGUGGAAACUUUGGAAAUUGUACCUUUGACGUUCUUCUUUGAUGGAUCCACGUGUGACCGGGAGGUAGGGAUCGGCAUAGUAUUAGUUUCCCCUCAGGGAAGGACAGGUCAUGGAUUUCUCUUUGCCGAUUGUUGCCACGUCAACAAAUAAUCAAGCCGAGUAUCAAGCUUUAAUCAAAGGGUUGGAGUUGUUAAAAGAAGUUCAUGCUGACACUAUUGAAAUCUUCGGGGAUUCUAUGCUGGUUAUAAAUCAAUUAGCUGGAUGUUAUGAAUGCCAAAGUGAAGUUCUGAUAACUUAUUACGAAAAGAGUAUGCAACUGUUGAGGGAAUUCAAAGAUUUCCGAUUAGAGCAUGUUCCUCGGUUACAUAAUGAAGAGGCUAAUCAGUUGGCCCAGCAUGCCUCGGGAUAUCAACCCAUAUUGAAUACGUUAUCGGCAAUGAGUGCCGAUGAUUGGAGAAAGGAAAUCAUCGAUUAUUUAAAGGAUCCAUCUAAGAAGGUUGAGAGGCGUGUUCGGUUUCAAGCUACCAAGCAUGUGCUCCUCGAGGAUCAAUUAUAUUAUUGAACAAUCGAUGGAGUUCUUCUCAAGUGCUUAAGUGGUGAUGAAGGUCAAAGUUUGAUGGGAGAAAUCCAUGAAGGAGUGUGUGGAGCACAUCAGUCGGCCUUUAAGAUGAAGUGGAUGAUUAGGAGGAACGGGUAUUAUUGGCCAACCAUACUUGAAGAUUGUUUUAAAUAUUUCAAGGGAUGUCAAGGGUGUCAGAAAUUUGGUAAUGUUUAAAGAGCGCCCGCAUCGGCCAUGAAUCCCAUUAUUAAACCUUGGCCGUUCCGUGGAUGGGCUAUUGAUCUAAUCGGCCAGAUUUACCCACCAUCAAGCAAAGGGCAUAAGUUUAUUUUGGUUGCCACAGAUUAUUUCACCAAGUGGGUUGAGGCUAUUCAUUUGAAAAAGUUACAUCGGCCAAUAUGAUUGAUUUUGUGAAAGAGCAUAUUAUUUACUGAUUUGUAUUUCUCAAACAAUUACUACCGACCAGGGUACUAUGUUUACAUCAGGCGAGUUUGAUGAUUUUGCAAUCGGUAUGGGGAUUAAAGUGUUGAAUUCUUCUCCUUAUUAUGCUCAAGCCAAUGGACAGGCCGAGGCAUCUAACAAAGGAAUUAUUAAGUUCAUCAAACGGAAGAUUGAAGAGAAUCCUAGGAGAUGGCAUAUGUUGUUGAAUGAAGCUUUAUGGUCAUAUCGGAUGGCUUGUCAUGGAUCGACCAAAGUUUCGACUUAUCAGUUAGUGUAUGGGCACGUUGCUGUAUUGCCAUGGGAGAUUAAAAGCGGAUCUAGGCGACUAUCUUUUCAAGAUCAGCUGACUGCCGAUGACUAUGCUACUUUGAUGAAAGACGAGUUGGAUGAUUUAGUAGGGCAUCGGCUGAGGGCUUUGAUGAGUAUAGAAGAAAAUAAAAAGAGAGUUGCCAUAUGGUAUGAUAAGAAAGUAAAGGCUAAGGAAUUUGCCGAUGGAGACUUGGUAUGGAAGCUAAUCUUGCAGAUCGGGACUAAAAGUUCAAAAUUUGGGAAGUGGUCUCCCAAUUGGGAGGGUCCCUAUCGGAUAAAUCGAUCUGUUCCUGGCAAUGCCUAUAUUUUAGAAACUCUUGAAAGAGUUGAAUUUCCUAGAGCGUUGAAUGGCAAAUAUCUAAAGAAAUAUUGCCCAAGCAUAUGGGUCGAUGCAUAAAAAGUUUAAGUGCCGAUAACACUCCUAUUGGCUAGAUUGAAAUGUACCUGGGACUGAAUACGAUGUUUUAAAAGAUGCCUAUAAUAGUCCUAUCGGCUAGACCAACAUAAUCAGGAGUGUUUGAAAGAAAAAGAGCAAAACACGCCGCCGAUGAAGAGUUCAUAUGUUUAGCAGAGCCUGGAUGGUCGAUAUGGCGCGCAGACGAAUCUGAUCGGCUUCUUCUAUCUCCUUCAUGUCUUCAUCGGCAGAGCCCUCCACUGGCUUCAGUUUCUUCUUUAUCUGCAGUGCCUUGCGGGCUUGGACAUUUCUUCUUCCUGUUGAGCUUGGGACAGAGCUUCUUCUACUUGCUUAAGUUCGGCUAGUAGAGCUUCCUUUUUUGCCGAUAGGUCAGAGAUCUUCUGUUUCAGUGUAUCUCUAGAGGAUUUUAGAAUGCCGAUGCUCUUAUGCUUUUCAUCGGCAAGAUGCUUCACUUUCAUCACCUCCUCUGAGAGCUGGGCGUAAGUGGCUCUAUCGGCAAGGCGCUGAGCGGCCUUUUGGUACUGCAGCUGACGACUCUCUAAGUGUGCAGCCUGAAAAAGAAUCUCCUCGGCAUCGACAGGGAUUUGACCUCUGAGAGCCUUAAACAUAACCUUGGCUGGAUAAGAGUCAUCGACCAAUUGCAUUGUAUCUUGAUGAAGCAGGGCCGAUAGAUCUUCCAGUUUUGCUCUGAUCUCUGCCGAUGAGAUCCCAAUCGCUUGGGAAGAACUUGCUUCUUCGCCUUCGUCAUCACAAAUUUCAAUAGCGAAAGAGAACAGACUGUCAGGAGAAUCUUGUUCCUGAAAGAGGAAAGGAGAUGGAUUAUUUGAUGAUGAAAUAUUAGUAAAAUACAGAAUGAUAAUCAAAUAACUUACUUGCUUCAGAGCGAUUUCUCGCCUCUGGCUAGUUGAGGCCGAUGGCACUAUGGGUUGAUCGGCUGGAGUUGCCGAUGGAACGAUGUCAGCUGAAAAUUGAUAGAGGUAAUUAUAAAAUGGAAAAGUAGGUUCAUCGGCAAUAAUUUCAUAGAGAGUAUGUUACCCUGAGGGGGUGCAAUACUUGUCGGAAUCGAGGAAACUACCGAUGCUAUGAUUAAGUUUGCUGGAUUGGUGGUCUGCUCGUGUACAUCAGCCGAUGUUUCUUCUGGCUGAGGUUCUUCUGGCUGGAGUUCUUCUGGUUGGGGUUCUUCUUGUAGCUGAGUAGGAGAUGAUGCCUGUUGUGUCUGAGCUUCUGGAGAAGUGGGGGAUGAUUCCACCGUGAUCGGUGACCUUGGAGGAGGAGGAGGCGUUGCCGUUCUCUGACGCUUCGCUUGUGUUCUGGUACACUUGGAGCCUUUUCUCUUUGGUUGGCUGGACUGGGGGGCAUCGGCAGUCGUACUUCUGGUCUUUGCCGAUUUGCCAGUGUGCUGAUAAAACAAUGAAAGUUUUAUGAGUACAAGUGUAACAGGGUACUGAUGAGGUUCUGAUUGAAAUAAUAAAGUUACUGAUGAAGUUCCCAUGCUAGCCGAUGUGUCUUGAAAAAUUGUGUGAAUGUAAGAAUGGAAUCGGUAUAAGUUUGGGAAUCCAAGAAUUUACCUUGAAAGCUUGUGCCAAAGCGGUGGCAGCUAACGACGGAGAUGUUUUUGUUCGCUUGGUGGUGAUUUUUUUUGAGACGCACACCCCGGUCCAUUAAAGCAGCCAAGCUUGGAGCGUUGUUGCCGAUCGAAGAGAUCGGGCCCGAUGGAAGGAGUUCGAUCGGCCUGCCGCUUCUGCUAACUAAUGGUGGCGUAUCAUCGACCUGUAUAAAACAAAGAAAGUGAGUUACCGAUAGAAAAUGGGAGUGAAAUGAUUGAAACAUCGGUUAAAAUGCUUACAGUAUUAUCGGGGACCUUGUAUUUGGGGUCGAUCAUACCACGAUAUGUGAGGGCCGAUCUGUAGAACAGAUGCUCUUUCCACUCUUCCCACCACUGUUUGUAUGUCUGAGUAAUGAAGAGAGCUGGGAUCCAAGCUGAUAGAUCGACAUCUUUAUCGGCAUUUGGCGGGAGUUGGGCUAUUCUGAUCCACUCAAGAUUGCUGGUGAUGGUUUCCCUUGGCUUUACCACAUCGGCGUAGCAAAGUGCAAUCGGCAGCUGUCCAAAGGCUAGCUGACGAGCUAGUGCCGAUGGGUGUUGACACAAGCUAACACCACUUAGAUACUAGGUUGUCAUCCUCAGCAUGGUGCCAGAGCGUACAAAGGUAUUUAUAAAUGUAAAGGCUCUCUAGAAAAUAAUCUAUUCUAUCCACAAGCGCACAGAUAAAACACCUCAUUGUAGCAUUUCACCAGGAUAAGUAUUCUAGGUAUCGUUAUUUAUAAUUUUGCUCAAGGGAUCUAAGGAGAUUAAAUUAAGGGUAAAAUCUAUCAAGGCAUAGACUAGAGAUAAACUUGCAAGAACAUGAUUACUAAUGAGAAACUCGUCACACAGUCACUUACUUUAGCAGGGGGUAAACCAUAAAGAUAAUGAUAAUGAAUUAUAAGUUCAAGGGAUAAAUAACACAGCGAUUAGAAAAUAGACUACUCCUCAUAUAUGUAGGUGAUGUCGGAUUAGCUAGAGAAUGGAUUCUAAGUUAUCUACUAACUACUAAGUCAUAAUCUACUCUAGUUAUCUACAAGAUCAUAUAUAGCAUAAAAGACUCUUCAUUCAUGUAUAAGGAACAUUGAUAAAUUAAAUCAGAGCAUCGCACGACUUACUCCACAAUACCGAUUCUGCCUGUCCUAUCAAUGGAGGGUGGACUAUAUAAGAAUCAACGAAGCUGUCACUAUCGCGAACUACCACACGACCCGGCCAAUAGGAUACAUUUAUAGAUAAAUAACAUAUAAGCACCACGCUCACAUGUGAUCUAUCACCUAACUCCCUCGCGUCAAGAGCUAAGCGCUUUGCAAACUUAUACAUAAACUCAUUAUCAAUUAGAACUAUAUCAAAUAUAGAACUAGAACAAACUAAGAACAUAAAAUUAGAGACAUAAUGCAAUUAGAACAAAGAAUUAGAGAAAGAUAUGAAUAAUACCAAUCUUUAUUACCGAAGAUCCGAAUCCAGAGUGUAGUGCUCUACUUCUCUAAUUGCUAUCUAAUCAAACCUCUAAACUUGAAGGAUUAGGGAGUAGCUAAUUCUAAUUCUCUGUGGGAGAGAAGCUCUAAACCCUAACUUUGAUGGCUACCUCUGAAUAAUGAUUUCUUCUCUUCUCCUCUCUCCUCCAGGGGGGAGAGGCCUUGGUUUUAUAGUCCCUUCAAGUGAAUUUGAGCCGUCGGAUCAAACCGACAUUGAUUGUGUGGUUUAGAUUGAUCCUUUAGGUCGGUGGAGUUUAGCCCCGAAGCAGAGUCCUGAUCCAACUCCUGGCCAGGGCGGGCGCCCUGCCCCCGAGCCCGAUCCUCUUCUCGUUCGUUCCCGUGGCUUCUGGACUUUUCUAGAUUGAAGAAAAUUGCGCGGCACGUAAUUAUCUCGUUGUAAACAUGACAUGUGGGCCUUCUCUCCAUAUUCUCUGAUAACCCCCUGCAGAAAUAGAUAAACACCAAAGCUCGUGGAAUUCUGUCAGAUAAAACCCUAAUUCUUGAUGUCUGUUUCAGAUUGAUCCAUUUCCAUGUUUAUUUGAUUAUUAAUUUUAGUACUUAAGGACAGUCAACAAACUCCCCCAAGCUUACCCUUUGCUCGUCCCUGAGCAAAUAGCUAAACUCAGACGAAUCAGGAGUUGCUUCGAUGUUUUCUUUCCUGACAGGCACACAUGCUUUUAUAUAAAAAUUCUUCCAGAUUAGAGUGAAGUGUCAUCGAGUUUAGAACCUGUACUUAAGUCUUAAGUAAUCGAAAGACAAAAUAGUUAAGUCAAGCACUAUCCCUCCUGUUAUACUUCACCUUUAUUCUAGAUUUUUCAUAAGUUUUCAAAAUAAAACUCAGAGUUCCCAGCAAUGAUCUCUCAAGUCUCUCUAUAUGUGGUAUUCGUGGAUCCUUACCAAAAUGUCACUUACCUAUAGCUAAUGGAAUAUUUAAGUGGAGCUCAUAGGAGUGAAAAACAGCUCAUACAUAUGUUGUCUAAUCGAGCCAUGGAUCCAAAGGAACUCAACAUAUAAUUAAAUCAAGAUGUGCAUGUGUGGUGGAGUAAAUGAUAGUGAUGGUCAAAAUGCAUAAGUGAUAAUAAAACAUAGUUCACAUUGCUCCUCAUAUUGCUAUCUCUCCUCCUCUUUGAUCUUUGCUUUGGGAGAACAUGGGCUAUCUUUUCUUUCUUUUUCUUCUUUUUUUCAGGUGGGUAGUAGAUACCCCAAAUUCUACUGUCGGACACUUGUCCAUUUUUUCGCUCAAGUGGGCAUCUUUGUACCCCUAAUUCUACUUCGGACACUUGUCCAUUUUUACCUCUCGUCUCACUCUUCUUCUUUCUUUUUCGAGGUUCCGGGCACUUGCCCCUUUUUAUUUGCUCGCAUAUUUUUGCAUAACCAAUGCCUCUUCUGCAUUGAAUCUUUUUAGAGAGCGAAAAUAACAAUAUUUGGGACAGUGAGUGAUAAUAUUUUUAGCCAUUUUAAUGAAUGGUGAUGGAUGGUCUAGUAGAUGUGUGCAAGUGAAUAUCUUAAUUUAACCACUUGAAAAGCUCCUAAGGGUCUACACAGCUCGAUCAAACUCAAUAUAAAUAUAGUAAAAGAUGUUAUAGCAAGUAUGGCUGUGGUAGGUAGUUGUAAUGCUAGGAACUCAUCAUGUGAUUUGUAAGUUUUCAAAAUAAAUCUCCAGAACUUAGUGUAGUAGGAACAAGAUAAACAGCAGCUCAACUUUAUAUCAUGCCUUUCUCUUACCUAGACAUUAGUUUUAUGCUUUCCAUAGAUAGUAAUUUCAGUUUUAAUAAUUCCUGGAAGAACUCUAAUAACAGAGCAACUAUUCAUUAUUUCCAUCAUGCAUCUUUUUUUCUUUUUAUUUUUCUAGAGAUUAAACUUAGCAAGAAAAUAAAGCAUACUUAUCUACACACUCUUUUUAUUUUGUUUUCAUAUUUAUAAAAUGCAGUAAAUUAAAGCAAGAAAAUAUUUAUUGGGUUUUCUAAGUUUUUCCUUUUAAGAUAAAAAACUAAAAUAGAAAAGAAUAAAUAAGAAGAGCAAAUAAAAACUUACUUGAUAAAUUGGGGAUCAACUCCCCCAAGCUGGAUGUUGAUGUCGGCCUUACCCGUGGUUCCAGAACCGCAUCAUGGUUGUGAUGUUGACAUUCAUUGUUGUUGUAUCUUGUCUCAGCUCUUGUACUGCAGCGGCAUGGUCCUGGUUCCAUUUUUGUUGCUCUUCCAGGAGUAGUCCAUGUUCUGCUUGCAUGUUCUGGAUGUCGAGGAGAGUGUUGUUGGUACGAGUGAAGAAAGCACCGACCUCUUGAUAGUAGUCAUUCGUGAAAACGUAGGAGGCGUCGGAGUAUCAUCCUGCAUCAAAUUGGGGCGGAGGUCUGGAUCCUGAAGCUCCACAUGGAUCAGUGGAGUACCUGCCCGUAUGAAAAGGCGGGUUUGUCCACUGGUGAUCUUGGCUCUCCGGCCAUGUCUCCUCUAUUGGCUCUUGUGGUUGCGCAUGUCGAUCCCAUGGGUCUCGAAGGACUCGGGGGUUGUAGUCGCUAUAAUGCAGGUGCGUUGCUUCUUCUGGUCCGGGAUCAGCUCCAUACCAGGUGCGUUCUCGAUGGGUGGUCACCCUUUCAGAUGCCACUCGCUGUGGAGCUCUCUGGUUCACUGGUGUUGCUGCAAUCUCAAUCAAAAAGUUUUGAACAACGUAGAGGCCAAGGUUUGGGUUAGGUAACCGAAUCUUGCCUCUAUCAUCAUAUAGCAUAGAUAUUAUAUUCCUCUCUUUCUUUAACAUCCGAGCUUGUCUAAAUGUGUCAUAGCCAUGAUAAAUUCUUAACUCAUCUAUGAAGUCCAACGAUGAAUUUUCUAGUAAAUGAAGGUUAGAGGCUAGACGAGUGAUAAGUGAAGUACAUCCUACUGGUCCCUGUAGACUAGGUAUACUAAGCCAAUGAGAAACUAAAAGUGUAACAGGUGAAGUGGGUACUUUAUUAAUAGCAGCAUAUAGAUGUUGCAAAUCUCCUACUCUUACUUUCCUAAUAUCAUCACGAUAGAAAAGAUUGUACCCAAGCCAUUUGUGGAACAUCCUAAGAGUGGGGUGUUCCAUGUCACUGGUUCGGGCUUGACUAUAAAAAUUAUCUCUAGAUAUUUCUCUCCAAAACUAGUGUCUCUCAAAAUUAGGUAGGUCGGAGUCAAUGUUCAGGAUGCAUCUUGAAGAGAAACCAAGAUGGUCGCUCAGCUCUCUCCAAGACAACAUAAUCUCCUGUUUGAACAUCCGAAAAACAAUUCCCCCCUCAUAAUAUUGUAAGGUGCAAAGAAAUUCGAGGGUGAGAAGACGAGAACCCAGCUCAGUUAUAUUCCAAAAAUUUGUCCAACCUAUCAUUUGGAAAAUUAAGUCAAAUUCAGUGUCCAUACCUGUUUCUUGUAGUAAGAUUGGAUCGAGAGUAGGGAUGUGAAUAAAAUCUUUGUUCUUCAAUUGCUGAUAUACUUCUUUCUCUCUUCGGGUCUUCAGUCCAAGGUCUCCUAUCUUGAGAAGGACCUUGACUUGCUGACCUGAUGAAGAUGACGGAGCUUGUGUGAGCGUCGGGUCGACGCUCAUCUCUGAUGGCUGUGAGGAGUGUCGGGAUGAACUCCUUGUACCAAUGUGCUUGAGAGCCUUCCCUGCAUUCUUCACCUUCUUAAACAUCCUGCAAACAAAAGUUGGCAAAAACACAACUAGUGGAAAAUGUAAGAGAAAAUGUUAGUGGUCAGCUGUCCGGAAUAUCAGUAGUCCAGGGGUUAAUCGUUCAAGACAAGUUUCUAUUUUGGUAGAGCCUCCCCCUAAACAACUUUUAUUUCCGCAUAGACAACGGGAUCACCACUUACUAGGUGAUACUCACUCUCUUACUCAAAAGAACUCUCAACCUUCUCACACUCAGAGCUAUUCUCUGGAAACCGAGAACUACGAGCUUGCAAGGUUUUCUGAAAUGUGUGUGUGAAGAGAAGGGGAGCUGGAGGUGGCCAUUUAUAGGCUGAGCAAGGAACAGGGCGGGCGCCCUGGGUAGGUGGGCAGGCGCCCACCCCUGGUGUCCAUCCUGGGUGUGCCUCCUCCACUUGCUUCCUUGCUUUUAUCUCACGCAGAAUAAUAUUGUGUUGGUGGUGGUUGGACGGUGGAAAGAUGUCUGGUCAGUGGAAACAUAUUGGUGGAUGAAAUUAUGUGAUGAGAUGUAUGUGAGGUGAAGUGUAUGACAUGUGGGACCCAAGGAGUGUGGGUCAUGCUUCUAGAAGGUUACUAUAAUUAAAUAUAAUGCAGGAAAAUCUAUGAGAAUUGAAACUUAAUUAAAAAUGAUAAUGGAAAAUAUUUUUGUGCCUCCACAAUAAUUAAUAAAUAUGGGUUGUUACACACCAUGAAUAUUAUUUAUAUGGGGCUUUUGAUUAUUAUAAUAAUGCUAUGAAUAAAUGUGACUAAUGCAAGAUUUAAUUAUGCAAGAAUUUAAAUAUGAGAAAAUUAAUAAUGCGGAUAAAUACCGAUUUACCUCCCGGUGAGGGUUUGGGAUUUUUAGGUCCCCCAAGCUGGACCUCCAAAUCUUUUAAUCUUCUGAAUUACCUUCCUCCGGAGAUGGUGUCUCUAGUGGUUCUUCAUGAACUUCCUUCACUAUAGAGUCUCUCUCUGGUCUGGGUUUGAAUGUGAAGUGUUCUUCUUGUCCGUUUAUGUUGAACUUGAUUUCUCCUUUCCCGACAUCAAUGUGGGCAUUGGCAGUGCUCAGAAAUGGCCUUCCAAGGAUGAUGGACACUUUUGAGUCAGGACUCAUGUCCAGUACUACGAAGUCUACUGGCACCAGGAAAUCUCUGAUCUUGACUGGAUUGUUCUCGGCGAUACCCAACGAAUGUCGAACCGAUUGAUCCGCUAGUUGUAGGAACAUUGAUGUUGGUUCUAGGGUCGCAUGCUCAAGAUUUUUGUAGACUGAUGCUGGCAUCACACUGACACUUGCUCCGAGAUCACAGAGUGCAUUGUUGAAGUGUUGGUUUCCGAUCGAGCAAUCAAUAGUGGGGCAUCCUGGAUCUUCCUUCUUCUUUGGUGGUUUGUUAAGGAUGGCCACACUACAUUCUUCUGUCAGCUUGAUAACCUCAGUGGUGGGCAGUGGCCUCUUCUUGUUAAGAAUAUCUCUGAUGUACUUCACAUAUGUAGGUACCUGUAUGGCAUCCAGCAGAGGUAUGUUGACAUAUAAUUUUUGAAUGACCUCUACAAACUUACCAAAGUGCUCACCCAACUGCAGUCCUCUGUUUCUUCUGGGAAAUGGCAAAUAGUUGGUGUCGUAAAAAUCUUUCCACAUUUCUUUAGUUCUUGGUGGUUGGGGCAGAUCUUCUGCUUCAACUGGGCUUUCUUCUUCUAUCACUGCUGGUUGCACUGGUGCUGAUGUUCUUUGUUUCUCUUUUGGGUAUGGGGGAUCUCUGGUGGCUUUGCCUCCUCUAGUAGUUAUAUUCUUUACCUGCUCAAUGUUAGUAGCAACAGGCAGUGCAGCAGCUAACUUUAUUAAUUUAAGCUCUACCCUUUUAUUAAGAGCGUUUUGCUCAUCAAAGGUAGUUAAUAGAAAAUCCAUUUUAUUGUGUAUAUCUUUUAGAGAUGAUUCAUUUGUAUCUAGCCUUUGUUUAACUUCAUCAUUAGUUUUCGUUUGUUGAGCAAUUAUCUCUUUUAAUGAAAGUUGCUUGAAAGUAUUACCUGAAUUCAUACCUUUGCUAUUGGGUUGACUCGAAGUUGGUUGAUAUUUGUAUGCUGUCUCAAUGGCCCUUUGAUCUCCUUUGAACUUGGCCCUCUGGUCAAUCCAAUGGAGCAAAUUUUCCAUCUUAGUUGAUAAUGCAUUUACUUCUUCUGAUAUUUAUUCAGUUUGAUGACAUUGUUGAGCUUUAUCUUGGAACCAGCUUUGAUUUUCUGCUAUCUUAUCCAAAAGUAUCUCUGCUUUUCCAGUUGUAAGCUCCAAGAAUGAUCCUUUAGCAGAUGCAUCUAGGCACUGACGAGCCUUCUGGGUUAAUCCAUGGUAGAAGGUCUGCAUAAUUAACCAGGCGGCCAUUCCAUGGUGAGGACAAUCUGAUAUGUAUCCUUGAAAACGCUCCCAUGCUUCUGAAAUGGCUUCUGUCUUCUGCUGUUGGAAACUGACAAUAUUUCCUCUUAAGGCAGUUGUUUUGCCUAUAGGAAAAAACUUUGAUAGAAAAGCAUCUGACAAGUUCGUCCAGUUGUUGAUGUUAUCUUGAUGAGUGUAGAACCACUUCCUCGCUUCUCCUUCUAGUGAGAAUGGAAAAAGGUGAAGUAGUAUGACGUCUUUGUCAACUCCGUUGAUGUGGAUUGUGCUUCCAAUCUCUAAAAAAUUCUGCAAGUGUGCACUAGCAUCUUCAUGUGCCUUUCCACUAAAUUAUGUAGCUUGUACCAAAUUGAUGAGGCUUGACUUGAGCUCGAACUCGGGUACUCCUUCUUCUACUGCAAAUCUUGGACCAGUUGGAAUGUUCUCAAGACUUGGAGCAGAGAAUUCUUGUAGGGUCUUUUGUGCCAUAGCUUCAGCAAUUGGUAGCUAGCUUCUUUCUUCUCUUGAUUGCUUUGGUUCUGAUGAUGAAGAGUUGAAUGUACCCAAAGUCAAUCCUGAUAUACCCUGUAUAAAAAUAUAAACAUAGAAAAACAACAGGGUGAACUUGCCAAAGCAGAGGUGCCUUGUUAUGAUUUCUCACUUAGUAGCUGUUUUAUGCAAUUAUUUCUCUAUAGUCUAGUCUAUUAUUUUAUAUGAAUAACCUUGACUGAUUUUCUGACUUUCCUUACCGUUCCUAUGUAUUACCCUUUUAUGACUUACUUAUGAGAUUCCUAUAAGUCCCCGGCAACGGCGCCAGAAAUGCUUAUUGACACUAGCUAACACCACUUAGAUACUAGGUUGUCAUCCCCAGCAUGGUGCCAGAGCGUACAAAGGUAUUUAUAAAUGUAAAGGCUCUCUAGAAAAUAAUAUAUUCUAUCCGCAAGCGCAUAGAUAAAACACCUCAUUGUAGCAUUUCACCAGGAUAAGUAUUCCAGGUAUCGUUAUUUAUAAAGCUCAAGGGAUCUAAGGAGAUAAAAUUAAGGGUAAAAUCUAUCAAGGCAUAGACUAGAGAUAAACUUGCAAGAACAUGAUUACUAAUGACAAACUCGUCACACAAUCACUUACUUUAGCAGGGGGUAAACCAUAAAGAUAAUGAUAAUGAAUUAUAAGUUCAAGGGAUAAAUAACAUAGCGAUUAGAAAAUAGACUACUCCUCAUAUGUGUAGGUGAUGUCGGAUUAGCUAGAGAAUGGAUUCUAAGUUAUCUACUAACUACUAAGUCAUAAUCUACUCUAGUUAUCUACAAGAUCAUAUAUAGCAUAAAAGACUCUUCAUUCAUGUAUAAGGAACAUUGAUAAAGUAAAUCAGAGCAUCGCAUGACUUACUCCACAAUACCGGUUCUGCCUGUCCUAUCAACGGAGGGUGGACUAUAUAAGAAUCAGCAAAGCUGUCACUAUCACGAACUACCACACGACCCGACCAAUAGGAUACAUUUGCAGAUAAAUAACAUCUAAGCACCACGCUCACAUGUGAUCUAUCACCUAACUCCCUCGCGUCAAGAGCUAAGCGCUUUGCAAACUUAUACUUAAACUCAUUAUCAAUUAGAACUAUAUCAAAUAUAGAACUAGAACAAACUAAGAACAUAAUAAUUAGAGACAUAAUUCAAUUAGAACAAAGAAUUAGAGAAAGAUAUGAAUAAUACCAAUCUUUAUUUCCGAAGAUCCGAAUCCAGAGCGUAGUGCUCUACUUCUCUAAUUGCUAUCUAAUCAAACCUCUAAACUUGAAGGAUUAGGGAGUAGCUAAUUCUAAUUCUCUGUGGGAGAGAAGCUCUAAACCCUAACUUUGAUGGCUACCUCUGAAUAAUGAUUUCUUCUCUUCUCCUCUCUCCUCCAGGGGGGAGAGGCAUUGGUUUUAUAGUCCCUUCAAGUGAAUUUGAGCCAUCGGAUCAAACCGACAUUGAUUGUGUGGUUUAGAUUGAUCCUUUAGGUCGGUGGAGUUUAGCCCCAAAGCAGAGUCCUGAUCCAACUCCUGGCCAGGGUGGGCGCCCAAGGGGGCUGGGCGGGCGCCCUGCCCCCGAGCCCGAUCCUCUUCUCGUUCGUUCCCGUGGCUUCUAGACUCUUCUAGAUUGAAGAAAAUUGCGCAGCACGUAAUUAUCUCGUUGUAAACAUGACAUGUGGGCCUUCUCCCCAUAUUCUCUGAUAACCCCCUGCAGAAAUAAAUAAACACCAAAGCUCGUGGAAUUCUGUCAGAUAAAACCGUAAUUCUAGAUGUUUGUUUCAGAUUGAUCCUUUUCCAUGUUUAUUUGAUUAUUAAUUUUAGUACUUAAGGACCGUCAACAAUGGGUUGUAGAACUCAUAAGUCAGAUUGGAAGCUUUCCCACUACCAAAGAAAUUCACUGGUAUGGCCCUUGGGGUGAUAAUUGCCAUCAUCACAUCACGGUCCUUGUUGAGAGCAUCAUUGAAGGGAUGGAAGGUCAGGGGAAAUCUGGUGUCUGGAUCUUCAUAAGGCAUCCAUGCCCUCUGUUCCCUGGUUAAACCUCCAUAGAGAGUCUGAAAGAAUUGGCUAACCUGGUCUUCAUUACAACUAGUGCCAGGUAAAACUAUGGCGGCUUCGCCAAAGUUCAGAGGGGAACGAGUUGCCGAUCGGCCACAGAAUACAAAUUUAUCCAGCCACAUAUUUAGGAAAGUGGUCUGUACCUUUGCAUUAACAGGUCCUGUUCUUUGGUACUUCUGAAUGUACCCAGACCAACCGUUGAUGGCACGAGUUUCUACCUUGGAACUGGGUUUGGUGUCAAAUAGAUGGCUGUUAUCGGCAGUGGAUAUGUCUAAGCCGGUGAGCAUGAGCACAUCAGCAAGUGUAGGAGAAGCAGGGCCAUGGCCAAACACAAAAGCAUAGAAAGUUUCUGACCAAAAGUAUGAAGCAGCAAUUAACAGUGACUCAUUUCUCUCCAUAUCGGCAAGAGACAAUCUGAUACGCUGGUCUAAUUUCCGCUCGCCCCAUUGAACCUCGUUUGAAUGGCUAACUCUCAGGAACCAAUCCAUCCAUCCCUCGGUGGGACUAGGCCAGGAACGGAAGGCAUCUUUCCAUAGAUCUAGGGAAAAGUUUUCAGCUCUAAAAGGGAUUCUGUUUGUUUCCGUGUUUAUUAUAUCGGUGGGAUCUGGGUUUCCUAGCGGACCAAGACACUGGAGAUGAGGUUGAUCGGUAGGAAUUAUGAUCUUAUCGGCCAAGUCCUAAAAGUUUUGAGGAUAAAAGAAAGAAUGAAAAGAAAAAUAAGUAUUCAGUAAAAGGAAUUGCGGAUGAACAGGAAUACAGUGGAGGUGCGGAAAAGAAGGAUAGUGAGCUGACCUCAGGCACGAUGAAGUUGAUGGCCAUUUUCUCGCAAGGAAGAGGAUCGAAGACUUGGGGGAUUGGUGAAGAAAGCCUUCGUUGAAGUUCUUGGAACCCUCGGAUGGUGCCGCCGUGGUGAAAGUGGAUUUUGGGCUGUAGAAUGACAAGAUGGAGAAGGAGUACCGGAGAAGGAAGUAUUUAUAGGACAAAACGGGUAGGGGCAAAUCUGACUUAUCUCUUUGCCGCAUCCGUGAAAUCCGAGGGUAUUCAGGUGGAUAUGGUAACUGUUCACACGAUAAUCAAGGGAUUGCGUAGGUGAUUUGACAGCAAGCGGUCAUGAUUUUGAAGAUAUUUCACUGUACAAGAUCUCCUGGUCGGUCCAUCGGUAGUUCUCUCUAACGGUAAUAUUGCCGAUGGGCGUAUAAAGUGGAGAGAUUCGGUUCGGGAGGUUGAGAAAUUCGAGGAAUAUGCAAGAGAAUCGGGCCAAGGUUGUUCGAAUUUGACGAACGGUUACCAAAUUGGGAGAAUUAAUUGCGGAAAGGCAUCAUUACUGCAGAGAAUUUUGGAGCAUUAAUGAUUUUAUACUCCGAAAUUGGGGAGCAUGUGUUGACACUGUUUUUGGACACGUACCUGGGGAUUAGUAAAGUAUAGAUCGGCAGAUGAAGCAACGGUAACUAGUCUGUAGGAAAGUUACCGAUGAAGGUGGUUGCCGAUGAGGAGACAAUUGAAUCUGAUUAAGUCUAGAGGUGGUGACGUGUUCGUGCCGAUGAUCAGUGUUAGUGUUUGCCGAUGGCCACAACAGGAGGUCUGCCGAUGACUCUGAAGGAAAGCGUGGAGAUUGCCGAUUGAUCUGUGGCGGUGCCCCAGUCGGUUACAAGGAGGUUAUUUUAUGUUUUCCUUAGUUAUUAGAAUUCGUUUUGUGUACGGGUUCUGUUUAGUUUGGAAUUCGAGUCCUAGUCGUGUCUGGUUGUAGCUCUUCAGAUAGGGUAUAAAUAUAGACCCUGGGGCAAUGUAAUGAGACAAUCUAUCAAUCAAUCAAACACAAGUUUCUACUCAUAUUCCAGCAUCUACUUUUUCAAUGACUUCGUCAUAUUUUCUUUUUAUUACGAGUUCUUAGGAAUUCGUCGACUUAAGCUCGGCGUGUUCUCAAGUUCCGCGUGAUCACCUCUUGGCCGUGACAUCCGGGCGCAUCGCUGUUGUCGGGACCAAAGUAGUCGAGUUACCACCUUUGUCGAUUGUAAGGUCAAAUCGGCUAGCACGCCUGAACGUUUAAAUCGGGUAUUAGCCCUUUGUGUUUGCAGAUCAGUUUUGCACCAACAACGUUACGAAUCGGCUAAGGCAGUUAAAGGACAGAUUAGAUUAUGGCUAAUUUUGUGACUCAACAUUGCAGUGUUGUAGAGGCUUUGGAAAUUGUUCCUUGGAUGCUCUUCUUUCAUAGAUCUACAUGUGACCGGGGGCAGGAAUCGGCAUAGUACUAAUUUCUCCUCGAGGAAAGAAAUAUGAAUUAUCUUUGCCGAUUGUUGCCACGUCAACGAAUAAUCAAACCGAAUAUUAAGCUUUGAUCAAGGGGUUGGAAUUGUUAAAGGAGGUUCAUGCUGAUGCUGUUGAAAUCUUGGGUGAUUCUAUGCUUGUUAUAAAUCAAUUGGCUAGAAUUUAUGAAUGCCGAAGCGAGGUUUGAUAACUUAUUAUGAAAAGAGUAUGCAACUAUUAAAGGAAUUCAAAGAUUUCCGAUUAGAGCAUGUUCCUCGAUUACAUAAUGAAGAGGCUAAUCGGUUGGCUCAGCAUGCCUCGGGAUAUCAAUCCAUAUUAAACACGUUAUCGGCAAUCGGUGUAGAUGAUUGGAGAAAGGAGAUCAUUGAUUAUUUAAAAGAUCCGUCCAAAAAGGUUGAGAGGCGUAUCAGGUUCCAAGCUACCAAGUAUGUGCUCCUUGGGGAUGAACUAUUUUAUCGAACAAUAGAUGGAAUUCUUCUCAAGUGCUUAGGUGAUGAUGAAGCUAAAAGUUUGAUGGGUGAAAUCCACGAAGGAGUAAGUGGAGCACAUCAGUCGGCUUUUAAGAUGAAAUGGAUGAUUAGGAGAAAUGGAUAUUAUUGGCCGACCAUACUCAAAGAUUGCUUUAAAUAUUUCAAAGGAUGUCAAGGAUGUCAAAAAUUUGGCAAUGUUUAGAGGGCCCCCGCGUCGGCCAUGAAUCCUAUUAUUAAUCCUUAGCCGUUCCGGGGAUGGGCUAUUGAUUUAAUCGGCCAGAUUUAUCCACCAUGAAGCAAAGGGCAUAAGUUCAUCUUAGUUGCCACUGAUUAUUUCACUAAGUGGGUUGAAGCUAUUCCUUUGAAGAAAGUAACAUCGGCCAAUAUGAUUGAUUUUGUGAAAGAGCAUAUUAUUCACCGAUUUGUUAUUCCUCAAACAAUUACUACCGAUCAGGGUACCAUGUUUACAUCAGGAGACUUUGAUGAAUUUGCAAUGGUAUGGGGAUUAAAGUAUUGAAUUCUUCUCCUUAUUAUGCUCAAGCCAAUGGGCAGGCCGAGGCGUGCAACAAAGGAAUCAUUAAACUCAUCAGACGGAAGAUUGAAGAAAAUCCUAGAAGAUGGCAUACAUUGUUAAGUGAGGCUUUAUGGUCAUAUCGGAUGGCAUGUCAUGGGUCGACUAAAGUUUCACCUUAUCAGUUGGUGUAUGGACAUGAUGCGGUGCUACCAUGGGAAAUUAAGACCGGAUCUAGGCGACUAUCUUUUCAAGACCAGUUGGCUGCCGAUGACUAUGCUACUUUGAUGAAAGAUGAAUUAGACGAUUUAGCAGGACAUCGGCUUAAGGCUUUGAUAAGUAUAGAAGAAAAUAAAAAGAGGGUUGCUAGGUGGUACGAUAAAAAGGUAAAAGCUAAGAAGUUUGCCGAUGGAGAUUUAGUGUGGAAACUAAUAUUACCGAUUGGGACUAAAAGUUCGAAGUUUGGCAAGUGGUCUCCUAAUUGGGAAGGUCCUUAUCGGAUAAAUCGGUCUGCUCCUGGUAAUGCUUAUAUUUCAGAAACUCUUGAAGGAGUUGAAUUUCCCACAGCUUUGAAUGGAAAAUAUUUGAAGAAAUAUUACCCAAGCAUAUGGGUGGAUGCAUGAAAAGUUUAAGUGUCGAUAACAUUCCUAUCGGCUGGAUUAAAAUAUAUUUGGGACUGAGUAUGAUGUUUUAAAAAGAUGCCGAUAACAGUCCUAUCGGCUAGACCAAAAUAAUCAGAAGUUUCUGAAGGUAGAACAAAACACGCCGCCGAUGAAGAGCUUAUGCAUUCAGCAGAGCUUGGAUCGCCGAUAUGGCGCUCAGACGGAUUUGAUUGGCUUCUUCUAUUUCCCUAAUGUCUUCAUCGGCAGAGCCCUCCACUGGCUUCAGCUUCUUCUUCAUCUGCAAUGCCUUGCGAACUUUAAUGUUUCGCUCUUGUUCGAGGGUCUUGACCAUUUUGGGCAACUGAUUUUCUUCUUGCUGAGCUUGGGAGAAAGCCUCUUCUACUUGCUUGAGCUCUGCCAACAGGGUUUCCCUUUUUGCCGAUAGGUCAGAGAUCUUCUGCCUCAGCGUCUUUCAUAAGGAUUGUAGAAUGCCGAUGCUCUUGUGUUUCUCAUCGGCAAGGUGUUUCACUUUCAUUACCUCCUUUGAGAGCUGGGCGUGGGUGGCUCUAUCGGCCAGACGUUGAGUGGCCUUUUGGUACUGGAGCUGGUGGCUCUCCAAGUGUGCAGCCUUGAAAAGGAUCUCUUCGGCAUCGGCAGGGAUUUGGCCCCUAAGAGCUUUAAACAGAGCCUUGGCUGAAUCGGAAUCUUCGACCAGUUGAGAAGUGUCUUGAUGUAGUAGGUGAAAGGUCCAAAUGGCUAGAGGGGGAGUGAAUAGCCUAUUUAAAUUUUCUACAAACUUCAACUAGACAAGUUGAUUAGUAAAACAAAUGGCGAAACAAUUCUAGCACUAGCUCAACUAAGCUAUGCAAGCCACCUAUACAAACUAGUACAAGGCUAAACACUAAAGCACAAUAACAAGAGAAGGCUAGUUACACACCUAAACAAGAAGACUAAACUUUACAAGCUAAACAACUAGCAAGCUAUACAAGUAAGAAGGAGUGGAGAGAGAGAUUGUUAUACCAAUGUUGUAGAGAAGAGAUAUAUCCAACAAAUCAUUCACAAUCACAAGAGAAUCCUCGGUAAGAGAUGACACAAGAUUUUUUACCGAGGUUCACUUGCUUCCCGGAAAGCUAGUCCUCGUUGUGGCGAUACACCCACCAGAUGGAUCACGAGCUAAUAGGCGAUCCAAAGCCAAACCCUCAGCGGGUGCCGAACAUCCACUCACAAGAUGGGGAUCCUCCAAGCCACGAGCAAUCCACUAGAGUAGCCAAAUUGCGAUCUCCCGUGGGGAAGGCUCGAGAACCCCUCACAAAUCACUUGGUGAGGCUCGAAACAGUCUCCAGUCACGAGCUCAACACCACCGCUGCUCCAAGCCGUCUACGGCGUCGGGAAACACCCAAGAGUAACAAGAAAUCCGCAGCAAACUCAAGAAUCAAGUGCCACUAAAUGCAACUCUCAAAGCAAUGCACUUGAAUCUCACUCAAUCUCACUAGGAUUAGCAAUCAAGCAAGGAGAUGAGUGGAGGGAGUGUUCUCUAGCUCAAUGUAUGUCUCAAGUCAUCAAAAGUGCAAGAGCGAGCCUCCCAAAGCCAGCCACCUUCUAUUUAUAAGCCCCUCAAAGAAACUAGUCGUUGGCUGUUUUUACUGGGCUGAAAACGAGGGCACCGGACGCUACUAAGUGAUCACCGGACGCUCGACCACCAGCGUUCGGUGCUUAGGGGUAGGCCACGUGUACUUCUUGAAUCCCGCAUGUCAGUUUCUAACGGCUACCUGCAGCACACCGGACGCUCUGCAAGUCCACACCGGACGCGUCCGGUGCACACCGGACUCAAGCGCAGAGAGUUCCGCAAACCUGCGGGUCACCGGACGCUAAGCACUGGUAGCGUCCGGUGCUCACCGUACCCAUGCGCAGAGAGGGUCGCAAAACACCCGCACACCGGACGCUAACCACCGGACGCUCUCAGAGUGCGUCUGGUGCUCAACUCUAGCAGGGUCAAGCACACCGGACUCUGAGGCUAGCGUCCGGUGCCUCCGCACUCAGCGUCCGGUGAGUGUUUCUCAGUGAGAAACACUCCCGCGACUUCUCCAAAUUUCCCACCGGCGCAAUAAAAAAUAUACACUUUUUUUCUCAAAAGCGCCGAACAAGGGAGAGAGGAACCCACACCCCUCUCAACCCUAGGAACUCCACCUCCUUUGUAAAUGUGCUAACACCAACAAGUGUCCACCACCAAAGUGCAUGUGUGUUAGCUUUUCACAAACAUUUUCACCAAAGGAGUUAAGUUAGCACUUUACUAGAUCCUAAUGCAUAUGCUCAAGAUAUGGACCUAGUAGCACUUGAUUCGAGAGAUGACCGUGAUUUCCCCUCUUGAUAGUCGGCUAUCUAUCGUAAACCCGGUCAAUCACUUCUCUACUCAUCUUAGACCGGCAAAAGUAAAACCCUAUGUUUAUACCUUUGCCUUGAUAACUUUGCUCCUUGUCUAUCACCAUGAUUUCCACAUCAUGCUUCAUCUCUUUGUGAUCAUGUGGCCACCUUUCCAUGCCACCAUGCACCUUCAUCAGAUGUGUUGCUAUGCCUAACACAAAUCACUUAAACACAAAGCAUUAGAAACUUGGUGUCAUUAAUUACCAAAACCAAACUUGGGCUUUCAAUCUCCCCCUUUCUGGUAAUUGAUGACAACCAUCACAAAGAAAUGAAAUGAAAUCAUAGUGAACAUGAAUUGCUUGUCCAAAGCAUUUUAAUCAUGAGACAAGGUUGGACAAACAUUUCAAUUUCGGUUUUGGUAGAACUAGCUCCCCCUACAUAUGUGCUUCCAUGAGUUUGGUUCAAGUUUGCACAUAUGCAUGAAUUAGAGUUUUGGGAGAUUUAUUACUACCAAAAUGAUGCUAAGGUAUAUAGAAUGGACCUUUGAAGCGUGAUACCAAUCGGAGUUGCCAAUAUACCAUCCUUAGCACCAAUGUAGCUAGACAUACAUCAAAAACUCAAGAUACCUCAUGAGAUCACAUUAUAUGUCUAGAAACCACAAGAAAAUAAAACUCUAUGCUAGAAUUCAAAGCAUCAUUCAAGUUCUAUUUCUAGCAAGCACCAAACAAACAAGAGUAGUAUAUUUAAACUUGCAAUGCAACAACUCAUUAUGUUAGUGCACAUACAAAUGCAACAAUUGGUUCAUGAGCUUGCUCCCCCUAUUUUUGCGCUCAAGUUUUAAGUUAAUUUUCCAAAAGAUCUCUCCCCCUUAAGCACUUUUCUCCCCCUUUAUGACUUUAUCUUUGUUUCUCUCCCUCUUUGUCAUCAAUGACCACAAAGGUUCAAACUUUAGAGAAAAUUAAGUCAAUCAAUGUGAGGGUCAAAUUAUGGUUCAAUCUAGAUCACUUGCCUAAAACAUGUAAUUCGGUUUGAUCCAAGGACAAGCUUUUUCACACCUCAUAAAGUAUAAGGGUUAUCUUGACCAUGUUGAAUUACACAUCAUAAGCUCAUAUUCUAGAUUCAACACUAGGCUUGCAAGCUCACAAACAUGUCAUAUGCUACCACUAGAUCAAUCAAACAUAGAAGCAAUAGUGGUACCAUACAUACAUCAAAAUCCUUUGAUUUUCAUGAAUGAGCCUAUUUGUCAUGAAACAUGUCUAUAUGUUUUAAUCAUGUCCUUAGCAAAGUAUGAAUGCUAUGUCAACCAAAUUUACCUUGCUUGGUUGAAGGAGAGGCAUGUCAUAUCAAUGUGGGGGUGCACUCAUAUCAAGUUGGAGAAGUCAAGUAUGUUCAAUUCAUUUCUCAACUUGCAAAAUCUCUUCUCAUCAAGUGGCUUUGUGAAGAUGUCGGCUAGUUGAUCUUCGGUGCCAAUGCUUUCAAUGCUAAUAUCACCCUUUUGUUGAUGGUCCCUUAUGAAAUGAUGCCUUAUGUCAAUGUGCUUGGUUCUUGAAUGUUGAACCGGAUUUUGUGUCAUCUUGAUUGCACUCUCAUUGUCACAUAGCAAAGGCACAUUCUUGAAUUUGAUUCCAAAGUCAUUCAAGGUAUCUUUCAUCCAAAGCAAUUGUGCACAACAACUACCGGCACUAAUGUAUUCGGCCUCAACGGUUGAUAAUGGAACACUAUUUUGUUUCUUCGAUGACUAUGAAACUACAGACCUUCCUAGCAAUUGACAAGUGCCACUUGUGCUCAUUCUAUCAAUCUUGCAUCCACCAUAGUCAGAGUCCGAAUAUCCAAUCAACUCAAAGUUAGACUCCUUAGGAUACCAUAAUCCAACAUCAUGAGUGCCCUUGAGAUACCUCAAUAUUCUUUUGGUUGCCUUCAAGUGACUUUCCCUAGGUGAAGCUUGGUAUCUUGCACAUUUACACACACUAAACAUCACAUCCGGCCUUGAUGCGGUGACAUAAAGCAAGCUUCCAAUCAUGGAACGAUAUAGCUUUUGACCUACCAAGUUGCCACUUGCAUCACUACCCAAUUGAUCAUUUGUGCCCAUAGGUGUGCUCAUUGGUUUAGCUUCUUGCAACCCAAACUUCUUGAUCAUAUCCUUGAUGUACUUGCCUUGACUUACAAAGGUGCCAUUCUUCAUUUGCUUGAUUUGAAGACCAAGGAAGUAACUAAGCUCUCCAAUCAUGGACAUCUCAAACUCAUUUGCCAUCAUUCUUCCAAACUCUUCACAAAAGUCUUGAUUGGUUGAUCCAAAGAUGAUAUCAUCAACAUAGAUUUGCAACACAAAUAAGUCAUUGCCUAGUUUCUUGGUGAAGAGAGUAGUGUCAACCUUUCCCAUCUUAAACCCUUUAGAGAGAAGGAAAUCUCUCAAUCUCUCAUACCAUGCUCUAGGUGCUUGCUUCAAACCAUACAAUGCCUUCUUGAGCUUGUAAACAUGGUUGGGUUUCUUGUCAUCUUCAAAACUGGGAGGUUGUUCAACAUAAACCAACUCAUUUAUGUAUCCAUUGAGAAAUGCACUCUUUGCAUCCAUUUGAUAGAUCUUGAUGUUGUGGGCACAAGCAUAGGCUAAUAAUAUUCAAAUUGCCUCCAAUCUUGCAACCAGUGCAUAUGUUUCUCCAAAGUCAAGACCUUCCACCUUAGUGUAGCCUUGUGCUACUAAUCUUUCUUUGUUUCUCACAACCACACCAUCUUGAUCUUGCUUGUUUCUAAAGACCCACUUGGUACCAAUCACAUUGUAGUUCUUUAGCCUCUCAACAAGCUCCCACACUUGGUUUCUUGUGAAGUUGUUCAAUUCUUCAUGCAUGGCAUUUACCCAAUGGGAAUCUCUCAAUGCAUCUUCUAUUUUCUUUGGCUCCUCAAAUGAGACAAAUGAGUAGUGCUUACAAAAGGAUGCUAGCCUUGAUCUUGUUUGUACACCACUUUGAAUACCACCAAUGACUUGAUCCAAUGGAUGAUCUCUUGCUAUGCUUGUAGGCUGGAGUAUUGCGAGUUGAUUGCUUCCACUUUCUUGAUUUUGAUUUUGAUCAUCAUCAUGAGAGCCACUAGUACUUGGUUGAUUUGUAUCAAUUUGCACUUCUUGAUUGAUCAUGUGAAUGUCAUUAUCAUCAUCAAUUUGCAUCGGCCUUAUGUCACCAACAUCCAUGUUCUUCAUUGCAUUAGCCAAUUGAUCUACUCCCACAUCAUCAAGAUUUUGAGCUUCACUUUGAGAUCCCUCGAUUUCAUCAAACUCAACAUCAUGGACUUCUUCCAAUGUGCCACUUGCCAAGUUCCAAACUCUAUAUGUCUUACUUGUGGUGGAAUAACCAAGUAAGAACCCUUCAUCACAUUUCUUCUCAAACUUGCUCAAUCUAGUGCCUUUCUUGAGAAUGUAGCAUUUACAACCAAACACUCUAAAGUAUGCAAUGAAGAGUUUGCCGAUGAUUUGGGAGGAGAACCUGAAGGUUGCCGAUUGGUCCAGGGUGGUGUCCCAGUUUGUUACGGGAGGAUAGUUUGUGUUUUUCUUAGUUAUUUAAAUCGUUUUGUAUACGGAUUCUGUUUAAUUUGGAAUUCGAGUCCUAGUCAUGUCUGAUUGUAGCUCUUCGAGCACGGUAUAAAUGUAGACCCUGGGGCCUUGUAAUGAAUAAUCUAUCAAUCAAUGAAACACAAGUUUUUACUCAUAUUCCAGCAUCUACUUUUUCGACGACUUCGUCAUAUUUUCCUUUUCAUUACGAGUUCUUAGGAGUUCGUCGAUUUAAGCUCGGCGUAUUCUCGAGUUCUGCGUGAAUACCUCUUGGCUGUGGCAUCCGGGCGCAUCGCUGUUGUCGGGACUAAAGUAUUCGAGUUAUCACCUUUGCCGAUAGUAAGGUCAAAUCGGCUGGGACGCCUUAACGUUUGAAUCGGGUAUUAGCCCUUUGUGUUUGCAGAUCAGCUUUUGCAUCAACAGGUUCUAUUCUUCCUUUCAACUACACCAUUGGAUUGAGGAGUGUAUGUUGGAGAGAAUUGAUGUCCAAUGCCAAGAUCAUCACACAAUUCCUCAAUUCUUGUGUUCUUGAAUUCACUACCAUUGUCACUUCUAAUCUUCUUGAUAGUGGUUUCAAACUCAUUUGCACCCUCUUGACAAAAGACUUCAAUAGAUCACAAACAUCACUCUUGUAAUAGAGGAAGAACACCCAAGUGUAUCUAGUGUAGUCAUCUACUAUCACAAAUCCAUACUUGUUGCCACCAAUGCUAGUGUAUGUUGUUGGCCCAAAUAAAUCCAUGUGCAAUAGCUCAAAUGCCAUUGAUGUGCUCAUUUCACUUUUCUUAGGAUGUGCAUUUCCAACUUGCUUUCUGGCUUGACAAGCACUACAUGGUUUAUCCUUCUCAAAGGUGACAUCCUUCAAGCCUCUAAUUAAGUCAUGCCUCAAUAGUUUGUUCAAUUGUUUCAUUCCAACAUGACCAAGCCUUCUAUGCCACAACCAACCCAAACUUGAUUUGCUAAUUAGGCAUGAUGUCAAUUGAGUAUCACUAUCAUUGAAAUCAACCAAGUAUAAGCUACCAUGCCUAAAUCCUUUGAAUAUCAAAUUUGAUCCAUCAACACUAACAACCUCAACAUCAUCGCUUCCAAAGAUGCACUUGAAACCAAGGUCACAAAGUUGUGCAAGUGACAAGAGAUUGAAAUCAAGGCUUUCAACUAGCAACACAUUUGAUAUGCUCAUGUCAUUUGAUAUAGCAAUUUUACCAAGCCCCUUGACCUUGCCUUUCUUGUUGUUGCCGAAGGUAAUUGAAUCAAAGCCACUAUUUUGAUUUGUAUCAAUUGAUUUGAACAUACAGGACUCCCCGGUCAUAUGUUGAGUGCACCCACUAUCAAGCACCCAAUGCCUUCCUCCGGCUUUGUAAUUGACCUACAAGACAAGAUCAAUUCUUUUUAGGUACCCAAACUUGAUUGGGUCCUCCAAGGUUAGCAACUAAGCUCUUUGGUACCCAAAUGGCUUUCUUCUUUGAGCCCAUCCAUGGUGCACCAAUGAACUUAGCAUGAACACCUUUUGUAUCCUUGGUAAGCAUAUAGAAAGAAUUAAGCUUAAUUGAGGAUACAUAAGCUUUGGGUUUCUUGUUCAUGCAUUGUUGCUCUAGGUGACCAACUUGCUUGCAAGCUUUGCAAUACCGGCCAUUGUUCUUCACAAAGCUAGUCUUGUGAGGAGCAAAGGUGGCUUUGCCUUUCUUGGGGUUAUAGCCCAAUCCCUCUUUGUAGAGAGAAGUUCUUUGGCUACCCAAGCACAUAAGCAAGCGGUCCUCACCACCAAAAGCCUUAGCUAAGGUGUGAUUGAGCUCUUUCACCUCCUUCUUGAGAAUUUCAUUCUCAACUUUUAGUGUGGUGUCACAAGUGAAACCAUCACCACUAGAUGAGGAUGAUGUAGAUGUGCUACAUGAAGGGUUAGUAGAAGCAACAACAAUAGGCUUGCUUAAGAUAUCACAUGUUAGGCCUAUGUUGCAAGUUUUAGCUUUUUCAAUUUUAGUUGGCUCAUUUUUACAUUUGUUAACUAGAGAGGAAUGAGCUUCCUCAAGCAUAGUGUGAGCCUUUUGAAGCUUCUUAUGGUCUUCCUUUAGACUCUCAUAAGAUGCUCUAAGCUCAACAAGUUCUUGCUCAAGGGUUUUCUUAUCCUUGAGCAAAGCCUUGCACUCCUUUCUAGUUUCUUUAUAGUGAUGAGUGCAAUCUUCUAGCAUAGUGAUUAGUUCAUCUUUAGUUGGUUCAUCAUCAUCACUAUCACUAUCACUAUCACUAGCAUGGUCACUCUCAUCAUCGGAUGAUACCUUAGUGGCCUUAGCCAUGAAGCAUGAUGGAGUGUCGAAGAUGGAGCUCUUUCCUUGAAUUGCAAUGCUAGCAUGCGCCUUCUUGGUGCUCUCAUCAUCACUUGAGGAGUCAUCACUAUCCCAAGUUGCAACAUGGGCAUCACCCUUCUUCUUUUUUGAGCCUUCCUUCUUUUCUUGCUUCUUCUUUUACUUCUUUCUUUCCUUCUUGAUAGCAUCUUCAUCAUCACUAUCAUAAGGACACUUGGCAAUGAGAUGAUCCUUGCUAUGGCAUCUAAAGCACCUCAUGGAAUGGUCAUUCUUCUUGGAGGAGCUCUUCUUCCUUCUUGCUCGAUAGCCCUUCUUCUUCAUAAACUUGCCAAAUCUCUUGACAAGAAGAGCCAUCUCCUCAUCUUCAUCAAAAUCACAAGAGCUUGCUUCUUAUUCACUUGAUGAUUCUUGCUUGGUUUUGCCCUUGGAUGUGGAGGCCUUGAAUGCCACACUCUUCUUCUUCUUCUCAUCAUCCUUCUUCUCACCAUCCUUCUUCUUUUUCUUGAUCAACUCAUCCUUCUCAUCAUCUUCUCUAUAAGCAUCAUCGGUCAUCACUUCUUGGGACACUUGUUGGGGAGUUGAUUCACUAAGUGUUGUCUUGACUAGCACGGUGAUCAAUGUGUCAAAUCUCUUAGGCAAGCUUCUCAAGAACUUCAUAGAGAAUUGACUAUCCUUCACUUCUUCGCCAAGUGCCUUGAGCUCAUUCACAAUGACUUGCAACCGAUGAAACAUUUCCGGCACACUUUCAUCUUCUUGCAUCUUGAAGCUAGAGAACUUCUCUUGGAGGAUGUAAGCUUUGGCGGUCUUAGUACCUUUUUGCCUUCAAAUGUUUCUUCUAAUUUUGCCCAUGCAUCAUGAGCAACCUCAAUGUUCUUGAUUUGCUCAAAGGUCUUGUCAUCAAGAGCUUCAUGAAGAGCACUAAUAGCAAUGUCAUUGCAUUUAAGCUUCUUUUCUUCAACCGGUGUAGGUGCAUUCUCAUUUGCAACCUCAAACUUUGUUUCAGUCACCUUCCAAACUUCUUGUAACACCCUAGGUGUUAAGCAUGCAUUUAGCCCUAUCACAACAUGCAUAAGUAUUCUCAUCAAGCAUAGCAUCAUGAGCAUGUCAUUCAUCCCAAAGCAUGAUUUUAUGUGCUUUAUUUCAUGUGUUUUAAUUAUGCUAAAAAUAUGAUGCUUGCUUCUAAAAAUGUGAAAUAUUCAAACUAGGUUGAUUUAUGUGUAAGAAGAAUUUAGAGUAUUUUUGUGAAAUUUUUAGAGCUAUGGAAUUUGAGAAACGGAAUUUAUACAAAAAUUCCCAAAUUGAAUUUAUUUAAAAACCUAGAACUAGUUUUAAUUUGUAAUUCAAAUUCUCUUUGGAAUUUGGUCUUGCUUAUUAAAACAAAGUUGUAGGGUUUUUGUUUUGGAACAAUUUUGCUUCUGGGAGCAAGAGGUGAAAAUGAUUUUAAAUUGGUUCAAAUGAAUUUAGAAGAGUUUUGGAGAAAAGAAAUUCAAAAAAAAAUAGAAAAGGGGCAGGCGCUGCCGGGCCAACCCCGCCUCCCUUUCGGCCCAGCGAGCGGCCCGGCCUGCCUCCCCCUCCCCCUCUCUCCCGCGCGCGGACGCCCGCCUCGCCCCAGCCAGCGCCGGCCACGUGGCGGCCGUACGCCGGCGAGGAGCGCACCGUGGCCGGACUCCAACCCCCCUGGUCGGGACGCCGGCUCGGGCUCCCAGGCCAUUCCCUCCCUUCUGUCGCCCGCGCCCUUCUCCUUCCUCCCUCCGCUCGCACCGCGCAGCAACAGCAGCUCCUCCGCGCGCCAUUGCCGGAGAAAGCCCCGCCGCUCGCCGCCGACCGCACCAGAGCCUCAAGCUCACCGCCGAGAGCACCAGCGCCUUCGUCAUCGUUAGGGUAAGCUUGUGCGCACGUUCUACCGAGGUGAAAGUCCGUCGAGCGCCGUGAAUCGCUCGCCGGAGAUACCCCGAGCUCGCCGGAGUAUUCCGCCGCGACGGAUCUUGUGUUUCUCUGCCUCUUUUCGCUGGUUCUUGGGUGCGCUAGGUCGGUAGGGUGGUGAGGAAGCUCGGAGAGGCGUUUGCGCACGCUCUACCGCGCCGGAGCGGCCUGGCCACGGCGAGCAACGCCGCCGUGCCGCCAUGCAUGCUCGUCGGAGGUGUUCCGGUCAUCCUCCGGCCAACCCGAGGGUACCGCUGGGUGCGCCUCGCUGCGGGAAGCACGUUGGUGCUUACCCCGUGGCAGGAGACCUCACCGCCGGCGAGAUCUGCUCGUCGGAGGUGAGCUCCCUCUCGGUCUCGCUGACCGGUGGGGUCGGGGACCCACUGUCAGUCGCAGAGGGGACCCCGGUGGGUGUAGAUCUGGGUGCGCGUAGUCUUUUUCGUCGGUUUUCUUGAAUAAAUGAUUUCCAGAAAUUGAUUCAAAACUUGUAAAAUUCAUAUCUUGAGUUCUACAGCUCCAAAUGGGAUGAAAUAAAUUUUGGUGUGCUCUAUAUUUCCAGAUCUACAGUUUGAUGUAAUUGCAUGUCAUGUUUGAGUAACUUUUCUGAAUGAAUGUAUUUAAUCCAUAUUUUUGCUAAACUUGGAAAAUGCAUAGUAAAUAAUAUAUGGUUCAGAAAAAUGUGAAACUUGAUUUGUUGGCUCUGCAUGUAUGUUUACUCACUGGGAAAAUAUUGCUACAUAUUAUUUGGUGUAUAAAUGAAUUUAUGGUAAUUUAAAUGCUUGCAUGGUAGUGAUUCAUGAUUUUUAAUAAUUAAUUGGAUCAUGCAAUAAAUCUGGAAAAUUUUGUGGGUGUUUCUUAUGAUAUUAGACAAAUUGUAAAAAUAUGAAAUCUGUUGUUUGACACUUAUAUCACAGUAGAGUGAUUAUACUUACCCUAUGAAUUAAUCUUGUGAUAUUUGUGGCUCAAAAUAAGUAUCCAAAAAUUAUGAAAAAAUUACAGUAGACUUUAUGCUUAGCUGGUAGUCUCUUGUAAUUUUUGUGGAAUUUAUCGAUGAACAGAACCACAUGCAAAUUUUGAUGGCCUAGAAAUGAAUAAAGAAAAUUAUGAAUUGUUAUGUGUAGGUUAAAUAGAAUAAGUUUGGGUUUGGUGUAUCUUUGAAGCAUCGUGUGGAUUGCUAGUUGCACUUGAAAAGAAACAAUUUGUAGGAGGGAAUGCAAUAGAUGUUUGAUUCCAUUGUACGUUCUUGGAUGAUGUUGACUACCUUGUAAUGAGCAUGACCAAGUGUAUCAUCCAUGCAUCAUGUCAUGACUCCUUUGGUACUUUCUCAUACAAGCAUCCACUCGGGCAUCUCGCACUCCACUCAUAAGCACACAUGCAUCAUACAGGCUCGCAGGAGAACGAAGUGGGACCCGAGGAGAUUCAGGAGCAGGAACUUUCGGAAGCACAGGAACCCGGAGAGGAGCUGCAGGAGUGUCCGGAUCACCGACCCAGCACGUUUGAGAAAGGCAAGCCCCGGAGCAUUCUAAGUCUCCCUAUUCUCGCUAACUUAUAUGAUGCGCUAUAAUUGUUCUACUAUAUUGCAUCUAAGUGAUAGGAUUUGAUUGACACCGUUGAUGCAUAUGUACUCCUUGUUAUCCCUACUCGUUCACCUACCUUGUCCUAUGUAGAUAGGCAUGGAGUCUAUGCUUAGCUUGCUUAGUCCGGUAGAAGUCGGGUGAUUUCCUGUCACCUGCGAGAAAUAGGUGGAUACCUGCUUGAUUAAGCAUUGGUUGCUUGGGGAAAAGAAUAACCAAGUGUGAAAUGUAACUGGAGACUGGGCAGGGGUCUUAUGGUGGGUUGACUAUAGUGCCCCCGCCUGUGUUGAUUAAGGACCGAUCGUUGACGGCCCUCUUGUCAUGUUGAACGCAUGCCCCACACUUAGCUGGAAGGAUAAGUCGUUCCGACCGCGAAGCCUGAGCACUAUCCUGGCCGGGAAUCGAGCCGCCAUGCGCUGUAUUGGUGAUGGUUGAGGAGAACGACGAGGGCGCGGCGCGCAACCUUGGUAUACCUUGGAUACCUCGGUCGCCGGAACGGUCCUCGGGUACUGGCGGUGCCUGCCGAACCCGCGAAUUGGUCCUGGAUAGUGUAAUACGGUGAUCUGUAGCUCAAUUGGUCAGUGAGUGUGGUUUGUGUGGGGAAUAAACUCGCCAGCUGGUUAGAAAUCGAUUCGAAUCGCCAUCGCUCCUGGAUAGUGAGCACUUGACAUGAGCUUCGUCCUUGUAGUAAGGACUAUGGAACACUUGGGUUAUAUCGAUAAGUGAUUUAAGAAUGCUAUGAUGAGGUACCAUCAUAUCACCAUACUUGUUUGUAAUAGCACAGGUGCAAACCUAGAGAAUAGGUAAAGAUACUUUCAACUUGAGCAAAUUAAAAGAAGAAAGAUUUAUGUAGGUUAUGAUAGUAAAAUCCUGCGGUUUUGCAAAAUGGUUGUCAGCUACCCCCACUAUAUAGCCUUCAUAAUCCUCGAUGAGUCUUUAUUUUAAGUUUAUGACGGGUAAGUCUAGCUGAGUACCUUCUCGUACUCAGGGUUCUACUCCCAUGUUGUUUUGCAGAUGGUCAAAUGUACUAUGGUUAUUGCAUCCUCUGUCUGUACCCUGCCAUGGGUGAUGACUAGACCAAGGGUGAUGGUCACUCCGUCUCCUCUUUUGCUUUUGUGGGAAUGACCGAACUAUGGCACUGUAUCAGACUAAGCGUGUGUGUUGUAUUUUGGAACUAUGAAGCUUCCGCUACUUGAAGAACUUGGUUUGUAAUAAUUUUAAGAACUCCGAUGUAUUUUAUGAAUGUUGUAAUCUGGAUGUAUUUGUGAAUGGCGACCGCUAAACUUAUUACGAUCUUGGCUGUUGUGUGAUGUCUGGUUUGAAAUCCUUCGAGAUUUCACGGACUACCGGGAUUAUAUGGGCUUAAGCGUGAUGGUUUGACUAUGCAAAUGGUCACUGUUAGGCUUAAUCUCUUAUAAUUUGGACGGUUCUAUUACAGCUGGCAUCAGAGCAAGGUUUAGCGAGUUAUUGUUCAUAAGUAUGUUCUAAACAAAAAUCUAAACCGGUUUAAUAAAAGAUUUUAUUAAUUAAUCAAUAGUGAUCAAGGUGUUAAACCAAGUUUUGGGAAAACUAUCUAGUGUGCCAUGGUCAUAUCCUUUAUGCCCGAUUAAGGACUCUAAGGUGGCUAGUUAAGUACUGACUUGGGGGUUAAUGCAUCAUAUUUUUAUUUUCGUCGCUCAUACGGCAUGCAAUAGUAUGAGUACCAUUCAUUUGAGUGGUAAUGUAUGGAUCCCUUUUUCCUCUACGCCACGGUAAGUGGGAGCUGUGAGAGCAUGAUCGGAUACACUGCCGGUCUAGAGGAGUUUUGUUAGGUACUGUGUCAUGCACAGAUGAUUGGUGUGUCUUGGAAACAGUACCGCAUGUUGGCGAUUCCGUCCUGAGAGGCGAUGCCGUCAUUAGGGCGAUGAUAUGGGUAGCAACACAUCACAUGCAUGGACGGGUGUCAGUGUAUGUGGGGUGUAUAGUUUAAAAUUCUUGUUCUGCACGAUCAUACUGUGGGUGGGCUGAAAUGAAGUUUUCUGCAGGUACAAUAACCACGUUCUCGCUUAGAACGCUAGUUACGUUAUGAGAGAACGUUGUGUGCCACCGCAUAUACCGCUUAGUGUUAACCUUUGUUUCUAAGUUUGUGAGAUCGUAAGUUCGUGCAUGCAUUAUGUUCAUGUCAUAUCAUUGCUUACUUUCCCCCUUAAUUUAAUCUGUCCCAAUUCUAAAUAAAAUAAUUAAAGGUAAUCCUCGCUCUUACCCACGGUAUUCCAUUUGCAGCAGAUGGCACGCACUAGGCUCACCGCUCGCAAGUCCACGGGUGGGCGGGCCCCUCGCCAUCCGUUGGCAGCUAGGAGCUCGCGACAUAAGAGCAAGUUCCUGGAUGAGUUUGGGAUGCCCACUUUGCUUUGGAGGGUGCUCAGUUCGAUGGGGUAUCCCGAAGGAAGGGAGCCUCGCUACUAUUGGGAUAAGGAGCCGCUUGGUGACGAGACCCUGGUGGGGAUCGAGGCAGUUGUCCCUACCAGUGGAGGAGACCCUGCUUGGGGUGGCUGGGUGUACGAGUCCCGAGGUGUGACGCCUUUCCACGGUGCCAGCAGGGCAGCUUUCGCAGUUCUGAGGAACCUCAUGGAGAGGUUUCCACAGGAGCUGGCCCACGCCUUCGCUGGGGUAUUUCCCCGGGGUGACCCCUACACUUCGGUGUGGGAUCAGUCCGAGGUGAAUGCUCUAUAGAGGAGUGCGGAUGAGGACCAGCACAGUGACGGUGCAGCUAUGAGUGCCAUGUACGCGUUGAUGAAGACCUAUGGAGGCCUGGAGCGUAGUUUGGGUCGCUUGUCUGGGUCCCUUCUCACCGUCCAGGAUGAGAAGCGUCAGUUGCAGCGUGAGUUUGACUCUGAGGUUGAGAGGCUACAGGCAGAGUUGGCCCGUGUGACCAGAGAGAGAGACCAGGCAGUCCAGAAGAACAGUGAGCUGAGUCAGGACCUGCUUGCAGUGCGAGAGCAGAGGGAUAGGGUGACCACUGCUCACAGGAACUGCGAGCGCAUGCUAGUCCAUGUGCUUGGACAGAGGAAUGAAGCCUGGCACGAGGAGGACACUUUGAGGGCCCGACAGCUAGAGCUAGAGCAGCAGCUAGCUAAUGCAGAGGAGUACAAUGAGAACUUGCAUGAGGAGAUCCACCAGCUGCAUAACCAGCUCCACCCUCACCACCUGCCUAGAGCAGCUGAGCUAGACUCUGAGGACGAGAUGGACGCGGAUCCCGAGAUAGGAGCAGCUGCUAUUUGUGAUGAGGACGAGGAGGGCUCCGGCAAGGACAGUGAUCAUAGCGACUAGAUGCUAGGGCUUUAGAGCUAGUCCUUCUUUGUGUUGUAUGUUGCAUGGCAUGUCGUGUACUUUUGGAUCUGGGCUAUGUAAAACUUUAUGAGUUAAUGCUGAAAGUCCAAUGUAUGUGUGCUGGCAAGUUGGAUGUACGCGAACCUUGUUGCGUGAACGUUAAGCAAUCUGUUAGUGAUGUUGUGUGUAGAUGAUGAAUUAUUGUGCCUCUAUUUAUUGUGCGAAUUUAUUCCCUCAGUAAAUUCAGUACGGCAUGAUUCUACACAUUUCUACCUCUGAUGGCAACUCCUAACGAUUGCUUAUCAUUGACGUAUGCAGAUGGUGCAAACACGUGGCGGGGGUAACAGCAACCCGGGCCUUGGAGCAGGUACAUCCGGAGGUGGGGCUCAACGGAAUGAGGACAGAGCACCAACACCACCACCACCACCGCCUCCUCCGUACACUGCGGACGUGUUCUUCGCGCAGUUUCUCGGGAGCCAACGCAACAUGGAACAGAUGCAACACAACAUGGAAGAGGCUCUGCGCAAUAUAGCUGACAACACCCGUCGUGGGGAUAACCAGGGCGGCCGAGAAGUCAACCAGUACAGUUCGUUCAAGGACUUCAUGGAUACCAAGCCACCAAUCUUCAAGGAGGCCUUGGAACCGCUCGAGGCAGAUGAGUGGAUCAACACUAUGGAGCAGAAGUUUCGUCUUCUCCGAAUGACAGAAGAACUUAAGGCUGAGUAUGCGGCACAUCAGUUGCAAGGACCCGCUGGGAUUUGGUGGUCCCAUCACCGUACCACCUACCCAGAGGGGACCCCAAUUACCUGGAACCGUUUCACCACAGCUUCCCGGGGAAAUUACAUUCCUCCGGGUGUGGUUGAAAUGAUGGUUGGGGAGUUCAUGAGGCUGUCCCAGGGGACGAAAUCGGUGAAGGAGUAUCUACAUGCUUUCAAUAAUCUCGCUCGCUAUGCCCCUGAGUUUGUAAACACGGAGGCUAAGAAGAUUGCUAGUUUCCAGAGGGGCUUGAAUCCAAAGAUGCUGAAGACCAUGGGUACAGGGGCCAGGGCUACCUUCAAUGCUUACAUCAGUGACUGUCUCACCCAGGAGAACAACAACAACAACUACAGUGCAUCCAAGUCACGUAAGAGGGCUUUUGAAGCCGGAUCAUCUCAGUCCAGGGCACCAGUGGCAGGGCGACAGCAGUAUCGUCCUCCUGCCCCAGGUGCUAGGUUCCGACCGCCGCAGAGAAGGAACACCGGGCAUCCCACACAGCAGAAGCCGUACAAGGUGGCGAUAGCCCCUGCCAAGCCAAAGGCAAUUCAAGCUGCAGCACCUGCCGUCAACAAUGCGCCCAAGGGUCUGUGCUAUAACUGCCACAAGAUGGGGCACUUUGCUAAGGAAUGUCCCUACCCCAAGAGGCAGCAGCCAACCUAUCCAGCUCGUGUGCACCAUACCUCGAUUGAGGAAAUCCCGGAAGGAGAACCGGUAACAGCUGGUAUGUUUCCUGUCAACCAACAUCUUGCAGUUGUUUUGUUUGAUUCUGGAUCAUCGCAUUCAUUCAUGAGCCAAGCAUUUGCACAAAAGCAUAGUCAACCAGUUACAGAUCUGGGUUAUGGCUACCGCAUCAGCUCAGCGGGGGCAGAUGUGUUGACCAAUAGAGUGGUUCGAGGGGCAACCCUGGAUAUAAGUGGCCGAGUAUUCUGAGUGAAUCUAGUGGUCAUGCCUGGGCUAGUUUUGGAUGUUAUUAUGGGUAUGAACUGGAUGAGAGAAUGGGAUGCCGUCAUAGAUACUGGGAAGAGGAUGUUAUCUCUCAGAGAACCACAGGGCAGUAGCUCUUUUCAAGUACCUCUGCCCCGUCGUCUUGACUUUGCUAGCAUCUCUUGUGCUACGCACGUGGUUCCAUUACCACAGAUCCCAGUAGUCUGUGAGUUCCCUGAUGUUUUUCCUGAGGAAUUACCAGGACUUCCCCCGGAUAGGGAAGUAGAGUUUGCAAUCGAGUUGAUACCAGGUACAGCACCAAUAUCGAGAAGGCCGUACCGGAUGCCACCAAACGAACUCGCUGAGUUGAAGAAUCAACUAAAGGAGUUACUGGAUAAAGGGUUCAUCCGGCCAAGCUCGUCAGAAUGGGGUUGUCCAGCGUUGUUUGUAAAAAAGAAGGAUCAGUCAUUGCGCAUGUGCGUGGACUAUCGUCCACUCAAUGUAGUGACAAUCAAGAAUAAGUAUCCUUUGCCAAGGAUUGAUAUCCUGUUUGAUCAGUUGUCCAAGGCAAGAGUGUUUUCUAAGAUAGAUUUGAGGUCUGGGUAUCACCAAAUCAAGAUUCGUCCGCAAGAUAUCCCGAAGACUGCUUUUUCCACCAGAUAUGGGUUGUAUGAGUAUCUUGUCAUGUCCUUUGGAUUGACGAAUGCUCCUGCAUACUUUAUGUACCUGAUGAAUUCAGUCUUUAUGGCAGAAUUGGAUAAGUUUGUUGUGGUGUUUAUCGAUGAUAUUCUGGUUUAUUCAGAAAAUGAGCAAGAUCACGCCGAGCAUCUGAGAAUCGUGCUGACAUGAUUACGAGAGCAUCAGUUAUAUGCCAAGUUCAGCAAGUGUGAGUUCUAGCUGAAGAAAGUUCCUUUCCUAGGGCAUAUUCUGUCUGAAGAAGGGAUUGCUGUGGAUCCGUCAAAAGUGUAGGAAGUCAUGGACUGGAAGGCACCAACUUCUGUCUCGGAAGUUAGAAGUUUUCUUGGUCUGGCCGGGUAUUAUCGUCGUUUCAUAACCGACUUCUCCAAGAUUGCUAAGCCCAUGACAAGUUUGCUACAAAAGGAUCACAAGUUUGUCUGGACGGAAGGGUGUGAGUUAGCCUUCCGCACCUUGCGAAAGUUGCUAACCACUGCUCCCGUUCUGGCACAACCCAAUAUAGAAAAGCCUUUUGAUGUGUUUUGUGACGCAUCGAAGAGUGGCCUGGGGUGUGUGUUGAUGCAAGAUAGCAGGGUGAUAGCUUAUGCUUCCCGACAGUUGAGAAAGCAUGAAGUCAACUACCCAACGCACGACCUCGAGUUAGCAGCAGUAGUGCACGCCUUGAAGAUUUGGAGACAUUAUCUGCAGGGAAAUAAGUGUCACAUUUAUACCGAUCAUAAGAGUUUGAAGUACAUCUUCACUCAGUCCGAGCUAAAUAUGAGGCAACGACGGUGGUUAGACUUAAUCAAGGACUAUGAUCUGGAAGUUCACUACCAUCCUGGCAAGGCUAAUGUGGUAGCAGAUGCGUUGAGUCGUAAACCGCACUAUCAAGUGGUUCAACCGUUGUUUGAAGAUGGGUUCAAUCUUAUGCAUCCUGAGGUCUUAUGUCACAUACAACUCAGUUGUUCACUCGAGAGUCAAGUCAUUGAAGGACAGAAAAUAGACAAGGGUAUUUUCCACAUCAAAGAAAAGAUCAAAAAUGACCCAAAAACUCAGUUUCGAGUUGAUGAGAAAGGGGUACUGUGGUUUCAACAUCGGUUAGUAGUUCUGAAAGAUCGUGAAUUGAAGAAUCGCAUCAUGGAUGAAGCCCAUCUCUCUAAGCUUUCUAUUCAUCCUGGCAGUAGCAAAAUGUAUCAAGAUCUAAGACCCCACUUUUGGUGGACCAAGAUGAAGAAAGAAAUCGCCGCAUAUGUGGCCCGUUGUGACAUGUGUUGCAGAGUUAAGGCCAUCCAUAUGAAACCUGCAGGUCUGUUGCAACCGUUAUCAGUUCCAGAGUGGAAAUGGGAAGAGGUCAGUAUGGAUUUUAUCACAGGUUUACCGACCACGAGGAAGGGGAAUUACUCGAUUUGGGUAAUCAUAGAUCGAUUAACCAAGUCGGCUCAUUUCAAUCCAGUCAAGAACACAUACAAACCUCCCGAGUAUGCCGAUAUAUAUAUGGCUGAGAUUGCCAAGUUGCAUGGUAUUCCCAAGACCAUCAUAUCAGAUAGAGGACCACAGUUCACCGCUCACUUCUGGGAGCGAAUGCAUAAGAACUUGGGAACCAGUCUGAUAAGGAGCACAGCGUAUCAUCCUCAGACCUCAGGUCAAACGGAGCGGUUAAAUCAAGUGUUAGAAGAUAUGCUGAGGGCCUGUGUGCUAUCAUCCAAGGGAUCAUGGGAAUCAUGGUUACCUCUGGCUGAAUUCUCCUACAAUAACAGUUAUCAGGAGAGCAUCAAGAUGGCCCCGUUCGAAGCUCUGUAUGGUCGGAGGUGUAGAACUCCGUUAAACUGGGUUGAACCUGGGGAAAGGAGAUGCUACGGUAUCGACUUCGUGAAUGAGGCCGAGAAGAAGGUGCAAAUCAUACAGCAGCAUAUGCAAGCAGCGCAAUCACGACAAAAGAGUUAUGCUGAUAAGAGAAGAAGGCCACUUGAAUUCAAAGUAGGUGACUAUGUGUACCUCAAGGUCACGACAAUGAAGAAAGUUCAGCGUUUCCGAGUUCGAAGCAAGCUAGCACCCAGAUAUGUCAGACCGUACCAAAUACUAGAAAGGAAAGGCCCUGUGGCCUACAAGAUUCAGUUACCUGAAGAGUUGAGCUCGAUCUUUCCGGUCUUCCAUGUGUCGCAACUGCGGAAAUGUUUGAAAGUACCUGAGCAAAGAAUUGAACCUCGAGGGAUCAAAAUAAAAGCAGACUUAGAGUAUAAGGAGCAACCAGUGGGAAUUGUGGAUACCAAGGAACGGGUAACUCGAAACAGAAUUGUCAGAACUUAUAAGGUGGUGUGGAGUCAUCAUGACGAUAGGGAUGCCACCUGGGAAACAGAGGAUUACUUGAAAACAGUUUAUCCAAAAUUUCAUAAGAAAUGGUUAGUAACCCAAAAUCUUGGGACGAGAUUUCCCUAAGAGGGGAAGGGCUGUAACACCCUAGGUGUUAAGCAUGCAUUUAGCCCUAUCACAACAUGCAUAAGUAUUCUCAUCAAGCAUAGCAUCAUGAGCAUGUCAUUCAUCCCAAAGCAUGAUUUUAUGUGCUUUAUUUCAUGUGUUUUAAUUAUGCUAAAAAUAUGAUGCUUGCUUCUAAAAAUGUGAAAUAUUCAAACGAGGUUGAUUUAUGUGUAAGAAGAAUUUAGAGUAUUUUUGUGAAAUUUUUGGAGCUAUGGAAUUUGAGAAAUGGAAUUUAUACAAAAAUUCCCAAAUUGAAUUUAUUUAAAAACCUAGAACUAGUUUUAAUUUGUAAUUCAAAUUCUAUUUGGAAUUUGGUCUUGCUUAUUAAAACAAAGUUGUAGGGUUUUUAUUUUGGAACAAUUUUGCUUUUGGGAGCAAGAGGUGAAAAUGAUUUUAAAUUGGUCCAAAUGAAUUUAGAAGAGUUUUGGAGAAAAGAAAUUCAAAAAAAAAAUAGAAAAGGGGCAGGCGCUGCCGGGCCAACCCCGCCUCCCUUUCGGCCCAGCGAGCGGCCCGGCCUGCCUCUUGGUGCGUUAUUGCCGAUCAGAGAGAUCGGGCCCGAUGAAAGGUGUUCGAUCGGCCUUCUGCUCUGGCUGACUGUCGGUGGUGUACGGUCGACCUUUGUAAAACGGAGGGAGUAAGUUCCCGAUAAGAAUGAAAGUAAUAGAAUAAUUGAGGCAUCGGUUGAAAACUUACAUAGUUCUCGGGGACUUUGUACUUGGAGUCAAUCAUAUCACGGUAUGUAAGGGCUGAUCAACAGAAUAGGUGCUCUUUCCACUCCGCCCACCAUUGUUUGUAUGCCUGGGAAAUGAAGAGAGCUGGGAUCCAAGCUGAUAAAUCAAUGUCUGACAUAUCGGCAUUUGGUGGUAGUUGAGCUAUUCUGAUCCACUCAAGACCGCUGGUUAUGAUCUCCCUUGGCUUCACCACAUCGGCGUAGCAGAGUGCAAUCGGCAGCUGUCCAAAGGCCAGUUGACGAGCCAAUGUCGAUGGAUUGUAGAACUCAUAGGUGAGAUUGGUGUUGACGGUUCUUAAGUAUCAAUUUUAAUUAUCAAAUAAACAAGAGAAAGGACCAAUAUGCAACCAACACCUAGAAUUAGGGUUUGAUCUGACAGAAUUCCACGAGUUUUGCUGUUUAUCUAUUUCUGCAGGGGGUUAUCAGGAAAUAAGGAAGAAAGGCCCACAUGUCGGGAUUACAUAGAGAUAUCAACGCACUGCACGAUUUUCUACCAUCUAGAAGACUCCAGAAGCCACGGGAAGAAGACAGAGGCCGAAAGGGGCCAGGCCCAGGGCGCCCGUCCUGAGGACAUGGGCGCCCGCCCCCUCCUAUACUCCGUUCGGGACUCUCUUCGCAUACGAUGUUCCACCGACCUAAUGGAUCAAAGAUAACGUAGUACCACCUCGCCUACCGACCCAAAAAUGCAUAGAGGAGGAGGACUAUAUAAGGAGACCCCCCUGGCCCUGGAGAAGACAAGAAGUUAUCAUAGAGAUUGAGGGGUGCCCUCGAAGGAAAACCUCUUCUCUAAUUAAUAUUUCUUUUUAGGCUUAGCAACCAAUGUAAGUAGAAAUAGAUCUUCUAGUUUCUACUAGAUUGAGAGAGAUAGAGUGGAGGUGUGGAUCGGAGAAAGGCCGGCCUGUCGGUGUCUACUCCGAGCUUGUACCUGCGGGAUCAAGUUCUCCUAACCCGAGGCUUGCUCAUAGGAUUCUUCAGUAUUUUGACUUCUAAAUUCUAGUAAGUUCUUAUUAUAUUGUUCUUUUGGUUUAUGAGUUUACUUUAAUCUCUUCGCGUAGAGUUUAGAGUAAUCGUUGCUGGCGUAAACGUGGUGUUUAGGCUGGGGUACUCAUAGAUAUUCCCUGACUAGCUAGACCAUAGUAGUAGUGAGGAACGUGACAAUUCUGAGUUACCAUUGCAGACCAUAUCUCGUUACCAGGAAGGAUAGGGUUCAUAGGUGCGGGUUGAACAUCCUUUGUGGUGUCUAGAUUCUGUUAGCCUCCCCGAUUGAACAGUAGAUCAUCCUUGCCAAGGUUAGAAGGAGACUACAGUUGCAGUCUUCUCUAUUUAUCACUCACAUCGAGAACAUUCUUUGUUGCCUAAAGGGUUAGUAGUAAUACACCGGUUAGUCAGAUGCACUCUUUCUCCUAGUGGUAAAAAAAUAAAUACGAUACUCUGGAUUACCUCCCGGGUGAAGUGCUCACCGAUAUCCGUGCGCUUGCGGAUCAAUUCCUUAUUGCGUUCCCAAAUAUCAACUAGCAUUUCUGGCGCCGUUGCCGGGGAGAAAGACGGUUUGCUGAGAUAACCUUGAGUCUUACUAAUAACUUGUAUCUAUACUUUUAUCUUUUCUUAUCUUUUAUAUUCUUUGUUUAUUUUCUUUAUUCUUAUCUUAUGGAAAACUAAAAUUCUAAAUCGAUCCAUGAAUCUGCAAUCCCUUCAGUAACUGACCUUUUACCAUGGGAGUCAUCACAGCCUAUCCAAACAUCCCAGUAUAAGUCAAGUUCUAGGUUGAUUGCCAUGAUUCAAAACUUAUCUUUUUCGGGAAAGGAAGACAAAAACCCUUAGCUUCAUAUUAGAGAUUUUGAGCAAACAUGUGAUUGUCUUCGCAUUGAAGGCAUUUCUGAUAAAACUUUACGCUAGACAAUGGUACAGUGAGAAGGUAAGUCAACAACGAGGUGAAUGGGGAGUUUUACGAGCCAACUUUUGUCUAGAUUUUUAUUCCCUCGACCGUAUAGCCGACCUUAGACUCGAAGUCCUAUCUUUUAAACAAAAAGAUAAUGAAACUUUGGGAAAAUCCUAGAAACGUUUUUCUGAUCUUUUAGAAUCUGGUCCGAACCUUAAUCUUGAAGACCCUGUUCUUCUAUUUCACUUUUUUCGAGGUCUUCAAAAAAAUCACAAGCAAAUGCUACACACAAUGUCUAGUGGUUCUUUCUUUCGCAUCCCUACUGAUGAAGCUAGAGUGAUCCUUGAUAGAAUCCUAGAAGCUGAGAUGGUUAAUACCCUUCAUGAUGAAACCUACGAAGUAGACACUCUGCCAAAUUCUUCAUCUACUUUAGCUAUCCCAAGUUCUGAGCCACAAGAGGAAGAAAUUCCACCACCGAACUUCAUGCUGGAUAUAGAAUCCGAUCUUUUUGCCGAUUUUGGAAACAUUUCAAACUACCAUUCUGUUGACAAACCCCAAAACGGCCAGUUUAGCAUUUAUUUGCCAAGUGAAUAUCAAUUGAGAGAGCUUAUCUCAGUCAUGAGUAGCGAAUGGUUGGAGGAAUCAGAGCUUUCCUCUGAUGUGAUCUGUUUGGACACACCCUCUAUAACUAUACGCUGCGCUUAUAAUUCUGAUCGAUUUAAUGCUCUUUAUAAUCCUAUUGUGGGGAUCAACAUCAUGUCUGAAUCUUUUGCACUUAAACUAUUUAAAAAUCUUGUCUUAACCCCCACAACAAAGGUAAUAAAGGAAUCUUUGGGACGAUUAGUCCCCAGUCUUGGAAUUAUUAAUGUCCUACCUCUUACGGUAGAAGGCUCCAUGGUUCAUUUGAACUUCUAUAUCUUUGAUACAUGGGACUUCGACCUGUUGAUAGGACAACCUUUUAGAAGACUCCUUUUCGAAGGUCAUACUGGAAAGCUACACAUUUCUUUUGAAAAAGCCUUUAAAUUCCCAAUAACAAUUUCACACUCGUUGAAUAAUAAGACCGAGUCAUAUCUUUUGCCUGAUCCUAUGGAGGAGGUAAAGGCUGCAUCUCUAGAGCUUUUAGAAGAAUCAGACAUAGAAGACGAAACUCCUUUCUUCAUUGAAGAAGCCGAACCUUCUGAACCUGAACCCUUAGAUGAGUUUGCAGAAACACCUAGACCCCCCAUAGAGCUUAAAACUGUACCACCCGGUCUUAUCUAUGCUUUCCUAAACAAUAAUCCAGAAUUUCCUGUGAUCAUUAGUGAUAAACUCACUCAGGAGCAAACUCUGCGAUUAAUGACCACUAGUAUAUUGCCCGUGCUAACGCUACGGUGACAUCUAAGUAACAUAUAUUAAACACUCAAUGUAUUGUUCAAGUAACUUUCAAUACAAGUGCACAUUUUCAAUAGCGCCGUAUAAAACGCCACAAACUCAUGAAAUACAUAAGGAAAAUGAUAAAUCAAUGUAUUAUUUGCAACUACCAUGUGGCAAAAAUAUGCUUUAGACAUGAACCAAUCACAUGGAAACAGACCUUUCCUCAUUUGUAAUAAUUUCUUGAUCAUCACAUGGACCGGCAAGUGCCUAGGAAGCUUGAAUCUUUGAUAGCAGGCGUUCUGAUCUAUGUAUUUUUGCCUGAACCUGAACAUUUGAUGAGAAAUUAUGGAACAAAGUAGUGACAACUAAAGGCAGAAAAAGAAUUGGUUUGCAAACAUGGUGCAUCAUGCCAAAUUAAGGAAAAUGAACUGGCUUUAGGAAUUUAGAACUAAUGCCAAGACGACACAUAAUUUGUGCCUGACAUAGUGCACAUUAAACUACCAGUACCAGAUAUAGUCCAUAAAAUUUCAGACCAGAUCAGUCCGUCUGCGUGCCGCUAAUCAACACACAAAUUAUAAAGGCAAAUACCGCAUAAUUUAAAUUAUAUACAAACAAUAAUAUAAUGUGACUAUUGGUGGAGAGAAUAUAAAUUAACUACUUUUAAGGCUCUUCUAAAAUAGCAACAAAGAUGGUCAAAUGACCCAAGGACCAUCUACAUAUCCUAGUAUAGACCUUGAAAAUACUUGCAAGUAGUGAGCACCUGGCAAGAAAAUAGUAAUUCCAGAAUAUAUUCAACCAUCUUAAAUUUCCAAUACUGAAUAUUCCUCCACAUGAAACUGGCAAAGAAAACACUGUUCAACCACUUCAUCAGGGCCCAAAAAAGAAGCAAUUGAUCUCAAUAUUCACGGAUCAGCAAAGGUAUAAUACCAGACCAAUAUUGAGUAUGAACCUGAUGCCAAUCUUCAAAGACCAGACCAGACCAGCCAGAUUAAGCCUCCUUUAUUCUCCUGUACCCCAAGUACAUAUACCUAAAAGUUGCAGAAAAGUGCACAACAAAGAACAAGUGCACUUCAUUAGUGCUGAUUAGUGCUGGUAUGAUAUGCAUUUUUUUCACACAAUAAAAUAAUUCUCAAAUUUAUACAAACUAUUGCCAGACAUUGUCUUCAACAUAUAUGGUCAAGUGCAUAUCCAGAGCAUCAUAUAUCUUUGAUAUUUAAUACACUGAACCACCAAAUUUACUGCCCAGACAUAGUGAUUGGAAUUCAAGCAGAAAAUAGAUCGGAUAAUAACAUUAUAAAGCUACACUAAAAUACAAAAUAGCACAUAUCCUUUCUUUGCUUUAUCAUUAUUUUUUAAAUUAGUUCAAGGAAUCAUAAGACAGUAGUAAAAUACGGUACCAGGAAUUUUUAGUGUUAGUUAAAACUACAAGGGCUUAUAUUUUCCUAGAAGCAAAUACAUUUUCACAAACACAGUGAGAUGGGAAGUCAAACAGGAAGCCGAUGUAGCAGUGAACACUAAUGUCCUCAGGUACAACUCCUUUGUUCAGCUGGUCUCUCACGUGUUCCUCUUGGUCAUUCUCUAGAUUAAUGUGAAAGAUCCCCUCAGCCUGAAAUUGUAAUGCAGGAAACUUUAGGGUCAUGGUUUCACUACUUGAUACAUUUGUAAGGGGAAGUAAAUUUACCAGGCACUUGCUGGCUGAUAGAACAAUUCUGAAACAAAUGCAAACACUGUAUCUUCCCCUUUCCUGGUAAGUAGAAAACAACACAUGAAACAGAAAUUUUGCAGACACAUACUGAAGACAAACAAAUUCAGAUCAAUUGUAGACCAAGUAUACUGACCAUCAUCUAUACGAUGUGUACUAUGGUGCUUGUGCAGCCAUGCUCAACAGAUUUGUGAUUGUGAAAAAAUUUGCUCAUGUACCAGUCCACACAUGAUUCUUGGCACUUGAGAUAGCCAUCAAAAGGCACAUACGUUCUAGGAUGGCCUUGUUAAAGUGUGGGGCAAGAUGGCAGCACCAAAUAUGCAGUUGUGUGCAGGUCAGCUGAGCGUGCAUUUUAUGACAACUUUUAAUUGAGAACCAGCACCAUAUUUAAGCUUGACUUAUAUAAAACCAUCGAAUUGGUGCUGGAGAAAUAUACAUAUUAGAAUUGGAGAGAAAAACAGUAUUGUUACCGCACAACCCUUGCUCCUCACGACCAACGGCUGACCCCUAGAGCCCUUAUUCCUAUAAAGAAGCAGAUGAGCUACACUCUCUUGAGAGAAAGGAGAUACCUAAGAAUUAAUUCAGCAGCUGCAACAGGAGACCAUAACGCAAAUUAAUAUAUGCUUGAGUUGCAUAAGCGAAUGGGAAGGAGAGCUCUUUGAAUUUCGCAAUAUAUUCUACAAUAGGCUGGAACCAUCCAGGAAAGAAAUUCAGAACAAGAUAUUCUCAUGCAUGAAGACUUAAUAUUUUAAUUAACUAUGCAUUUCAGAGUUUUUUGCCGUGAAUAGAUAGCAAUUAGCAACUAUGCAUUUUACCUGAUACUUGUCGCGAAUGAGAGCCAAAUGGAGGACACCAUGUCCUUGAAUAAUUCUGGUGAUCUCGAACAAAGCAUAAGGGCUACCACCCAAAAAGCAUUAGUCGAUGGUUCAGGCUCCCUGCUCAGUAGUUACACCUGAGAACAGUCCACCAGCCGGACAAGAUGAAACCAUAGCAGCUCAGCCAAGAAUAUUUUAGAUUAAGUUGAGAGUAAAUAUUUUUAGUCAACAAGAAUACAUAUAUCAGACACAUUAUAAUCAAACAUAUUUUCUACAUAAUAUCAUAUACCAAUUUCAAAUGGAUGAAACUCACCUCCAGAUUGUGCGCUACUAAGAUAUAUCCCCUUUUGUGAGUGGGACUGGCUUGAGAGUAUACAAGCAAGGCUACUACUAUGCUCUUGAUGAACUAAUGAAAUUGAAAUCUUCAUCUACGAUGAACACAACAGGGGCAAAUGAAAUUUAGUAACCAUAUGUGCACUAUCAUGUACAAGCUAGUAAAUGGAGGCAUCAUUAUCUUCUAAGCCAGUACCAAAAGAAAAAUAACAUCCCUUUAGCUAAAAGCAUGAUUGGAGUGAGAACCCAAUCACCAAAAAAUAUACAGAAAAUUCACAGAAGAGGAUUGAGAGGACGACCUGGCUCAUGUCCGCCGCUGCCGUGGUGGCGAGGAAGCGCACUGGUACCGUUGCUGCAGUGCUUGCUGCAUUAGGAGCACCUGCUGCUGUUGGUGGCUGCCCCCGGUGCCGUUCAUCUCCUCUAGCUCCUCCAGUGACACGACGACCAAAUCAGAAUCCGAGGUGGACCAAGCCCACGCACUAAUCGAUUCACGAAUCGGUAGACUGAGGAGAGCAAAUAGAUCCAUAGUGCACCCUGAACGGCACAAACCCUAGCGAUGGACUGAGAAACAGGAGGAGGAGCUUCACCGGCGCAGGAGUUAGUGACGUCGACGGAGUACUUCCCUGUCUGUGGCGGCAGCUGCCCGCGGCGUCCGUAUGCGGCGGCGGCGGCGGCUGUCCGCGCCGUGCGUCCGCGUGCAGCAGCGGCGCUUGGCUUGCGUCCGUGGCGGUGUGCUGCCCUGGCCUGCGGCGUGCGUCCUCGGCGGCGGUUGCCCGAGGCGUGCGUCCGCGGAUGCCCUACCGCCGGCGUGCGGCGUGCUGGCUGCGUCCUCGGUUCUGGUGGAUGAACUAAUGGCGCUGGAGACUGGAGAUAGGGUAACCUCGGGGAGAGGGAGAGUCGCGUCGGGGGUGGGCGGGUUUAGCCGAUGAUUGAUGAUGAAGAAGUGUUGAGGUUUGAUCCCAGCGAUCUCGUCCGUCAGAUGUGAGUGAGUAAGAGAAAAGACAGAUUAGAGUGAAUCUUGUCUCUUAAUUUUAAAAGAUACAGCUUUCUGGGUGCAAUUUUUUGGGUGUAAUUAGUGUAACUUAUGACUGUAGUAGUAGGUUACAGGGUGCAUUUAGCUAAGUUUAGAACUGGUGGAUUAUAUAGUAGUGGAGAAUUCUUGAGAAACAUCACUCAGUUUUCGGCUACUCACUCCAAGAUCUUACAGGAAUCAGUCCUAUGAUUUGUACCCAUCGUAGUCCAACAGAUCCUUCUGUUUCACCUUCUCGAGAACCCCAACGUAGACUUAAUAACACUAUGAGAGAGGUAGUUAAAAAGGAAGUUAUAAAGUUGCUGCAUGCAGGGAUUAUAUAUCUUGUGCCGCACAGUGAGUGGUUAAGCCCAGUACAAGUUGUGCCUAAAAAGGGAGGCAUGACUGUUAUUAUGAAUGAAAAGAACGAGCUAAUUCCGCAACGCACCGUCACAGGAUGGCGGAUGUGCAUAGACUAUAGAAAAUUAAACAAAGCCACGAGAAAGGAUCACUUUCCUUUACCUUUCAUAGAUAAGAUGCUAGAGCGGUUAGCAAACCAUUCGUUCUUCUAUUUCUUAGAUGGAUAUUCAGGGUAUCAUUAGAUCCCGAUCCAUCCCGAUGAUCAAAGCAAAACCACUUUUACAUUCCCAUAUGGAACUUAUGCUUACCGUAUAAUGUCUUUUGGGUUAUGUAAUGCACCAGCUUCUUUUCAAAGAUGCAUGAUGUCUAUAUUUUUUGAUAUGAUUGAAGAGAUUAUGGAAGUUUUCAUGGAUGAUUUCUCUGUUUAUGGAAAAACUUUUGAUAGUUGUCUUGAAAACAUAGACAAGGUUUUGCAAAGAUGUCAAGAAAAGCACUUAGUCCUUAAUUGGGAAAAAUGUCAUUUUAUGGUUAGGGAAGGAAUAGUGCUGGGACACCUAGUUUCCGAAAGAGGUAUUGAGGUAGACAAAGCAAAAAUUGAAGUAAUUGAACAACUACCUCCACCUGUGAAUAUAAAAGGAAUUCGAAGCUUUCUUGGCCAUGUUGGUUUUUAUCGUAGAUUCAUAAAAAAAUUUUCAUUCGUUGCUAGACCACUUACUCUUUUGCUAGCCAAGGAUGCUCCUUUCGAAUUUGAUGAUGCAUGUCUAACAUCUUUCAAUUUAUUAAAGAAAGCACUCAUCUCUGCACCAAUCAUUCAACCCCCUGAUUGGUCGUUGCCUUUUGAAAUUAUGUGUGAUGCUAGUGAUUAUGCUGUGGGGGCAGUAUUGGGACAAACUAAAAAUAAAAAGCAUCAUGCAAUUGCUUAUGCCAGUAAAACUUUGACAGGAGCUCAACUUAACUAUGCAACCACUGAAAAAGAGCUUCUGGCUAUUGUCUUUGCCAUUGAUAAAUUUAGAUCUUAUUUAGUUGGAGCUAAAAUAAUUGUUUACACUGAUCAUGCUGCACUAAAAUAUUUGCUCACUAAAAAAGAUGCUAAACCUCGCCUGAUUAGAUGGAUCUUAUUACUCCAAGAAUUUGACUUAGAAAUAAAAGAUAAAAAGGGAGUAGAAAAUUCUGUUGCUGAUCACUUGUCUAGAAUGUAUUUUAAGAGUCCACAGGAAACCCCCAUCAAUGAUUCACUCCAGGACGACAUGCUCUACGGGAUUAACAGGUCUGACCUCUGGUAUGCAUAUAUUGUUAAUUUUAUGGUUUCAGGGUAUGUACUGCCACGAGCAAACAAGAAGAAGCUUAUUCAAGAAAGUCGUUCACAUAUAUGGGAUGAGCCAUACCUCUUCCGAGUAUGCUCUGAUGGCUUACUCAGGAGAUGUGUGACCACUGAGGAAGGAUGGAAGAUCAUCGACAGAUGUCAUUCAUCACCAUAUGGAUGUCACUAUGGAGCAUUCCGUACACAUUCAAAGAUCUGGCAGUGUGGAUUCUACUGGCCUAUAAUGUAUGAAGACACGAAGCAAUAUAUCAGAAGAUGUGGGCCAUGUCAAAGGCACGAAAACAUAAAUACAAGGGAUGCAAUGCCACUCACCAACAACCUUCAGAUUGAGCUCUUUGAUGUCUGGGGAAUAGACUACAUGGUUCCAUUUCCUCCAUCAAAGAAGUGCGAGUACAUCUUGGUGGCAGUUGACUAUGUCUCCAAGUGGGUAGAGGCACUACCUUGCAAGCAUGCCGACAACAUCAGUUCAAAGAGGAUGUUUGAAGAAAUUAUAUUUCCAAGAUUUGGAGUCCCCACAGUAGUGAUAAGUGAUGGAGGAGCACACUUCAUCGACAAACGCUUCAAGCAAUAUCUAUCAAAACAUGGAAUCUGUCACAACGUCGCUACCCCCUAUCACCCUCAGACAAGUGGCCAAGCAGAGACUUCCAACAAGCAAAUCAAAAAUAUUCUUCAAAAGGUAGUAAAUGAAAUGGGAACGGCGUGGAAAGACAAGUUACCCGAUGCACUCUGGGCAUACCGGACAGCAUACAAGACCCCAAUUGGAAUGUCUCCAUACCAAUUGGUGUACGGGAAGACUUGCCACCUACCUGUUGAACUAGAGUUCAAAGCACACUGGGCCAUAAAGAGAUGGAAUAUGGACCUAGAUGUUGCUGGAGAUUAUAGAAGAAUGCAACUAUCAGAAUUAGAAGAAUGGCGAGAGAAAGCAUAUCACAAUUCAAGGAUCUACAAAGAAAGAGUCAAAAGGUGGCAUGACAAGAGAAUCAAGAAGAAGGAGUUCACACCCGGAGAUAAGGUAUUACUUUUUAAUUCUAGGGUGAAGCUUUUCGGGCAUGGAAAACUCCAGAGCAAAUGGGAAGGACCAUUAAAGGUAAUUAAUUCAUCAUCCCACGGAGCUAUGACACUUCAAAACGACGAAGGUACGUUAUUCAAGGUAAAUGGUCAACGUCUUAAAUUAUUUUUAGAGCCCAAUAAAGAAUUAGAAGAAAUAGACGUAGUCCAUUUUUACCUUCCCAUGGAGAAUUAGAGCCCGACACUUUUAAUCUAAUGUUUUUGGGUCAUAUAUAUAUUUUUCUAAAUAGUUUUGCAUCUAGUAACACGCUCGAGAAAGUGGGCCCACAGAGGGGCCAGAGAGAGGGCGGGCGCCCAGCUCCUGUUCCCCCUCGGUCCCGAUUUUCUCUAUUAUGGAAAAUGCACUUAUGGUAAUCCGAAUAAUCCCUCAGAUGGAAAGUUUCGCACGCACAUCGACGGGAGCAACCAGAACAACCCUUAGAGGCACUUUUUGACCCCUAUAUAAAUAGACCCCAGACAUCAGUUUUCAAACACCAAACCACCAAGCCUUCUCUUCUUCUUCAAUUAGAGCUUCAUUAGUUCCUCGCUGCUCCAAUGGCCGAGAAGUUCCACGAUGUUUGGGAAGUCGUCCCCUUCAACCUCAACAUGGAGCCUGUGGAAGACCCCGAUGCCCGUGCUCUCGUCUCGGCCAACACAGAGCGACAGCUAGAAGCCAUGCCAUUACGCCAACGCAGCUCCGCCUAAUCCUAUCAUGCUCAACCAGUUCUCACCGCACCGCCACAACCCCUACUCCUCAAGGGAUCAUCAUCCAAGACGAUGACCACCAUCAAGGUGCCAACCGGCACAAGGAUCCUUCCACCUAGACCCAAUGAGAGGGUCGUUGGAGUCAAGACCAACUGGAGCGGCGAGAUCAGCAGUAUUCGCUACACUACAGAGGAGGAAAGGCCUUACUUCGAAAUGAUUAGAGCAGCCAAAGUCCGUUUCAUCCCUCCAAAGGCAGCCCCGAAGCACGCUCUCAAUGCUUUUGAGACACCUCCCAAGCGUCGCAAAACUAUAAUGGAUAUCGAUGAGGAUGUUCGCAGAUUAGACAAAGUUAUCAUAGACCUCCAGUCCUCGAUUAAUUCCCUCACUAGGCAGCUCUCUAAACACAACACUAUUAUACUAGGCCUUAGGCAUGAUCUUGCCAGUGCCAACAAGAAGAUUAAGGAAUUAGAGCACCGCUAAGUUAUCUAGAUUAGACCUUGAGGCAAAUGCAUCUUAGUUAUCUAUCUUUAAAUUCGGUUUAGGUUUACUAUUAUCAUCAAUUUACUAUCAGUUUACAACUAGUCUUUUGUAAUAAAUGCCUCAAAGUUAAUAAAGAGUAUUAUUAUUAUUAUGUCUUGUGUGUCUCUACUUUAUUUUUGUGCAAGAAAGCAGAAAACAAGUAUGGGGGAGAUCCCUCAACAUGCCAAACACACUCCGACUACACCACUCCACGAUUCAGGUACACACUCUGCACACUUUACUUUAUACAUACACAUAUCUUGAUUAUGCAGAAUAUUGUUUCCAACAUGAAAAAGAUUAAAAUAUUUCUAAUCAUGAUUAAUCUCAUUCUGUGAUAUUUCCUGAAACUUGUAACUGUUAUAAAAUCAUUUUAAAACCCUGUGUUACUUAAGACAGUAUGAAAUGUGAGAUGGUAGAGUAUGAGUUCUUAUUCUUGAUAUCAUUGUUACUUGGAGAAUUUAUUUCAAAAUCUUCAAAAGUCUAGCUGCCAUCCUCAGUGUUUUAUAUACCUAUUCAAACUGAAAAUAUUAAUUAUGAUUGUAAAAGCUAUCUACUCUGUAUUGAGUUUGUUCAAAAUGAGUUAGACCCUUGUUGACAGAUUUAUCAUGCUCCUAAGAUCAAGACAUUUAUUCAGAAAGAUUCACUCUUCCGAAGUAUUAUUGCAUUAGACGCAUGGGCUAUGCAAAAAUAAAGAUAUUUCGAGGAAAUAAAAAGGAGCAAGUGCUCGAUAACCUCGCAGAAAAAAUGGACAAGUGUUCGGCAGUAGAAUUAGGGGUACCUCAGUAUCCACUUAAAAAAAGAGAAAGAGAAAAAGAAAAUGAUAGCCCAUGGUCCCUCUAAUAAGCAAUAUGCCAGCAAGAGUUGACAAAGAUUUUAAGUUCCAAAGUCUUUGAUCUAAGAGUAUGACAUUCCCCUCGGAUCCCGUUUUGAUCAGGCAAUAAAUACAAAGUAAGUAUGCUUGAGAAUUUUUGCAAAAUCAAAACAACCUCAGUGAGAUAUAUAAAAGAUAAUGAGUGAUCUGAGAGAACCUAUGAGGAUAAAAAGGAAUGCUAACUUUCUUUCAAAAAUAUACAAAAACUCCAAGUGACAGGAUUGAGAAGAAAGGAUCUUUACUCUUAACUAUAUACUUCCCUGACUAUAGUACACAGUGGAAUUUUAACACCGUGCAGUUAUGAAAAGAAUGUUUUAAAAUGUUUUACCCCAAAUAUUGUUCUUAACCAUCCUUUUCUCGAGGACGAGUAAAAGCCUAAGUAUGGGGGUAUUUGUUGACGGUUCUUAAGUAUCAAUUUUACUUAUCAAAUAAACAAGAGAAGGACCAAUAUGCAACCAACACCUAGAAUUAGGGUUUGAUCUGACAGAAUUCCACGAGUUUUGCUAUUUAUCUGUUUCUGCAGAGGGUUAUCCGGCAAUAAGGAAGAAAGGCCCACAUGUUGGGAUUACAUAGAGAUAUCAACGCACCGCACGAUUUUAUACCAUCUAGAAGACUCCAGAAGCCACGGGAAGAAGGCAGAGGCCGAAACGGGCCAGGCCCAGGGCGCCCGCCCUGAGGACCUGGGCGCCCGCCCCCUCCUGUACUCCGUUCGGGACUCUCUUCGCACACGAUGUUCCAUCGACCUAAUGGAUCAAAGAUAACGUAGUACCACCUCGCCUACCGACCCAAAAAUGCAUAGAGGAGGGGGACUAUAUAAGGAGACCCCCUGGCCCCUGGAGAAGACAAGAAGUUAUCAUAGAGAUUGAGGGGUGCCCUCGAAGGAAAACCUCUUCUCUCAUUAAUAUUUCUUUUUAGGCUUAGCAACCAAUGUAAGUAGAAAUAGAUCUUCUAGUUUCUACUAGAUAGAGAGAGAUAGAGUCGAGGUGUGGAUCGGAGGAAGGCCGGCCUGUCGAUGUCUACUCCGAGCUUGUACCUACGGGAUCAAGUUCUCCUAACCCGAGGCUUGCUCCUAGGAUUCUUCAGUAUUUCGACUUCUAAAUUCUAGUAAGUUCUUGUUUUAUUGUUCUUUUGGUUUAUGAGUUUACUUUAAUCUCUUUGCGUAGAGUUUAGAGUAAUUAUUGCUGGCGUAAACGUGGUGUUUAGGCUGGGGUACUCAUAGAUAUUCCCUGACUAGCUAGACUGUGGUAUAAGUGAGGAACGUGACAAUUCCGAGUUACCUUUGCAGACCAUAUCUCGUUAGCAGGAAGGAUAGAGUUUAUAGGUGCGGGUUGAACAUCCUUUGUGGUGUCUAGAUUUCGUUAGCCUCCCCGAUAGAACAGUAGAUCAUCCUUGCCAAGGUUAGAAGGAGACUACAGUUGCAGUCUUCUCUAUUUAUCACUCACAUCGAGAACAUUCUUUGUUGCCUAAAGGGUUAGUAGUAAUAGACCGGUUAGUCAGAUGCACUCUUUCUCCUAGUGGUAAAAAAAUAAAUACGAUACUCUGGAUAACCUCCCGGGUGAAGUGCUCACCGAUAUCCGUGCGCUUGCGGAUCAAUUCCUUAUUGCGUUCCCAAAUAUCAACAAUUGGAAGCUUUCCCACUACCAAAGAAGUUCACUGGUAUAGCUCUCGGAGUGAUAAUUGCCAUCAUCAGAUCAUGGUCCUUGUUGAGGGCAUUAUCAAAGGGUGGAAAGUGAGAGGGAAUCUAGUGACUGGAUCCUCAUAAGGCAUCCAUGCCCAUUGGUCUUUGGCUAGACCUUCAUAGAGAGUUUGAAAGAAUCGGCUGACCUGGUCUUCAUUACCACCAGUACCAGGUAGGACUAUGGCAGCCUCACCAUAGUUCAAAGGGGAGCGAGUUGCCGAUUCUUCCUCAUCCAGUUCAUAAUCUUCGGCUAUAUCUCUGGGAAAGUGUUGUGAGAAGAGGUUGAAUCCGAGGUGCUUAUGCAUGUGAACGCUGAGCCACAUAUUGAUAAACCACCAGGGGCCUCCCAAGUUGCCGAUAGGUUGGCCUAGUAGGAGUUUCUCAGCUACCUGAUGGAGGAGGUGAUAGACAGAGCCUAGCAAAUAUCGGCCAAGAGGAAAUCGGCCACCAUUGGCCAGUCUUUCUGCUGCCAAUAGAUAAAUUGAGGUUGGCCCUACCGAUCGAUCGCAGAAUACGAACAUAUCUAGCCACAUAUUCAGAAAAAUGGCAUGUUCCCUUUCCCCGACAGAUCCUAUUUUUUGGUACUUCUGAAUGUACCCAGACCAACCGUCGAUGCUGCGAGUUUCCACCUUAGAACUAGGUUUAUUAUCAAACAAAUGACUGCUAUCGGCAGUAGACAUAUCUAAGCCAGUGAGCAUGAGCACGUCGACGAGAGUAGGAGAAGCAGGACCAUGGCCGAACACAAAAGCAUUAAGGGUGUCUGACCAAAAGUAUGAGGCAGCUAUCAGCAGCGACUCGUUCCUCUCCAUAUCGGCAAUGGAUAGCCUAAUGCACUGAUCCAAUUUCCGUUCACCCCAUUGGACUUCAUUUGAAUUGCCGAUUCUCAGGAACCAGUCUUUCCAUCCCUUGGAGGGGCUAGGCCAGGAACGGAAAGCAUCUUUCCACAGAUCUAAGGAGAAAUUUUCAGCUCUAAAAGGGAUCCUACGUUUAUUAGAUUGGUGGGAUCUGGGUUUCCCAAUGGACCGAGGCACUGGAAGUGAGGUUGAUCGGUAGGAAUCACGAUCUUAUCGGCCAACUCCUAAAGGGUUUAGAGGGUGAAGGAACAAAAAGGAGACAAAAAAAGGAGAAAAAAGGGUACUCAGUAAAUAGAUUUGCAGAUGAACAGGAGUACAGUAAAAUUAUAAAAAGGGCGAUAGUAUAUUGACCUCAGGGACGACGAAGUUGAUGGCCAUUCCUUCCCGGAAGAAGGAAGAGAUCGAAGACUCAGAGGAUUGCUGAAGGAAAUCCUGGCCGGAGUUCUUGAGGUUCUCGAACAGUGCCGUCGCCAGGAGGGUGGAUUUGAGGCCGUAGAAUACAAGAUGGAGGAAGAGUACCGGAGAAGGAGGUAUUUAUAUGACAAAAAGGGCAAGGGUAGGUCUGACUUAUCUCUUUGCCGCAUCCAUGAAAUCCGAGGGUGUUCAGGUGGAUAUGGUAACUGUUCGCAUGAUAAUCAAGGGAUUGCGCAGAUGAUUUGACAGCAAGCGGCCGUCUUAAUGAUAUCUUACUGUGUAAGAUCGCCUAGUUGGUUCAUCGGCAGUCCUCUUUAACGGUAAUAUUGCCGAUGAGCGCAUUAAGGGAAGAUUCGGUUCGAGAAGUUGGGAAAUUCGAGGUACAUGCUGUAAGACCAUGUAACACCCUAGGUGUUAAGCAUGCAUUUAGCCCUAUCACAACAUGCAUAAGCAUUCUCAUCAAGCAUAGCAUCAUGAGCAUGUCAUUCAUCCCAAAGCAUGAUUUUAUGUGCUUUAUUUCAUGUGUUUUAAUUAUGCUACAAAUAUGAUGCUUGCUUCUAAAAAUGUGAAAUAUUCAAACUAGGUUUAUUUAUGUGUAAGAAGAAUUUAGAGUAUUUUUGUGAAAUUUUUGGAGCUAUGGAAUUUGAGAAAUGGAAUUUAUACAAAAUUUCCCAAAUUGAAUUUAUUUAAAAACCUAGAACUAGUUUUAAUUUGUAAUUCAAAUUCUAUUUGGAAUUUGGUCUUGCUUAUUUAAACAAAGUUGUAGGGUUUUUGUUUUCGAACAAUUUUGCUUUUGGGAGCAAGAGGUGAAAAUGAUUUUAAAUUGGUCCAAAUGAAUUUAGAAGAGUUUUGGAGAAAAGAAAUUAAAAAAAAAUAGAAAAGGGGCAGGCGCUGCCGGGCCAACCCCGCCUCCCUUUCGGCCCAGCGAGCGGCCCGGCCUGCCUCCCCCUCCCCCUCUCUCCCGCACGCGGACGCCCGCCUCGCCCCAGCCAGCGCCGGCCACGUGGCGGCCGUACGCCGGCGAGGAGCGCGCCGCGGCCGGACUCCAACCCCCCUGGUCGGGACGCCGGCUCGGGCUCCCAGGCCAUUCCCUCCCUUCUGUCGCGCGCGCCCUUCUCCUUCCUCCCUCCGCUCGCACCGCGCAGCAACAGCAGCUCCUCCGCGCGCCAUUGCCGGAGAAAGCCCCGCCGCUCGCCGCCGACCGCACCAGAGCCUCAAGCUCACCGCCGAGAGCACCAGCGCCUUCGUCAUCGUUAGGGUAAGCUUGUGCGCGCGUUCUACCAAGGUGAGAGUCCGUCGAGCACCGUGAAUCGCUCGCCGGAGUUACCCCGAGCUCGCCGGAGUAUUCCGCCGAGACGGAUCUUGUGUUUCUCUGCCUCUUUUCGCUGGUUCUUGGGUGCGCUAGGUCGGUAGGGUGGUGAGGAAGCUCGGAGAGGCAUUUGCGCACGCUCUACCGCGCCGGAGCAGCCUGGCCACGGCGAGCAGCGCCACCGUGCCGCCAUGCAUGCUCGUCGGAGGUGUUCCGGUCAUCCUCCGGCCAACCCGAGGGUACCGCUAGGUGCGCCUCGCUGCGGGAAGCACGUUGAUGCUUACCCCGUGGCCGGAGACCUCACCGCCGGCGAGAUCUGCUCGUCGGAGGUGAGCUCCCUCUCGGUCUCGCUGACCGGUGGGGUCGGGGACCCACUGUCACUCGCAGAGGGGACCCCGGUGGGUGUAGAUCUGGGUGCGCGUAGUCUUUUUCGUCGGUUUUCUUGAAUAAAUGAUUUCCAGAAAUUGAUUCAAAACUUGUAAAAUUCAUAUCUUGAGUUCUACAGCUCCAAAUUGGAUGAAAUAAAUUUUGGUGUGCUCUAUAUUUCCAGAUCUACAGUUUGAUGUUUUUGCAUGUCAUGUUUGAGUAACUUUUCUGAAUGAAUAUAUUUAAUCCAUGUUUUUUGCUAAACUUGGAAAAUGCAUAGUAAAUAAAAUAUGGUUCAGAAAAAUGUGAAACUUGAUUUGUUGGCUCUGCAUGUAUGUUUACUCACUGGGAAUAUAUUGCUACAUAUUAUUUGGUGUAUAAAUGAAUUUAUGGUAAUUUAAAUGCUUGCAUGGAAGUGAUUCAUGAUUUUUAAUAAUUAAUUGGAUCAUGCAAUAAAUCUGGAAAAUUUGGUGGGUGUUUCUUAUGAUAUUAGACAAAUUGUAAAAAUAUGAAAUCUGUUGUUUGACACUUAUAUCACAGUAGAGUGAUUAUACUUACCCUAUGAAUUAAUCUUGUGAUUUUUGUGGCUCAAAAUAAGUAUCCAAAAAUUAUGAAAAAGUUACAGUAGACUUUAUGCUUAGCUGGUAGUCUCCUGUAAUUUUUGUGGAAUUUAUUGAUGAACAGAACCGCAUGCAAAUUUUGAUGGCCUAGAAAUGAAUAAAGAAAAUUAUGAAUUGUUAUGUGUAGGUUAAAUAGAAUAAGUUUGGGUUUGGUGUAUCUUUGAAGCAUCAUGUGGGUUGCUGGUUGCACUUGAAAAGAAACAAUUUGUAGGAGGGAAUGCAAUAGAUGUUUGAUUCCAUUGUACGUUCUUGGAUGAUGUUGACUACCUUGUAAUGAGCAUGACCAAGUGUAUCAUCCAUGCAUCAUGUCAUGACUCCUUUGGUACUUUCUCAUACAAGCAUCCACUCGGGCAUCUCGCACUCCACUCAUAAGCACACAUGCAUCAUACAGGCUCGUAGGAGAACGAAGUGGGACCCGAGGAGAUUCAGGAGCAGGAACCUCCGGAAGCACAGGAACCCGGAGAGGAGCUGCAGGAGUGUCCGGAUCACCGACCCAGCACGUUUGAGAAAGGCAAGCCCCGGAGCAUUCUAAGUCUCCCUAUUCUCGCUAACUUAUAUGAUGCGCUAUAAUUGUUCUACUAUAUUGCAUCUAAGUGAUAGGAUUUGAUUGAUACCGUUGCUGCAUAUGUACUCCUUGUUAUCCCUACUCGUUCACCUACCUUGUCCUAUGUAGAUAGGCACGGAGUCUACGCUUAGCUUGCUUAGUCCGGUAGAAGUCGGGUGAUUUCCUGUCACCUGCGAGAAAUAGGUGGAUACCUGCUUGAUUAAGCAUUGGUUGCUUGGGGAAAAGAAUAACCAAGUGUGAAAUGUAAUUGGAGACCGGGCAGGGUCUUAUGGUGGGUUGACUAUAGUGCCCCUGCUUGUGUCGAUUAAGGACCGAUCGUUGACGGCCCUCUUGUCAUGUUGAACGCAUGCCCCACACUUAGCUGGAAGGAUAAGUCGUUCCGACCGCGAAGCCUGAACACUAUCCGAGCCGGGAAUCGAGCCGCCAUGCGCUGUAUUGGUGAUGGUUGAGGAGAACGACGAGGGCGCGGCGCGCAACCUUGGUAUACCUUGGAUACCUCGGUCGCCGGAACGGUCCUCGGGUACUGGCGGUGCCUGCCGAACCCGCGGAUUGGUCCUAGAUAGUGUAAUAUGGUGAUCUGUAGCUCACUUGAUCAGUGAGUGUGGUUUGUGUGGGGAAUAAACUCGCCAACUGGUUAGAAAUCGAUUCGAAUCGCCAUCGCUCCUAGAUAGUGAGCACUUGACAUGAGCUUCGUCCUCGUAGUAAGGACUAUGGAACACUUGGGUUAUGUUGAUGAAUGGUUUCAAGAAAUGCUAUGAUGAGGUACUAUCAUAGCCUUAUACUUGCUUGUAAUAGUGCAGGUGCAAACCUAGAUGAUAGGUAAUGAUACUUUCAACUUGAGCAAAUUAAAAGAAGAAAGACUUAUGUAGGUUAUGAUAGUAAAAUCCUGCGGUUUUGCAAAAUGGUUGUCAGCUGCCCCACUAUAUAGCCUUCAUGAUCCUUGAUGAGUCUUUAUUUUAAGUUUAUGAUGGGUAAGUCUAGCUGAGUACCUUCUCGUACUCAGGGUUCUACUCCCAUGUUGUUUUGCAGAUGGUCAAAUGUACUAUGGUUAUUGCAUCCUCUCUCUGUACCCAGCCAUGGGUGAUGACUAGACCAAGGGCGAUGGUCACUCCGUCUCUUCUUUUGCUUUUGUGGGAAUGACCGAACUAUGGCACUGUAUCAGACUAAGCGUGUGUAUUGUAUUUUCGAACUAUGAAGCUUCCGCUACUUGAAGAACUUGGGUUGUAAUAACUUUAAGAACUCCGAUGUAUUUUAUGAAUGUUGUAAUCUGGAUGUAUUUGUGAAUGGCGACCGCUAAACUUAUUGCGAUCUUGGCUGUUGUGCGAUGUGUGGUUUGAAAUCCUUCGACAUUUCACGGACUACCGGGAUUAUAUGGGCUUAAGCGUGAUGGUUUGACUAUGCAAAUGGUCACUGUUAGGCUUAAUCUCUUAUAAUUUGGACGGUUCUGUUACAGCUGGUAUCGGAGCAAGGUUUAGCGAGUUACUGUUCAUAAGUUCGUUCUAAACAAAAUCUAAACCGGUCUAAUGAAGGAUUUUAUUAAUUAAUAAUGAUCAAGGUGUUAAACUAAGUUUUGGAAAACUGUCUAGUGUGCCAUGGUCAUAUCCUUUAUGCCCAGUUAAGGACUCUAAGGUGGCUAGUUAAGUACUGACUUGGGGGUUAAUGCAUCAUAUUUUUAUUUUCGUCGCUCAUACGGCGUGCAAUAGUAUGAGUACCAUUCAUUUGAGUGGUAAUGUAUGGAUCCCUUUUUCCUCUACGCCACGGUAAGUGGGAGCUGUGAGAGCAUGAUCGGAUACACUGCCGGUCUAGGGGAGUGUUGUUAGGUACUGUGUCAUGCACACAUGUUUGGUGUGUCUUGGAAACAGUACCGCAUAUUGGGGAUUCCGUCCUGAGAGGCGAUGUCGUCAUUAGGGCGAUGAUAUGGGUAGCAACACAUCACAUGCGUGGACGGGUGUCAGUGUAUGUGGGGUGUAUAGUUUAAAAUUCUUGUUCUGCACGAUCAUACUUUGGGUGGGCUGAAAUGAAGUUUUCUGCAGGUACCCUAACCACGUUCUCGCUUAGAACGCUAGUUACGUUAUGAGAGAACGUUGUGUGCCACCGCAUAUACCGCUUAGUGUUAACCUUUGUUUCUAAGUUUGUGAGGUCGUAAGUUCGUGCAUGCAUUAUGUUCAUGUCAUAUCAUUGCUUACUUUCCCCCUUAAUUUAAUCUGUCCCAAUUCUAAAUAAAAUAAUUAAAGGUAAUCCUCGCUCUUACCCACGGUAUUCCAUUUGCAGCAGAUGGCACGCACUAGGCUCACCGCUCGCAAGUCCAUGGGUGGGCGGGCCCCUCGCCAUCCGUUGGCAGCUAGGAGCUCGCGACAUAAGAGCAAGUUCCUGGAGGAGUUUGGGAUGCCCACUUUGCUUUGGAGGGUGCUCAGUUCGAUGGGGUAUCCCGAAGGAAGGGAGCCUCGCUACUAUUGGGAUAAGGAGCCUCUUGGUGAUGAGACCCUGGUGGGGAUCGAGGCAGUUGUCCCUACCAGUGGAGGAGACCCUGCUUGGGGCGGCUGGGUGUACGAGUCCCGAGGUGUCACGCCUUUCCACGGUGCCAGCAGGGCAGCUUUCGCAGUUCUGAGGAACCUCAUGGAGAGGUUUCCACAGGAGCUGGCCUACGCCUUCGCUGGGGUGUUUCCCCGGGGUGACCCCUACACUUCGGUGUGGGAUCAGUCCGAGGUGAAUGCUCUAGAUAGGAGUGCGGAUGAGGACCAGCACAGUGACGGUGCAACUAUGAGUGCCAUGUACGCGUUGAUGAAGACCUAUGGAGGCCUGGAGCGUUGUUUGGGCCGCUUGUCCGGGUCUCUUCUCACCGUCCAGGAUGAGAAGCGUCAGUUGCAGCGUGAGUUUGACUCUGAGGUUGAGAGGCUACAGGCAGAGUUGGCCCGUGUGACCAGAGAGAGAGACCAGGCAGUCUAGAAGAACAGUGAGCUGAGUCAGGACCUGCUUGCAGUGCGAGAGCAGAGGGAUAGGGUGACCACUGCUCACAGGAACUACGAGCGCAUGCUAGUCCAUGUGCUUGGACAGAGGAAUGAAGCCUGGCACGAGGAGGACACUUUGAGGGCCCGACAGCUAGAGCUAGAGCAGCAGCUAGCUAAUGCAGAGGAGUACAAUGAGAACUUGCAUGAGGAGAUCCACCAGCUGCACAACCAGCUCCACCCUCACCACCUGCCUGGAGCAGCUGAGCUAGACUCUGAGGACGAGAUGGAUGCGGAUCCCGAGAUAGGAGCAGCUGCUAGUGGAGAUGAGGAUGAGGAUGGCUCCGACAUGGACAGUGAUCAUAGCGACUAGAUGCUAGGGCUUUAGAGCUAGUCCUUCUUCUUUUGUGUUGUAUGUUGCAUGGCAUGUCGUGUACUUUUGGAUCUGGGCUAUGUAAAACUUUAUGAGUUAAUGCUGAAAGUCCAAUGUAUGUAUGCUGGCAAGUUGGAUGUACGCGAACCUUGUUGCGUGAACGUUAAGCAAUCUGUUAGUGAUGUUGUGUGUAGAAGAUGAAUUGUUGUGCCUCUGUUUAUUGUGUGAAUUUAUUCCCUCAGUAAAUUCAGUACGGCAUGAUUCUACACAUUUCUACCGCUGAUGGCAACUCCUAACGAUUGCUUAUCAUUGACGUAUGCAGAUGGUGCAAACACGUGGCGGGCUUAACAGCAACCCGGGCCUUAGAGCAGGUACAUCCGGAGGUGGGGCUCAACGGAAUGAGGACAGAGCACCAACACCGCCAUCACCACCGCCUCCUCCGUACAAUGCAGACGUGUUCUUCGCGCAGUUUCUGGGGAGCCAACGCAACAUGGAACAGAUGCAACGCAACAUGGAAGAGGCUCUGCGCAACAUAGCUGACAACACCCGUCGUGGGGAUAACCAGGGCGGCCGAGAAGUCAACCAGUACAUUUCGUUCAAGGACUUCAUGGAUACCAAGCCACCAAUCUUCAAGGAGGCCUUGGAACCGCUCGAGGCAGAUGAGUGGAUCAACACUAUGGAGCAGAAGUUUCGUCUUCUCCGAAUGACAGAAGAACUUAAGGCUGAGUAUGCGGCACAUCAGUUGCAAGGACCCGCUGGGAUUUGGUGGUCCCAUCACCGUACCACCUACCCAGAGGGGACCCCAAUUACCUGGAACCGUUUCACCACAGCUUUCCGGGGAAAUUACAUUCCUCCGGGUGUGGUUGAAAUGAAGGUUGGGGAGUUCAUGAGGCUGUCCCAGGGGACGAAAUCGGUGAAGGAGUAUCUACAUGCUUUCAAUAAUCUCGCUCGCUAUGCCCCUGAGUUUGUAAACACGGAGGCUAAGAAGAUUGCUAGUUUCUAGAGGGGCUUGAAUCCAAAGAUGCUGAAGACCAUGGGUACAGGGGCCAGGGCUACCUUCAAUGCUUACAUCAGUGACUGUCUCACCCAGGAGAACAACAACAACUACUACAGUGCAUCCAAGUCACGUAAGAGGGCUUUUGGAGCCGGAUCAUCUCAAUCCAGGGCACCAGUGGCAGGGCGACAGCAGUAUCGUCCUCCUGCCCCAGGUGCUAGGUUCCGACCGCCGCAGAGAAGGAACACCGGGCAUCCCACACAGCAGAAGCCGUACAAGGUGGCGAUAGCCCCUGCCAAGCCAAAGGCAAUUCAAGCUGCAGCACCUGCCGUCAACAAUGCGCCUAAGGGUCCGUGCUAUAACUGCCACAAGAUGGGGCACUUUGCUAAGGAAUGUCCCUACCCCAAGAGGCAGCAGCCAACCUAUCCAGCUCGUGUGCACCAUACCUCGAUUGAGGAAAUCCUGGAAGGAGAACCAGUAACAGCUGGUAUGUUUCCUGUCAACCAACAUCUUGCAGUUGUUUUGUUUGAUUCUGGAUCAUCGCAUUCAUUCAUGAGCCAAGCAUUUGCACAAAAGCAUAGUCAACCAGUUACAGAUCUGGGUUAUGGCUACCGCAUCAGCUCAGCGGGGGCAGAUGUGUUGACCAAUAGAGUGGUUCGAGGGGCAACCCUGGAUAUAAGUGGCCGAGUAUUUCGAGUGAAUCUAGUGGUCAUGCCUGGGCUAGUUUUGGAUGUUAUUAUGGGUAUGAACUGGAUGAGAGAAUGGGAUGCCGUCAUAGAUACUGGGAAGAGGAUGUUAUCUCUCAGAGAACCGUAGGGCAGUAGCUCUUUUCAAGUACCUCUGCCCCGUCGUCUUGACUGAGGAAUUACCAGGACUUCCCCCGGAUAGGGAAGUAGAGUUUGCAAUCGAGUUGAUACCAGGUACAGCACCAAUAUCGAGAAGGCCGUACCGGAUGCCACCAAACGAACUCGCUGAGUUGAAGAAUCAACUAAAGGAGUUACUGGAUAAAGGGUUCAUCCGGCCAAGCUUGUCGGAAUGGGGUUGUCCAGCGUUGUUUGUAAAAAAGAAGGAUCAGUCAUUGCGAAUUUGCGUGGACUAUCGUCCACUCAAUGCAGUGACAAUCAAGAAUAAGUAUCCUUUGCCAAGGAUUGAUAUCCUGUUUGAUCAGUUGUCCAAGGCAAGAGUAUUUUCUAAGAUAGAUUUGAGGUCUGGGUAUCACCAAAUCAAGAUUCGUCCGCAAGAUAUCCCUAAGACUGCUUUUUCCACCAGGUAUGGGUUGUACGAGUAUCUUGUCAUGUCCUUUGGAUUGACGAAUGCUCCUGCAUACUUUAUGUACCUAAUGAAUUCAGUCUUUAUGCCAGAAUUGGAUAAGUUUGUUGUAGUGUUUAUCGAUGAUAUUCUGGUUUAUUCAGAAAAUGAGCAAGAUCACGCCGAGCAUCUGAGAAUCGUGCUGACACGAUUACGAGAGCAUCAGUUAUAUGCCAAGUUCAGCAAGUGUGAGUUCUGGCUGAAGAAAGUUCCUUUCCUAGGGCAUAUUCUAUCUGAAGAAGGGAUUGCUGUGGAUCCGUCAAAAGUGCAGGAAGUCAUGGACUGGAAGGCACCAACUUCUGUCUCGGAAGUUAGAAGUUUUCUUGGUCUGGCCGGGUAUUAUCGUCGUUUCAUACCUGACUUCUCCAAGAUUGCUAAGCCCAUGACAAGUUUGCUACAAAAGGAUCACAAGUUUGUCUGGACGGAAAGGUGUGAGUUAGCCUUCCGCACCUUGCGAAAGUUGCUAACCACUGCUCCCGUUCUGGCACAACCCAAUAUAGAAAAGCCUUUUGAUGUGUUUUGUGACGCAUCAAAGAGUGCCCUGGGGUGUGUGUUGAUGCAAGAUGGCAGGGUGAUAGCUUAUGCUUCCCGACAGUUGAGAAAGCACGAAGUCAACUACCCAACGCACGACCUCGAGUUAGCAGCAGUAGUGCAUGCCUUGAAGAUUUGGAGACAUUAUCUGCUGGGAAAUAAGUGUCACAUUUAUACCGAUCAUAAGGGUUUGAAGUACAUCUUCACUCAGUCCGAGCUAAAUAUGAGGCAACGACGGUGGUUAGAGUUGAUCAAGGACUAUGAUCUGGAAGUUCACUACCAUCCUGGCAAGGCUAAUGUGGUAGCAGAUGCGUUGAGUCGUAAACCGCACUAUCAAGUGGUUCAACCGUUGUUUGAAGAUGGGUUCAAUCUUAUGCAUCCUGAGGUCUUAUGUCACAUACAACUCAGUUGUUCACUCGAGAGUCAAGUAAUUGAAGGACAGAAAAUAGACAAGGGUAUUUUCCACAUCAAAGAAAAGAUCAAAGAUGACCCAAAAACUCAGUUUCGAGUUGAUGAGAAAGGGGUACUGUGGUUUCAACAUCGGUUAGUAGUUUCGAAAGAUCGUGAAUUGAAGAAUCGCAUCAUGGAUGAAGCCCAUCUCUGUAAGCUUUCUAUUCAUCCUAGCAGUAGAAAAAUGUAUCAAGAUCUAAGACCCCACUUUUGGUGGACCAAGAUGAAGAAAGAAAUCGCCGCAUAUGUGGCCCGUUGUGACACGUGUUGCAGAGUUAAGGCCAUCCAUAUGAAACCUGCAGGUCUGUUGCAACCGUUAUCAGUUCCAGAGUGGAAAUGGGAAGAGGUCAGUAUGGAUUUUAUCACAGGUUUACCGACCACGAGGAAGGGGAAUGACUCGAUUUGGGUAAUCAUAGAUCGAUUAACCAAGUUGGCUCAUUUCAUUCCAGUCAAGAACACAUACAGACCUCCCGAGUAUGCCGAUAUAUAUAUGGCUGAGAUUUUUAAGUUGCAUGGUAUUCCCGAGACCAUCAUAUCGGAUAGAGGACCACAGUUCACCGCUCACUUCUGGGAGCGAAUGCAUAAGAAUUUGGGAACCAGUCUAAUAAGAAGCACGGCGUACCAUCCCUAGACGUCAGGUCAAACGGAGCGGUUAAAUCAAGUGUUAGAAGAUAUGCUGAGGGCCUGUGUGCUAUCAUCCAAGGGAUCAUGGGAAUCAUGGUUACCUCUGGCUGAAUUCUCCUACAAUAACAGUUAUCAAGAGAGCAUCAAGAUGGCCCCGUUCGAAGCUCUGUAUGGUCAGAGGUGUAGAACUCCGUUAAACUGGGUUGAACCUGGGGAAAGGAGAUACUACGGUAUCGACUUCGUGAAUGAGGCCGAGAAGAAGGUGCAAAUCAUACAGCAGCAUAUGCAUGCAGCGCAAUCACGACAAAAGAGUUAUGCUGAUAAGAGAAGAAGGCCACUUGAAUUCAAAGUAGGUGACUAUGUGUACCUCAAGGUCACGCCAAUGAAGAAAGUUGACCGUUUCCGAGUUCGAAGCAAGCUUGCACCCAGAUAUGUGGGACCGUACCAAAUGCUGGAGAGAAAGGGCCCAGUGGCCUACAAGAUUUAGUUACCUAAAGAGUUGAGCUCGAUCUUUCCGGUCUUCCAUGUGUCGCAACUGCGGAAAUGUUUGAAAGUACCUGAGCAAAGAAUUAAACCUCGAGGGAUCAAAAUAAAAGCAGACUUAGAGUAUAAGGAGCAACCAGUGGGAAUUGUGGAUACCAAGGAACGGGUAACCCGAAACAGAAUUGUCAGAACUUAUAAGGUGGUGUGGAGUCAUCAUGACGAUAGGGAUGCCACAUGGGAAACAGAGGAUUACUUGAAAACAGUUUAUCCAAAAUUUCAUAAGAAAUGGUUAGUAACCCCAAAAUCUCGGGACGAGAUUUCCCUAAGGGGGGAAGGGCUGUAACACCCUAGGUGUUAAGCAUGCAUUUAGCCCUAUCACAACAUGCAUAAGCAUUCUCAUCAAGCAUAGCAUCAUGAGCAUGUCAUUCAUCCCAAAGCAUGAUUUUAUGUGCUUUAUUUCAUGUGUUUUAAUUAGGCUAAAAAUUUGAUGCUUGCUUCUAAAAAUGUGAAAUAUUCAAACUAGGUUGAUUUAUGUGUAAGAAGAAUUUAGAGUAUUUUUGUGAAAUUUUUGGAGCUAUGGAAAUUGAGAAAUGGAAUUUAUACAAAAAUUCCCAAAUUGAAUUUAUUUAAAAACCUAGAACUAGUUUUAAUUUGUAAUUCAAAUUCUGUUUGGAAUUUGGUCUUGCUUGUUAAAACAAAAUUGUAGGGUUUUUGUUUUGGAACAAUUUUGCUUUUGGGAGCAAGAGGUGAAAAUGAUUUUACAUUGGUCCAAAUGAAUUUAGAAGAGUUUUGGAGAAAAGAAAUUCAAAAAAAAAAAAUAGAAAAGUAGGCAGGCGCUGCCGGGCCAACCCCGCCUCCCUUUCGGCCCAGCGAGCGGCCCGGCCUGCCUCCCCCUCCCCCUCUCUCCCGCGCGCGGACGCCCGCCUCGCCCCAGCCAGUGCCGGCCACGUGGCGGCCGUACGCCGGCGAGGAGCGCGCCGUGGUCGGACUCCAACCCCCCCUGGUCGGGACGCCGGCUCGGGCUCCCAGGCCAUUCCCUCCGUUCUGUUGCCCGCGCCCUUCUCCUUCCUCCCUCCGCUCGCACCGCGCAGCAGCAGCAGCUCCUCCGCGUGCCAUUGCCGGAGAAAGCCCCGCCGCUCGCCGCCGACCGCACCAGAGCCUCAAGCUCACCGCCGAGAGCACCAGCGCCUUCGUCAUCUUUAGGGUAAGCUUGUGCGCGCGUUCUACCGAGGUGAGUGUCCGUCGAGCGCCGUGAAUCGCUCGCCGGAGUUACCCCGAGCUCGCCGGAGUAUUCCGCCGCGAUGGAUCUUGUGUUUCUCUGCCUCUUUUCGCUGGUUCUUGGGUGCGCUAGGUCGGUAGGGUGGUGAGGAAGCUCGGAGAGGCGUUUGCGCACGCUCUACCGCGCCGGAGCGGCCUGGCCACGGCGAGCAGUGCCGUCGUGCCGCCAUGCAUGCUCGUCGGAGGUGUUCCGGUCAUCCUCCGGCCAACCCGAGGGUACCGCUGGGUGCGCCUCGCUGCGGGAAGCAUGUUGGUGCUUACCCCGUGGCCGGAGACCUCACCGCCGGCGAGAUCUGCUCGUCAGAGGUGAGCUCCCUCUCGGUCUCGCUGACCGGUGGGGUCAGGGACCCACUGUCAGUCGCAGAGGGGACCCCGGUGGGUGUAGAUCUAGGUGCGCGUAGUCUUUUUCGUCGAUUUUCUUGAAUAAAUGAUUUCCAGAAAUCGAUUCAAAACUUGUAAAAUUCAUAUCUUGAGUUCUACAGCUCCAAAUUGGAUGAAAUAAAUUUUGGUGUGCUCUAUAUUUCCAGAUCUACAGUUUGAUGUUUUUGCAUGACAUGUUUGAGUAACUUUUCUGAAUGAAUAUAUUUAAUCCAUGUUUUUGCUAAACUUGGAAAAUGCAUAGUAAAUAAAAUAUGGAUCAGAAAAAUGUGAAACUUGAUUUGUUGGCUCUGCAUGUAUGUUUACUCACUGGGAAAAUAUUGCUACAUAUUAUUUGGUGUAUAAAUGAAUUUAUGGUAAUUUAAAUGCUUGCAUGGCAGUGAUUCAUGAUUUUUAAUAAUUAAUUGGAUCAUGCAAUAAAUCUGGAAAAUUUUGUGCGUGUUUCUUAUGAUAUUAGACAAUUUGUAAAAAUAUGAAAUCUGUUGUUUGACACUUAUAUCACAGUAGAGUGAUUAUAAUUACCCUAUGAAUUAAUCUUGUGAUUUUUGUGGCUCAAAAUAAGUAUCCAAAAAUUAUGAAAAAUUUACAGUACACUUUAUGCUUAGCUGGUAGUCUCCUGUAAUUUUUGUAGAAUUUAUUGAUGAACAGAACCGCAUGCAAAUUUUGAUGACCUAGAAAUGAAUAAAGAAAAUUAUGAAUUGUUAUGUGUAGGUUAAAUAGAAUAAGUUUGGGUUUGGUGUAUCUUUGAAGCAUCAUGUGGGUUGCUGGUUGCACUUGAAAAGAAACAAUUUGUAGGAGGGAAUGCAAUAGAUGUUUGAUUCCAUUGUACGUUCUUGGAUGAUGUUGACUACCUUGUAAUGAGCAUGACCAAGUGUAUCAUCCAUGCAUCAUGUCAUGACUCCUUUGGUACUUUCUCAUACAAGCAUCCACUCGGGCAUCUCGCACUCCACUCAUAAGCACACAUGCAUCAUACAGGCUCGCAGGAGAACGAAGUGGGACCCGAGGAACCCGAGGAGAUUCAGGAGCAGGAACCUCCGGAAGCAUAGGAACCCGGAGAGGAGCUGCAGGAGUGUCCGGAUCACCGACCCAGCACGUUUGAGAAAGGCAAGCCCCGGAGCAUUCUAAGUCUCCCUAUUCUCGCUAACUUAUAUGAUGCGCUAUAAUUGUUCUACUAUAUUGCAUCUAAGUGAUAGGAUUUGAUUGAUACCGUUGCUGCAUAUGUACUCCUUGUUAUCCCUACUCGUUCACCUACCUUGUCCUAUGUAGAUAGGCACGGAGUCUACGCUUAGCUUGCUUAGUCCGGUAGAAGUCGGGUGAUUUCCUGUCACCUGCGAGAAAUAGGUGGAUACCUGCUUGAUUAAGCAUUGGUUGCUUGGGGAAAAGAAUAACCAAGUGUGAAAUGUAAUUGAAGACCGGGCAGGGUCUUAUGGUGGGUUGACUAUGGUGCCCCUGCCUGUGUCGAUUAAGGACCGAUCGUUGACGGCCCUCUUGUCAUGUUGAACGCAUGCCCCACACUUAGCUGGAAGGAUAAGUCGUUCCGACCGCGAAGCCUGAACACUAUCCGGGCCGGGAAUCGAGCCGCCAUGCGCUGUAUUGGUGAUGGUUGAGGAGAACGACGAGGGCGCGGCGCGCAACCUUGGUAUACCUUGGAUACCUCGGUCGCCGGAACGGUCCUCGGGUACUGGCGGUGCCUGCCGAACCCGCGGAUUGGUCCUAGAUAGUGUAAUAUGGUGAUCUGUAGCUCACUUGAUCAGUGAGUGUGGUUUGUGUGGGGAAUAAACUCGCCAGCUGGUUAGAAAUCGAUUCGAAUCGCCAUCGCUCCUGGAUAGUGAGCACUUGACAUGAGCUUCGUCCUCAUAGUAAGGACUAUGGAACACUUGGGUUAUGUUGAUGAAUGGUUUCAAGAAAUGCUAUGAUGAGGUACUAUCAUAGCCUUAUACUUGCUUGUAAUAGUGCAGGUGCAAACCUAGAUGAUAGGUAAUGAUACUUUCAACUUGAGCAAAUUAAAAAAAGAAAGACUUAUGUAGGUUAUGAUAGUAAAAUCCUGCGGUUUUGUAAAAUGGUUGUCAGCUGCCCCACUAUAUAGCCUUCAUGAUCCUUGAUGAGUCUUUAUUUUAAGUUUAUGACGGGUAAGUCUAGCUGAGUACCUUCUCGUACUCAGGGUUCUACUCCCAUGUUGUUUCGUACUCAGGGUUCUACUCCCAUGUUGUUUUGCAGAUGGUCAAAUGUACUAUGGUUAUUGCAUCCUCUGUCUGUACCCAGCCAUGGGUGAUGACUAGACCAAGGGCGAUGGUCACUCCGUCUCUUCUUUUGCUUUUGUGGGAAUGACCGAACUAUGGCACUGUAUCAGACUAAGCGUGUGUAUUGUAUUUUUGAACUAUGAAGCUUCCGCUACUUGAAGAACUUGGGUUGUAAUAACUUUAAGAACUCCGAUGUAUUUUAUGAAUGUUGUAAUCUGGAUGUAUUUGUGAAUGGCGACCGCUAAACUUAUUACGAUCUUGGCUGUUGUGCGAUGUGUGGUUUGAAAUCCUUCGAGAUUUCACGGACUACCGGGAUUAUAUGGGCUUAAGCGUGAUGGUUUGACUAUGCAAAUGGUCACUGUUAGGCUUAAUCUCUUAUAAUUUGGACGGUUCUGUUACAGACCGGACUGAGGUUGUUCAGAUUUGGUGAUUAAUUAUCAAUUGGAAGGAAUAAUUGUGUAAAGGCGUCAUUACUGAGGAGAAUUUCGGAGCAUUAAUGAUUUUAUACUUCAAAAUUGGGGGGCAUGUGUUGACACCGUUUUUUGACAUGUAUCUUUGAAUACGUAUCUGGAGUUAAUGAGGAGUAGAUCGGCAAGUAGGAAAAUAGUGGCUGGUUUGCAGAUGAAUUGCCGAUGGGGUUGGUGCCGAUGGGAGAACGACGGAAUAUAACUAAGUCUAGGAAGUAGUGACGGGAUCAUGCCGAUGACUAGCACUGAUGGUUGCCGAUGAUGGUGAAAGGCGGUCUACCGAUGGUCAUGGAGAAAGAUGCAGGGGUUGCCGAUUGGCUCAUAACAGUGUACCGAUCGGUUGUGGAGGAUAGUUUAAUGCUUUUCUUAGUUAUUAGAGUUCGUUUUGUAUACGGAUUCCGUUUAAUUUGGAAUUCGAGUUCUAGUCGUGUCUGGUUGUAGUUCUUUGGUACAGGGUAUAAAUCUAGACCUCGUGGUAAUGUAAAGACAUCAUCUAUCAAUCAAUCAAACAUAAGUUUUUACACAUAUUCUAGCAUCUACUUUUCGACGACUUCGUCAUAUUUUCCUUUUACUACGAGUUCUUAGGAAUUCGUCGAGUCAAACUCGGCGUGUUCUCAAGUUUCGCGUGAGCACCUCUUGGCCGUGACAUCCGGGUACAUCGCUGUUGUCGGGACCAAAGUGUUCGAGUUACCACCUUUGUCGAUUGUAAGGUCAAAUCGGCUCGCACGCCUUAACGUUUGAAUCGGGUAUUAGCCCUUUGUGUUUGCAAAUCAGCUUUUGCACCAACAGGUGUACUGCUAUCCAAGUGGAAAGAUUUUGUAAGUAGCUGAAACAAGCUAGAAGCAGUCGUAACUAGUUAAAACCAGUACACAGUUCUACAACAAGCAAAUGAAUGUAAUUGCAGGAAACUGGGAACAGUUGCAACCAGUUGGAAUCAGUUGAAAGUAUUUAAAACUGCUGCUUGUUGUGCCUGUCUUGUUCGUCGACCAAAAUUUAGAGCAGGGCAUGAGCUUAAUUUUGGCCUAGAAGAAAAAUGAGUUGCCACUGCUGCUCCUCCCCUCUGUGCCUCUCAUACUGCCUGCGCCUAAAAUAGCAGCUACUGCAUGCGUUGUUUGGCCGAGCAAAAGGAGAACACGAUGAGAGGCAUGUUUGCAUGCUCGCAUGCAUUGCUACUCUUCUUAAUUAGCUUGUGGGACCCAUGCCAUAAUUAGGCAAGCUACAAGCACCAUUCUUGUGUUAGAUAAGAGGUGCUGUAUGCAUUAAAGCUCUUGGUGACCACUUAUUGUUGACCAGAAAUGAGAGCACCUAGAGGAGUUUUUAGCUAGCCGUGUGAACCACUUGUUGCUUGGUCUGUUGUUGCUUACAGUCUGUGCCUAGGUGGAAAGCAGGAAGUUCGUGUAUGUGCUACUGGUGCCAUGUCUCAGUUGAAAGGAAGUGUGUGGGAGAGCAGUGUCCGAGUCUGGUCUGUUCCCAUGCCUGUGCUACUGCCCGUUGUGGAAAACGGCACUGUUGUUCCCCAUUGAAGAGCUGGCUGGCCAAGCCAUUUAGGCCGAGCGCUCCCUUUCCUUUCUCUUUCUCUCAGGAACAAAGAACAGAAAACGCUUCACUUCUUCUUCUUCCAUCUCUUGCUCUCAGGAACACAGAAUAGAGAACUCAAGCUCCCCUCUCCCAUCUCUCCCUAGCUUGGUGCUAACCCUAAUAGAGAUUUUGAGAGGCCUUCGCGAUUGAUCCAGUGAGCUCGUGAGCAUCUUGUCCCUCUCCUCUCCCUCUCAUAGCUUUGGCUCAUCUGGGAGAGGAUUGAGGGAAACACUAUGUGGUGAUUGCAAUUGUGGAUUUCUUAUUGCUCUUGAUGAUUGCUGUCACCUAGACGGUUGUAGAUUUGUUGAUUAGUGAGGGCAUUUGAUGAUUGUGUCCGCCUCCAAUCAAGGUGAUAUUUGUGAGGGGUAUUGUCCCGGUGAUUUUGUUGGCAAUCAUAUUGUAAUUGGUUCAUCCUCUACACAUCGGUAUAAUUAUCACUUACCUAUUUACUUUUUUACAAACUAGUUAUAACCAGUAGUUCCUAGUUGUAGUUAGAUGAAACUAGGUGUAGAGAGUAGUGACAUAGCCAUUGCUUGUGCCUAGAGAUCAUAACAACUAGAAUUGUUGGAUAGGUGGCUUGCAACCCUUGUAGAGCUAGAGCAAAAUUACUUUACAUCUUUUUGUUGUAUUAAUCCUUUGCUCUAGUGCCUUGAACAUUUUUUAAAUAUGCUAUUCACCCCCUGCUAGUCAUAUUAGGACCAAUCAAGUGGUAUCAGAGCCAUGGUCACCAUUUAAUCAAGGCUUAACAACCUUUGGUGUUAAAUGAUGGCUCAAAUUGUGUUCAACCAUGUGGGGGGCAAAACACCAUUCUUUGAUGGUACGUGCUAUGAUUAUUGGAAAAGAAAAAUGAAGAUGUAUUUGGGUUCAAUCAAUGAUCAAGUGUGGGAUGUGACUGAGAGUGAUUUUGUGAUUCUUGAUCCUACUAAUCUCACCAACCAAGAUAAAGCAAACAAGCAAUGCAAUAAUGGCUCUUAACACUAUAUAUAAUGCAAUUGAUUCAUAGGUGUUUGAGCAAAUUAAGGAUUGUGAUAGAGCAAGUGAAGUGUGGAAGAGAUUGGAGGAAACAUAUGAGAGCACCAACAGUCAAGAGUGCAAAAUUGUAUAUUCUCAAAGAUAAGUUAACAAGCUUCAUGAUGAAGUAUGAUGAGAGCAUUCUAGAGAUGUUCCAUAGAUUGCAAGUAAUUGUGAAUGAUUUGAAGGCCUUGGGUGAGAAGAUAAGUGAUGAUGAUGUAUCUCAUCAGUUUUAGAUGUGCUUACCUCUAAGAUUUGAGACAUUAAGAUUAAUCAUUAUAAGAGGAUGUUGAAAGAACUUACCCCUAACCAAGUACUUGGUGAUGUCAUGACACAAGAAACAUACCGUGGGGAAAGGGACGGGGUUGACCAAGAUGAGAAGAAAUAUGAAGACAAGAAAAGGAAAAGUGUGGCUUUCAAGGCUAGUUCCUCCAAGAGCAAGGGCAAAGCAAAGAAAGAAGAAUCAAGUGAAGAUGAGGAAGUUAGUGAUAUUGAUGAUGAAGCACUAGCUCUCUUUGUGCGCAAAUUUGGAAAAUUCAUGAAGAAGAAAGGAUGUGGUGUAAGAAAAAGAAGAGAUCAAAAUAAGAGCAAAGAAUAUGUGAGAAGAUGCCACAAAUGUAAGAGUAAGGAUCAUAUUGUUGCAGAUUGUCCCUACAAUAGCGACAAUGAUGAGGAUGACAAGAAAAAGGAAAAUAAAGUAAAGAAGGAGAAGAAAAUGACAUUCCAUAAGAACAAGGGUGGCGGCUAUGUGGUGACUUGGGAUAGUGAUGCUUCUUUAGAUAUUGAUGAUUCUAGUGAUGAUGACAAGAAAUCCAAGAAGAAGGCACUUGUAAACAUCACCAUCAACAACAAGCCUUCAUUCUUUGACAUUCCUUCAACAUGCCUCAUGGCUAAACCCAUUAAGGUACAAUAUGAUGAAAGUGAUGAUGAUUGUAAAAGUGAUAAUUGCAAGAGUGAUGGUGAUGAUGUUGAUGAUGAUAAAGAGUCCAAGGAGGAACUCAUGGACAUGUUGGAGAAUGCCCACACAUGUCUUGAGAUGAAGAGAAUGGAGUGUAAAGAAUUGCAGAAAGAGCUUAAAGCUCUCAAGCAAUCCUUUGAUGAGCUGCAAGAGUCUCAUGAGAUUCUAAAGGAAGACCAUGAGGAGCUUGGUAAUGCUCACUCUAAGCUUGAAAAAGCUCACUCCUCUCUCCUGAAGCAAGCUAAGAAAGAGGAAGUCAUUGUGACUUGUGACAAGGGCUCUACAUGUGAUUUAAUUAAUGAAUCUUUCAUUGAACCUAUUAUUCUUGCUUUCACUAAUUCUUCUUGUAGCACUUCCACCUCUACCUCAUAUACUAGUGAUGGUUUCACUUGUGAUGCCACAUUAAUAGUUGAGAAUGAGACCCUCAAGAAGGAGGUCAAUGAGCUCACUCGUGCCUUAGGAAAUGCCUAUGGUGGUGAGGCCCACUUGCUAAAGUGCUUGGGUAGCUAGAGAUUUUCUCUCAACAAAGAGGCAUUAGGCUAUACCCCCAAGAAAGACAAAAUGACCUUUGCUACUCAUAAAGCUUGCUUUGUGAAGGGCAAUGGUCAGUUUUGCAAUAGAUGUAAGCAAGUUGGGCACAUAGAGCGAUAUUGCAAGAAUGAGAACAAACCAAACAAUGUAUCCUCAAUUAAAUUUGAUUCUUGUUAUAUGCUUACCAUGGGUGUUAAUGGAGUGCAAGCUAAGUUCAUUGAUGCACCAAUUGUGGGCUCAAAGAAGAAGCUAUUUGAGUACCAAAGAACAUAGUCACUAACUUUCAAGGACCCAAGAAAGUUUGGGUACCUAAAAAGAAUUAAUUUUCUUUUGUAGGUGAAUUAUAAAGCCAGAGGAAGGCAUUGGGUUCUUGAUAGUGGGUGCACUCAACACCUGACUGGUGAUUUAAGAAUGUUCAAUUCAAUCAACACAAAUGAUAAUGAUGGAAUUCAUAUUAUAACAUUUGGUGAUAAUGGCAAAGGCAAAGUUAAAGCGCUUGGUAAUAUUGCAAUAUCCAAUGAUUUGAGUAUUUCCAAUGUACUACUAGUAGAGAGCUUGAACUUCAACCUAUUGUUAGUAGCUCAACUUUGGUGUGGAUGAUGUAGGGAUCAUAAGUGUAGAUGGCUCUAACUUGAUAUUCAAAGGAUUUAGAUAUAAGAAUAUAUACUUGGUUGAUUUCAAUGCUAGUGAAACUCAAUUAUCAACAUGUUUGCUCACUAAAUCUAGCAUGGGUUAGUUAUGGCAUAGAAGGCUUGGUUAUGUUGGAAUGAAACAAUUGAACAAGUUGAUAAAGCAUGAUCUAGUUAGAGGCUUGAAAGAUGUCACAUUUGAGAAAGAUAAGCUAUGUAGUCCAUGUCAAGCCAGAAAGCAAGUUGGUAACACACAUCCUAAGAAAAGCAUCAUGAGCACAUCUAAGGCAUUUGAGUUAUUGCACAUGGAUUUAUUUGGGCCAACAACAUACACUAGUAUUGGUGGAAACAAAUAUGGCUUUAUGAUGGUGGAUGAUUUUACAAGAUAUACAUGGGUAUUCUUUCUUGUUGACAAGAGUGAUGUUUUUGUAACUUUCAAAUCAUUUGUCACGAGAGUACACAAUGAGUUUGAAACAACCAUCAAGAGAGUGAGAAGUGACAAUGGUAGUGAGUUCGAAAAUACAAGAAUUGAUGAGUUACGUGAUGAUUUUGGAAUUAGGCAUCAACUCUCAGCUAAGUAGACUCCACAAUCAAAUGGGCUUAUUGAGAGGAAGAAUAGGACACUCAUGGAUAUGGCAAGGUUUAUGCUUAGUGAGUAUAAUGUAAGUCAUUCUUUUUGGGCUGAAGCAACCAACAUGGCUUGCUACUAUUGCAACCGCCUAUAUUGUCAUUCUAUGUUGGAGAAAACCCCAUAUGAGAUCUUGAAUGGUAGAAAACACAAUAUUGCAUACUUCUGGUUUUUGGUUGUAAAUUCUAUAGAUUGAAGAAAAGGACUAGAUUGAGCAAGUUUGAGAAGAAAUGUGCUGAAGGUUUUUUGCUUCUUUACUCCACUGCCAGCAAAGCUUAUAGAGUUUGGAAUUUUGCUAAUGUACUCUUGAGGAAGUUCAUGAUGUGGAAUUUGAUGAAACAAAUGGUUCUCAAGAGGAAUAUGAGAAUCUAGAUGAUGUGAGAGGCACUUGUUGGGUAUUAUUAACAUCAUUACCAAAAUUAGACUUAGUUUUCUAAUUCUGAUAAAAGUGCCAAAAAUGCCAAACCUAUCUCUCAUACCACUUAAGCCAAGUUGUCAUCCCCAGCAUGACAUGAGAGACGUGGUAUUGAAAUAUGCAAUUGCUCUUCUAAAUAAAUAAUGAAUGGGAUCUGCAAGCGCACAGAUUAAUACCGAUGUAGCAUUUUAACCGGGAAGUAUUCCAGGUAUCGUUAUUUAUAUUUUUACCACUGAGAAGGGAUUAGUAAUCAUCAAUGUUGAUUAUAGAAUGGAAUAUAAGAUUGAGUAUCUAUCAUUGCAUGUAUAAUUGGGAACAUUUAUCUAACACUUUCAUACAGGGGUAAGUGUCACAUAAAGGAUAUAUAAAAUAAUGAAUAGUGACAAUGAUAAUUAAUCUAAUAAGCAUAACGUAGCCACAUUUAAAUAUGAUAAGCACCUCAAUUAGAUAUUCUAGCAAGUCAUUAGCAUAGAAUUAGAACGAACUGCAAGAAUAUUUCCUAAGUUAUUCUCAACUAUAUAGUCUAGCAUUAUCAUAGUUAGUGCAAGCAUACUUAGCAAUCAUUGUGAGACAAGACUACGCCCAUGCAAAGUGAUAUUAGCAAGGAAUAUGAGAAACAUCGUAAUCACUCCCCUGUAAUAAUGUUGCUCUGCCAGCCCAAUACACGAGAGGGGGACUAUAUAAGAAUCAAUGAAGCUGUCACUAUCACAAACAACCCCACGAUCUAGCAUAUUGGGUACAAUCACAGAUAAAUACGGUAUAAGCACCAUGCCUACACUUUAUCUAUCAUUUACCCAUGGAUCCGAUGGAUAAACGCUAUACGAUCCUAAACAUGUAUAUAGAUCCAAUCUAACUAAGCCAAGUAUAUAACUAUGAUAAACUAAGAACAAUAUAAUCUUGAAUAUAAACAAGUAGAGCAAAGUCAUAAGCAAUAUAUUGAAGUAGAACAAAGUCAUAUUCAUAACAUUGAAGAACAAAGAUGAACAAUUAGAAGAACAAUUAAAGAAUUACCAAGAAUCCUCUUGACAGAUCUGGAAACCAAUCGAAGAUUGACUCCUUCUAGUUCUAAUCCUAUGUAGCCAUGCUAAUCUAGAUGUCUAAUCGAUGUGGUGGCUCUAGGCUUGAUCAGAGGCUUCUUCUCCCUUUAGGAAUAAUGAAUUAGGGUUGAGAGGCUCUCUCCUCCAGGGGCCAGGGGGUCUGUAAGGACCUUGAUGUCGCCUAGAGGGGGGGUGAAUAGGUGUAUCUAAAAAACCUGAAACUCAAAACUCAAGUUGCGGAAGUUAAAUGUCUGUCGGUACCACCGACAGUUUGGGCCGGUACUACUGGUGUAAGACAGCCAGUACUACCGACGCAACUGCUGGUACUACCGACGCCCUAAGAGAGCUACAAAAUCAGAGUAUUUUGAGUUUUGAUUUUAGAUCUGAGAGUUACCCCAUCCUCCUAGAUGUAGUAGAGGAUGAUGUUGAAGUUCCCUUGGCUUGGUUCUUCUCCAAAAUGUAGAUCGGCCCUUGUUCACCUAUGAACGGGGGUAGAUAGGAAGAACACAAAGAAAACAAGAACAAGGGUAGUCGAUGCUACCUCCACAGCAGGACAAGAUAUUUAUCCCGUGGUUCAGCUCACCACCAAGGCUUGCCUAUGUCCACGUUGUUGAGGAAACCACAUAGGCUUUUCGGGUCUCUUUCAACCCUAUCCUCAUUCUCAAGUCAAGAGAACAAUCCCUUGAGAUGAGGGGUGAUUCCACUAGAUGAUUUGAGUGAUUACAAACCUCCUGAGGCUACCACAUGAGUAGGAAGUUCUACGGGCAACACCUAGCCAGCUAGGAGCCUUGCUCCAAGAGUAACAAACACAAAUCCAACCGGCUUGAUGAAGAAAUCAAAUGCUCAAGCUUUGCUUUAAUGUUUCUCUCACCAAGAAUCCUUCUCUCACUCAAUCCCUUGCAAGAUUUGAAGUUAGGAGCAAAUCGGAUAGAAGAGAGAGGCUUUGGAGAGCUAGAGAGGUGCCUUGGCUGAAGGUUUGGUCGAGUGGAAGAGUGAGCCCACGGUUAGAAUGAAGGGAGUGCUAUUUAUACAUGGGUCCUAAACAGCUGCCGGUACUACCGGGGCAACCACCACUACCACCGGCUACCUCAGAUCUAACGGUAAGAAGUCUCUAUGAUUUGCGAGAAAUAAGCCUACCGGUACCACCGGGCUUUUGUCGGUACUACUGACCAUUUGCCGGUACCACCGGUGGAAGGCCGGUACCACCGGCAGUUCAAAUCUCCGCAAUCAAAAUUAGCGUAGAUUUGGGCUGCCGGUACUACUGGCGUUUCACACCGGUACUACUGGUGCUGGCCGGUACCACCGGCCCGAGCCCGGUACUACCGGUAGUUCAUUUUCUCGCAAAACUCAGGAGAAAGGGCUGGCACUGCCGGUACCAACGGCCCUGAGGGUUGGUACUACCGGGUCACCCUGGCAGAGAAGAAAUUUCCUAGAUGUUCGUGCGUCCAAGUGUUAGAGUGUCUCUCUUUUGAUUUAGUUUUAAUACUUGAGCACUCUAUCUUCCUCAAACCAACUAAAUUUGCAUCCCUCUUUAUACUGCGGCAAAUCCUAAACUCAAGGUCAAAAGUAUAUAACCAAUUUAACCACUUGAGUCUUCAAUGUCUUCAUAUGCCACUUCUUCUCAAUAUCACUUCAUCAAGGAUGCAAUUAACUUUGUCUCCUCUCUUUGAGUAAAUAUAGCUUGAGCAUGUGACUUGAAUCAUUUCAACAUAUGUGAGUUCAAUCCAUGACUUCAAGUCACUUCCAUUAAAGAUUUUGAUCCUCAACACAAUAUGACUCCUCAUAGCUUAAUUAGUAUCUCGACACAAUGCAAGUACUUUCUUCUUCACCUUAGCCAUGGUACCUCGGUCUACAAGCCAUUGCUUGACCUUCACCUUCGCUUAGUCCCUCGAAGCCUUUUCUUUGCUCUCUUCACUCUAUCAAGCCAUACUCAAGUCACAUCAUGUUAAGCAUCCAUUGAAAAAUUGUUUCUUCAAUAUUGUGAUUCUUGCUUGAAUAUCUUCUUGAUAUGAGCGUUGACAUUAAUCAAGCUUCAGUUUACACCAACACACAACUUUGGUCUUCUUUGAACUUUGUGUGAAAUACCAUCAAGUUUGCUUUCUUGUUGAACCUUUGAUACACUUAGCAAACUUUUUAGACCUUUAGUUAUGUUGUCAUUCAAUUCACCAAAACCCACUAAAGGGCUAGAUGCACUUACAAUCUUCCCCUUUUUGGUGAUUGAUGACAACACAAUUAAAGCUUACAAGAGAUUGAUAAAUAAAAAGAUUUUGAAUCCUCUGAUAUAGUGAGCUCCCCCUAAAUGCGUGCGUUGAAUGGAAUUCAAAUUUUGGCCUCAUAUGCCAAAUGCACAUAUUUAAGAAAAGGUGUGGAAACUCUUCUAUAUCUUAGCAUCCGUGGGGUGCAAGGUGUCAUCAUGAUAAACAUGAUGCUCAUGAUAGUUCAAGCACUUCAGAGAAAACAAAAACAAUACAUCAUUCAAGGCAUGAAUAUCACACACUAGCAUAAAAUUUUCCUUAUCAAGAGCAUCAAUUUAAACUAUCUUUGCACACUCCACACAAAAAUUGAAAAAUCUUAUAUGCCUCUCUUUUACCCCUUUAAAUCUGCAUAUCAAUCUCUCCUCCCUUACACUCUCCCCCAAAAUUUCUCCCCCUUUGGCAUUAAUCUCCAAAAAGGAUCUCUCCACCACGAGGAAGAAAUAAUGGCAGACAAGUGAGGGCAAGAGGUAGGUAAAAGUUCAGCAUAUAGGAUUUCUCUCCAGAGCUUUCUACCAAACAAAGUAUGCAACACUUUAAGUCAAGAUUCCUAAGAAGUUAGCAUGUUUUGUUCAUACCUCACUUAGAUUAUAGUUUUCACAUGAGACAAACUCACUUUAUCACUGCAAGAGGUAUCAACUAAAUAUCUAACUCAUUCUCUAAUCAUCACCACAAGAGCAAACUUAUGUUGUGACUCAAAAUAUUGCAUACACAUGCACAUACGCUAGCAUGUAAGGGCCUAGAUGCAUAAAGGUAAUACAAGAGUUCAUGGAGCGGUAUACCUUUGUUCUAAGCCUUGUAAUCUCCACCAUGAUGAUGAUUUUCAUGAGUUGAAUUUAGUGCUUUGAUGGGCUUAGCACUUCUUUAUGCAAAAGGAUUUCAUGUGCCCAUCUCUUUUCAUCAUCAUCUUUAAGGAGAUAUCCAAAAUUUGUGCUUGAUUUUGAUUGAAAGUCCAUUGCUAGCUCUUGAUGUCAUUAUGAGAUACUAAUUGAAGACAUAUUUCUUGAUAUACCAAAUUUGAAAAAUUAUCCACCAAUACCAAAUGAAAUAUGAUCUUCAUAAUUUUUGACACCAAUUGAAAUAGUCUUCACAAGUUGAUGCCAAUUGAAAUAGAUUCUUGUGUCUCAUAAUAUCUCCUAGACAAUGCUCACAAAGACAAGAGGUAGCAUUAAAUUGCACAAGCUAUAGUCUCACAACUAGUGACCGUUUGGAUGUGGAAGGCAUGUUGAUCACUAAUUGCAAAACCUCAUAACAUAGACUAAAGUCCCCUUUUUGGUAGUGCAUACAUAUAUAUGUGGAAGAUAAGAACAUAUGCACUUUUGGUCAAUUAAGUCCAAACAAGGGAAUUUAAGCUAUAUUAUGGAGAGUAGCUUCUUAAGAGAUAAAAUACAAUCCAAAAUGAAUAUGAGAGAAAACUUUACCCAUUUGGAUUGAGUUAAUGUAGCAUACCCAUGAGAAACUUAUUCUCACCAAGAGACUACACAAAUUCACUAGAAGAAAAGGUUAGUCUCAAAGACACAGGACAUAGAAUGGGCUUGUAACAGAACCGACCAAAUUAUAAGAGAUUAAGCCUAACAGCGACCAUUUGCAUAGUCAAACCAUCAGGCUUAAGCCCAUAUAAUCCCGGUAGUCCGUGAAAUCUCGAAGGAUUUCAAACCACACAUCGUACAACAGCCAAGAUCGUAAUAAGUUUAGCGGUCACCAUCCACAAAUACAUCCAGAUUACAACAUUCAUAAAACACAUCGGAGUUCUAAAAAUUAUUACAAACCAAGUUCUUCAAGUAGCGGAAGCUUCAUCGUUCGAAAAUACAACACACACGCUUAGUCUGAUACAGUGCCAUAGUUCGGUCAUUCCCACAAAAGCAAAAGGAGAGACGGAGUGACCAUCGCCCUUGGUCUAAUCAUCACCCAUAGCUGGGUACAGACAGAGGAUGCAAUAACCAUAGUACAUUUGACCAUCUGCAAAACAACAGGGGAGUAGAACCCUGAGUACGAGAAGGUACUCAGCUAGACUUACCCGUCAUAAAUUAAAAUAAAGACUCUUCAAGGAUCAUGAAGGCUAUAUAGUGGGGUAGCUGACAACCAUUUUGCAAAACCGCAGGAUUUUACUAUCAUAACCUACAUAAAUCUUUCUUCUUUUAAUUUGCUCAAGUUGAAAGUAUCAUUACCUAUUAUCUAGGUUUGCACCUGCACCAUUACAAGCAAGUAUAAGGAUAUGAUAGUACCUCAUCAUAGCAUUCAUAAACCAUUUAUCAAUAUAACCCAAGUGUCCCAUAGUCCUUACUACGAGGACGAAGCUCAUGUCAAAUGCUCACUAUCCAGGAGCGAUGGCAAUUCGAAUCGAUUUCUAACCAGCUGGCGAGUUUAUUCCCCACACAAACAACACUCACUGAUCAAGUGAGCUACAGGUCACCGUAUUGCACUAUCCAGGACCAAUUCGCGGGUUGGACAGGCACCGCCCGUACCCGAGGACCGUUCCGGCGACCGAGGUAUCCAAGGUAUACCAAGGUUGCGUGCCGUGCCCUCGUCGUUCUCCUCAACCAUCACCAACACAGCGCGUACAUCGGGCCGAUUCCCGGCCCGGAUAGUGCUCAGGCUUCGCGGUCGGAACGAGUUAUCCUUCCAGCUAAAUGUGGGGCAUGCGUUCAACAUGACAAGAGGGCCGUCAACGAUCGGUCCUUAAUCGACACAGGCAGGGGCACUAUGGUCGACCCACCAUAAGACCCUGCCCGGUCUCCAAUUACAUUCCACACUUGGUUAUUCUUUUCCCCAAGCAACCACUGCUUAAUCAAGCAGGUAUCCACCUAUAUCUCGUAGGUGACAGGGAAUCACCCGACUUCUACCAGACUAAGCAAGCUAAGCAUAGACUCCGUGCCUAUCUACAUAGGACAAGGUAGGUAAACGAGUAGGGAUAACAAGGAGUACAUAUGCAUCAACGGUAUCAAGCAAUUCCUAUCACUUAGAUGCAAUAUAGUAGAACAAGUACAGUGCAUCAUGUAAGUUAGCGAGAAUAAGGAGACUUAGAAUGCUCCGGGGCUUGCCUUUCUCAAACGUGCUGGGUUGGUGAUCCGGACACUCCUGCAGUUCCUCUCCGGAUUCCUGUGCUUCCGGAGGUUCCUGUUCCUGGAUCUCCUCUGGUUCCUCGGGUCCCACCUCGUUCUCCUGCGAGCCUGUACGAUGCAUGUGUGCUCAUGAGUGGAGUGCGAGAUGCCCGAGUGGAUGCUUGUAUGAGAAGGUACCAAGGAGUCAUGACAUGAUGCGUAGGUGAUUUAAUUGGUCAUGCUCUUUACAAGGUAGUCAACAUCAUCCAAGAGUAAGCAAUUGGAUCAAAUAUCUGUGCAUUCUCUUCUACAAUUAUUUUUCAAAUGCAACUAGCAACCCACAUGAUGCUUCAAAGAUACACCAAACCCCUCCUUAUUUUACUCAACCUAUAUAUAACAAUUCAUAAUUUUCUUUAUUCAUUUCUAGGCCCAUUAAAAAUUACAUGCAGUUCUGUUCAUCAAUAAAUUCCACAAAAAUUACAGGAGACUACCAGCCAAGCAUAAAGUGUACUAUAAAUUUGUCAUAAUUUUUGUAUACUUGUUUUGAGCUACAAAAAUCACAGGAUUAAUUAAUAAGGUAAGUAUAAUCACUCUACUGUGAUAUAAGUGUCAAACAACAGAUUUCAUAUUUUUACAAUUUGUCUAAUAUCAUAAGAAACAUCCACAAAAAUUUCCAGAUUAAUUGCAUGAUCCAAUUAAUUAUUAAAAAUCAUAAACCACUGCCAUGCAAGCAUUUAAAUUACCAUAAAUUUAUUUAUACACCAAAUAAUAUGUAGCAAUAUUUUCCCAGUGAGUAAACAUACAUGCAGAGCCAACAAAUCAAGUUUCACAUUUUUCUGAGUCAUAUUUUAUUUACUAUGCAUUUUCCAAGUUUAGCAAAAACAUGGAUUAAAUAUAUUCAUACAGAAAAGUUACUCAAACAUGACAUGCAAUCACAUCAUGCUGUAGAUCUGGAAAUAUAGAGCACACCAAAAUUUAUUUCAUCUAAUUUGGAGCUGUAGAACUCAAGAUAUGAAUUUUACAAGUUUUGAAUUAAUUUCUGGAAAACAUUUAUUCAAGAAAACCGACGAAAAAGGCUAAGCACACCCAGAUCUACACCCACCGGGGUCCCCCUGCGACUGACAGUGGGCCUCUGACCCCACCGGUCAGCGAGACCUAGAGGGAGCUCACCUCCGACGAGCAGAUCUCGCCGGCGGUGAGGUUUCCGGCCACGGGGUGUGCACCAUCGUGCUGCCCGCAGCGAGGCGCACCCAGCAGUACCCUCGGAUUGGCCGUAGGAUGACCGGAACACCUCCGAUGAGCAUGCAUGGCGGCACGGCGGCGCUGCUCGCCAUGGCCAGGCCGCUCCGGCGCGGUAGAGCGUGCGCAAACAGUUCUCCGAGCUUCCUCACCACCCUACCGACAUAGCGUAACCAAGAACCAGCGAAAAGAGGUAGGGAAACGCAAGAUCCGUCGCGGCGGAGUACUCCGGCGAGCUCGAGGUAACUCCGGCGAGCGAUUCACGGCGCUCGACGGACUCUCACCUCGGUAGACCGCUCGCAUAAGCUUACCCUAACAAUGGCGAAGGCGCUGGUGGCUUCGGUGUCGAGGUUUGGUCACUGGAGUGGCCGGCGGUGAGCAGCGGAGCCGCUCCGGCGAUGGCGCUGCGGCGGAGUCCUACGGCUCGGUGGCGCUCACGAGCGGAGGGAGGAAGGAGAAGGGCGCGGGCGACAGGAUGGAGGGAAUGGCCUGGGAGCCCGAGUCGGCGUCCCGACCAGGGGGGUUGGAGGCCGGCCGCGGCGCGUCCAACGCCGGCGUACGGCCGCCACGUGGCCGACGCCGGGUGGAGCGAGGCGGGCGCCGCGCGCGCGGGAGAGAGGGGAGGGGGAGCGGCCCGCGCUGCCCAGCUGGGCCGAAAGGGAGGCGGGUCGGCCCAGCAGCGCCUGUCCCCUUUCUCCUUUUUUUUUGAAAUUCUUUUCUAAAAUUCUUUCUAAAUUCAUUUGGACCAAUUUAAAAUCAUUUUCACCUCUUGCUCCCAAAAACAAAGUUGUUCCAAAACAAAAACCCUACAACUUUGUUUUAAUAAGCAAGACCAAAUUCUCAAUAUAAUUUGAAUUACAAAUUAAAACUAGUUCUAGUUUUUUAAAUAAAUUCAUUUUGGACAUUUUGUAAAAUUCCAUUUCUCAAAUUCCAUAGCUCCAAAAAUUGCACAAAAAUAUUCUUAAUUAUUCUUACACAUAAAUCAACCUAGUUUGAAUAUUUCACAUUUUUAGAAGCAAGCAUCAUAUUUUUAAAAUAAUUAAAACACAUGAAAUAAAGCACAUAAAAUCAUGUUUUGGGAUGAAUGACAUGCUCAUGAUGCUAUGCUUGAUGAGAAUGCUUAUGCAUGUUGUGAUAGGGCUAAAUGCAUGCUUAACACCUAGGGUGUUACAGCCCUUCCGCCCUUAGGGAAAUCUCGUCCUGAGAUUUUAGGUUACUAACCAUUUCUUAUGAAAUUUUGGAUAAACUGUUUUCAAGUAAUCCUCUGUUUCCCAGGUGGCAUCCCUAUCGUCAUGAUGACUCCACACCAUAUUAUAUGUUCUGACAAUUCUGUUUCGGGUUACCCGUUCCUUGGUAUCCACAAUUCCCACUGGUUGCUCCUUAUACUCUAAGUCUGCUUUUAUUUUGAUCCCUCGAGGUUCAAUUCUUUGCUCAGGUACUUUCAAACAUUUCCGCAGUUGCGACACAUGGAAGACCGGAAAGAUCGAGCUCAACUCUUCAGGUAACUGAAUCUUGUAGGCCACGGGGCCUUUCCUCUCCAGUAUUUGGUACGGUCCCACAUACCUGGGUGCAAGCUUGCUUCGAACUCGGAAACGUUGGACUUUCUUCAUUGGCGUAACCUUGAGGUACACAUAGUCACCUACUUUGAAUUCAAGUGGCCUUCUUCUCUUAUCAGCAUAACUCUUUUGUAGUGAUUGCACUGCUUGCAUAUGCUGCUGUAUGAUUUGCACCUUCUUCUCGGCCUCAUUCACGAAGUCGAUACCAUAGUAUCUUCUCUCACCAGGUUCAACCCAGUUUAACGGAGUUCUACACCUCCGACCAUACAAAGCUUCGAACGGGGCCAUCUUGAUGCUCUCUUGAUAACUGUUAUUGUAGGAGAAUUCCGCCAGAGGUAACCAUGAUUCCCAUGAUCCCUUGGACGAUAGCACACAGGCCCUCAGCAUAUCUUCUAACACUUGAUUUAGCCUCUCCGUUUGGCCUGAAGUCUGGGGAUGAUACGCCGUGCUUCUUAUCAGACUGGUCCCCAAAUUCUUAUGCAUCCGCUCCCAAAAGUGAGCGGUGAACUGUGGUCCUCUAUCUAAUAUGAUGGUCUUGGGAAUACCAUGCAACUUGACAAUCUCAGCCAUAUAUAUAUCGGCAUUCUCGGGAGGUCUGUAUGUGUUCUUAACUGGAAUGAAAUGAGCCGACUUGGUUAAUCGAUCUAUGAUUACCCAAAUCGAGUCAUUCCCCUUCCUCGUGGUCAGUAAACCUGUGAUAAAGUCCAUACUGACCUCUUCCCAUUUCCACUCUGGAACUGAUAACGGUUGCAACAGACCUGCAGGCUUCAUAUAGAUGGCCUUAACUCUGCAACACGUGUCACAACGGGCUACAUACGCAGCUAUCUCUUUCUUCAUCUUGGUCCACCAAAAGUGGGGUCUUAGAUCUUGAUACAUUUUGCUACUACCAGGAUGAAUGGAAAGCUUAGAGAUAUGGGCUUCAUCCAUGAUGCGAUUCUUCAAUUCCCGAUCCUUCGGGACUACUAACCGAUGUUGAAACCAUAGUACCCCUUUCUCAUCAACUCGAACUGAGUUUUUGGGUCGUCUUUGAAAUUCUCUUUGAUGUGGAAAAUACCUUUGUCUGCCUUCUGACCUUCAAUGACUUGACUUUCGAGUGAACAACUGAGUUGUAUGUGACAUAAGACUUCAGGAUGCAUGAGGUUGAAACCAUCUUCAAAUAACGGUUGAACCACUUGAUAGUGCGGUUUACGACUCAACGCAUCCGCUACUACAUUAGCUUUGCCUGGAUGAUAAUGAACUUCCAGGUCAUAGUCCUUGAUUAACUCUAACCACCGUCGUUGCCUCAUAUUCAGUUCGGACUGAGUGAAGAUGUACUUCAAAAUCUUAUGAUCGGUAUAAAUGUGACACUUAUUUCCCAGGAGAUAGUGUCUCCAAAUCUUCAAGGCGUGUACCACUGCUGCUAACUCGAGGUCGUGAGUUGGGUAGUUGACUUCGUGCUUUCUCAACUGUCGGGAAGCAUAAGCUAUCACUCUGCCAUCUUGCAUCAACACACACCCCAGGCCACUCUUCGAGGCGUCACAAAACACAUCAAAAGGCUUCUCUAUAUUAGGUUGUGCCAGAACGGGAGCAGUGGUUAGCAACUUUCGCAAGGUGCGGAAGGCUAACUCACACCCUUCCGUCCAGACAAACUUAUGAUCCUUUUGUAGCAAACUUGUCAUUGGCUUAGCAAUCUUGGAGAAUUCAGGUAUGAAACGACGAUAAUACUCGGCCAGACCAAGAAAACUUCUAACUUCCGAGACAGAAGUUGGUGCCUUCCAGUCCAUGACUUCCUGCACUUUUGACGGAUCCACAGCAAUCCCUUCUUCAGACAGAAUGCGCCCUAGGAAAGGAACUUUCUUCAACCAGAACUCACACUUGCUGAACUUGGCAUAUAACUGAUGCUCUCAUAAUCGUGUCACCACUAUUCUCAGAUGCUCGGCGUGAUCUUGCUCAUUUUCUGAAUAAACCAGAAUAUCAUCGAUAAACACCACAACAAACUUAUCCAAUUCUGGCAUAAAGAUUGAAUUCAUCAGAUACAUAAAGUAUGCAGGAGCAUUUGUCAAUCCAAAGGACAUGACAAGGUAUUCAUACAACCCAUAUCUGGUGGAAAAACCAGUCUUCGGGACAUCUUGUGGACGAAUCUUGAUUUGGUGAUACCCAGACCUCAAAUCUAUCUUAGAAAACACUCUUGCCAUGGACAACUGAUCAAACAGGAUAUCAAUCCUUAGCAACGGAUACUUAUUCUUGAUUGUCACUGCAUUGAGUGGACGAUAGUCCACGCACAUGUGCAACGAUUGAUCCUUCUUUUUCACAAACAACGCUGGACAACCCCAUUCCGACGAGCUUGGCCGGAUGAACCCUUUAUCCAGUAACUCUUUUAGUUGAUUCUUCAACUCAGCGAGUUCAUUUGGUGGCAUCCGGUACGGCCUUCUGGAUAUUGGUGCGGUACCCGGUAUCAACUCGAUUGCAAACUCUACUUCCCUAUCUGGGGGAAGUUCUGGUAAUUCCUCGGGAAAAACAUCAGGGAACUCACAUACCACGGGUAGGUGUUCUAGUGGAACUACCUGUACUACACACGAAAGACUGGCGAAGUCCAACCGUCGGGGUAGCUUGACCUGAAGCACACCCUUCCCUUGUGGGUCUCUGAGGGAAAGAGUUCUAUUCCCGGCGUCUAUAACCGCGCCCCAGUCAGUCAUCUUGUUCAUUCCAAUGAUGACAUCCAAAACCAGCCCUGGCAUGACCACAAGGUUUACGCGAAACCUCCGGCCACUGAUAUCCAAAGUAACUUCUGUUACUGUUUUAUUAGUCAACACAUCGCCUCCGGCUGAGCUGAUGCGAUAGCCAUAACCUAACUCAGUAACUGGCUGGUCAUGCUUUUGUGCAAAUGCUUGGCUCAUAAAUGAAUGCGAUGAUCUAGAAUCAAACAAAACAACUGCGAGAUGUUGGUUGACAGAAAACAUACCAGCUGUUACCGGUUCUCCUUCCGGGAUCUCCUCGAUUGAGGUAUGGUGCACACGAGCUGGAUAGGUUGGCUGCUGCCUCUUGGGGUAGGGACAUUCCUUAGCAAAGUGCCCCAUCUUGUGGCAGUUAUAGCACGGACCCUUGGGUGCAUUGUUGACGGCAGGUGCUGUAGCUUGAAUUGCCUUUGGCUUGGCAGGGGCUAUCGCCACCUUGUACUGCUUCUGCUAUGUUGGAUGCCCGGUGUUCCUUCUCUGCGGCGGUCGAAACCUAGCACCUGGGGCAAGAGGACGAUACUGCUGUCGUACUGUCACUGGUGCCCUGGACUGGGAUGACCCGGCUUCGAAAGCCCUCUUAUGUGACUUGGAUGCACUGUAGUUGUUGUUAUUGUUUUCUUGGGUCAGACAGUCACUGAUAUCGGCAUUGAAGGUAGCCCUGGCCCCUGUACCCAUGGUCUUCAGCAUCUUUGGACUCAAGCCUCUCUAGAAACUAGCAAUCUUUUUAGCCUCCGUGUUCACAAACUCAGGGGCAUAGCGAGCGAGAUUAUUGAAAGCGUGUAUAUUCUCCUUCACCAAUUUCGUCCCCUGGGACAGCCUCAUGAACUCCCCGAUAUUCAUUUCAACUAAACCCGGAGGAAUAUAAUUUCCCCGAAAAGCUGUGGUGAAGCGGUUCUAGGUAAUUGGGGUCCCCUCUGGGUAGGUGGUACGGUGAUGGGACCACCAAAUCCCAGCGGGUCCUUGCAACUGAUGUGCCGCAUACUCAGCCUUAAGUUCUUCUGUCAUUCGGAGAAGACGAAACUUCUGCUCCAUAGUGUUGAUCCACUCAUCUGCCUCGAGCGGUUCCAAAGCCUCUUUGAAGAUUGGUGGCUUGGUAUCCAUGAAGUCCUUGAACGAACUGUACUGAUUGACUUCACGGCCACCCUGGUUAUCCCCACGACGGGUGUUGUCAGCUAUGUUGCGUAGAGCCUCUUCCAUGUUGCGCUGCAUCUGUUCCAUGUUGCGUUGGCUCCCCAGAAACUGCAUGAAAAACACGUCUGCAGUGUACGGAGGAGGCGGUGGUGGUGGCGGUGUUGGUGCUCUGUCCUCAUUCCGUUGAGCCCCACCUCCGGAUGUACCUACUCCAAGACUCGGAUUGCUGUUACCCCCGCCACGUGUUUGCACCAUCUGCAUACGUCAAUGAUAAGCAAUUGUUAGGAGUUGCCAUCAAUGGUAGAAAUGUGUAGAAUCGUGCCGUACUGAAUUUACUGAGGGAAUAAAUUCGCACAAUAAACAGAGGCUAAACAAUUCAUCAUCUACGCACAACAUCACUAACAGAUCGCUUAACAUUCACACAACAAGGUUCGCGUACAUCUAACUUGCCAGCAUACAUACACUGGACUUUCAACAUUAACUCAUAAAGUUUUACAUAGCCCAGAUCCAAAAGUACAAGACAUGCCAUGCAACAUACAACAACAAAAGAAGAAGGACUAGCUCUAGAGCCCUAGCAUCUACUCGCUAUGGUCACUGUCCAUGCCGGAGCCAUCCUCAUCCUCAUCUCCACUAGCAGCUGCUCCUAUCUCGGGAUCCGCAUCCAUCUCGUCCUCAGAGUCUAGCUCAGCCGCUCUAGGCAGGUGGUGAGGGUGGAGCUGGUUAUGCAGCUGGUGGAUCUCUUCAUGCAAGUUCUCAUUGUACUCCUCCGCAUUAGCUAGCUGCUGCUCUAGCUCCAGCUGUCGGGCCCUCAAAGUGUCCUCCUCGUGCCAGGCUUCAUUCCUCUGUCCAAGCACAUGGACUAGCAUGCACUCGCAGUUCCUGUGAGCAGUAGUCACCCUGUCCUUCUGCUCCCGUACUGCAAGCAGGUCCUGACUCAGCUCACUGUUCUUCUGGACUGCCUGAUCUCUCUCUGUGGUCACACGGGCCAACUCUGCCUGUAGCCUCUCAACCUCAGAGUCAAACUCACGCUGCAACUGACGCUUCUCAUCCUGGAUGGUGAGAAGAGACCCGGACAAGCGACCCAAACAUCGCUCCAGGCCUCCAUAGGUCUUCAUCAGAGCGUACAUGGCACUCAUAGCUGCACCGUCACUGUGCUGGUCCUCAUCCGCACUCCUCUCUAGAGCAUUCACCUCGGACUGAUCCCACACCGAAGUGUAGGGGUCACCCCGGGGAAACACCCCAGCGAAGGCGUGGGCCAGCUCCUGUGGAAACCUCUCCAUGAGGUCCCUCAAAACUGCCAAAGCUGCCCUGCUGGCACCUUGGAAAGGCGUGAAACCUCGGGACUCGUACAGCCAGCCGCCCCAAGCAGGGUCUCCUCCACUGGUAGGGACAACUACCUCGACCCCCACCAGGGUCUCGUCACCAAGCGGCUCCUUAUCCCAAUAGUAGCGAGGCUCCCUUCCUUCGGGAUACCCCAUCGAACUGAGCACCCUCCAAAGCAAAGUGGGCAUCCCAAACUCGUCCAGGAACUUGCUCUUAUGUCGUGAGCUCCUAGCUGCCAACGGGUGGCGAGGGGCCCGCCCACCAGUGGACUUGCGAGCAGUGAGCCUAGUGCGUGCCAGCUGCUGCAAAUGGAAUACCGUGGGUAAGAGCGAGGAUUACCUUUAAUUACUUUAUUUAGAAUUGGGACAGAUUAAAUUGAGGGGGAAAGUAAGCAAUGAUAUGAAAUGAACAUGAUGCAUGCACGAACUUACGAUCUCACAAACUUAGAAACAAGGUUAACACUAAGCGGUAUAUGCGGUGGCACACAAUGUUCUCUCAUAACGUAACUAGCGUUCUAAUUGAGAACGUGGUUAGUGUACCUGCAGAAACUCAUUUCAGCCCACCCACAGUAUGAUCGUGCAGAACAAGAAUUUAAAACUAUGCACUUCACAUACACAGACACCCGUCCAUGCAUGUGAGGUGUUGCUACCCACAUCAUCACCCUAAUGACGGCAUCGCCUCUCAGGACGGAAUUCCCAACAUGCGGUACUGUUCCCAAGACACACCAACAUGUGUGCAUGACAUAGUACCUAACAACACUCCCCUAGACCGGCAGUGUAUCCGAUCAUGCUCUCACAGCUCCCACUUACCGUGGCGUAGAGGAAAAAUGGAUCCAUACAUUACCACUCAAAUGAAUGGCACUCAUACUAUUGCACGCCGUAUGAGCGACGAAAUAAAAAUAUGAUGCAUUAACCCCCAAGUGAGUACUUAACUAGCCACCUUAGAGUCCUUAACUGGGAAUAAAGGAUAUGACCAUGGCACACUAGAUAGUUUUCCAAAACUUAGUUUAACACCUUGAUCAUUAUUAAUUAAUAAAAUCUUUUAUUAAACCGGUUUAGAUUUUGUUUAGAACGUACUUAUGAACAGUAACUCGCUAAACCUUGCUCUGAUGCCAGCUGUAACAGAACCGACCAAAUUAUAAGAGAUUAAGCCUAACAGCGACCGUUUGCAUAGUCAAACCAUCAGGCUUAAGCCCAUAUAAUCCCGGUAGUCCGUGAAAUCUCGAAGGAUUUCAAACCACACAUCGUACAACAGCCAAGAUCUUAAUAAGUUUAGCGGUCGCCAUCCACAAAUACAUCUAGAUUACAACAUUCAUAAAACACAUCGGAGUUCUAAAAAUUAUUACAAACCAAGUUCUUCAAGUAGCGGAAGCUUCAUCAUUCGAAAAUACAACACACACGCUUAGUCUGAUACAGUGCCAUAGUUCGGUCAUUCCCACAAAAGCAAAAGGUGAGACGGAGUGACCAUCGCCCUUGGUCUAGUCAUCACCCAUAGCUGGGUACAGACAGAGGAUGCAAUAACCAUAGUACAUUUGACCAUCUGCAAAACAACAUGGGAGUAGAACCCUGAGUACGAGAAGGUACUCAGCUAGACUUACCCAUCAUAUAUUAAAAUAAAGACUCUUCAAGGAUCAUGAAGGCUAUAUAGUGGGGUAGCUGACAACCAUUUUGCAAAACCGCAGGAUUUUACUAUCAUAACCUACAUAAAUCUUUCUUUUUUUAAUUUGCUCAAGUUGAAAGUAUCAUUACCUAUUAUCUAGGUUUGCACCUGCACUAUUACAAGCAAGUAUAAGGAUAUGAUAGUACCUCAUCAUGGCAUUCAUAAACCAUUUAUCAAUAUAACCCAAGUGUCCCAUAGUCCUUACUACGAGGACGAAGCUCAUGUCAAGUGCUCACUAUCCAGGAGCGAUGGCGAUUUGAAUCAAUUUCUAACCAGCUGGCGAGUUUAUUCCCCACACAAACCACACUCACUCAUCAAGUGAGCUAUAGGUCACCGUAUUGCACUAUCCAGGACCAAUUCGCGGGUUCGACAGGCACCGCCCGUACCCGAGGACCAUUCCGGCGACCGAGGUAUCCAAGGUAUACAAAGGUUGCGCGCCGCGCCCUCGUCGUUCUCCUCAACCAUCACCAAUACAGCGCGUACAUCGGGCCGAUUCCCGACCCGGAUAGUGCUCAGGCUUCGCGGUCGGAACGACUUAUCCUUCUAGCUAAAUGUGGGGCAUGCGUUCAACAUGACAAGAGGGCCGUCAACGAUCGGUCCUUAAUCGACACAGGCAGGGGCACUAUGGUCGACCCACCAUAAGACCCUGCCCGGUCUCCAAUUACAUUCCACACUUGGUUAUUCUUUUCCCCAAGCAACCACUACUUAAUCAAGCAGGUAUCCACCUAUAUCUCACAGGUGACAGGGAAUCACCCGACUUCUACCGGACUAAGCAAGCUAAGCAUAGACUCUGUGCCUAUCUACAUAGGACAAGGUAGGUAAACGAGUAGGGAUAACAAGGAGUACAUAUGCAUCAACGGUAUCAAGCAAUUCCUAUCACUUAGAUGCAAUAUAGUAGAACAAGUACAGUGCAUCAUGUAAGUUAGCGAGAAUAGGGAGACUUAGAAUGCUCCGGGGCUUGCCUUUCUCAAACGUGCUGGGUCGGUGAUCCGGACACUCCUGCAGUUCCUCUCCGGAUUCCUGUGCUUCCGGAGGUUCCUGUUCCUAGAUCUCCUCUGGUUCCUCGGGUCCCACCUCGUUCUCCUGCAAGCCUGUACGAUGCAUGUGUCCUCCUGAGUGGAGUGCGAGAUGCCCGAGUGGAUGCUUGUAUGAGAAGGUACCAAGGAGUCAUGACAUGAUGCGUAGGCGAUUUAAUUGGUCAUGCUCUUUACAAGGUAGUCAACAUCAUCCAAGAGUAAGCAAUUGGAUCAAAUAUCUGUGCAUUCUCUUCUACAAUUAUUUUUCAAAUGCAACUAGCAAUCCACAUGAUGCUUCAAAGAUACACCAAACCCCUCCUUAUUUUACUCAACCUAUAUAUAACAAUUCAUAAUUUUCUUUAUUCAUUUCUAGGCCCAUUAAAAAUUACAUGCAGUUAUGUUCAUCAAUAAAUUCCACAAAAAUUACAGGAGACUACCAGCCAAGCACAAAGUCUACUGUAAAUUUUUCAUAAUUUUUGGAUACUUGUUUUGAGCUACAAAAAUCACAGGAUUAAUUAAUAAGGUAAGUAUAAUCACUCUACUGUGAUAUAAGUGUCAAACAACAGAUUUCAUAUUUUUACAAUUUGUCUAAUAUCAUAAGAAACAUCCACAAAAAUUUCCAGAUUAAUUGCAUGAUCCAAUUAAUUAUUAAAAAUCAUAAACCACUGCCAUGCAAGCAUUUAAAUUACCAUAAAUUUAUUUAUACACCAAAUAAUAUGUAGCAAUAUUUUCACAGUGAGUAAACAUACAUGCAGAGCCAACAAAUCAAGUUUCACAUUUUUCUGAGUCAUAUUUUAUUUACUAUGCAUUUUCCAAGUUUAGCAAAACAAUGGAUUAAAUAUAUCAUACAGAAAAGUUACUCAAACAUGACAUGCAAUCACAUCAUGCUGUAGAUCUGGAAAUAUAGAGCACACCAAAAUUUAUUUCAUCCAAUUUGGAGAUGUAGAACUCAAGAUACGAAUUUUACAAGUUUUGAAUUAAUUUCUGGAAAACAUUUAUUCAAGAAAACCAACGAAAAAGGCUAAGCACACCUAGAUCUACACCCACCGGGGUCCUCCUGCGACUGACAGUGGCCUCUGACCCCACCAGUCAGCGAGACCGAGAGGGAACUCACCUCCGACGAGCAGAUCUCGCCGGCGGUGAGGUUCCCGGCCACGGGGUGAGCACCAUCGUGCUCCCCGCAGCGAGGCGCACCCAGCGGUACCCUCGGAUUGGCCGGAGGAUGACCGGAACACCUCCGACGAGCAUGCAUGGCGGCACGGCGGCGCUGCUCGCCAUGGCCAGGCCGCUCCGGCGCGGUAGAGCGUGCGCAAACAGUUCUCCGAGCUUCCUCACCACCCUACCGACCUAGCGCAACCAAGAACCAGCGAAAAGAGGUAGGGAAACGCAAGAUCCGUCGCGGCGGAGUACUCCGGCGAGCUUGGGGUAACUCCGGCGAGCGAUUCACGGCGCUCGACGGACUCUCACCUCGGUAGAACGCUCGCAUAAGCUUACCCUAACAAUGGCGAAGGCGCUGGUGGCUUCGGUGUCGAGGUUUGGUCACUGGAGUGGCCGGCCGUGAGCAGCGGAGCCGCUCCGGCGAUGGCGCUGCGGCGGAGUCCUACGGCUCGGUGGCGCUCGCGAGCGGAGGGAGGAAGGAGAAGGUCGCGGGCGACAGGAUGGAGGGAAUGGCCUGGGAGCCCGAGCCGGCGUCCCGACCAGGGGGGUUGGAGGCCGGCCGCGGCGCGUCCAACGCCGGCGUACGGCCGCCACGUGGCCGGCGCCGGGUGGAGCGAGGCGGGCGCCACGCGCGCGGGAGAGAGGGGAGGGGGAGCGGGCCGCGCUGCCCAGCUGGGCCGAAAGGGAGGCGGGUCGGCCCAGCAGCGCCUGUCCCCUUUCUCCUUUUUUUUUGAAAUUCUUUUCUCAAAUUCUUUGUAAAUUCAUUUGGACCAAUGUAAAAUCAUUUUCACCUCUUGCUCCCAGAAACAAAGUUGUUCCAAAACAAAAACCCUACAACUUUGUUUUAAUAAGCAAGACCAAAUUCCCAAUAGAAUUUGAAUUACAAAUUAAAACUAGUUCUAGGUUUUUAAAUAAAUUCAUUUUGGACAUUUUGUAAAAUUCCAUUUCUCAAAUUCCAUAGCUCCAAAAAUUGCACAAAAAUAUUCUUAAUUCUUCUUACACAUAAAUCAACCUAGUUUGAAUAUUUCACAUUUUUAGAAGCAAGCAUCAUAUUUUUAACAUAAUUAAAACACAUGAAAUAAAGCACAUAAAAUCAUGUUUAGGGAUGAAUGACAUGCUCAUGAUGCUAUGCUUGAUGAGAAUGCUUAUGCAUGUUGUGAUAGGGCUAAAUGCAUGCUUAACACCUAGGGUGUUACAGGGCUCCCCCUUAAUAUAUGCAGCAAGUACUUGAAUUACUUGUAAAGUGCAUUUGAAUCGGUUUAAGAGUCAAGAGGAGUUCAUCCUAUAUCUUGGUCAAGGCAUCAUAAUUUUGCAACAAUUGAAAUUUUUCCAAGGAAACAUACCACCACCAAGGUAGAUAGAUCACCACAUAGAUUUUUAUUUAUAUGACCAUCAUAAGUGAGAAUCCAAUGAUUUGGAUGGCCAUAUAUUUCUCAAUUGAUGACAUGUGAUGACUUAGAGCUCUUAUGAUCAUCCAAGAUACAAAUUAUGUUCCUAGUUCUUUCUUUACCUAAGGCAACCCACAAAGAGCAAAAGGUAAAAUUCAUGAAAUUUGCAAAUUGUGAACUAGGAGUUUCCACUCUUUGUUGACAAGAUCCUAGGUGAUCAAUGGAAUGGUUCAUGAACACUGGAUGAGCUCUAGAGAGAAGAAAUAGCAAAGAAAUCCCAUUUUUAAUUCUUUUCUCCAACUCAUUCAAAUCCAAUUCCACUAAAGGAUUGGGGCAUUCAACAUUAAACUGGGAGCACUUGGUUUAUAAAAAAACAAGAUCCUAGAAUAGUUGUGAAGCACUAAGAGAAUCCAUUGGAAUCAUCCAUCUUCCUUUUUCCAUUGUGUGGGACUGCACAACAUACACUUGAAAGAAACCAAUAGUCUCACAAGAUAUAGUCUAAACUCCCCCUUAAUAUGUGCAUACAAGAGUACAUAGAGUACACUCAUGCAUAUCUAUACCAUGAGGUCAAGGGAGAAGUUUACACUGCAUUCCAACUGGUUUCAAACUCCUUCAGGCUGCUGUAAUUUAAUUAGUUUCAGCUAGUUUCAGUUGCUUCCAAUUGAUUUCAGCUAGUACCAUCUGAUUGUAACUCAUUUUUGCUACUUGUCACUGCUGAAGCCAACUAGUUUCAUCAAGUUUCAACUGAUCUUAGCUGCUGUUUCUGACAGACUGCAUUUGAAUUCUUCUAACAACUAAUUGCAAUUAUUUGCUACUGCUUGUAAUCUGAUUGCAACUUGUUUGGAUUCUUGUAUGAGUACUCUUCUUCCAAUGAAACUCCUUUAUCCAAACUGAUGCUGCUCUUUUUAAUAAAUCUUUCAUGAACAACUUGAGAGCCAACUGAAUCUUGUUACACUGCAAUCCAAUUCCAAACCGUCAGUUUUCAGAUUCUGUCAUCCUCAGAGAAGAAUUCAUAUCUCCCAGACCACUAGCCCAAUAUGCAUGAAAUUUGAUAGAGGUCUUCAUCUAUGAGUCCUCUAACUUCUGUAUAAAUUUUAUCUCAUUUGAACUCCAUUGGAUCAGUCAAAAUAAUUUUCUACCAAAACUGCUAUGGUCUGAAUCUGCAAUGCUGAAGCUGACAGAAUUCAACUCAAUACUGUUUUUCUUCUUAACCAAUCUUCAUGUAAACUGUACAGAAACAAGUAUCAGAUAUUUGUGUCAUGCUCAUAAUGUUUCAGGUCAAUUCAUCAGUGUUUGGACUUCCAAAUCCAUGCUUGAAGGCAGCCAAUUCAGAUUUUCAAAUUUCUGGACAGAUUUAAUAUUUCACAAUUCUUCUUUGCUUCUUGUCCAAUCUUGAGCUGGAUUUGGUUGAGAAUACUCACAAGAUGCAAUUUCCAUUCAGUCCUCUUAUCAGUACUUGUCAUCUUGUGAAUUCUUCUAAUAUAGCUCAUCCAAUUCAACCUCAAACUUGAUUUUAUUCAAAUUCAGAUUUUUGAUCAAUAUGACCUCUAGCAGCAACAUCUCUCUUUAGGUGAAGAGUAACCUUCAAACUUGUGAAUUAUUCAAUUUAGCCAAGCACAACCUCUUCUCAUAAAUUUUCACCCUUCUUGAGAUAUAAUGGAUGAGAUGGUCUCUUCAUCUUGACUUUGUUUAUCAUCAUGUUGUAGGCUUCUUCCAUGUCUUGGACUGAUGUCACCUGCUGCUAUCUAUAUAGGGGCGGCACUACUGCUCUAAGGUGUCAGCGGAAUUUGGUGCAGCAGCAACUUGAGGAUAUCUUUAUUACUGUUACUUGGUCUCAUAUCACCAGUGGCAAUUUUUUUGAUCACCUCAUAAGAUGAUUCCUCAUUGCCUACAGCAUAAACAAGAUCUUGCUCUACUAGAGAGCCAUUAAAAGCAUCAUAUGGCAAAUGAUUCAUUUAACUUGAAAUACUCUAGCCACUCUUGAUAAUUCACAAAUACACACAUACUUGUGAACUAUCAGAGACUACACAAGUCAAAAGGCUAGCUAGCAAGGGUUAGGUGCUAGUUACCAAGGUGAAUAUGAAGUUUGAAAUAAUUUCAUUAAUUUAUCUUCGGGUCAACCAUAUAAGAAGAAACAAUAUGAAUUGGUUGAUAGCUUGAGUGAAUAUUUUUAGUUAACUUGCUCAAGCACCCCGAAGCUUCAUAUCACCUUCAAGUACCUACAACACUCAUCAAGCACAACUUGGUACCCAAAUUUUGUUGGGUCCAUCAAGAGUAGUCACAAGAGACUUAGGCACCCAAAUGGCCUUUGCGCUAGCACAUGGUGAACCAAUCACCUUCCUAGCACAAGUGUCAUUUUUAGGCCUCCUAAGCAUAUUUGAAUGAAUUGAUGAGUUGAGCUUAGGAGUGUUACCAAUGGGACAAUCCAUACUUAGAUGUCCCUUUCCUCGACAAGUGUAGCAAGUGCGGUGUUUGUUCUUGCAAGACAUAUUCUUAUCUUGCUUCUUGUUUGCUACCUUGUUGACAAGCCUCUUUCUUAAUGAUGCCAAGCCUUCAUCCUUCAUGUAGGGGCAUGAUGCAAUUUCAUGACCCUUCUUAUUACAUCCAUAACACUUCCUCUUGCUUCUUCUUAUCUUCAUGUUUGGAAGUGCUGCUUGGUCAUUAGCCUUGUUGGAACACAUAGAGGCAUUGUUUCCCAUGUCGGGGCACUUGACAUGAGCCAUUUUGUUCUUCUCUUGUAUCUUGCUCAUGCCCUUCUCUUCUUUCUUCAAAGUGCAAUCUCUGACAUGGUGACCCUCUUUCUUGCACUUGAAGCAAGUGAUAAGAGUCUUCUUUGGUUGAAAUUGCACCUUUGUGACCUUGGGGACUUUCCUGUUCUGUAUAGGUGUAGCACCACCGCACUGGGAUGCGGCACUGCCACAUUCUUGAACCCUCAUAGCCUUGAGCACAAUUGCUGCAUCUUGGACAGACUGCACAUUUCUGGCUUGUCCCUUGACUUUGCCAUUGUUUGACUUGUGGCCUUCUAGAUGGAGCUUGAUGCAUGCAUCGGUUGAUCUCUUCUCAAGCUUCUUCACCAUGUCUUCAUGGUUAUCUUGAGAAGGUUGAGCAUUGCACUUGCCCUUCCAUUGAAUCAAAUCCCUUCUUAGCCUCUCAACCUCUUCCUUGAGCUCUUCAUUUUCUUUUGUAAUGGAGUCAUCACAAGUUUCUACAAGUACAUGCUCAAUGGAAGGUUGACUUGCUUGAGAGCAACAAUUGUUAGCACAAGAUAAAAUAUAUGGAACUUGUGUGCAUGUGCACUUGUGAGUGUGAGGUUGAUAUGAUUUUACCGAUGAUACCACAACCUCAUGAGCUAUUUCUAGCAUGAGAUGAGAAACAACAAGCUUCUCAUGAGAGCACAAGAGCUCAUCAUGACUUUCUUGCAAAGUCUCAUUCUUGCUAGUGAGACUCUCCACUUUGUCCUUGAGCAAAUCAUUCUCAUCUUCUAAUUGAGCAACACAAGAUAGAGAGUUAAUAGUACGAGUUUGCUUAAUUGACAAGUUUUCAUACCUUUUGACCAAACUAGCAUCAGAGCACUUAAGCUUUUCAUGCUCUUUGCUCAACUUCUCCAAGCAUUUGAUCAUUUUGAUGACAAACUCAUCUUGCUCAUGGAGUUUUUCUUCUUGAUCUUCAAUUUUCUCUAUGAGCUUGAGUACCAUCAACUUGUCUUUCUUGCUUAGGUGUGCAAGAUGUUGAUCGAUCUCAUCAUCAUCACUUUCAUCUUCACUCUCACUCUCACUUGCCACAUUCUUCUCUUUCUUAGCCAUGAGACCCACAUGAGAAGUGGCAUAGAGAGUUGAGCUUCUCGAUGAGGUGGAUUCAUCAUUUGGCCUCCAUCGAUCACAAUCUUCUUCUUCCUUCAAAAUGUUAGUCUCACAAGAACAAGAUGAAGCAGAAGUACCACAUGUAAAAACAUUGUUCUCACCAACCAUUUCAUCACUUUCCGAUGAGUCAUAUGUUGAUGAGGAAGUGGAUGUGACAUGAUCACUUUGACCAUUUGAUGGAAUCACUUAAGGCUCAUCACUUGUUGGUGAAGUUGAGCACUCCUCAAAUGGUUCCUCUAAUGAGAGAUAAUUCUCAUCAUAUUUGGACUUGUCAUAUCUUUCUUUCAGUGUAGUCCAAAUAAGAUGAGCAUCCAUAAGUGGUUCACCAUCUCCAAAUAUGACGGUAUCAAAAACAUCUUCACUCAAAGCACUAAAUAAGAUAUUAGUAGCUUGAGUAUUGUGUUGUAAGCAUUUCACUUCCUCUCUAGAUAGAUAGUCCAAAUCAUCACUAGGAGGUGAAAUGCUCACAUCUACAAUCCUCUCGAUAUGAGGACCCAUGGCCCCAAAAACAUCAAGCACAAUAGCGGACCAAGAAGCAUAAUUUGAACCAUCUAAAAUAGAAGUUCUAGAGAUACCUCCUCACUUGUCGACAUUGUCUCUCAAGGCGGUUAAGCCCGAAGUUGAGAGCGUAGCUUUGAUACCACUUGUAAGGACCUUGAUGUCGCCUAGAGGGGGGUGAAUAGGCGUAUCUAAAAAACCUGAAACUCAAAACUCAAGUUGCGGAAGUUAAAUGCCUGUCGGUACCGCCGACAGUUUGGGCCGGUACUACUGGAGUAAGACAGCCAGUACUACCGAUGCAACUGCUGGUACUACCGAUGCCCUAAGAGAGCUACAAAAUUAGAGUAUUUUGAGUUUUGAUUUCAGAUCUGAGAGUUACUCCAUCCUCCUAGAUGUAGUAGAGGAUGAUAUUGAAGUUCCCUUGGCUUGGUUCUUCUCCAAAAUGUAGAUCGGCCCUUGUUCACCUAUGAACGGGGGUAGAUAGGAAGAACACAAAGAAAACAAGAACAAGGGUAGUCGAUGCUACCUCCACAGCAGGACAAGAUAUUUAUCCCGUGGUUCAGCUCGCCACCAAGGCUUGCCUAUGUCCACGUUGUUGAGGAAGCCACACAGGCUUUUCGGGUCUCUUUCAACCCUAUCCUCGUUCUCAAGUCAAGAGAACAAUCCCUUGAUAUGAGGGGUGAUUCUACUAGAUGAUUUGAGUGAUUACAAACCUCUCGAGGCUACCACAUGAGUAGCAAGCUCUACGGGCAACACCUAGCCGGCUAGGAGCCUUGCUUCAAGAGUAACAAACACAAAUCCAACCAGCUUGACGAAGAAAUCAAAUGCUCAAGCUUUGCUUUAAUGUUUCUCUCACCAAGAAUCCUUCUCUAACUCAAUCCCUUGCAAGAUUUGAAGUUAGGAGCAAAGGGGAUAGAAGAGAGAGGCUUUGGAGAGCUAGAGAGGUGCCUUAGCUGAAGGUUUGGUCGAGUGGAAGAGUGAGCCCAUGGUUAGAAUGAGGGGAGAGCUAUUUAUACAUGGGUCCUGAACAACUGCCGGUACUACCGGGGCAACCACCGGUACCACCGACUACCUCAGAUCUAACGGUAAGAAGUCUCUAUGAUUUGCGAGAAAUAAGCCUACCGGUACCACCGGGCUUUUGUCGGUACUACCGACCAUUUGCCGGUACCACCGGUGGAAGGCCUGUACCACUGGCAGUUCAAAUCUCCGCAAUCAAAGUCAGUGCAGAUUUGUCCUGCCGGUACUACUGGCGUUUCACACCGGUACUACUGGUGCUGGCCUGUACCACCGGCCCGAGUCCGGUACUACCGGUAGUUCAUUUUCUCGCAAAACUCAGGAGAAAGGGCUGGCACUGCCGGUUCCACCGGCCCUGAGGGUUGGUACUACCGGGUCACCUUGGCAGAGAAGAAAUUUCCUAGAUGUUCGUGUGUGCAAGUGUUAGAGUGUCUCUCUUUUGAUUUAGUUUUAAUACUUGCGCACUCUAUCUUCCUCAAACCAACUAAAUUUGCAUCCCUCUUUAUAGUGCGACAAAUCCUAAACUCAAGGACAAAACUAUAUAACCAAUUUAACCACUUGAGUCUUCAAUGUCUUCAUAUGCCACUUCUUCUCAAUAUCACUUCAUCAAGGAUGCAAUUAACUUUGUCUCCUCUCUUUGAGUAAAUAUAGCUUGAGCAUGUUACUUGAAUCAUAUCAACAUAUGUGAGUUCAAUCCAUGACAUCAAGUCACUUCCAUUAAAGAUUUUGAUCUUCAACACAAUAUGACUCCUCAUAGCUUAAUUAGUAUCUCGACUCAAUGCAAGUACUCUCUUCAUCACCUUAGCCAUGGUACCUCGGUUUACAAGCCAUUGCUUGACCUUCACCUUCGCUUAGUCCCUCGAAGCCUUUUCUUUGCUAUCUUCACUCUAUCAAGCCAUACUCAAGUCACAUCAUGUUAAGCAUCCAUUGAAAAAUUGUUUCUUCAAUAUUGUGAUUCUUGCUUGAAUAUCUUCUUGAUAUGAGCGUUGACAUUAAUCAAGCUUCAGUUUACACCAACACACAACUUUGGUCUUCUUUGAACUUUGUGUGAAAUACCAUCAAGUUUGCUUUCUUGUUGAACCUUUGAUACACUUAGCAAACUUUUUAGACCUUUAAUUAUGUUGUCAUUCAAUUCACCAAAACCCACUAAAGGGCUAGACGCACUUACAGGGUCUAGUUUUAUAGUCCCUCCAAGUGAAUAUGGGCCGUUGGAUCAAACCGACAUUGAUUGAACGGUUAUCCUUGAUCCUUUAGGUCGGUGGAGAUCGAUCCCGAAAGAGAGUCCUGAUUGGACUCAGAAGGGGGGCGGGCGCCCUGGUCACCUAGGCGGGCGCCCAGGGCCAGGCCCCGUUCGGCCUCCGCUUCCUUCCCGUGGCUUCUGGAGUCUUCUAGAUGUAAGAUAACUGCGCGGCAUGUUGAUAUCUCUAUGUAAUCCCGACGUGUGGGCCUUUCUUCCAUAUUUCCUGAUAACCCCUUGCAAAAAUAGACAAACACCAAAACUCGUGGAAUUCUUUGAGAUAAAACCCUAAGUCUGGAUGUUGAUUUCAUUUGGAUCCUUUUCUUUGUUUAUUUGAUAAUUAAAUUUGAUACUUAAGGACCGUCAACAAACUCCCCCAAGCUUACCUCUUGCUCGUCCCUGAGCAAGGAUAAUCUCAGUGAUGGAUCAGAAGUUGUUGCAAUAUCUUUAAAAAUUGACGGUACACAUGCUUUUAAAUGAGGUCUCAUCUCUGAGUUUAGAGUAAACUAUCAAGACUUAAAACUUACUUACUUUACCUUUCACCAUGGGACUUGUAACCGUCUCUUAUAUCUUGAGUAGUUAAAAGAUAGAACAGUCUAGUCAAAUGUCAUGUCUCUUAUUCUUGAUCAGCUAUAGCUCUAGAGUUUUUGCAGAUUUUCAAAUAAAAGUUAGAGAUUCCUUGUAUGACUCUCUCAUAUCUCUAUUUUGUGGUAUUUCUGGAUGCUUACCAAUGCAGUGAUGGUAUAUGCCUUCUCUCAAAAUAUGUGGUAUUUGUGGUAUAAGGCAUUGUGACAUUGCCUUUUCUCUCACCCUACUCUAAUAAGGCUUUAAUAUCUGGAGCUCAUAGGUGGGAGAUAAAAUAUACAUACUCACAAGACAUUUAUUGUAUAGUCAAACCAUGGAUCCAAAGAAACAAGCCAAUACGUCAAAUCAAGAUGUGCAUGUGUGGCGAAUGAAUGAUGACAACAACGGUGAAAGUCUAAUUCUACUUUAUGCUCUUUUGAGGGGAUAUAUACCUUUCUUGCUUUUUGAAACAUUGUGAGGAGAGUGAAAUGCUCUAUAUUUUCUUUUUCUUUCCUCUCAGAUGGGUAUCUUGUACCCCUAAUUCUACUGUCGGACACUUGUCCAUUUUUACCUCUCGUCUCACUUUUUCUUUUCUUUCGAAGUUCCGGGCACUUGCCCCUUUUUAUUUCCUCGUAUUUUUUUCUCUUUUCUUUUUUAGAGCACUCAUCUCUUGAGAUAAUAUAGCAAGUGGUAGUAACAAGAUAACUUGAGCAUUUAUUUCAUAGGGGAAAAAUAUAAAUAUUUUUGGCUAUUCUCUCCCGGAUUAGGAGUAGAAUGUUUUUGGGUGGUUCUGGAGAUGGACAUGAGUGGAUAUACGUGGAUGGUACUUCCGGAGUAGAAUUAGCAUAUUUAACCACUUGACAAGCUCCUAAGGGUCUACACAGCUUGACCACACUCAAUGCUCAUAAGCAGUAAAAAGUAAAUAUGUGGCUCAAAGUCUAGCAAGCAUGUAUAUAUGGCUGUGGUAGGAAUUUAAACUCUCAUCAUACAGGAACUCAUCAUGCAAAAUUUUACAGAUUUUCAAAGAUAAAAUUCUCCAGAAUUCUAGCAUCUCUAGGAACAGAUAAACAACAGCUCAACCUUUCCAUAUCACAUCCGUUAACAACUUAGACUUCAGAUCAAGUUUUCUUCCCACAAGUUUAGGUUUAGAGCAAGUUUUAAAUUAUAACAGUUAUGUCUAAACUUGAGAGAGAAUUUCUAAUUUUAAAAAUUAGGCAGAGCAACUAUUCAUCAUAUCCAUGCUAGAGUUUUAUUAUUAAGAUUCAGAUUAGCAUAGCCACUUUAUUUAUUUAUUUAUUAAACACAUUAAGCAAAAGAUAUAUAUAUAUAUAAGCACAAAAUCUUUAUUUGUUUUUUUAUAGUUAUGUAUUUUAAUAUAGUAUAAGUAUAAAGAUAGAUAAAAAUACUUAGCGGGAUAAAUGGGGGUGCUCUCCCCCAAGCUGAAUUUUGACGUAAUUUCUUUCGAUGUAGCUAGCAGGUGGCAGAGGUGUAUUUGAAAGUCGGCAGUAUCUUGACAGCGAUUAGAAUGUCCUCCGUCUACUAGUCUUCUUGAUUCUUGAAUUCUGUGAAGCUCAAAUAGACAACAAAGUUUUGUGGAACUGAUUAAGUGUUAGCAUAAAUAUCUAGCCUUCAUCAUGUUGAGCCUCCUCAAUAAAUAUUACUUCUAUUUUUAUAUUUUCAUUUUAUAGAGCAGAAAAAUAUUUAUUUUAUUUUUAUGCUACUACAGUGAAUGUACUUAUGGGUUUUAUGCCACUCGUCUACUCACAUGGGGCUUACUGUUUUUCAUAUUUUUAUUUUCUUUUUAGAAUAGUAUGAACAUGAUUAACUAAGCAAACUAUUUUAAAUAAUUGAAAGGGAAAGGAUAACUACCAAGUUUACCUCUUGGCAAGGUGUUCGGUGUUUUUAAGUCCUCCGAACGGGACUUUCCGUUUUCUAGUUGUCCUGGGAUUCGUUGGGUGGCGGAGUCGGUACUUCCAGCGGCGCCUCCUCUUCAUGUAUAGUUAUCUUCUCUUUCCACACCUGACUCGGUGUUACGGUCUCCUCUGGAUAAUUCUGUUUAAACUGUAUGUCUUCUGACCUUACCACUUCUCCUUCAUAGUCUGCCCAUCCAUCCUUGAUGACUUCCCUCCUCUGGUUGCGGUUGCGUCGUUUUCUGACCUACUUAGAGUCUUCAACGAUAUAGUUAGGGUCAGUAAAAUAGCGGCGUACCUUCUCUGAGGGGAAGUGCAUAUGGACUUCUCCGGUUCCAAUGUAGAUGAUUGCUUUAACGGUGCUGAGGAACGGUCUUCCAAGGAUGAUGGGUGGAUCGUAUUCGUCUUCUCCCAUGUCAAUAACCUAAAAGUCUGUGUAGACAAAAUGAUCGUCUAUUUUGACAGGGACAUCAGUUACUAUUCCUUUAACUUCUCAAAAUGUCUGAUCUGCAAUCUGGAGCAGAAUGUAUGUUGGUUUUAGGGGCAUGGUUCCGAACAAGAGCUGAUAGGUGACUGCGGCCAUUAUGUUGACGCCUGAUCCUGUGUCGCAAGUCGUCUUGUAGAAGUUGUAUCCAUUUAUGGAGCAAUAGAUGAUUGGCAUUCCUGGGUCAUCCUUCUUGGUC
rnacentral:lncRNA from 1 species